rnacentral:lncRNA from 1 species
AGAGUCUACUUUAGAUAUAUUUCAUGUGUGCUUCAUUGUUAAAUCUGAGAAAGCAGUAGAUUGAUUUCUAGAUUGCUACUCCUAAUUCGGGAAUUAGUAGAUAAUAUUUAGAGACUUAUCAAGUAAUGUGGUGGAAUCCGAUGCCUUAGUUACUUCGUCAUCAAGGUAAUUUUUUAUCUAUUUUAUUUGUCUUAGCUACUUCACCAUCAACUUUCAUUCAACUAGGUUAGUGUUAAAUUAAUUUAGAUUCGAUUAGUUUUUCCUAUUUUCAUACAUUCCCUGUGGGUUCGACCUCGCUCUUGCAUAUUUGUGCUGCAACUGAUUCGUGCGCUUGGGAGUAACAUUUUAAAACACAUCACUCUUCCCUUCAAGAUGACACGGCCUCUCAACUAGAUUUGUUGCUUCUACACCGGUCAUCUUUGUAAGCUUCUCCGCUUCUUCGCCGUCGAAGUAGGGGCUGAUCUCGACGUUGUUGGCGACAGUGGCGCCUCGGUUGUUAUCGAUGGAGAUUGGGAUUGGUUCGGUGCAGAGAGAAGAGAAGGAGAUUGUUCCGAUGAGGCAAAUUAAGAUGGAUUGGAUUCCCUUACAUUCCUCUAGAGCAAAGAAAAUGUUGAAAUUCUGAGGGAGUGGGCAAGUCUGGUUUGAAUUUGCCUCAGAUCUUCAUGUUGGGAUGAACACAGAGGAAGGCGAGCUUGAAGUAGAUGAAGGAGGACCGUUGGAUUAGCCUUAAAGCUCUCUCAUCUCUACAAGCAACUGCCACAAAUUUCCUCUCUUCUUAUUUAAUUGGUUACUUUCUGUUUCAGGAGCUCUUAUCCCUAAAGGUAUGAAUACUAUGAGCCACAUCUCUAAUCUCUCUCACAACAAUGAAAUAUUAAAAUGGUAUACUAAUGGAUGUGCAAUUCUCUUGUGAGCGGUGAAUUGAAAGUGGAGAUGUAUCGAAUGUGGUUAUAUUGAUGUUUCUUAUGCGGAGAAGCUCCCUCCUUGACUUCAAUAUUAUUGAGAUUCUCCGUUGAUGAAACGUUUGAACUUGGACUAAUAGAUGCAAUUGUCAUGAUAAUGUUCAGUACUGAUAUAACCAGUAGUAGUAAUAGUAGCAUAACUUGACUAUAGUAGUUGGUAGUAGCACGGUGAUCAAAUACAGCACGGAGACUAUGCCGGUAUAUUGAAAUCCUCAAAGACAUCCAAUUACAGUUUUGGUACUCAAAACCUGCUACUGCACGUACUGAAAAUAACUAAUAUUACAUUUGCUGAGCUACUGAAAACCUGCUACUACACUUAUGGAAGCUGCUACUAUAUUAGUUGAACCAUUAAAACUCUGCUACUACAUUUGUUGGAAGUGUAGUAGCAGCUAACUUUCCAGAAAAACAUGCUACUACAUUAGUUGAGCCACUGAAAACCUGCUACUACAGUUACUGAAGUUUCUACUACACUAGCUGAACCACUAAAAAUCUGCUACUGUAUUUAUUUGCUGAGCCAUUGAAAACCAUCUACUGCACUUACGAAAGCUGCUGCUGCUGCUACUACUACACUAGUUGAACCACUAAAACUCUGCUACUACAUUUACUGAAGUUGCUACUACACUAGCUGAACCACUAAAAAUCUGCUACUGUAUUUAUUUGCUGAGCCACUGAAAACCUGCUACUGCACUUACGGAAGCUGCUGCUACACUAGUUGAACUACUAAAACUCUGUUACUACAUUUGUUGGAAGUGUAGCAGCAGCUAACUUUCCAGAAAAGCAUGCUACUACAUUAGUUGUGCCACUGAAAACCUGCUACUACAGUUACUGAAGUUGCUACUACACUAGUUGAACCACUAAAAAUCUGCUAUUGUAUUUAUUGAAAGUGUAGUAGCAGCAACAUUUCAGCAAGUGCAGUAGCAGCUAAAACAAUAUAUGAUGAGGUCUGAUUUAAUUUGUAUUAGGUCAGUUUGGUAAUUAAAUUAAACCAUGACACAUGACAAACAUAAAAGAAUCUGUCCUUAUUUGUUAAAAAUUGUCCUUAUUUUUUAAAAAGAAAUGUAGAUGGAUGUUAAUCUCUGCUAAUACUUCAACUGGAAUUAACUGCUACUACACUAACUUAUUGAAAACCUGCUACUGUAUUUCAUUUACUGAAAAAUCUUAAAAUGAGACUUUUCUAUUUUAAAAACAUAUUUAAUUAGUGUAAGGUUAGUUUGGUAAAUUAAACCAUGACACAUGGCAUGCAGAGAAAAGAUUGUCCUUAAUUGUUAAAAACUGUCCUUAUUUGUUUAAUAACAACACAAGUGGAUUUAUUUAUGUUUCAAAUUCUUUUGAAGAAUGUAUAUGUGAUUUGUUAUAAAUCGAACCCACCCCUAGCAUGUAGGCCACCAUUGUUCGAUACAGAAAGUAAAGAAGUUGUGGAUUCUGAUAGUGACUUUGUGAGUGCACAAAAUAAUGGGCUGCUUAAUGUUUAAUAAAAAACAAAACAGCAAAUAAGCCCAAACAGGUAGUUCCUCCCAUUUAAAAUAUUGUUCACAGAACAAACGUACGUAGACAUGGAAGGAAACUUGGAGACCUAACUAAUUCAAACCAAUUCCAAUCUUGAGGUCAUUAUUGGUUUCUACGCAUGGAUUAGGCCGGAGUACUCCUUGUCCUGUGUUAAUUAGUAGGACAUUUGCACUAACUAGGUUCUCUUAAUUUCCUCCCACUAAUUGCUCUAUCGAUCUGUUGUUGCUAAGAUAAAUAUAACCUAGCUCCAAUAUUACUCAAGGAUGUAAAUGUUGCAAUAUAGGGAGUCUAUAGCUACUUAAUUAUUGGCCGGAGGUAAUCGUACCACGUAACAAGGUAUACGCAUAUAUAGCGAAGAUUGAAGAAAGGGUACGUACGUAUCUGACCAAUAAUAUAGGCAAUGAUUUUGCAUUUUUGCCGAAAGCGUUCUUGAAAUUUAGUGUGUUCUUAAUGGUUUAUAUUCUUUGAUCUCUAGCUAGCUGUAUGUUUUACUGUCAUUGCCGAGGGGAACUUGAAGUUUCUUAACACUCCAAUUACGCCAACAACAUUUGUCAUCAUUCGGCCUUCGGGCUCUAAAGCCCAUGGGCGGCCCUUCGGCCCAUAGGGCCAAAACCUAGCCCGUCUCGUAUGAAGCCCGAAGAGGCCUGCCCGGCCCGGCCCGUGAAGCCCGGCCCAUGGAGCCCAUCAAAAGCAAACCUAAAUACUCACUCUCCACGGUGUAGACUCCACCACACAAGCUUAUAUUGCAAAUAAAAAAAUACUUAAAAGUUGUCAGGUAUGUGCUUUCAUGCCUCCUUGUCUUAUAUUGCACAGACAUAGUCACAUGGUGCUCUGUCUUUUUCUCACUCACCUCUCACAAAGACUGGGUUUAUAUAUUUUCUUCAAGUUUUCUGUUUUUCUUAAAUGGCCUCUACGAGAUCUAUUUUUCUGUAUCUCUCAGUUUCACACAUGUAGCCUUUGAUCCCUUUGGCAAGAUCAUUGAAUUGAAGGUCGUUUAGUCGCAGAGAUCGGACAGAUCGAAUCAGUUUUUCUCUCAUCCUCUUUGUGAUAUGUGUUUCUAUGAUACUACUAUGUUACUGUAUAUGUUAGUAUGAUUCUUGUGUUUUUGCUAUCCCAAAAUCGGAUCAUCGGGUUUCGUCAUCUUCAGCGACGACGAGAGUAAGAGCUCAUCUCUUUAUCACUCAUCUAUCAUGUUUCUGUAUCUCUCGUCUCUCAAAUAUGAAAGAUCUCAAAUCUGGCUUUGGUUUUGACAGAAAGCAGAAGUCUGACAAGGUCACAUGAAGAUGAGAUGCAGAAGAAAACAGUUAGAGAAAAGGCCCAGCCCGGCCCUCCUCAGUCAAUUGGGCCCGGCCCGGCCCGGUCAAGCCCUAUAAAGCCCGGCCCAUGGGCUGCCCUAAGGCUUAAAAUUUUCUCUAAUGCCCAGCCCGGCCCGGCCUUGAUAUUAUAUAUUUUACCUUGAAAGCCCGGCCCCGCCCAGCCUGAGCCCAUUAGUUUUAGGCCGGGCUGACCCGGCCCGGCCCAAUGACGACCCCUAAAUUUACUCAGCUCACAAGUCACCGUCUUCAAGAAUUCACAUGGAAAAGUCUAUGAUUUGUACCAUUAUUGAGUAGCAUUGGAACUCAGUAUAUGGAGUCAGUAUAUUGAAGAAGACCACACGCUGAGAAUUGGCAGCAUUUACUCUUUUUUUUUUUUGACAAUAUUGAAUAAUUCAUUAAAGAAGAGGGAAACCCAAAUUACAGAACUUGCAAACGCAAGGCCGAAAAACUAAUAAUAAAGAGCAUAAGUCUCUAACUCAAUCAACAUAGAAAAAGUAAAGGGAAACCAACAGCUCGCUAAUCUAUGGACCGAAAGUCCUACAACAAAAAACAUAAAUACAACAAUACUAAAAAAUCUACCAUACACACCACCCAUGCACGCCGACAUUGUCGUCGCCAUCGCCGCCAACAGCUGUGAGUAAGUGAGGAGUACUAAAUCAGAGCAUAGCUGCCCGAGUACCCGAUGCUUACUGAAUCUCAAUGCACAAAUCAUAUGAAAACCCAUGACCAAGAGGAAGAACUCCCUCAAAACAACACCAUGCAAUCCACCAUCUAAACCAAAGCCAUGAUAAAGCUGAGACUGCGGAGAGAAGAACGAAAGAGGCAGCAUUUACUCUUUGGAGAAUAGUACUACUGUAUAAUGGACCCUGUUUCACUGUGAACUUUACCUUCAUCCAGACCUAUAAACUAGAAAUCUAAAGCUUGGGUGAAAUACUAUCAAACAGAUUUGGUUUUCUUUUCUUCAACUAAACAUUCGGGUUUUUGUUUUUGAUCUACCCCAUACAUCAUUGAUUGAAAAAAAGAAGCAACUAAAUGACCGUGUAAUAACCAUUUGCUCCUUCAAAAACUCAUAUGUGUCAUACAAUUUGACAUAUUUGCAAUAAGCAUGUCAUACCAUAUGAUAUGGGAGACAAACCCUAAGUUAUAUGCAUGAUUGUUUCUUUUUGGACGUGUUUAUGCAACCAACUCAACGUACACGUCUCAUGUAAUUGGACGUCCAAUUUUUCCCAUAUCUCUCUUUAUACAUCUAUCACUAAAGAACAUCUUUUGGCUAAAGCCUAGUUAGAUGGAGUUUCCAUUAGUUUAACCCUAAUGUAAAAUGGAAAUCCAUAAAAGAAAUGCCUUUAGUUUGGAUCAACCUUUUAACUAAUCGCAUUGUAUUGGCCUCUUUCUGAUGACCAUGACCAUGCAAUACAUUUUAGUCUCAACAAGUUUACUUGCGUGAGGGAAUUAAUUGUUGAUCGUCUGGGGUUACACCUGGACUCAACCAAGUUCUUUAAUAUCGAUAAAUUCGGCGAUAUUUCGUCGAAAAUAUCGUUUUUUUUCAACUUCUCGACAAAAUUAUCGUGAAAUAUGUGAUAUUAAGCUAAAAGGCCAGUAAGGGGAUUUGAACCUCGGUCACCCAAGAUAUGUCAAAACGCCCUAACCAACCCUGCUAACAUGCAUUUAUUCUAUAAGUUGUACAAUUAUAAAUAUAUAUAUAUAUAUAUAUAUAUUAUGCUAACUAUAUUUUACCUUCUUUCUAUAAUAUCUUUCGAAAUUUUGUAAAUAUCAAUAUUCCAAUAUAUAUCUGUCGAAAUUUUGGACGGUCGAUAUAUCCAUAAUUGUCAAAAUUUUAGUCCUUAGACGAUUAAUCAAUAAGAGCAACUAGCAAAGCUAGCUUUAUUCGUUGCUUUUCACUAUUGCUUCUUUCUCUCUUCUCCGGCAUGCGUUUUCGAUUAGCUAGUAUCGACCCAAUUGUGCAAGCAGUUUCGAUUAGUAAGCCAAAAUAGACAAAGCUGUAAAGCAAUGCACGUAAUUGGUUUCAUGAAAGGACUAUCCUCAAAUGAGGGCUCAGAUAGAGAAAUGAAAUUUUUGACCAGAAAACACUUUCCAAAGUGAUGAGUACGUACCCUAUUAGCUAAGUUCAAUAAUACAAAGCCUUUUUGGUCAAACAAAUUGAUUAGCUUUUUCUCUCUACGUGCAUGAUGAAAAGUUGCAAAGAAAAAAAAGAUCCAACACAAAAUGUUUUGUCGAUUUGCUUAAAGGGUUUUCACCUAAGACAUCAAAAUCAUAUGUUUAUUGUCUAAAAUUAGUGUAAAUUGCUUGGUGGAAUUGUUUGCGGACCUUUCAGUAAUUGCCUAGUGAAGGCAACAAGUCUGUGCAUGAAUAAGAAAACGAUGAAUUGGGUUUGUUGGAUCGUAAAGGCUAAGAAUUAACAUUGAUUGAAAGAGCUAGCUCACUCCAUGCCACUUGAUAAAUAUCUGAGAAAGAAAAAAGAACUUGGACUGGGCAGUACUUGAAUCAGUUUGUUAAAUUACUACUAGUGAUAUACUUUAUUGUAAUCAUAGAGUUGUUAGUUAUGCUUCAUUAGGUAUGAGUCCAUUAAGGGUUAAUCUACCGACUCUAGCUUUGUGAUCGAUCGAUGGCGUGUCUAGUCCAUUCCAAUUUACCAUAAGACCUCGUUUGGUCACAGAAAAAAAAAAAAGCUUGAAAAGAGAAAGUUUUUUUAUUUUCCUUUCCUAAUUACUUUCCUGAUUCCAAAACUCAAACCUCGUUUUAUUUUUUCAUUUUUUAUUUUGGUUUAAGUACGUUUCCUUCUAUAUAUUAUUGGUUUAUUCCUCUGAGGGGCACCAAUAAUAUUUUUCAUUUCAUAUAAGUAUAAUUUUGUUUUUAAAGAAUUAAUAUUCAUAGAGAAAAUUCUACGAUAUGUGUUAAUACAUGACAUGCAUCAACUUUGUCAUAAAGUUGUAAAAUGAGUCCUAAAAAUGAUAAUAUUAGUCCUCAAAGCUGUAAAUGAGUUCUUAAAGUUGUAAAUAUUCUUAUUUACUACACAAGCUGUUAAUUAAAGUAGUAAUAUUAAUCUUUAAAGUGUUAACAUGAGUCAUUAAAAUGAUUAAAAAAAAAUUGAUGCAAUUUUGAGGACUGAAUUAUCGCUUUAAGGACACAUUUUACUACUUGAGGACUAAUGUUGUAAUGAAAAUUUUACAACUUUAAGAACUUUUUUUUUACAAUUUUAAGGACUCAAAAUACAACUUUAGGAACCAAUUUAACUUACUACUUUACGAACUCAUUUUUUAAUUUUAGGACAAAGUUGAUACAUGUCAUGCAUUAGCACACCUUAACCUUUACUUGGUAUCAAUUUGCAACCAAGAUCAAAAACUGAACCCCUAAAUUACACUAAAUGGCCCUGUCACAAAGAGAAUGAUCGAUGCUGGAAGCCGAAGCAGACGUCGCUGCCGCCCUGCAUACGAAACCAGGGUUUCGUUAUUCUCAACUCGGAGCGAAUUUCUCUUAAGAGUAUAAUUGUGAGUACUUGAGUUCUGUAAUUUCCAAACGAGGUCAAAAACUUAAUUUGCAACCAAGGUCAAAAACUUAAUAAUAUUUAGAGCAGAGAAUGACGCGCGUGUCUGAGUCCACACAUAAGAGCAACCCAACUUUUAAGGCAUAUUGUCCUUAUUAAACUAUAUAUAUUUUAGCUUUUAUUAUUUUAAUCAUUUUAAUUAAUGUGUUUAUAAGUUUUUUUUUCUUUUUUUAUCAAAAUGUGUUUAUAAGUUCUUAUCAAGCGACUAGAAAUUGUUUUUUUGUUUUAAAAGAAAUAUAUAUUUUGUUAAUUUAUCUAUGGCCAAAAGACACAUACAUCAAUUUGUCUACUUAUAAUUACUCAUCAAGUUGGCAACGUACAAGAAAUAACAACAUACGGAACCCUCAUUGUAAAAUACGCGUAAAUUAUAUAUAUAUAUACGUACCACGUACAAAUGACUUCCAACUACUCCUAUUCAACCCAGAAGACUAGAAUUACUCACACAUGAGGAAGACAAUAAAAGAAGUAAAAGCUCGUUACGUGCUCAACGCAUAACUCCAUUAAAAAUUUCUAAAUGUUCGUAACUUGGGAAUUAGUAGAGAGAGCAAUCAGUGAAAUAAAAGGAGAAAGGAAAAGAAGGGGGGAAAAAAUAAAGAGAUCAGUACAAGUAGCUAGCUUUCGUUUUUCUCCCAUUGAGAACUUCCUCAGAAGUUCCAACACAUUUCAUCCUUUGUGGGACAUGCAUACCACUUUCCCCACUGAACCAACCAACCAGCACCUGCACUUGCACUUGCACUUGCAGUGUGAAUUGAGUCCAAUCAGAUUUAUGCAGAAAACAAAGGCAUUUCUUUGCUGCUGUAAUUGUCUUUGCUAGCUAGCUAGGCCGAUAUGUUUAUUCCCCUUUCGUUUCAAUCAUCAACUUGGAAGGCAAACAAGAUGAGCAAAGCCACCACCACUACUACUCGACUACCACUCUUCGAUCUGUGCUGGCUUUGUCGAUCCAUAGAGUCCAUGCGCAUGUCCCUCGGAAAUGUGUCGGCCCAGGCAAAGAAGAGACGGACCAGUCACUCCUGUAUCGUACGAUCAAUAUCGAAUCGACGAAUUGAUCGCUAUCCGAUGUCGACGGAGAAUGAAAAAGAUGGUGUGUCGUCCCUGCUGUGAUUCUUUCUCUCGCAGGUGACGAAUCAUUUGAGAUGAUUGGGAGCUGAUUAGACCCCCAUUUGAGUAUCUACCUCUUUGGUGCUAGCUCCACUUGAUACAUAUGCAUGAUGAUCGAUCAUGAGAGUUCUAGCUGUAGACAUGUUCAUCUGGGAACCACACAUGCAUGCAUGAAUAUAUACUUUGACAUUAACUGAAAUGUAGAAUAUGUGGGAAUCACACUAAUUACUCGCCAGCUUUAGUCAAAUUAAGGGUGACUGCUAGUUACAGUGAAACUUAGAGAACCUUCCAUGGAGAAAGGAAGAGGCAUGGAAUAAUAAUCUGAAAUUAGUUGCAGAAUAUUGGUUUCAUUCGAUCAUCAACCUAGGGCUUGCUAGAAUCUCUCGUUUCAAAAAUUUUGAGAUCUUCUUUUGUUAGUUAAAGGUUAUGCUGCUUAUGCUGUGAUGCGAGGAGAAUUUCGAUAAGUACUGGAAGGUGGCUUAUGCUAACUCCACUGUGAAGUACGUUGGCCGCUUAUUCUAGAUUUGCUUACAUCUUGUAUUCUAUAUCAUCUGGAAUCGGAAUAUAUUUGCUGGAUUGGAUAGAAUCAUAGCUAGGAUCUUUACCUUAUUAUAUAUACAUAUGAUGGUAAUAUCGCUUAAACUACUCGGUUUCUACUCUAGUAAAAGCUUUUCAUUUUCAAUUUUGAUGAUAUAUGAAUAUAGAUAAAGACUUUAUCAAAAAUAAACACAGACACACACACAUAUGUAGCUAGCUAGGUUUCUCAAACCUAGUAAAAGGGUAGGGUUUUAUUGUUAAAAUGUGUCGAAAAUGGAAGAUUAAUAGGAGUAAUAGAUCGACGUACGGGUGUAGUUUUGAUCAAAAAUUAUUAUAUGGGGUGUUUAAAAGAGUGUGGAAACCCGUAGAAUAUUAUGUACACUCUAAUAAUUCAUGGCCUGAAUUAGCCUGAUAUAUCCAUAUAUGCAUAUAUGUAUAUUAUCAUUUGGCAUUCAAAAAUAUAGGAUUCGAAAAUGUUGUUUUGCCGGGACAAAUAAGCAUGCACAUCAUGAAACAUCAACCAGUAUUUGUUGGAUUGCUGGGCAAUAUAAUUGAUUGGUUCUAUAUAUUACUUUAGAAGAAAUGGGCUCUAUGUCAUCGAAAGCUUAAUUACUCCACCCUCACCACUUUGGUUACUUGAUUUCUCAUCAAUAAUGCGACACGUGUAUCCCACCUAGCUCCCUCUAAUCCAAUCGAACGAACAUAUAUGCAUGGCCGAUAUGCUAAUUAGAGUCACAAUUAUUGAAAUAAUUAAAUUAGAAAUUGAUUGAAUUAAUAUUUUGUUAUAUUUCGACAACAAGAGCAAGUGAAAACAUUUGUUGCUUUAGCGUGAGUCCUACGUAUGGGUGUCCUGAGGAGCUUGAUAGGCACGGAUGAGUUUGUAGAAACAUAUAUAUUCUAGCAAAAGUGAACUUCCAUAUGAUCAUGCAAUCGAGAAUCAGUUAUCUACAGAGGCCGAUAUAUUUCACAUCACACCGGGUAAGAUACGUCGAAACGUACAUUAGAUCGAGUUUGGUGAACAAUGACCAACCCUACGAUACGAAUGCAUAAAGGUAUAGGCAGCAUAUCAUAUUGGCAUGCAUUUGAGCCAUGUAUAAAGGAAACAUUGCUGGUUCUUAAAUUGUAGAUGCAUCUAAUUCUCUUAUUCAAGAUCGAUGUCACUGGUGUUCGGCUUCAGUUGUUAAUUUUUCAAAUUACUUUUUGAGUUUUUGAAGACGUGUGGGAACAUACAAUAAGAGAGAAAUGAUCGUAAGCUUUCUAUGAAGCUAGGUCUCACUCACUUUUAAUAUCUUGGACGUACAGGAGCAAAUUCAAACAGUGUAACGUUGAGUUCAUAAUAAAAACACGUACUAACCAAAUUCAAGCAUAUGUUGUUCAAAUAGUGUUAAUCAAUCCUAGCUAUAAACAUACGAGCAUCUAUAACACGGCACGAAUCCCUGCCUUAUAAAAUUCUUGUAAUGAAACUACACUCAGUUUCCAUUAUCACAAGAGUGUGAGAUAUAUAGGAUUCUCGUAGGAAUCUUGAAAGAGAUUUUGAAUAUAGAAAUAUGUAAAGGGAAGCUCCAUUUAUUUCCGACAAUGCAUGUUUGUAUAGUGGACGGUGAAUUCUCAAAGUUGAGAGAAGAUUAAAGCAGAGAGUGAUGUCGAAUGAAAUUUCGAAAGACAGACCAGUAACAGUGGAAGAGUAUAUUUUAGUACGUACAGUUCCCUCUCCCACUUAAUAUAAAUAUAGGUGAGCAUCCUUACUUCUCUCUAUAGGGAGAAAAACACACAUCCUCCUUCAAGUGUUCUUUCUCUCUCUCCAUAUCUCUGUUCUUUUUCUCUAACUCAUCACAUCUAUCUAGUUCUUAGCCAAAGGCUUUUCUCUGUUACACUAUAGAAAUGGAGAAGCCAACUUGUUUCAGCAACUUCCUUGAGAACUCAAAACCCUACUUUGCAAUGAUCUCGUUGCAAUUCGGCUACGCCGGGAUGAAUAUCAUCACCAAAGUUUCUCUGAACCGGGGAAUGAGCCACUAUGUGCUCGUGGUUUACCGCCACGCCUUUGCCACCGCCGUUAUAGCCCCCUUUGCUUUCUUUUUUGAGAGGUCUGAAUCAGUACACUGGCUCAUUCUUCUGAUUACAGACUUUCCAGUGAUCAAUAACUUACUUAGGCAGAUUAUGUUCGAUGAAUCCUUAAAUUUGCGUUUCUAAUAUUGCAGGAAAAAACAACCGAAGAUAACAUUCCCGGUUUUCAUGCAAAUAUUUAUCCUCGCUCUUCUUGGGUUAGUCCUUAACUCUUAUCCAUCAUUUGUGUCAUUAGACACUAUUGUUUCGUAAAACUAUUAACCGGAAGCAUGCUAAACUUUCCCGGCGUUUCAUUUUGCAGGCCGGUGAUCGACCAAAACUUCUACUAUGCAGGGUUGAAAUUUACGUCUCCAACAUUCUCUUGUGCCAUGAGCAACAUGCUCCCAGCCAUGACGUUUGUCAUGGCUGUCAUAUGCCGGUAAUUAAGCUACCCAAUUGGAACUCAAAUCCCUAUCCGUAUUCGUUUCUUUUUCAAAUUGCAAGAAUGAUCGAGUAAUAUAUAUGAGACUGAUUACUAGAAUCAUAUCGAUCUAUAGUGCAUAUUGAUCAAGAUGGACAAUCAAUCAUUAACCCCUUUUGGUUAUUAAACAAAUUUGGACCUACCUGCUGAUCAUACGUCAUAUAUUAACUAAUUUUUUUACUUUGAUUAUGGUGGAAUCGAACUCAAAAAGAAUGGAAAAGCUAGACAUGAAGACAGUGAGAUGCCAAGCAAAGGUGGCAGGAACCGUAGUGACAGUGGCCGGGGCCAUGUUGAUGACCUUGUACAAAGGCCCCAUCGUUCAGAUGUUGUGGUCUAAAUACAUUCAUCCCAAAUCAUCCUAUGUCACCGAUACCACCGGCACCGGCGACAAACGCUGGUUCUUAGGCUCCGUACUCCUCACCAUCGCCACUCUUGCCUGGGCUUCUUUGUUUGUAUUGCAAGUAAGUUCUUCUAUUGCCCUCCUGGUUACUUAUAUACUCUUAUAUAUAUUUUCAGUUUUGUUUGUUUUUUCGAAUGAAAAGUAAUUAACCGAAUUGUAUGUUACUUAUUGAUGACAAACACUAGAACAAGGCUUUGAAGACGUACAAGGAUCAUCAGCUGUCUCUGACAUCGCUAGUGUGUUUCAUCGGAACUCUCCAAGCCAUUGCGGUCACCUUUGUGAUGGAGCACAAACCCUCUGUCUGGAAAAUCGGGUUCGACAUGAACCUCCUUGCUGCUGCCUAUGCUGUAUGUAACUCCACCGAUCAAUCUCUCUUUCCAUUACCGUACUCUCUCACACGGUCUCUCUCAAUUAGUGACAUUUUUUAAUUUUGUUUCUAUAUGCAGGGGAUUGUGACAUCAAGUAUUUCAUACUAUGUACAAGGACUAGUGAUGAAGAAGAGAGGUCCGGUGUUUGCAACUGCUUUUAGCCCUUUGAUGAUGAUCAUUGUUGCUAUCAUGGGAUCCUUCAUCUUGGCAGAAAAAAUAUUUCUUGGAAGGUAGUUCCUCUGUUUCUUAUGUUCUUUUUGCAUGCAUGCAUUUUAUUUCAGCUUAAUUUAGUGGAAUUACUAUUAACAAUUCCGACAAGUCAAUCUACCUAGUUUAGUCUCCGUCCUUCUUUUAUAGUUCACUACUGACUAUAAUGGUGUUUUUUUUCCAGUGUUCUGGGAGCGGUGUUGAUUGUGGCCGGCCUAUACUCAGUCCUGUGGGGAAAGCACAAAGAAGGAUUGGAGAACAGAGACGAUGAGAUACCGGAGGCAAUAAAGGGAUGUCAUGUAAAUGGCACGGCGGUGGUGUCAGUCAUGGAUGGAAACGACGUUGAAGCUAAUCAAGUGAAGAAUGCAGAAGCUAACAAGCUCUCCUCAGUGGCUAUUUGUAUGCCCAUAUCAGAACUUCCCGUAGUGAAACCUGGGAAAUGAGGGGCUAGGGUUUUUUUUUGGUCUUGUCGAUCAGCUCCUCAUCAGAAUUUGUUUGAGUUUUUAAUAUAAAUUUUAUGGGGUUUUUGCUGUGCUGCAUGUUCAGUAUGUACUUAGUCAAUCUCUCAAAUGUUGUAAUGAUCGAGCUACCAUCGAGCUAAUUAUGGAAUUAAGAGAAUCUCAGAGCUAAGCGUUCUCUCUCUCUCUCUCUCUCUCUCUCUCUCUCUCUCGGUUCAAAAGAGUUGCUGACGUUUCUGACGCAGAUUCCACUAAUAUAAGUGGGUACUACCUGGAUUGUUGGACACUUAGACAUGUUGGGGUUAGGCAAAGUGUUGUCAUCUUGGCAUUUGUUCUAGCUCGGAAUCGAAAAUUCGAAAUGCACCCACCAAUCCGGCCACCAUCAUGAUCGAGUUGCUCCAAUGCUUUCAUAAAUGAUACAUUCCACUAGAAUAAAGUGGAGAAUAUAUAUAUAUAUAUAGUAGGGCCCUCCACGAGGGAUUUUUUUUUUGGUAUUUUAUAAGGAUAGCUGGACAGCCGUCAGAUCUGUUUUAACGAGAACGAAGGGCUCAGAUUAAGUCAAAAAUUCUGAACAUAUUAUCACCUUCUCUUCCUCGCCAAAGUCCAAACGCCCAAAUUCGUAACUACUGGGUUCACAAGAGUUCAUCCAAUUCGAUCGAAUCUCAAGCUUCUCUGCUUCAAAUCCUCCAGAAAUUAGCUGGGUUUUCAGGUGGGUUUUCUAUUUGUUUUGGGUAUAUAAUGUCUAAAGGGAAAUUGUCCUCUCUUGCCUCGUAUUUCAAUUCACUUGCAGCAAUUUUCUGGAAAAUUAUUCAUCAAUUCGAUCUCAAUUCAUGAGGGAGAAGUUCAUCUUUUCUGGUCUUCUUGACGAAGCUACAUACCAUAUUGAAUUUGCAUCUCAAUGCCUUCUCUUUCUUCAAAUCCUCUAGAAAUCAGUUGGGUUUUCUGGUAAAUGAAAGAGUCAACCUCGAGGAACAAGGAAGAAGCCCAUGGUUUCACCCAUGUGUGAAUGAGAACUGAAUCUGGCCUUGCAGUAUAAACAAACAGAGAGAACUGAAUCUCUUUCUUUUUUUCGUCCAAAACAAAAACCCAUUCUAUUCAUGCUGCCCAGAAAACUGAACUUCAUAGCUCAGUGUGGUCCUUAUAGCCUAAACUAAUCAACAAACUUUUUUGAUUAUGAAAUCAAAACUAAUAUGAACCUUCAUGAAACAAAACAAAACAAAAAACGGGUAUCAAUUAGAACCAUGGCAAUUACAGAGAGCAAAGGGAAUUGGGUUUGGAUCUGGAUGUUGAAUUGGGUUUUUUUUUUUCUUUUUUUUUUUCUAAAACGAUUCAGGAAUUGGAGAUUCUAACUCGACUCCGAAUCGCUCGCCGGAGAUCGUGAAUUUGGUGUUGCUGCCUCGAGCUCUCUUGAUCAGCGCCAGAAGACGAGGAGCGUCUUGGCCUUUCAAUUUUCAGAGGUAGAAGACGAGAACAAGUCGAAGCUUUGGUUUUCUCGUUCACAAAUGGUCGAAACCUCUUUUUUAAUCUGAGCCCUUCAUUCUCAUUAAAACAGAUCUGACGGCCGGCGAGCUAUCCCUAUAAAAUACCUAAAAAAAGGGAUCCCUCGUUAGAAGGGCCCUGUAUAUAUAUAUAUAAUUAUAUAUACACACACGAAUGUUUGUAUGCCCAAUUUGAACAGGACGUUUGUAACACUGAAAUCAAUUAGGGUUUCCAUUCUUUUUUUAAUAAUGUUAAUUAAGGGAGUGAAAUCCACUCCCUAAAUUGUAAUCCACACUUUAUAUAAUUAUUUUUGGUAACUUAAAUUUUAUUCUUAGUAACUUAAAUUUUAUUUUCUUAAAGCAUUUCCAACAGCUCACGUAAAACUAAAAUUAUAUAUAUUUUAGAGGAAAAACAUCAUCUUUUUUUGGCUCUAACAACUCAUGUAAAACAUCCUCUAUAAUACAAAAAGAGGAAAGAGAGAUUAACAUAUUCUCUAUAUUUAUAGAAUUCUCAAAAUUUGUAUAUUUUAUAGAGAAAUCUCUAAAAUUUAUUGUUUGCCUUUUAAAAAAAGAAGAAAAAAUAUCAUUAUAUCUCUAGAGAGUUGAAGAUCGGGAAAUUAAAGCAUGUGACAUGUGAUUUUGAUUUGAAUAAAUGUAUAGAUUCAUUAAAUUAUUAAUUUUGUAGAAUAUAAUGGAAGAGCUAUUGGAGUUGAGUUUUUUUUUUUUGUUGUUGAGGUUUUGUGAUUUCCACUCUAUAAUAGAGAAAUUAUACAAGAGUUGUUGGAGAUGCUCUUAAGAAAAUAAUGACUUAAAAUGAAAAGUGAGAAUGUGGAUUAUUACAAUUUAAGGAGUGUAAAUUUCACUUCCCUUAAUUAAUUGUCACAAUUUUUAUCGCAUGAUUUAUGUCUAUGCAUGCGUUAUGAAAUUUUACGGCGCUUUAUGACUAUGCAUGAGUCACUACAAAAUCAGUUAUGUGGUCCCAUGUUUCUGUACGUAGUGAUCUAAAAAUUUGCUUCUAAGAUAUUGAGUUAAAAGUAAUCAUCAAAUCGCAAAUCAUAGCUUAACAUAUCAAAGUAUUUGAACUAUACGGGCAGCAUACAUCAUAUUCAACUAGAUGUCAAAACAACUUCCUUGGAUGAGUUGAGAUCUUAAUUCCAGCAACGGUUUCAUUAUAUAGCUUACAACGAGAAUUCCUCUUUUUUUUCUGAUCUAGUUCCUUCACCAUCGCGAACCCGGUUAGAUUCAGGCGGGGAGUAGGAUCGUAUCAAUACAAUUUGAAGCUAGUAUAUAGCAAUAUGUAUAUUAUACAUAUUUCAUUUGGUAAACCAUGAAUCAUUUGAAUCUUGUGACAUUCAACCGGAAACCAACUAGAGAGUACUAGUCGAAAGGAAAUCCAACUAGAGUACAAAAAUCAAACUGUCAACGCAUUAGAGAUCGAAUCGAGCAUAUAUAGCUCAGUUUGUUAAGAAUAUAUAUAUUCGAUCUUGUAAUGCAUGAGUUUUUUUUAUCAUAUUAUAUAGUAUACUAGAAUUUUCCGUAAUGUAUAUAUUAUUUUCGAAUAAUUUGCUCUAAUUUCUCUCUACCGGGGGCACCUUUGCUUUGGGGGUGAUGAUUCUUUUGUUAACUCACGCGCACAGAAGCUACUGAUCAGUGGAAUCAUGCAUGCACUAGCUCUCAAGGAUUCUAUAUUCGAUAAGUUGCAUGUAUAAAUAUAUCUAAGAUUCCUACGAAUCAUAUCUUAUGCUACCAUCACAUUAAUUGGAGUUAUAUUCCUGGUUGUCAAACAAUACAUAAUUAAAAUCUUUCUUAUGCUACGUACGUACCAUCACUGGAUCGGACAACAUGACAAUCUCAUCAAUGUGGUAGAAAUUACGACUGAACGAUUAUCAAUUCAGAACUUGGUAUAUGGCAUCAAAAGAUACGAUGAUACUAUACGAAUAUCACGUGUAAUAAAACACUGUAAGUAAAACAAUAUAUUCCAAGACUAAUGAUGAUAAGCCUCCUGGGAUAUCUAUAUGCAGCAAAACAAUAUAUUCACUGAACAGUUAAAGUUGUGGUAAGAAAUUAUCCAAGAUUACUUGUUGGCAAAACUGAUCACUUAGCUAGAAUUUGACUUAUCUCUAUCAUCUCACUUCAAUUUACCAACGACAUGUAGAUUUAUUUUUUCACGUCUAAGUGUUAAAAUAAAAGGUAUGAAUAAAAGCUCCCACUAAAAAAACUCCAAUAAAAAAAAGAAACGAUGGUCUGUCCAUUGUGAAAAGACAAAUGCGCGCACCUGUUCUUAAUUGUUUUUACCUCAGAUGGCCAUAUAUAGUGGAUUGUAAUUACCACGAUAAUAUUGGAUGAUGAUGCAUGGUGAAUUAUUGACUGUCAUUUUCCUACUAUAACAACUAUUAUUUCAUUUUCAGUUCUCUCACUACCUGAACAGAGAACAUUAUAUAUAUAUAUAUAUAUAUAUAUAUAUAUAUAUAUAGAAGUUCUAGAAAUAACCAAAAGCCAACCAUGCAUUUUUAUCUUUUUUUGGUUACAACAGGAAACUAAAAGACCCAAAAACAAAAAGAAAAGAGACUAAAUACUGGAAUAAACUCCAGUUUCUCUAGCUCCUAAUUAACUACAUGUCAGAAAGAUCAUCUCAGUAACCAAGCUUGAGCCGCAUGAGCAAGAGGAUCAUCAAAAGCAAUCAAGCCUAAACCAAGGCAUCUGUAACCAUGUUUACAAUCUCUAAAAAAGUAAGACAGUCAUCAAUAGUAAUUGAGAAGUGCAUGUUGUGGUGGAUACAACGAUAAUUACAAGGGAAAAAGACCAUUUGCACAAAAUCAAAAAAAUCAAACCUCAUUCCAAUGAUAAUCUUUUUUGUUAGUCCACUUAAAUAUAAGGUACUUCUUUUAUGUCCAAAUGCACAAAUCUUUAUUAAAAUCUUAAUAUAAUAAUAAUUUUGAAGACUUUUUUACCCUUAGUUUUAAUUUAAGAGAGAAAGUGGAAGAGAGGGAGGGAAAACUAUGUCGGAAGCACACCAGACUCCGGCCGCUGGACUCUGGACACCGGCUGCCGGAUUCCGGUCACCGACCGCCAAAAAAUUUCUGACCGCCGGAAAAUAGUCGGAAUCUCACGGGAUUUUUUUAAGAAAAAAUGUUACCGGAAUCCAUCAAAUCUUACCGGAAGUAUACCGGCAAAAAAUCCCCUAGUAAACUAUUACUGGGGGUAGUAAAGUUGCAAAACAGUAUCUCCAAUGCAAUAAUACACAUUAAAACAAAGAAAAUUGACUCAGAUAUGAAAAAAAUAAAGUUUAACUGGGGGUAGUAAAUUUUCAUUAAAGUUUACUACCCCUAGUAAACUUCAACUGGGGGGUAGUAACAUGCAAAACAAUAUCUCCAAAGGUCAUAAUACACAUUAAAACAAGAAAAAAAAUCAACUUAAAUGCAAAAAAAUAAAGUUUACUGGGGUAGUAAAUUUUUCAAUAAAGUUUAUUACCCCUAGUAAACCUCUACUGGAGGUAGUUAACUUGUAAAAUAGUAUUUCCAAAUGUCAUAAUACACAUUAAAACGGAGAAAAAUCAACUUCGAUGCGAAGAAACAAAGUUUACUGCCCCUAGUAAUCUUCUAUUAGGGGUAAUACUAGGAGUAGUAAACUUGUCGUACAACAGUAUUAGUGGUAAAGAAAGAGAGAACAUAAAGAAAAGAUGAGAAAAAAGUGUUGUUAAACCUAAUAACAAACUUAUUACCUCUAGUAAUAUAUUUUUCACUCUAACUUUUCACUUUUCUGCAAAACUUUAUCCCCUAGUAACUUCACUUUAAUUAGAGACGCAGUCGUUGUUUUCCAAAAAUGCUGUGCAACCAAGCAAGAACGGCUGCGCCAGUGAGUUGCGUGACGGAGAUCAGAGAUCGGCUCACAUUUCCGACACCUCUGGUUUUGAUGGUUAGAGAUCGGAGCUCCACUGCUCGACGCGACCGCGCUGGUGAAGAAGCAUCGAUGAAGCUUGUGCUGGAGUCGGCAGAUCUGAGAACUUUGCUGGCGGAUCUGAGAACGUUGCAGGCAACCUCAACCUCGUCAGUGGCGGAGGCGCGUUGGAGAUGUGAGAAAGAGGACAAAUGGACUCGAUGACGUUGCAGGUGGAGGAGAUCGGGUGCGGUCGAGUUCGGCUAUGAGGCCGACGAAGAUGAACGGCGGAGCUUUUUGGAGAGAGAGAGAGAGAGAGAGAGAGAGAGAGAGAGAGAGAGAGAGAGAGAGAGAGAGAGAGAGAGAGAGAGAGAGAGAGAGAGAGAGAGAGAGAGAGAGAGAGAGAGAGAGAGAGAGAGAGAGAGAGAGAGAGAACGAACGNNNNNNNNNNNNNNNNNNNNNNNNNNNNNNNNNNNNNNNNNNNNNNNNNNNNNNNNNNNNNNNNNNNNNNNNNNNNNNNNNNNNNNNNNNNNNNNNNNNNNNNNNNNNNNNNNNNNNNNNNNNNNNNNNNNNNNNNNNNNNNNNNNNNNNNNNNNNNNNNNNNNNNNNNNNNNNNNNNNNNNNNNNNNNNNNNNNNNNNNNNNNNNNNNNNNNNNNNNNNNNNNNNNNNNNNNNNNNNNNNNNNNNNNNNNNNNNNNNNNNNNNNNNNNNNNNNNNNNNNNNNNNNNNNNNNNNNNNNNNNNNNNNNNNNNNNNNNNNNNNNNNNNNNNNNNNNNNNNNNNNNNNNNNNNNNNNNNNNNNNNNNNNNNNNNNNNNNNNNNNNNNNNNNNNNNNNNNGUAUAUAUGCUGAUUUUGAGUUUUAUUUGAGUUGAUCGAUUUUGAGUGUGAUUGAAUUAAUAGAUUUUGAGUACGUUGGAUGUAUAUAUAUAUAUGUUGAUUGAUUUGGUUGAUGAUUUGAUAAUAUAUAUGAAGUUGUUGUUAAUAAGUAGUAGAUAUAUAUAUAUAUGUAUGUUAAUUAAUUUAUAAUAUUGUGUUGAUGGUAUGAAGUUGUUGAUGAUAUGAGUUGAUGAUGAUUUUGUGAUGAUGUUCAUAUAUAAUAUUGUUAUGAGUUGAUCGAUUUGGUUGAUGAUUUGAUAAUAUAUAUUGUGUUGAUGGUAUGAAGUUGUUGAUGAUGAUUUUGUGAUGAUGUUGAUAUAUAUAAUAUUGUUAUGUAAUUAUGAAGUAUAUAUAUAUGUGUGUUAAUUAAUUUGUUAUCAAUUAGUUGUAUUACGUAGAAUAUAUACUAAAUGAAUUGAAAUUUUAUAUAUGGCAUAGAAUUUAAUUCAUAAUUAGCUAGCGUUAUACAUAUAUAUUUUGUUAUAUUUUCAGGAUAUGGAUAAGAGUUGAAUUUCGUUUCUAAAAUGGGACAAAAGAUAUGGUAAAGGACAAAAGAGUUUUCUGGAAUAUGCGCUGGCUAAUGCUAACGGGAAUACAAUUUUCUGUUGCCCGUGCACGAAAUGUCAGUGUUGCAAUAAUAUGCAUCGAUUUGCGAUUGACAAAGUAUGGCAGCACCUGAAGAGUAACGGGUUUUGGGAGAAGUACACAUGUUGGUUAUAUCACGGUGAAACAUCAUCAGGGGGUCCGCAUGAUCAUGGGCAAUUUUCUGAGACGGGCAGUACAUCCAACGAUGCAACAACGGCCUUAAUCAACGACAUGUUUUCUUAUGAGAGCGGUGUAUGCGCUCAAGGACAGUGUAUGCCUGAGCCGGUGCAGCCCUUCCCUAGAGCUGUCAACACUGCUGGUAUUGACAAGUACAACAAACUGCUUGCUUUCCAACAGACCCUUGUGUACCCCGGUUGUCAGAAAACCGUUCUUGAAAGUGUGAUGGACGUAAUGAAGAUUAAAGUUGAGACAAAAUCGACCGUGAAGGCUGUUGAUGAUUAUCUACAGUACACUUCUUCGAUACUGCCCCACGGUCAUCGUCUUCCUUCCACUCAUCAUAAAGUUCGAUGUAUCCUGAAAGAUCUUGGGCUUUCCUACAUCAAGAUUCAUGCAUGCAGAUAUGACUGCAUUCUCUUCUGGGGUAAAGAUCCAGAAGGGAAUGACCUUGGUGGCCUUAACGCAUGUCCGGUAUGUCACACUGACAGGUAUAAGCUGACUCCUGCAGGCAAUAGGAAACCUGUGAAGGUACUUCGGUAUUUCCCGUUGAGGGAUAGGCUGGAGCGGUUGUAUAUGUCUUCACACACGGCCGAAGCUAUGAGAUGGCACGCUGAUAGGGAAUUGCAUGACGAAGAUACCCUUAUACACCUUGCUGACGAGGAGGCUUGGAAACAUAUAGACAGGGAGUUUCCUCAUUUUGCGUCAGAGAUCCGAAAUGUGAGGCUCGGGCUCUCAUUCGACGGGUUCAACCCUUUUGGGAACAUGAGUCUUCAAUACAGUGUAUGACUGGUGAUUUUGGUACCGUACAACCUUCCUCCAUGGAUGUGCAUGAAGAAGGAAUACAAUAUGUUGAGUUUGUUGAUUCCGGGGCCCGGUUAUCUAGGGAAGUGUCUCGAUGUGUAUUUGAGACCUUUGAUUGAAGAGCUUAAGUUUUUGUGGGACGUUGGUCAUCCCACUUAUGACAAGUACAAGCACGAGAUGUUCCAGAUGCAUAUCAUGGUUGUUGGUACCAUCAGUGAUUUUCCUGCUCGUGGGAUGUUGUCGGGCAACGUUGUUAAGGGAUACAAGGCUUGUCCAGAGUGCCUUAGCGAUGAGGGGAGCACAUUGCAACAAGAUAUGCAAAUUGGGUCACCAUACUCUCCUUCCAUAUGAUCACGAAUGGCGGUUUGAUGCACAAGCAUUUGAUGGGACCGUAGAAAAAGGUGUGCCUCCCAGAAGAUGGACGGGGGAAGAAAUUUUAGCAGUGCUUAAUGAGUACGAUUUAGGGCAGCUCAGUAAUCAUCUAAUAUUGUGGCGGCAAUAUCUGAAAGACCCGACAUGUACAAAUUCUGGACACAUAAGAGCAUAUUCUGGGAACUCCCAUACUGGAGUAAGUUGUUGAUCAGACAUUACCUAGAUGUGAUGCACAUAGAAAAGAAUGUUUGCGACAGUGCAGUGGGCACAGUGCUGAACUUGGAGGGGAAGACGAAAGACGGUCCUAAGGCACACAUUGAUCUAAAAAAAAUGCAAUUAAGAAGACAUCUGUAGUUGAAAGAAGGAAAGAAAAAAAUGUCUCAAACUCCUUACACCGUGAAGCCUGACCAGAAGAACGUAAUUUUCAAGUUGAUGAGUUGUGUGAAGUAUCCUUCAGGCUAUGCAGGAAAUAUAGCCCGGUGUGUGAACUUCCGGGACAAUAAGAUGUACGGGUUGAAGAGUCAUGACUGUCAUAUCCUGCUACAACGUCUCUUCCAUAUUUUCAUUCGACCGUUCCUUCCCCGUCUGGUGGUGGAGCCGUUAGUAGCGUUGGCAAGAUUCUUCCAGAAGUUAUGCACACGGGAAGUGAAAAAAUUUAACCUCCGGGAAAUGCAAGAGGACAUCAUUUAUAUCAUGUGUAAAUUUGAGAAGAUAUUUCCUCCAAAUUUUUUUGACAUCAUGCCUCACCUGAUGAUCCAUCUUCCCGAGCAAUUGUUGCUUACCGGUCCAGUACACUACACUUGGAUGUAUCCCAUGGAAAUGUACGUUUUUUACACCUGAAUUGCUCAAUAUAUAUACAUGUUCAAUAAUCAUAACACUUUGCAACUUCAUUUAUAGGCAACUUGGAAACUACAAAGAUUAUGUGGCUAAUAAAUCCGCGCCAGAAGGAUGUAUAGCUGAAGCAUAUAUUGCGCACGAGUGCGUCACCUACAUGAAAUUGUAUUUAGGAGCGUUGAAGGAAACUCCGCAAACCAUACCGGUAGAUGUACCGACGUUCAAUCUUUCCAUACUCUCCAGUGAUGUUGAAGUUUAUGGAAUUUUGUCAGACUCCUAUAAGUUGCAACCACAUGAGCUAGUCAUUGCCCACUGGUGGGUAUUGAUUAACUGUCCAGAAGUUGAAUACUGAAAAGACAUCCAUCUAUAUUAUCCAAGCAUUAGGUGAUGUCGAGUACCAUAACAGAGAGUUCGCAAACUAUUUUCCCGGCUGGGUACGUAAUUCAAUAUUUAUGUACGUGUUUAUGUUUAUUGUAUAAUUAUCCAUAUUUACAGUUGAAUGGUUGGUUGCAGAUUAAUCAUAUUCAAUUUGAUGGUCACCCAAAUUGGUCGCACGAACUAAGACUUCUAACGAUGAAGCCGAUAAUGUCAAGAGUUUAUCUGAUGUGCAAGGUGAAUGGCGUGCAAUUUAUAUGUGAACAGAGAGACGGCAGACGGAGAACACAGAAUUCUGGGGUGAUGGCACAUGGUGGGCGGAAUGGAGUUGACUAUUACGGUGUUCUCCAUUCAGUGGUGGAACUCAUUUAUGGGCAAGGCAUGACAGUGCACCUCUUCAAGUGUAGAUGGUUUGAUACUAGGCCGCAGAGCAUGAAGACCGAUCAGUACGGAAUAUUAUCGGUGAACACUGCUACAAGUUGUUACGAAAAUGACCCGUUUUUUUUUGCCACAUCGGUAAAACACUUGUUUUACCUUGAUAACCUUGCUAAGGGUGACGCGUGGAAAGUAGUCAACCUUGUGCACCCUCGAAACAUUUACCGGGCGGCUACUUGGAGAGGCCGAAGACUAGGAAGAAGGUGUUAAGUAUUAAGAGCCCAACGCAAUAGGUAUUCCUAACUCCUCUACCGUUCGCCUUAAUAAUUUUAAAGCGGGUCGUUCGAUGCUUAUUGAUGUUGAUCCAAAUCAAGAAACAGACGAAGACUCUGGCGAUGAGGAAAUAGAUUACCAGAAAUUAAUUCUGACAUUGAAGAAGACUCAUCGGAUGAUUCCGAGUACGAGCCUUAGUUUUAAUUUAGAGGACGUAAUACAUUAAUUUGUAAUAAAAAAGAAUGUAUUACCUUUAUAGUUUAUAUAUGUUGAAUUCAUAUUUCUGUUAUUUUAUAUGAAUUUUGGUGAUAUGUGAACAGGAAGUGAGUAUGGUUUACACUAAAACUUCAGUUUUUUUAAUGUAUUUUUUAUACUUUAGCCGACGAAAUACACCAUAAUUCGUCGGCCUAAACCAUCUUAGCCGACGAAUUAUAUUAUAAGUCGUCGGUUAAGAUCAGUUUAGUCGACGAAUACCCUAAUAUUUUGUCGGCUUUAUUUAUUUUUUUAUUUUUUAUUACAUACUAUAGCCGACGAAUAUAUUAGGGUAUUCGUCGGCUAAACCCUAAAAUUUUUCUAUUACAUACUAUAGCCCUAUCUUCGGUGGUUAUUUUCCGUAAAAUUUUUUAUACGACUUGUUGCGUCUCAUCGAUUUGAAACUAUUUUCAGUUGAAAGUCCGGCCAAAAUACGAAAUUUAGACGGUACAAUGACCUUUUCUGUGCAUUUAGGGGUUUGACUUAUGGGAUUGACCGUCCGGAUCGAGCUCUUAACCUUGUCGGUACGGGUUGAAUUUUUGCCCAUACAUGUAUUUUGUCAUGUAUUCUGACGGUCGGAUUUCUGUUUCUCAAGUUUGAUCAUCACAAUCACAACAUGUCUACUAAUGUUGUAUAACUUGUUUACCAAGUGUUAAGUAAAUGUUCCGUUUCAAAAACAAACUAUACGUAAAACCUUCAAACGCAAAAAAGUCAUGAAAUAAGAUAUGACCAGAAUGGUGAAAUACGUCCACGGAUGAAAAAUCACAGUAUUCCGGUAAAGUUUCGGUGCCGAUAAUUGCGGUCAAUGUAAUUUUUCAUUCUUUCUCUCUAUGAGUAGCCCUAUCUUCGGUAGUUAUUUUGCGUAAAAUUUUUAUACGACUUGUUGCAUCUCAUCGGUUUGAAACUAUUUUCAGUUGAAGGUCCGGCCAAAAUACGUAAUUUAGACGGUCCAAUGACCUUUUCCAUGCGUUUAGGGGUUUGACUUAACGGAUUGACCGUCCGGAUCGAGCCCUUAACCUUGUCGGAUUAAGUUGAAUUUUUUCUCAUACAUGUAUUUUAUCAUGAUGGUCAGAUCUGACGGUCGGAUUUUCGUUUCUCAAGUUUGAUCAUCACAAUCACAAUUUGCCGAAUGUAUAAAAAGUACUAUAGCCGACGAAGUUUAAAGGUUUAGCCGACGAAGUUCAAAGAUUUAGCCGACAAAUUUCAAAGGUUUAGCCGACGAAUUUGAUCUUAGCCGACGAGAUUAUUAUCUUAGCCGACGAGAUUAUUAUCUUUAGCUGACGAAAUAAUAAUUUCGUCGGCAAAAGUUAUCGGGUAUAGAAACGAACACCCAGUGCUCGACAGUAGAAAAACCCUAGCCUCCUCUUCCGCCUCCUCCGCCUCCUCUCCCUCUCCCUCUCCCGNNNNNNNNNNNNNNNNNNNNNNNNNNNNNNNNNNNNNNNNNNNNNNNNNNNNNNNNNNNNNNNNNNNNNNNNNNNNNNNNNNNNNNNNNNNNNNNNNNNNNNNNNNNNNNNNNNNNNNNNNNNNNNNNNNNNNNNNNNNNNNNNNNNNNNNNNNNNNNNNNNNNNNNNNNNNNNNNNNNNNNNNNNNNNNNNNNNNNNNNNNNNNNNNNNNNNNNNNNNNNNNNNNNNNNNNNNNNNNNNNNNNNNNNNNNNNNNNNNNNNNNNNNNNNNUUGUAUUUAGUAUUUAAGAAGUGUAUAUUUGUAUUUAGGAAGUGUAAAUUUGUAUUUAGGAAGUGUAUAUAUUUUUUUGUUGACUAAUUGAAUGGGUUUACAUUGUUUGAUUUUGUGGUGUUGUUACGAAUAUGAAAAUAAGCAUGAAACUGACUUCAUCUUCUUAUCAUGAAAUAUAAAUCUAAAAGUUAGGAGCUUAAAAAAUUAAUUUUUAAAAGUUACAAAUGUAAAUUGUUUUUUUUCAAAAGGCUGACGCCUUGGUGAGGCUCUCGCUCCAUAGCCUCGGCUACGCCUUAGCCUUUUAAAACAUUGGCCUUGAUUCAAAUUAAUAUUUUAAACAGGAUGAGCAGUAAUAUUAGAUCGACGAAGAGUUCAAAGGGCCAAAGAUCCGAAUCGUCUGAGGGAACCUCUAGCAACCCUCAAACGUCGUUUCAGGGCCCUAUGAUAGCCAGACGUGCCAGCCUUCUGCAGACGGCGCAAAGGCAGCCGGAGGUGCCCCAUUCAUCGAGGCAGCAGGGCGUCCCUCAUUCCUCGAGGCAGUUGUGGCCUCAGACCCAGACGAAGGUGUCUGCACCCUGUAUGCCUGAGAUACACCGGGCGCCCACUCUAGGUCCUACUUCUUCGGAUAGUGGGUCAUCUGGGGUACAGAUGCCGCCGCUUCAUCUGUUCCUUCCGCGGAUGAUACCGGCCUUACCUGUAGUUGAUGGCUCAGGGACUCCGAUUUAUCCACUGCCCCCGCCAGUGGCUCCAUCAGCGGCGUACCGGUUCGUGCCUUUUGAUACGCCUCUUAUUUCCGCGAGGGUAUCAUCAUCGGCGACAGAGACGGAAUCAGUCGCGUCCGCCGCAUCGCCCUCAGGUAAUGAAAGAUGAAUGAUUUGUUUUCUUAUAAUUCUCCGAUUUUAAUAAUCAAUUUGGUUUAUCAUGUGAUAGGCACCGUUGGAGCGAAGCCGGCAAAGAAGAAGAGAGACCCCGUCACAGGGAAGGCUCUCUAGAAGAUCGUCAGUACCUCAGGGAGGAUAGUCAUCCGUACUGACGGGGAUGGCGACAUAGUAUCGGGCGGGAAGUCGAAGACGUACUCGGCCGCGUGGGAGCGCUCAUUAGGGAUAGAGUCCCUAUGUUGUGGUCAAACUAGGAUGAGGUCCCGCAGGAGGUUAAGGACAUGGUCCACAACGCGAUGUCGGUGAGUUUACAAAAUACCUCGAUAAUAUUAUGUAUUACAUUGUUGAUUUCUUGAAAAACUAAACUAAUAAACGGUUAAAUGCAGGUGUGGUUUGAGGUUCCCGAGCACCUGAAGAGCAGCUGGGCGGACGUGGUGCAUGGGGGAAGGUACGUUGGGAAGUUAAUGAAAAAACAAAAUUGUAUGUGAUAUUAAUAAUAUUUCUAAUAUUUUUGUUGUAUUUGUAGGUACAAGGAGUGGAAGAACGAGUUGUGGACCCACUGGACUACGCACGGGAAUGCACGUUCUGGUACCCCUGUUGAGUUCCAGUACAAGGAGUACGAGUGGUGUUGGCUUCUGACAUCAGAAUUCAAUAACCCUCGUAAACAGGUAUUUAAAAAAUUAAUUAGUUAAUUUGUCAUUAAGUACGUGCGUUUUUAAAUAUUUUACUAAUAGUUUAGUUUUUUCUUUGAAGGCCAUUUCUCGGCGAACGCUCAGAACCGGCAACGCAACACAAGGAACCAUUGUGCCGGUUCUAGACCGUUCGCUGUCUUCAUGGACGAGGCGGCCAUGGAACAUCCAGAAGUCAACCAGUAUGUCUAUACGUACGAGAAGACAUAUCCUGACGCCCAGGAGGAUAUUGUAAGUUAUCUUACGUUUUAAAUUUUUAAUUUUACUUAUAUAUAUGUCAAAAUGUUAAUUAAUAAUUUUUUUCCUAUCCAAUUAGGCGAAGGUAAGGGAGGCUAGUGACGAGGUGAUGAGUGCUAUAGUGAGAGAGACAUGGCCGGACACGCAGGAGGAAGAGAUGUCCGAAGCCAUGUCCCGGAUCGACACUUCGAAUCCGAUGGUUGGGGCGAGGAUCAUGGGCACAACCUUCCCACCGCGAGCAAAAAACUUCUACUGCCGAGGUCUAGGAAAGAAGGGCGAGGGGGUCCUGAAGACCACUCUAGGAUUUCAACGAAAGACAGCCUCGACCAGCAGCAGGACCACGACCACGACCACCAGGACUACUCAGCUAGAAUCGGAAGUUCAGAGACUACAGGAACAACAAGCUGCUCAGGCUGCCUAUAAUGCCUUGCAGGUAGCCUAUAAUGCCUCGCAGGCAGCCUAUGUUGCCGAGAUACAUGCUAUCCAGCAGGCCCAGUAGCAGCAGAUGUUCUAGUACAUGCAGGACUUUACAGCUGCCCAGCUUCAGGGACUUCCGGCUCCACCCAUACCUACGGCUAUACCGCUACCCCAGCCGCCGCAACCUCUGCAACAGCCCCCAAAAGCGGAUAUUAAUUUAGACGAUCUAGAUUUUGUGUAGUUGAUGAAUUAUAUAGUUUUAUGUGCUUAUUGUUGUUGUUGGUUAUAUGAAAUUGUUUUGGUGUAUUUUGCAGCUUGUUUGGAAUGGUAAUUUAGAAAUUUCGGGUUUUUUUUUUUUUUACUGGAAUGGACUUAUAGCCGACGAAAUACGCAAUAAUUUGUCGGCUAUAGUAUUUUAAAUUUUUUUAAAUAAGGUUUAGCCGACGAAUUAUGGCAUGUUUCGUCGGCUAAACCCUUCUAAAGCCGACGAAACAGACUAUAUUUCGUCGGCUUUAGUUAUUUUUUAAUUUUUAAUUUCACACUUUAGCCGACGAGUAUCUUAAAUGUUUCGUUGGCUAAAGUCUGAGGAAAAUCCGACGACAUGUUUUUCGUCGGCUAAACUCUUGGACUAUAGCCGACGAAUAUCUUAAAUGUUUCGUCGGCUAAAGUCUGGGAAAAAAACCGACGACAUGUUUUUCGUCGGCUAAACUCUGGGACUAUAGCCGACGACGUAUUGUAGUUUCGUCGGCUAAAGUCAUCGCCGACGACCUUUUCCUGACGAAAUCUUAUCCGACGAACCUUUAUCGGCUAAGAUCUUAGCCGACAAAUUAAGCUAACAGGCCGACGAAACUUUUUCGUCGGUUAAAAUGCUUGUCCUGGUAGUGAACUGAGAGAGGAGAUAAGAGAGAGGAUGAGUGGUUGGAAUUAUAUGAUAGGUACAAAAGUCUUUCCAUCCAAAAUAAUUGAGAUGGACAUUAGAAAAAUGUUUUUAUUGAUUUGGGCAAUAAGACCUAGACCUUUAAAUUAGUACCAAAGUGACAUUUGCUCUAAUUACAAAUCAUCAACUAUUGAUUAAUUAAUUCAAUUUUAUGGAUUUUAUUACGAAUCCGAGUAAAUAACUUAAUAAUUAGGAAUCUUAAAUCUUGUUGAUUCUAUUCAUCCUAGAAAUAAUAGAUGUGUAAGAUUGUAUGUUACAUCGUCAAUUUGGGCUGGCCACUAAUCAUUCAUUAUUAUGUAAAAGCAACCACUAAUAAUGUCUAAUGUAUUGCUAAGGUUAAAGAUAUUGCAGAACUUCACUUAAGGAAAGCCUCAUAUUCGAAUCUUAACAAUUUGAAUAAUACUCUCAAGUCUCAAUCAACCCUACGUACGCAUCAACCCCUCCACCUAUUUUGAUUAUUCAGAUUUGAUUCAAAUCCACCACUUUGUGAGCAGAAAGUAUGCAGAUAGGCAUGCACUAACUAAAUGAUUAACAUUUUGCAUUUCUUUUUCAAAUGUUAUCCGAAUCCAGAUUCUUGGUUUGCUUGUAAAAAACAACAAAAUUGCAUGAUUUGCACUAUACGUACGUGUAUUGCAACUAUGUCUUCCCAAAACUGUCGCUUCAUUCUGAAAAUGCCCCGGCCCGUUGUGUAUUGGUGGUACUGAUUCUAAUAUCCUAUGCUUAAAAAACUUUCAAAAAAUUAUAUAUGUAUACAAGAAGAUCAUGGUUUCAGAAUAAGCUUGUGUUGAUCUUGAAAAAUGUUCAAAUAGAGGACAUGAUGAUGUCAUAAUGCUAAUCCUACUCAUGCAUCCAAUAGAAGGGAGGAACCAAAUAUAGAUUAUAUGUCAAUUGCUCAUAUUAUAUGAUGGCUUUCAAACAAGUUUAAUCUACAUGACAACCACUAGGCUGCUUAAUCAUAUGCAAAAACAUUUGUUGAUUCUCCACAUAGAAAUAUCUUCCUUGUGCUACUACUUUUCAUGCACUUUGUUUGUUCCAUAUCAUGGAGACACUCGGCAGUCCAAACUCUAUCCAAAUACUAUCUAUGUGGCUUCUACUUCAUUGAUAAUAUAUAUUCGAUUCAUAUAGUCUGUUUAAUUUUGAUGUCAUUUUCGGGUUUCAAGUUUCCUUUUCUUCAUAAAAUAAAUUAGCUUUUUAUGGCCAACACAGAUUAUUAAUAAUAUAUACUAUUUACGAAGAAAUUGACGAAGAGUAAUCUGUGUUGACCAUAAGAAAACACAGAUAGUAUCCAUGAAUGCCAUUCUUGGCACAAUGUCGCUUACAAGUCUUUACUUUCACCUUCACGCAUCAAAAUUAUUAAACACCACCUCAUGUUAUUCAUGCAAAAGAGUAUCUGGUCAAUAUUACCUGAUAAAAUGCAAACUUGUUUCAUUCCAACUGAAAUUUCUUUAGCUCUCCUAAUAAUAGAUAGAUACUACUAUAUAGGCGGUGACUCAAUUCCUUUCUACCCUUUCACCAAAUCAUUUACACUCUAAUCUUAUAGAGAACCAAUCAUCUUUACCCUAUGUUUCAACAAGUAAACUAGUGAACCUUGAUGAACAUGUCUACAAGCUACUCAGAGAGAGGCCUCAAUUUCUCCGAGAGAUAGAAUCAUCCUUUGGAAGAGCAACAUAGUUAACAGGUGUCAUGUUGGCCCUCCCACUUUCUCUGCGUUCUUUUCCAGCUGACACUCCAUGACGGCCCAAAGGGGUACCUGUACGACGACUAAUUGGGGUCCCGAAAUUGGUAUUAGCAUUGGUGCUUUGACCCAAUGGCUUCUUUGUAGACGGCCUUGAACCGAAUAGUGCCUCCUGUUCGGUAGCAUGUUGUUCUUGCAGACGUUUUUGCUCCUGUAAAGAUUCAACCAGAGGCCAGUUAACUUUCUGCUAAAAUAUUCUUAAAGGUCAAAUUAUGUCGCACUAUCAGUGCAGAAAUAACACCGAAUCAGCGGAGAUGAAUCCAAACAGAGGAAUUAAUAUUAAGAUCAUCAUAGAAGAUCUUUUCCCUAAUGGAGGACAUAAAAUCACUGAGUUGUUACAGAUAAAUGAGAUUAUAUAAACUUCCACAUGCAAUGGUUGCACUUGCACCAGGCAUUAAAAAGAAAAAUCACCAAAAUAAGCAAUGAAAAUACUUGAUCUAAUUGUUUCAUCUGCAUAUUGGCAAAAGGGUGAGAAAAAGUAGCAGGUCCAAGCAUACCCGAGAUUUACGCUUUUCCUCCUCUCUCUCCUGUCGUUGUGCACUGUACUCCUCCACGAUAUGUAACAGGCGAACCUGGAAUUCACAAAACAUUGUGUUCUUCAGAAGACUGGGAACAAAAAAAUUAUACAAAAAGAGAGAUAACAUUGAAAGCAUAAAAUAUAUAGGAUCACCUUGUCGUAUAAGAAAGGGACUCCUUUCUCGCUCUCCCAUGCUUUAACUCUGGCAAUCAAAUUUUCGAUGAUAGCUAGAGAAAAAAGUUUUUGUAGUUAAUAGAGAAAAUUUAAAUCUUUACUACUGAAUACAUACAUAUAGUAACAGAAAAUGCAGGAACUAGACAAUGGUAAGGUGUAUUUGACUUUUUGUUGAACCCACUUUCAGUUACAUGACACUUUGAAGAAGGCAGCAAACAAUCACACACAGAAUGAGGUUUAGUGAGUUAUUCGGAUUUUCCAGAUAGAAGUGCCUCCUAAAAAAUUCUAUGCUCCACCAAGAUCCCUCACUUCUACCAAUUACUACAUUCAUUCUCAUACUCCACAAUAUAUUCAACUUCUGCAAGCUGUGGAAUCUAUUGCAAAUUGCAAAAGAAGGAUGUUAGGCCUGAGGAGCAUGGCUAUCCCAAGAGUUUCAGAAACUGCAUUGGUGUGUGUGUGUGUGUCAGAGCGUAACUGUAUUACAUGUUUAUGGGAAGUAUGUAGUAAAUACAGUUACACUCUCAACAAAGCUUACUCCCCUCCCAACAAAUUAAGUAAAUAAGCCAUACAUACAGAGCUCUACCAUUUUUCAACGUUAACAUUAACAUUCCAUUAACUUCCAGACACAUCAAUUCACUGAAAAUAUUAGGAAAAUCUAUUGCAGCUAAGUAUUUCUAGCAUCUCUUUUUGUACCAAGAAUACAACAAUAACCCAAAAGUUGUUGCACACCCAAUAAUGCAUAUACUAAUUGGACUAUUUGGUUAUCAGUUCUGAUGGCAUAAAUAAAAGACACCCUUAUAGUUAGUAAUUCACUCAGCCUAGUCCAUCUCAGAAAGGGAGAUCAGAUACAAAAGGGAAUCAUCAAGUUAUGAAAAUUAGGUAUAAACGGGGAAGAGUCCAAAGGUUAAGGGUUUGUUUCCCUCGGAUACCCAUGGCUGGGUAUGUCAUGUCACUUAAAUACAACUUUUAAGCUAAAGAUCUAAGUAAAUAUAAUUCAGCCUCCAUAAACCAACUGCUAUCUCUUUAUUUGCUUCUCAAAGCAAUUUUCAGUUAUUACCAGUCUAGUGAGCCCAUACGUGUGAUUCUUGAGAUUAAGUUUUAACAAACUGAUGUCUGGCAAAACUUUUUACUCUAUGAGCUCCUAGCUUUCGAUGCUUUAGCAGUUCAGCCUUAGAAUUCAGUAGGUCUUAGAAGCAUGACAUCCUUCCUGAAUGGGAGGGGAAACAGUCUUAUAUAAUGUGGCUCCUGUGGUUGGUACCCUCCUCUUAAAAUUAAUCGAAGAAGAGUACUCUUCUAGAAAAGGAAAGGAUAGGACAUUCCUUCCUAGUCAGUUCAUAGAGUGAUACUUUCAUUGGACAAAAAGGUUAGCUUAUGUAGAAAUUAAACUAUUAAGUAUAAACUAGGGGUUUACUGCUUGCAUCAACCACAGAGACAAUUUUCCAACAUGAACAGUAAGCAUAUUCCUUUUCCAUUUCAAUAUACUACUAAUGGGGUCAAUAAUGGCUUCAUUCCUCUUUUUUUGUAACAUAUAUUUUAUCAGCAAGCAUGGAGUUUUUCAGGAAUUCGCUUCUCUGCCCAAGGUCACACAUGUAAGGCUUUGCCCACAUCACACAAAACAAUAAAGACACUGAUCAAUAAUUCUAUGUAUAAAGUUAACAGCUGUUCCAAAGUCAUCAGAACAAAUAACUUCAUCUGAACACACAACAUACCUAGACUAUGGACAUAAAGAGUAGUACAAGUUCUGUUAUACAUCAACAAAAUGGCAAGUCUGCAGUAAGAAAUACCAAUAUAUCAAGAGAAGAAAAAUAUGCAAGUUCCCCAAAAUCAGGCAAUGGAUGGCGUUAUCUAAUAACAUAUAACUCCAAUGGCAUACCCUAGAAUGACUAGUAUUAUAUAAAAACCUAACAAUCUUUAUAACAUAAAAAAAAAAAUAUCAACACAGUUAUAACUCCCAAAAUAAAGGGACAAGGAACAUUGGUAAAACAAAAAAGGCAUUACUUUGACAUAAUUAGAUAAGAACUGUGCUGUUAAUUAGAUAUGAAUGAUUACAAGCUUACAUGGUAUUUUUCCAACCAAAAUCCGGGCUUUCUCAGCACGCUUCAAAUUUUUGUGUGCUCCUCUUCCUGCACUAUACCUAUUUUCGUCCUGUAAGGGAAAGAAAACAGAUAUUUGAAAAAAUUAAAAGGAGAGAGAAACUAAAAAGUUCAAUUAUAUUGGUCAAUAUGCUAGGAGGAAAAUUCAAAUAUGGUCAAUAUGCUCCUCUUCCUGCACUAUACCUAUUUUUUAAACUUCUCUUGUUUUUCUUUGUGCGCCUCUCGUUUCACAUAAGGGAUUCACUAUUUUGUUUUAAUAUUGAAAGAGAAACAAAAGUGCCCCAAGUUCUUUUCCAGCUUCUUCAGUCUAGUAUUCAUGAGAUUAGGUACUUGGAAAAAAAAAAAUCUGAUUUAUAAACAAUUGGAUCUGAAUAUAACAUAACAACCAAAAGCAAAAGAAAGAGUGGUAUUCAGGGCUUUGACUAUAAACUGUUUGCAAGUGCUCCACCUUAAAUACUAUUCGACUACGACCUUAAAACAUGCUAAUAAUUCAUAAGAAAAAGAGAAGUUUCCAGAGUAAGAUAACAGCUAAUGCUUCAUGAGUCAGAAUAAAUAAAUAGAUGUACCAAGCUCAUAAUAUUAAGAUGUAACACUUUCUCAAUAUUUACCUUUUCAUACUCAUCAAGCCACUUGUCCUCCUCAAAAGCAAAUUUGCAUUUCUCUAACUUAUCCAAAAUAUCCUUUCUGCUUAGAGCUUGCUCUUUGGCCUUUACAAUCUGAUCAUCCAUGCUCGAAAGCAGAUCAGACAAAUCAACAUUACCUGUUAAGACAUAUCCACAACAUAGUAUCAAGGGCAAGUUUUCAACAAACAAAAUUAGUAAAUUCAUUGUUAAAGGAAUAUAUGAGAGGCCUAAAAAUAGAGAAGUUUUAAGACCAGAAUCUAUGAGGCUGGUGAGAAUCUGUCUAGCUCCAUCACUAUCUACAUCCAUGUGGACUCCUCUAUAAAUUUCUUCCAGCUCAUUUUGCCUCUUAAAGACCAACUCCUUCAUCUUGCUGGCUUUCAAAACAUUCAACCGCUGGACUUCAGCCUCGGUCUGAAAAAAAAAUAAAUCAUUAAAAAGUUACCAAGUAAUUAAACUAACAGUCCAUUAAAAUUACAGUGCUCUUUAGUCUGCAUGAGAAAUUACAUUAGACAUUAAACAUAAUAGUUUGCACCUGCUCAAUGACAUCAAGAGAAAGGCAACCAUGCCUUGAUAGCCCAUCAACUGAGGAAGUAAUUAAGCGCGUAACAUGGUCAAAUUUGUUCCGUUCCUCAGUCGGUGUCUCCAUUAGAUUCCAUACUUCUAUCAGUUUGCUUCCCAGCUCUUGUAGCUACGGUAAAAGAUAUACUGUUAGAGUAAGAGGAAUGCUGACAGAUGGAAAGAAUAAAAAGAUAAUCAGAAGACAUCUAAGCUACUAAGCCACAUGUCAGCUGGACUAACAAGCUCAGAAAUAAUUCUAACAUAAAAUUCUCAAUUACUUAAAAUUCAUCUUAUAUCAUAAGGCUUAAAUUCCAAGUUCGAUUAGUUUAACUAAUUUCUGAAUGAGGUUCCUAGCCACUAGUUUCAAGAUAAACAAUUCCUAAAUUUUCUCUUAUCUCUUUUAUACCUCAAGCAAAGGGGGAAAAACUUGAUCUUUGAGAUACUACAUCAUUGGCCAAGCUCACAUCUCUCGCUAAGCUAUGAGUAGUAUAUGUUCAGCACUCUUUCAAUUCAGUAUAGAACUUCAUCCAAACUGUGAGCUCAGUUGCAAAUUCAGCAGGAUAGAAGACAAAUGCUAUACAUCCUCAACAUCAUGUGAUAAGUAAAACUUCAUGUCUACACAUACUCAACAGCUUCAGCCGCAAUUAAAACUAAAGUAGAGCAACAAAAAUUAGUGGCAUUACACCAUUUUACACGUACUUGUACUGUUUUAUAUUCAGCAUAUUGAACCUCGGUGAAUUUAUAAUAGUGUGGACAAUUCAUAAUUCAAAUAGCUAAUGUGUGUUUGUGUGUGUGUGUGUAUAGAGAGAGAGAGAGAGUCACCUUAUGCAGUCUUUGCUGUUUCUCUUGCUUCAGAGAGCUGGUCAGCGCCGUCAAUCUAGCAAGAGUGUCAUUGCUGAUGCUCUUGGAAUGAGUGGCGGACUGAUCAGUCAAGCUCGGGUGGACUUCAUUGAGCGUCUCAAAGAAAUCAAUUGACAUUACCACCGAGAGGUCAUGGAUGAUAUUGACCUGACUAUUGACUUUCUGUAACCGCAAAGCCUGCAAAAAUCGUACCAAUUACCAAGUAAAACCCCAUUACAACCAACAACAAACUAAAAUCUACCGACUUUAGUACCUUUUCUUUGUGAAGCUCCUCAAGGUGAGACUUAAGCUCUCCCAACCUCUUCAGAGUCAAAUCCGUCUCAUCCACUCCGGCAUACUCACCGGCAUUCCCAGCCACACCGUUGCCGGCUAUCUCCGACGAGAUCCUGGCAAUCUGCGACUGAAUGACCGAAAAGUCCUUGACCCUCUCUUGCUUCUUCAAGCUCAAUUCCUCCAAAACAGGCUUGACAGCAGAAAUCUGGUCCCGGAGAGUCCCUCUAGCCCGGGAAAACGAAGUGGCUUCGCCGAGAGCGGAGGCGAUGGCGGCGAUUUGAGCUUGGCCGUCGGCGAGGGACCUGUGCAACUCGGCCCGGUACUUUCUGGUCAUCUCCACCUUCUUGCGGUAGAUGUCGAGGCACUCUUGCUCCAGCUGGAGAAGCAUGGUGUCACGCUCCCUGUCACUCUCCCCAAUCUCGUCCCAAAUUAUCUGCGAAAAUCCAAAAUUCAAAAUUCGAAAUUCGAAACUCGAAAUUAGAGGAGAGAGGGGAAGAGGAGUACCUGGAGCUCGUGGAGGAGAGAAGCGCAGGUGGUGCGGGAGGGUGAAACGGCCGGGGGCGUCGCCGUCAUGGUGAAGGAGGCGACGUCGUUUCGGAGCGAAACCCUAGAAGAAGAAUUGGGGGAGAAAGAGAGAGAAAUGGGUCGGGGGCGUUAGAAAGUCUCUGGAUUUGGGAAAAUGAAAAUGAAUGUGUUUAGGUGGAGGAUUUGGGAGAUCCCUAGAUAUGAACCCCAGAUAAUGUUUGAGCCCCAAAAGGCAACUACGGGUUUCUCGGUCGUUUUGGCGCCAAAACCAUGUCCUCUGCUUUUUGUGUUUUUUCCUUUUCUUCCUUUUUUUUCCCCUAUUCUUUUCUCUUCUUUUUUUGAAAAUUAAUUAUUAAUUUGUUCUUUUUGAGAAGAAUUGAUUUAACGCAUUGAUAUUGAGGAGGUUGGUUCAUAUAAAUACGUGUCCAAAAAUUCGGUCUUAUUUGUUCUAGUAAUAUCAGGUUUUUUUUUUUUUUUUUAACAAAUCUAGUAUAUUUAGACGUAUGUAGCAUCAUGACUCAGCUAGAACAUUAGACAUAACAAAAGACAGUUGUGAUUUCAACUCAAAGAAUCAAUCAUAAUACUCAUUAGGCCUUGCUUGGUUCGUGAAUGUUGUUAGUGGUGAUACGUUAGUUGUUUGAUGUGAUUAUCGUGAGUUUAUGAUUACAAUUUAAUGAGGAGAAUUUUUUUCAAUGAAGUUGAGGAGGAUUUGGGUAGAUUGUUUCACAAUACCCAGUCCUAAUCACAUAUUGGGGAUCUACUAAAGGAUUUUUGAAAAAGAAAAUAAGCUGAAGAUCAACCCAAGAGAGAGUUGAGACUUGGAUCAGGACUUUGACUCCCCUGAGACAUUUUUCAUAAGUUCCUCAACGGAUUCAGCCACUUUGAACCUAUUGUGUACAUGGGCUUAAGCACACCGGCAGCAAAUAAGAUCAUUAGAUCCAGCUUUCAAUGCCACAAGGGAAAGAUCAAUCUGUCACGUUGGCUACCAACAGUUGAACUAGGGAUUUCCAUCUCUGUCUUGUCCUCCUAAGUUCUAACUAGCUCAUUCACAGGUUAACCUGCGACAGAAAGCCAAGUUCCAGAACACAUUCCGCAUCUUAUACAACACUUCUUUCUCCUGUAGCUCUAGCCAACACAAAAUCAAACUGGAACCUGCGACAUAAUGCACUACUCACACCCAAGCUCCACAAAACUAACAUUUAACGAAGUCCUUUUCCACCAGGACACCUAUCGAGAAACAGAUUCCACAAAAAUUUGCCUUUAGAGUAACUGCUAAGACCAAAAGCCAAAUUUUGAGAAACAGAAGUUUAGUCCUUCCCGCUGACAGAAAUGAGGGAUAAAUUUAAUCACCUAAAUCAUUUCUAAUAAUCUAUGUUCACUAUUUUGGAUAAUGAAUGUACAAAAAGACUACUUUGAGAGGUAAGCAUUAUGACAUUGAUAAAAGAUAAACAUUAUCAAAAUUCAAAUGAGACAGUAGUCUUGUCAAAGGUCCUAUGUUGCAGUAGGUGCUUCCAAACCUUUCUCUAAAUUUUUCUGCUCUGAGGGUAAAUUCUUUCUGGAUUUCUUGGUACCUUCUACUUUCCACAUAUCCCAGACUUUUGUUCUAGGUGGGGGUGUGGAAUCUCCAAUUGGUGCAACCAACCCUGGCUUUCCAUCAUCAAUAACAUCAUCAAUCAACCCAUAAUCCUUAGCUUCCCAGGGAUUCAUGAAAUUAUCACGGUCUGUAUCCUCCUCAACCUGCAAUGACAAAAGCAAUUACAUAUAGAGUUUAAAACUCUCAUAGACUAAAUAUUUACAAUUACAGAAAUCUGAUCUGAUCCCUAACCUGUUCAAACGGCUUUCCUGUGAUUCUUGACAAUAUCUUGUUCAAUUUAAUCUUGUGGUAUGCCAUUUCUCUAAUUCGUAUACCCAUUUCUGUUGCCUGAAUACACAUGUACAAACCACCAAUCAAUAUACAAACCUCGUAAACAGAAUUGUAUACUUCUCAUACUCAACAAAUAUGUCCUAGGGAGAAAGGAUAAAACAAAGAAGUAAAGCAGAUGAUCAAACUCCUAAGUGAAAAUUAAUGCUCGUUUAAUCAUUUUGGAAUUGAACACAGAGAUUUUUUGGCUGGGGAAAAAAUUAAUAUAAAACUUAACCAUCAUAGUGAAUAUAAAAUAUAAAAUUAGAAUAUAAAACAUUAAAAGCCUUCUGAUAUGUAAUCCAAGAAAAUAUCCGCUUGGUUCCAUCAUUUUCUAUACAGAUUUGGAAAGCCACCAAUUAACAGAAACAUCUAGCAAAGCUAGACAGAAAACAAGAUCGAUAUUGUCCUGGCUCGGCUAUGCCAUUAGUUGGUUAGCUAAUUCUUUUGUUCUAGGAUUCUUCUGCCCUUGCAAGAUCAACACCUGGGAGGAACAAAAUAGGGAGCUCAAGGGUACCAAGCUAUCUUAUCACUAUUACAAAUAAAGUCUAGCAUUUCUGGUUUUCGAGUCUACCUAAUUAGAACAGUUCAGUAAUAAAAUGAGUCCCCACCCACUUAGACAAGUAAACAAAAACAAACCAUAUAAAAAAUAAAAACAACCCCCCAAGGUCAUGAUCUGCUGCAUAUGGCAACUUAAAAAUUAUCUCCAUGCAAAGAUAUCUGUCUCUUUUGAUUUUGUAUAAAUAUCCAUCAACAUUUUAGCAAUUUCUGGAGUCUGACACGUCACGGAAAGUGUCAAGUGUCUAGAGAAAAGUUUCCUAAAUAGAGCGAGAGAGACAGAUUUGGUCUGUCUCACAAUUGCUCUUACUCCAGGCAUAAUUCAACAGUGAAGCUCAAGGUGAUAAAGGCAUCACCUGAACUGUAGCAGAGGGAAAACUAUCCCCUCAAAAACAAAAUCCUCACAACAAUGUAAUGACUAGUCGUUAGAAAACUUGAUGAAUGCAACUUGAGUAUAGAUGAAGGUUUGGUGCCUUGGCAAUAUCCUCAACUACCUUGUUUCUCUAUCUUUCCUCCCUUUAUUUGCUUGUUCCCAUAGUUCUCUGACUACAGCAGCUAUAAACCUUCUUUCAUACUAAACUAUCUCUUAAAAUUUGUAUCUUUCAGAGCCACCAUAAUUACACUGACACCCACAAUUGCUUUGUCCUCUAUCAUGCAUAUCUGGUAUAACUAAUCAACCACAUGAAAAUAGCAAAUAUAUAGAUGGAACGGACUGGGGAGAAAUCAACCAAGAGGAGAAUAGCUACUGGGAGUAGUGGCCAGAAUCUUACAUUUUGUGGUCUGAAUAGAGUUUGUCAAGUAAUGACAGGGGAUUUGGCUUUUUAAAAUCUGAACUAAAGACCCUUUUUUGAGUGGCUUAUUUUGUUCUUACAGCUGCCAAAUAGGAAUCAUUGAUGAUUGCUUCUUAUAACCUAACUAUGUAAAAAAGGAAUCAUUGAUGAUUGCUUCUCAUUGAUGAUUGCUUCUUUGAGUGUUUGCUAAUUUGGUGAUGUAUAUGUAAACAUACUACAAGAUCAGUAUAUCAACCUCCACUGCAUUGCCAUACAGAAUGGGGUUUUGGAGUUCGUCCCAUGGAUGCUUCAGGGGUUUCUGUUAUGGCACCAUUGGGAUCUUAGCAGGUACAUUGUGUAUGUGAGGAUCAUCCAAACUGAUUUUCUUUAGAACAGAUGGCCUUACUAGUAGGCUUCAAAUACAACUCCCUUAAGCUUUCUUAUUAGAAAAUUUAUUAAAUAACAAGAGGCCCUUCAAGAAGUUAGAGAAAUCGUACUUGCACUAAAAGGACUCGAAUUAGAAAUUGGUUACAACUGUAAACAGAAAGUCAAUUAAGUGAAACUGCUCAGGAAAAGAUGUUUGAAUGUAUUAAGAGGAACUUGAGUCAGCACUCUUAGCAACUGGGGUGGAAACUGGGGCCUCCUAACAAACCCUAUAAUCUUAAAGAGAACUCUAGAAAAUAGCUACUAGGUACCAUGCCACGUUGGGGGAAUCCAUGGGCUUCUGACUAACCCCUCAUGUGUAGCUAAGUUUGUAAAUUCAUCCCAAAUAAUUGAAUGGCAACUAUAUCUCAACCAAAAAGUCAAAAACAAAGAGCUAGUAACAAUAUUAACAUCAAAUAGACCCAAGGAUACAAAUAUCUAGACCAUUGGAAAAGCAGAUUUAUUAAAAGUAGCACAAAAUAACAGACAAUUAUUUCAAACAAUUUAAUAUUGAAUGAAGCUUAAAUUUUAUACUAAUCCAAAUGCAUUUUAGAAAAGGUAAAAUCCACAAUAAAUGUUUACAUGUAAUAAGAAUUUAAAUCCCCCAUAAAUGAAGAUAAAAAUCCACAAUAAGCAGAGAAAGCACUUACUUUGCCUCCAGCAGUUCCAAGAGGUUGAUGGAUCAUCACUCUUGCAUUAGGCAUGCAGUACCUCUUUCCUUUUGAGCCGGAAGCAAGGAGAAAUGCACCCAUUGAAGCAGCAAGCCCGAAGCAAACAGUUGAAACAUCUGCCUUGCACAUUUUCAUUGCAUCAUAUAUUCCCAUUCCUACACACAUUCCAAAGUUGGUAAUGAGAACAAAAUAAGUCCAGGAGAAAUUUUAACAGAAAAUACUGGAUUCAACAGAGGGUCACAUCUCUUAGAAUACUGGUGGCUAGGCUAAAGGCUAAAGCACAUCUGAGUUUUCCCAAACACAAACAAAGCUGUAUAAUACUUUUGUAGUUCACCAAAAAGAUGCAUGGCAAUACACAAUCAUUUUUCUCUACUACCUAUACUAUGGAUAUAAAUGCUUUUAGGUUAUUCAAAAGGGUUGUUCUGAUGUUGGUUACUUGCAGAACUUGAUGCUGGCAGUAUGUUGGGGUUUAUGGAAGGAGUGUAAUAAAAGAAUCUUUUAGCAUUAUAAGGGGUGGAGCAGAAGACUGCAAUCCGGGUCUACUUUAUGGGCAUUGAUACUGUUAUUUGAGAAUAUUCUUAUUCUUCUUUUAUGAUGAAUCUGUUACUGUUCUGAACUGAGGCUGGUUUAUAGUGCAUAUCUGUUUCCUAGCCUCUCUCGAGUUGUUUGUAAACCUAUUCUCAGCUGUGGGAUUUCUUAUCCACAUCUGGCCUUGAACUUUCUAAGUUGAGUAAGGACCAGUAAUCGAAUAUCCAAUGCAUUGAAUAUUAUAAUCUCAACCAAAAAUAGGAGAAACGAAAAAAAAAAAAAUAAUAUAUAUAUAUAUAUAUAUUAUACAAAUCCUAGAUUUGAAAUUCAUGCUUGUUUAACCUCAACUGCAAUAUUGAAAAUAUCUGCUACUAAAAUGGUUUACAGAAUGAACGAACAUGUCCUGAAGUUCCUCAACUGAAGAUAUGAUUUGGAUUACAAACAGAAUCGGAAAGCUAAAAUAACUAAUGCUAGAGAAAUCAGAGAAGCACCUAGGUUUAAUCAUGAAGUUUAUGUUAAUUGCUGCAUUAGAAAGGAAAACCUCAGAUGUCAGGAUCUAUUGCUUUUGUAGUUGGAUAAGGCAUACAUAUUGCACUAUACUCUGGACAGUAUUAUGCGGAGAAAUUAAAUAAGAUAGAAGAUUGAAUCAAUUUCUGUAGUAGAACAUUGUAGUAUCUAAGGCACAAAGAAGUUGUAUAAAGCAAGCAACCACUCACUUUCUUCUCUGAAGAUAAAUUUAUCCUACAGGCCUCAUCCAACAUCGAACUAUAAAUCAACAAGUACCACUUCUACUUUUCCUUUCUGCCCACCAAAAAUCAUUUCCUUUUCCUUUUCUUGAAACAAAGGUCUUAACAGGUACUACUCUUCCCAUGGGCAAUAUACCAAGCUAAAAAUGUACUAUAUGGGGUACAUUAGUGUUCCAGAUUGCAGUGGAGGGGCAAAAUUGAACGGCUGUAACUAAUGACGGCCAGUACUGUAUUGAACUACUAAUUUUCUUUUUAUCAUUUUGCCAGUUGACAGAGCCAAAUCGUUUUAGGGUGUCGAUCUUCAAGCACUCAUGGCACUUUACCAUCAAAUUCAGUGUUUUUAUACGUGAAUGGCUGUGCGGUUAAGUAUGCAAGUAUGGAGACGGCUGAUCGGGGCACAACUCAACUUAAUUCAGGUUCCACCACAGGAGAGAAAAGAAAUGGUUUGCAGGAAGAGUUGUCCAAGAACAACUUGGAGUGAGCAGCAUAUACCAAUACUGAAACUGAGAAAUAUUCUCUAAAUUCAUUUAUUUUAAUCAUCUUCUUCACACUACUCUGCACAAAAGGAAAUUGUGAUUCCGAAAAUUUACUUUGCUUACAAAUGCAUUUCAGCUAUUCUUAUUCUACUAAAUCUAAAACAUUUCAACGGUAAACAAAGGAAAGUUGAUGAUACAACUUCCCUAAAUCAUUUUCAUUGAAGCUUCUUAUGACCUUGUAGAACCCGUAACAACGGCAAAUCCAAACAAGCUGGCUUCAACAUUGACUUAUGUUAACAAAAUUUAGCAGACACAACCAUGCUUUACAUGCUCAGAUAUAAUGAUAAGGUCACAAUUGGAACUUAACAUGCCAAGGAAUUGUGCAAAGUUUCUUACAAAAGCCAAAGUGUUAUAAGCUCAACCCCAGAAACUUUAUUGAACUGAUCAAGAUAUAAUUGUAAGUCAAGAGUAUCCAUAUACAUCACUUGCUUUACAUUUAUGUACCUACGACACUCUUUUCACCAUUUCCUCAAGCACAUAUGUUGCAAAAACAAUCUAUCAUCCUGCAUUUAACCUUUGUGCUAGAUGCCAAAGCAUGGCUUCAUAGCACACCAUUUCCCUAAUAUAUUAUAUAGUUUCCAUGUCGUCACAAACACAAAUUUGUUUACCUACUUAAGUCAAACUUCAUUACCAAAUUCUAAUGGCUCCCAUAUCAACUUAAAAAACAAAAGACACAAGGACCAAAACAACAGCAGAGAAUUAAGAAAUCAACCAUGUCGAAGAAAAACUUAAUACAAACAUACCAGCCGUAACCGAGCCACCGGGUGAAUUGAUAAACAAUGUAAUGUCCUUUUGGGGGUCUUCAGCAUCCAGAAACAGCAGCUGGCUUAUGAUCAAAUCCGCCGUCAUGUCAUCCACCUGUCCAUCAUCAUUGGCAAAAAAUUACAAAGAAUUCAGUCAUUAAAAAAAUCCAGCAAGACCCAAAGAGCAAGAGAAGAGAGAGAGAGAGACCUGAGAGCCCAAGAAGAUGAUUCUCUGGCGGAGGAGCAUGUUGGUGGUGUCGAGCUCUUCGAAUCUGGGGACGCGUGUAGGAGACGGGGCAGUAGCAGCGGGGAACUGGAAAUCCCAAUUGGUGGACAAGGUGGGUCUUGUGGGAGACGACGAGGCUUUAACUGAACCCACGACCUUCCUUGAGCUUCUGCUACAACCGAUGGUACUACUAGUACUAGUAGCCGCACUGAGAAGACCGUUGUGAAGAGCAACCGACGGUUGGGUGUUGAAACACAGAGGCCUUGACGCUGGGGCUGCGUACGUCAUCAUCGUCGUCCUCCCGUUUUUCUGGGUUCGAAAAUCUGUCUAAUUGGGAAGGAAGGAGAAAUAGGCUGAGGGUAUUUGGCGUUGUUGUCUGCAGAAAGCUGAAGUAUAGAUAAACGACGUCGUUUUCAGACGGAUGUAAAACCAAUGGCCACGUUCGCCCACGGAACAUUUUUUGUUUAAAAAUGGUUGCCGGGGAGCUAUUAUUCCGAGACUAAGAGCAAUUUUAUGUACGCUCCCUGAAAUGGGUUCGAACCAAAGACCUUUUAUUACUAGAAGAAUCUUUAUAGUGUCCGUCUCACUUGCAGCUUAGCGUAUGCUUCUACAGUUCCACUAGACCAACCCUAUUGGGUUAAUACACAUAUAGGGUUGGGCAUAAAGACUAAACCAAAAAAAACUAACAAAACCGACCCGACCGGUUUGGUUCGGUCUCAAUAACAACCAGUCCGGUCCCUGGCCGAGAAAUACAUAAGACAGUAGAGCCUAAAAGCCCAACAUACACAUUGUAAUACAAUUAUUGGACAAUUGUAGUGAUCCCUACACUACUAAUAUAGAUUCAACCACAGUUUGCAUUUGUUAAUUAUAAAGGCUUAGUUUGGCAUUGCAAUGAGAACAAUCUGCUGUAAAAUAAAUCAACAGUGAAAAUAAUCAACGAUUCAAUAAAUCAGUUACAUGUUUGGCAAAUUUUGUGCUUAAAAUUCUGAACACAAAAGGCAUUUUAAAGAUGUUAGGUAAUCUUUACUUUAAAUGAGUGUGUAUUGUAUAUAAUGAUGUAAUUUGACAUGAUAAGAAUAUCAUCACUUGUGAUAUUAAUCUGCAUGACUUUGUUUGAAAUUGGAAGUAGGAGUUCAUCACAUGGAUAAUCUUAAAAGGAUUAGAGAGAAGUUUGUGAGGACAUAAAAUUUAAGCCUCUCCCAACAAAUGGUUACACUUUUAGGCAUCAACCUCUCAUUCGAUAUGCAGAUAACGACGGUGUAGAAUUGCUCGAGGGUGGAUGGGGGUGGGGGAGUGGACCUUCCAUAAACAAGGGAUCAAAGAUGAUGAUGCUAUUGUGGUGUUACCAUUCAGUUUCAAAGUGAGCAUAACUGGAAUAGGCGUGGAUGCAACUUCAGUGGAAAUUAGGUCAUCAGAUUAGAUGGUGACUUUAAGAUAGUUGUUGUAAAGACACUAUACUGAAAAUCUACCAACGCAUUUUAAGUUCUCCUUGGGAGAGGUAUUGAUGGAUGAUAAAUGUCAUUUCUUUCGUAUGGCCUUCGUCGGGGUGAUCACAUUAGAAUAACUCUUCAAGCUUCCUCUCUUGGUCAACCUGAGAACACUCAGAAGUAGUAACAAGCUUUCAACCUUGAGUUCCAUAUUAUUCAUGUACAAAAGAUAGCGUGCUAGCUUGGUAGUGCUUGCUUACAAUUGUCUUUCUAUGUUUUAAUAAAGAGUUUUUUUUAUAGUAUUUUUGAUGGUAUGUUUUAAUAAGGAUAUCCUUGUUCAAUUAAAAAUAAAUAAAUAAUUGUAGAUGAGAAAAUUGUCUAAACAGUGUCUCACCUUUUAACAAAGCAAAGUUUCGGUAUCUCACCUUUAGAAAACUUCAAAACAGUAUCUCACGUUCUUACCACGACUGAAGUUUGGUAUCUAUAACCGUUAGCUCCGUUAAAAAAACUGACGGCAGCCAUUUUUAUUCAUAAAAUGACCAAUUUAUCCUUGAGUUUUUAACUUUGUUAUUCAUUUUAUAUAAUGAAGUUAUCAAACUUGAGGUAUCGUUCUAAUGUUAUCAAAACUUGAAGUACCAAAGUUUAUAAGGAAUAAAAGAUGAGGUACCUUUAUGACAAACAAAAACAAAAACUCAAGGGGUAUAUUGGUCAUUUCAUGAAUAAAAAUGGUUGCCGUUAGUUUUUUUAACGGAGCUAACGGUUCUAGAUACCGAACUUUGGUCGAGGUAAGAAUGUGAGAUAUUGUUUUGAAGUUUUCUGAAGGUGAGAUACCAAAGUUUUGCUUCUUCAAAAAGUGAGACACUGUUUGGACCAUUUUUCCAUUGUAGAUUGAAAUAGAUUUUUUCUUUUGGUAUAUGGUGCGUUCAUAAUGGAAGACGGUCAUUAUUUCUUAGGCUAAGGUUUUGAUUUCUAAUAAUGGAAGAUGGUAUAGUCAUCAGCUAAGGUUGUAGUUUGUAUUUGGUAAUUACAAAGGCUUAGUUUGGCAUUGCAAUGAGAAUAAUUUGUUGUAAAAUAAAUCAACAGUGAAAAUAAUCAGCGAUGAGAUAAAUCAGUUACAUGUUUGGCAAAUUUUUUGUUUAAAAAUUCUGAUCACAAAAAACAUUUUAAAGAUAAGUAAUCUUUAGUUUACAUGAGUGUGUAUUGUCUAUAAUGACGUAAUUGGACAUGAUAAGAAUAUCAUCAAUUCUGAUCAAACCUACACGAUUUUGUUUGAAAAUGGAAGAGAUCAUCCCAUGGAUAACUUCAAAAGGAUUAGGGAGAAGUUUGCAAGGGCAGGAAAUUUGAGAAGUAGACUCUCCCAACAUAUGGCUACACUUUUAGGCAUCAACCUCUCACUAGCAACGAUGCUGAUAACUACAGUGUAGAAUUGCUCGAGAGCGGGGAGAGGAUCUUCUAAAAACAAGGGAUCAAAUUAAGAUGGUAAUGCUAUUGUGGUGGUACCAUCUAGUUUCAAAGUGAGUAUAACUGGAAUGGGCGUGGAUGCAACUUCAGUGGACAUUAGCUCAACAGAUAAGGUGGUGACUUUAAGACAGACAUUGAUGGAUGAUGAAAUGUUGUUUAUUUCGUAUGACCUUCGCCGGGGCGAUCGCAUUAAAAUAACUCUUGAAUUAUCCCCUCUUGGUCGACCUGGGAACACCCAGGAAGUAGUAACAGGCUUUCAACAUUGAGUUCCAUAUUAUUCAUGUACAAAAGUUCGCUUGCUAGUUUGGUAGUGCUGUAAACACAAAAAAAAAAUUUAACGAAUAACAGAAAGACACGUGUACAAAAUAAAAUAUGUGUAUUCAUGAUUUUAUGGGUAAGUAUUCUUUUAAUAAGAAUUUCCUCUGAUUCAAUCUCCGACGAGCACCUUAUCCAUAAUCAAAUAGUUUAAGUUUGAACUUCAUGUCGUGUUGACGAUUUGUAGAAGAUGAUUGACCAAUGGCCGUAGAGGCUUGUUCUUGAUCAUUGGACUUAGGCCACGAGUGGUGUCAGGUGGUGAACGUUCUUCAGCUUUUAUGGCGGAUAAAUCGGCACGUGUGUUCAGUGCUUGUUGAUUCUCCAUGAGCUCGUUGAAGGGUAGAAGUUUAAUUUGAUUUGUUGAAGACUUGAAAAUGUGGUUUUAUUAAGGGUCGCAUAGGCUUGAUAAUGAUCGGGUUUGCGCCACGAGCAAUUCCACGUGAUGAAUGUUCUCUAUCUGGAAGUUGGUGAAAAUGUCAGCUAUUUAGCAACUUGAUGACUCUUCAUGUUUUGACAACUUCUAAGCUUGAAGUUCAUUAGAAACUGGCUAUUUGUGAGCUUAGUAGUUCUUCACAAGUGUUUUUGAGACAUUUGAUAUUUCGGAAGUAAUUUGUUCUCUCUACCUCAAAGCCUCCUCUUGAUAUCAGAGGAUGUAUUAUUUAUAAUGUCAAUGCUCUUUCGUAUAUGAAAUAUAUUAAAGACAAAACUUUAAUUCUAUUUUCUUAGCGGUACAAUUAAAUUAAUCAUUUUUUUUAUCGGGUAAAUCAAUCAGUUUUGAUUGAUUGUUUCAAUUAUUAUUAUUAACAUAAUUUAACUAAUCGAUCAAUCUUAAUUGAUUGAUUUAAUUAUGCCCAUGUAGACAUAUAAAAUUUAACAAUAAUAAUAAUCGUUGGAUUAUUCAAACAACGCGUGGGCCCAACUAAUUGCAUACGUGGCUCGCGAGUUGACAAAGUUGAAAAGUUGUCGGAAAUGACACGUGGCAAUGUGUGAAUGGUCGGUCGACAACAAAACCUUAAAUCCCGACUAAAAUCAAAUAUUAAAUGUCAAUCGAUAAUCAAAUAUCAAUCAAAUUAAAUUGAUUAUUGAAAAAGAAAGUUGGACAUUUAUUCCAAAUUGGUUAUACCUUAUCGGUCGUAAUUAAAUCAAUCAAUUAAGACUGAUUGAUUUAAUUAUGUUAAAAUUAAUAAUUAAAUUAAUUAAUCAAAACUGAUUGAUUUAGUUAUUACCAUUAAGGAAAUAUAAUUGAUUCGAUGUCUUCAUUACAUGCCAUAAACGGAGGUAUGUCAACACUAUAAAUACCCCUUUUCUUAUCAAGAGGAUGACUUUCGACAAAAGAGAGAAAAAUCACUUCGGAGAGCUUAGAAGUCUCAAAAUUCCCCAAAGACCUAUUAAGCUUCCAAAUAGCCAGUUCUUCACCAAACCUAAAUCUCAAACACUUGUCGCGUGAUCAACCCUCAUGACCCCUUUUGUCUCAAGAAUAAGUGUUUGUCACCCUUGAGUCAAACUCAUAUUCAGAGAUAGAAUCAGAGGAGUUCACAAAGAUUUGUAACCGACAUUCAUAUCAAUAAAAUUAUAUUAUUUUUUUGUACACGUGUUGUUCUGUUAUUUGUCGUAAAUAAUUUCUUGUUUAUAGCCCGAUACGGUAUUUAUCAAUUUGAUUAAAUGUAUGAUUUCCAUUCGGACAAUUAAAUUAAUUUAGUUGACAUCUGAUUGACGGAUGCCAUUUAAUGCUUGCUUUUAGUCAUGAUCAAUGAUUUUGUUGUCGACUGACCUUUCACACGUCGUCACAUGCUAUUCCCGGAUUCUUUUUGACUUUGUUGACUCAUGAGCAACGUAUAAAAUUUGUCGAGCCCACUCAUUAUUUGAAUAAUUCAACGAUUAAUAAUUUUGUUAAAUUUCAUAUGUCUACAAAUGCCCCUACUUCCAAGUGCGACGAUGUCGUCAUCACGUGUCGGAGGCGUGGCUUGAAUUCAAUGCUUUUGAUGUGGGCUACAUAAUUUCGCCAAGUGUGGUCCAUUGCAUAUAAAGCACGAAAGUAACCCUUGUUGUGUGGAAGAUCAUGGGUAGUUCCCCUGUUUUUGCUCAUUGUGGAAGUAGUGGGUGGGUUGGCAGUUUUGUAAUGGGUCAACUCCGAUUUUUCUGCUUGUCUCUCUCCUCUUGUUUGAAUAUGUAGGGCUUGUCAGAAAAUCCACCAACCUUUCGGAUAAGGCUAGUGCAGAUUGCAGAUCUCCAACGUUUUGCCUUCGUAAUUCUUGUCUCGCCCAAGGUUGUAAUCCCGCCAUGAAGCUAAAUAGCUUGUCUUCCUCCGCCAUGUUGUGGAUGUCAAGCAUCAAGGAACAAAACUCCUUGAUGUACUCCCUUAUGGCGGAAUCCAUUUUGAGAUUGCUCAAUGCUUCGCGAGCCAUCCAUGCCGACUUGCAAGGCAUGAAAUGACUUCGUAACUCCCUCUUUAGAGCAUCCCAAUUUUCAAGUAGGUGCUCGUCUUCAUUCUCCUCCGCGUCUUGCACUCUCAUUCUCCAUCAUAAUUUUGCAUCACCCUCAAGGUACAUUGAAGCCAUAGAGAGCUUUUUCCCCUUCCGCUAUGCGAGCAGUUUUGAAGUAUUGCCCGAUGUCCCAUAUGAAAUUUUCCAAGACUUUGGCAUUCCUCUCUCCAUUGAACAUCUUAGGCUCCGGGAACUUUUUGAAUGAUGCCGCCCUCCAUGUUGAGCCCGGCAUUGGCUGUAACGCUUUUCACCAAUGCCAUGUUCUCUUCUAUGUCCGUCAAUCUUGCUUUUACCACGUCCGAUAAAGCAUUUAAGUCUUGCAUCAUGUCAUAGAACUUGGUCUCCGCCUCGGUAACAUGCACCGUGAAUGCUUCUCGCAUCCUCCUUGUUUCAUUCUUCAACUCAUCAACUUGCAGUGAGAGACAAAUCGCUCCAUCACUUGUUGGAUAGCCGAGAAAAUCCUCGACUCGUGCAAUGCGGUCCUUCAAUGUGUCACCGGUCAUUUGCUAAAGCUUUAGACUUCUUCUCCCUUUUGUCUUUGACCGAAUAUCUAGCGACUCCCCUCCCUUUAUAAGUGCUUUAAAUGUGCACCCGUGCUUCAAUCCGCACCUUUUACUCUGCAACUUGCCCUUGGGUCCGCAAGGCAAUCUUUUGUCUUACUUGCUCCCUUCUUGUCCUUCAAUCGGAAUGUUGGUGUGGUUCUUUGACCCCCUUCUUUUGUACUUUCUCUAGUGCAUACUUCCGUCAGUCACUUGCACUUGGUGCUUCAAUUUGCCCCUUUGGUCCACAAUGCAACCUUUUGUCUUAAUUAUGUCCUUCGUGUCCUUGAAUUUGGACUUUAGAGUGUCAGACUCUGCUUUCACUCGUGUUUGUGUUGUAGUAUGUUUAGCCCCACCUAUACUUUACACCAAGCACUGCACACCCGAACCGAAUGUUAGGAUAUGAAGUACUUAAUUAAGUACUAAUGGAUAUUAAGUACUAAUUCCGAAAAUGAGGCAAAGUAUCGAGCAAUUGUAGCUCCGAUACCAAACUAUCACGAGCCUUGAGUACGUAGCGUAAUUUUUCUUGUCUCUUUUGUUUUCAAAAUAUUAUGCGAGGCUCCUCUGAACUUCGACCAGCCAACUCUAUCUCCCCAUACAACGUCUUGGUUCUGGUAGGCGAGGGCCUUAUCAUGCCAGGUUUGCAUUAUCUGUGUUCACACUUCACUUUUCUCCCUUCUCUCUUUUGUAUUGGAUUGCAAUCCUUUUUCAUACAAGUGUCUACCUUCUUUCUCACAAGUUUUGGGAUUCUCUAAUGCUCACAUACAUACAUAGUUUGUGGAACUAAGCAUUCCUUUUUUCAUUGAUAGAUGCAAACUACAAUUACAUGGAACUCUUCUUUGGCUUGUCAAGUCUAUUAGGCAAAGUCCAAAUCUAAGUUUACCUAUUAUGAGCUACGCCCUAUAUAUAAGCCUACUCGAGUUUGGAAGUUACAACCCAACUUCCCUUAGGUAUAUGUGGCAUUCAUACCUUAUUUUUAGGAGUAGUGGACAUCCCCCACUAUAUAGGUUUAUUAACCACUUUAGAUAACCACCAAGAUAUGCAUAACUUCUUUGCAAACUUCCCAACUUUUAUAGUUUUAGUGUUAGGUAACCGCCCACUAACUUGCAUGUUUUGUGGAGAUAACUUCCCACUAACUUUGUAACCGUCACGCACACGUGUGCACCCUAGAGUGCACCCGCACGCACCUUUCGUUGCAUCUUACCGAACACCUUGCCGAGCACCCUGCAGCGCACCUUCCUCGCACCUUUCUCGCACCUUUGUAGCACCUUGCCGAGCACACUUGUCAUGCACCCAGCAGUGCACCCUCUCAUGCAUCCUUCCGCACCCAACAACGCAUCCUACCGAGCACACUCAUCAUGCACCUACUAUGGGUUACACCUUAUAUAUAAGCCUACUCGAGUUUGGAAGUUACAACCCAACUUCCUUUAGGUAUAUGCGGCAUUCAUGCCUUAUUUUUAGGAGUAGUGGACAUCCCCCAUUAUAUAAGUUUAUUAACCACUUUAGAUAACCACCAAGAUAUGCAUAACUUCCUUACCAACUUUCUCACUUUUAGUGCUAGGUAACCGCCCACUAACUUGCAUGCUUUGUGGAGAUAAUUUCCCUCUAACUUUGAAACCGCCAUGCACACGUGUGAACCCUAGAGUGCACCCGCGUGCACCCUUCGUUGCAUCCUACCGAGCACCCUGUAACACACCUGCCUCGCACCCUUUUAGCACCCUGCAGAGCACACUUGUCAUGCACCCAGCAGUGCACCCUCUCAUGCAUUCUUCUGCACCCAACAACGCAUCCUAUCGAGCACACUCAUCAUGCACCUACUAUGGGUUACGCCUUAUAUAUAAGCCUACUCGAGUUUGGAAGUUAGAACCCAACUUCCUUUAGGUAUAUGCGGCAUUCAUGCCUUAUUUUUAGGAGUAGUGGACAUCCCCCAUUAUAUAAGUUUAUUAACCAUUUUAGAUAACCACCAAGAUAUGCAUAACUUCCUUACCAACUUCCCCACUUUAGUGCUAGGUAACCGCCCACUAACUUGCAUGCUUUGUGGAGAUAACUUCCCUCUAACUUUGUAACCGCCGUGCACACGUGUGAACCCUAGAGUGCACCCGCGCGCACCCUUCGUUGCAUCCUACCGAGCACCCUGCAACGCACCUUCCUCGCACCCUUGUAGCACCCUACCGAGCACACUUGUCAUGCACCCAGCAGUGCACUCUCUCAUGCAUCCUUCCGCUCCUAACAACACACCCUGCCGAGCACCCUCAUCAUGCACCCAACAUUGCACCAUGCCGAGCCCUUUGGAGUCCAUACCAACUUCCCACGUUUGGCUUGGAUUGUUGUCGUACAUCAACUUUCCCAUCCUACUUGUGCUUGUGUUUGCUUGUGCCUUCAUGCGUGUCGACAUAGUGCAAAGACAACUCAUGUCGCUCACCUUGCCGGCUAUGGGACUUUAGAGAUGUAACAAACCGCCCCCGUUUGAGUUUGGCGAUGCCCUUGUUGCCAAUGGUCUUGCGCUUCAUCCCUUGCUUGCUGCCCGCUUCUUUCUCCCACUUGGCUGCAUCAUCCUUGAUGCCCUUGUUGGCAUCAUAUACUUUCAAUGCCUUGGUAAACUCCUCCCAAGUUACCUUUUCUCCCUCCUUUAGCCUCGGCUGAUUGCCUUGAGUUUUUUCACCAAGGAUGUCGAAUAAUGACUCUUCGUUCAACUUUUCUAGUUCUCCCCAUGCAGGCCAAUUUGCUGCAGCAUCCUCCUUCUUUUGCUCAGUCCAAGUAGUAGUUUCCAAGCUCUUCUCGCUCUCGAGACUCUCUUCUUCUUCGUCAUCACUUAUGACGAUGACAUCCGGUAGAUUCAUGGCUCCCUUCUUCAUGUCUUCAUGCUUCUGACUGUUCAAGACCCAUUCAUACGCAUAUGCGUCCAUGACUCGCUUGGUCUCCUCAUAGAUUGCACUCCACCUUCGGAAAGGAGGAAACACGCUAAAGGUGAGCAUGUCUCUCCAUACUUUGGUGUAGAGCUCGAAUUUCUUUCCCUUCAAGUGCUCCUCCCACAUCUUCAUGGUCUGGCAGCAGAAAUAACUUCCGCCUCCUUAAUAGUGUAGGUUGAGAGCAGUGGAUCCUCGAAUGGCAUAAUCUCGUCGAUAAAAAGGAUGUCUCCUUCAACAAUGAGUGAGGACAUGAUGGUGUAGUUCCCAUAAUGGUAGGCAAAUAUAUCAACAUAGACAUCUAAAUCAGCAUACUUCAUAUCACCCUCCAAUGAUAAAGUAUUGUGUAGCACCAUCGAACUCAUGAUUGCCUCUGUUUCUUCUUGUGUUUCUUUUUCUUUGAGGUUGUUUGCAAUUGAAACUAGAGCACUCAAUGCUUGCUUUUGGCUACAGAAUUUCACCAAGUGUGGUCCAUUGCAUAUAAAGCACGAAAGUAACCCUUUGUUGUGUGGCAGAUCAUGGGUAGUGCCCAUGUUUUUGCUCAUUAUUGUGGAAAUAGUGGGUGGGUUGGCAGUUUUGUAACCGCCUCUCCCACUCUCCAGCCCCUUGACACGCCCUUGGAAUGAGUCAACUCCGAUUAUUCUGCUUAUCUCUCUCCUCUUGUCUAAAUAUGCAGGGCUUGUCCGAAAAUUGACUUGGAUACAAUUCACGCAAGCGAACGUAUCAUUGUCAAGAUAGGGAAGUAUAAGUGCCUAAGUUAUCGUACCACGGGGAUUAGUGGCUAACCCACAAUCCUAGGCUAAUCGAAACAAAAGUCACUAAUAAGCAAACAAAGAAAAAGAAAAAGAAAAAGAAAAUAAGGAAAUUGCUAAUCUAGGCACCAAGCCUUAGUAAUGCUCAGCUCUAGUUCUCACCAAAGCCUAAUCAAAACUAGAUGCCUAGUGACGGUUAUCUACAAUGAGUCAAAAUAUAAAAGGGAGAUGGAAUGAGGAGUUGACUAAAUUGACUACAAACAAAAUGAGAAAUAAACUACUAACUAAUGAACUAGAGAAUGAUGAGAACAUGGGAGUGUCGGGUGAUCCACACUAACUCAUAUGCAAACAUCGAUACCAAUUUCACAAAUGCAUAUCAUAUUGUGUCAAGUCCCGUAUCUAAUACCGGUUAAAGCUACUAGAUCAAUUAUCUUUUCGGUGUAUCGAUUAUGCCGGUUAAGGCCACAAUCGACCCUCUAACAUGGGCAUUACACCGGUUAAGGCUGUAACAUCCAAAUUAGAGGCCUAGAGUGCAAGAUAAUAGAGACACAAACAAGCUUAGCUACAAUCAAGCUAACUAAUGGUUACCACAAUUCAAAUCCUAAAUGCAUAAGACUAAUAAGUUGUCAAUUUAUCAAUCUAAUCAUCAAAUUGUCCACAACAUAAUCUCAAAGGGUGACAAAGCCUAGAAACAUGCCUCUAAGGACCAACACAUUCGGAUUCAAAGUAUACACAAUGAAAAUUGCAUUCAUUUCAAUUAAAGUACCAAUAUUUAUACAAAAUGAGUUUAGGGCUUCACAACCCUAACUCCCAAAAUUGAACUACUCACUACCCAUAAUCAAAUACAUUAUUCAAAGCAUAAAAAGAUAAUAAGGAAGAAAAUGGGAGAGCUAGAUUGGUCACUUAUAGCUAUAGGCUAGUAUGAACCCAAAUCAGUUUUUCACCCAACUAUCCAAUUGAUGAAGAGGUGGUGCUCUUGAUGAUGCCUUGAAAGCCUUGAGUGAGUCCUUCGAAUUCCCAAAGAAACUCUAUCUAAAUUAUGAAAUGAGAAAAGAGGAUGAGAAGGCGAAUUUGUCACAUCCCGACCCUUAAAUUUUUACCUUAUUUACUAACUUGGUUAUAAUAAGAAUUUUACCGUCUCCGUCAUUGAGGUAAUAGUUUAAUCGGUCCCUAGAGGUGUUUUGAGGGACGAUUAAUUUCGGGGAAUUAUUCGUAGGAGAAAAAUAUGACGACGGUAAAAAUGGUAAAUUUUAGCUAGUAAAAAGUAAUUUUUAUUCGGGGUGUUUUAUUUUUGGAAAUGGGUUGUAUAUAGGACUUGGACCGGGUAGGAGGCCCAAGCCUAUUUCUUCUUCUUCUCUCUUUUCUUUCUCUCUUCUCUCUCUCCCUCCCGAGCUCUCUCUCCCCCGCCGGUUUCCUCCGCUCAGCUCGCCGCCGUCCGGCCACCGUAGGCCGCCGCUCCGGUCCCGUUCGGUUGCCCUCCGACCCAGCUUCCAUUUUAGGCCGGUGAAGGCUGCCCUAGCGCCGCCAUGAAGGAGUUCUCCCGCCUAGAACCUCGGGCUGCCCAAAGUCCUCCAUCGCCGGAACUCCCUCCUCCGGCCACCAGUCUAGGCAAGCUUGGUACGGUUUUGAAGUCUCCAACCCAGCUGCCUUGCCCUAAAAGGGCUCACUCCGGUUCGCUUCAGGUAAGGAGAAAUUAGAGGUGGAAGUUUUAGGGUGUUUUAGAUGUUUUUGCUCGUUUGACCUAGUUAGUUUUAGAUUUUGGGUUUGUGCUAGUUAGGAAAGUUGUAGAGGGAGUGGAGAGGAAGCUACUGUUAAAAUUUGGUACGAUUUGGAGGUCGCCGGAAUCGGCCUCCGGCCGCCGCCGGCGCCGCCACUGUUUGGAAGAUUUUUAGGGUUUUAAAUUUAGAAUUCUAAGGAGCGUUUGUUGAAGUGAGUUAUAGAAUUUUUGGAUGAGUUUUGGAUAGGUUUAUGAAUUUCCGAAGUGUGGUAUUUUUGGCAGUUAAUUAAUGUAGAAUCCGGCCGUAGGAUUUAAGUCGUAUUUUUGGGGAGGUUGUAAUUACGGCUGCCGAGUAUGAUAUUUAAGUUCGGAUCGUUUCGAUUUAAGAAUAUCGAAGUUAGGCAAUGAUGAGCGUAGUUAUGGUUCUCGGUUAAUUUUGCCUAUUUUGUUUAAAUAUUGGAGUUUUAGUUGGGAAAUUAAUUUUAAAUUUGUGCCAGGGUUCGAGGAAACCUCAUUGGAGUGGCGAUUUGGAUUUCGUCGGGCUUAUGCCUAGAGUUGUGAGUGGACUUUUAUUUUAAAUAAUAUGCAUGCUAUGGUUUUGGUUGAACAUUUAAAAUUGUUAGAAUUUUGACGUCAUUUAAUUUUGACGCUUUUAUUUCUCUUGGAGAGUUACCGAAAAAUGGGAUUUUUCGGUGAGUAUAAAUAUGUAUAUUGAGGAGAGUAUGUAUAUAGAUGCUAGCUAGCCCUAUGUGUCUGUCCACUUUAAUGGCGUAGCAUAUAGCCGCAUUAUGGUGUGAUGUGAGCGUUGGACGCGAGCGUAGUAGCUCUAUAUAAGUGUUUAAUUCAUAUAGGGGGUAUGGACACAUAUUUAAACACCCGUCUGUCCAUCUUAAUGGCGUAGUGUAGCACCGCAUUAAGGCGUGACGUGAGCGUUGGACGCGAGCGUAGUAGCCCUAUAUAGACCCAUGAAUUUAUAUAGGGAGUAUGGACGUGUAUAAAUACAUACAUAUUUUAUAGAGCCUGAGAGGCUCGAUAUUUAUGAGAUAAAAGUUUUAUCGCUUGCAGCAUGCAUUCGAUUUUCCUUGGAAAUUGAUUUGGGGAAACAUAAAUAUUUUAUUCGUUAAUUUAUUUUUGUCCACUCACUCUAACGUGUUUCAAAUGUUUUCCCCUAGGCUCUUCGUUUUAAAAAUGCCCAGUUUGCAGGAUUGCAUAGUUGAGGUCGGGCGUACAUGGAGAUGAGGCAUAGUCAUCAUAUAGCUUCCGCUUGUUAAUUUAUUAUGUUUCCUUUCUUCCUGAUAGAGUUGCUCUGAACCUAAUAAUGGUUGGAUAUGAGAUUUGUUUAGAUUAGUAAAUAAUUUGGGUGGUGUUGUGAUUUGGGGAGCACGGAGGCUACAGGAGUUUAAGGUUGGAUUUAAAUUUUCAGAAGUGUUUGCAGGUAUUAUUAGGAAGGGUUGUCCAUUUUCAAGGGAGGUUACGCCGAUUUUUCGGUAAAUUUUCCUUGGAGGUGGUCCCCGCACGACUUACUCUAGGUUUUCAUGAUGAAAUUUGGGGCGGGUCGUGUCAGAAUUGGUGGGAGAAGGCAAAGCCCUUCCCUUCUUCAUUGUGCGGCUGCCUUCCAAGAUGAAGAGAGAAUGGUCUAAGUUGGUUCGGUGUGUGGCUAAGUUGAGAUGAGAGGGUUGAGGUGCCACGUGCACUUUCUAAUUGGCCACAAAAGGAAGGAGGAUGGGGUCUGAUGCACACGUGAUGAUGCUUUGACUUACAUAAUUGAGUAUAUAACCAAGUUAAUUAACCAACUCAAUGGUUAAUCAAUUAUUUGGUUAAUUAAUUAUUCUCUAAUUUUGUCAUUUUCUCGGAAUCACCAUUUUGCUCCAAUGUUGCACCAUUUUCUUCUGAAAUCCAAAUUUCCGCUUAGUUCCUACAAAUGAAUAAAAAUAGAAUAAAUUACAUAUUAAUUAAAAUAAAGAUUAGCUAAAUUCUAGUGUUUUAGUGGUAAUUACAUGUAUAAAAAUGCACGUAAUCAAAAAUCCACCAACCUUUCGGAUAAGGCUAGUGCAGAUUGCAAAUCUUCAACAUUCUGCCUUCGUAAUUAUUAUAUCGCCCAAGGUUGUAAUCCCGCCAUGAAGCUAAAUAGCUUAUCUUCUUCUGCCAUGUUAUGGAUGUUAAGUAUCAAGGAACAUAACUCCUUGAUGUACUCCCUUAUGGAGGAAUCCAUUUUCAAAUUCCUCAAUGCUUCGCGAGCCAUCCAUGCCGAGUUGGAAGGCAUGAACUGACUUCGUAACUCCCUCUUUAGAGCAUUCCAAUUUUCAAGUAAAUGCUCGUCCUCAUUCUCCUCUGCGUCUUGCACUCUUGUUCUCCACCAUAAUUUUGCAUCACCCUCAAGGUACAUUGAAGCCAUAGAGACUUUCUCCCAUUCUGGUAUGCGAGCAGUUUUGAAGUAUUGCUCGAUGUCCCAUAUGAAAUUUUCCAAGACUUUGGCAUUCCUCUCUCCAUUGAACAUCUUAGGCUCCGAGACUAAUUUUUCAUAUGAUGCCGCCCUCCAUGUUAAGCCCGGCAUUUGCUGUAGCGCUUUUCACCAAUGCAUGUUCUCUUCUAUGUCCGUCAAUCUUGCCUUUACCGUGUCCGAUAAAGCAUUUAAGUCUUGCAUCAUGUCAUGGAACUUGGUCUCCGCCUCAAUAACAUGCACCGUGAAUGCUUCUCGCAUCCUCCUUGUUUCAUUUUUCAACUCAUCAACUUGCAGUGAGAGACAAAUCGCUCCAUCAUUUGUUGGAUAGCCGAGAAAAACCUUGACUCAUGCAAUGCGGUCCUUCAAUAUGUUGCCAGUCAUUUACUAAAGCUUUAGACUUCUCCUUUUUGUCUUUGACCGAAUAUCUAGCGACUCCCCUCCUUUUAUAAGUGCUUUAAAUGUGCACCCGGUGCUUCAAUCCGCACCUUUUACUUUGCAACUCGCUCUUGGGUCCGCAAUGCAAUCUUUUGUCUUACUUGCGCCCUUCGUGUCCUUUAAUUGGACUAUGUUGGUGUGGUUCUUUAACCCCCUUCUUUUGUAUUUUCUUUGGUGCAUACUCCCGUCAGUCACUUGCACUUGGUGCUUCAAUUUGCACCUUUGGUCCGUAAUGCAACCUUUUAUCUUACUUGCAUCCUUCGUGUCCUUGAAUUUGGACUUUGGAGUGUCGGCCUCUGCUUUCACUCGUGCUUGUGUUGUAGUAUGUUAAGCCCCACCUAUACUUUACACCAAGCAUUGCACACCCAAACCGAAAAGGUGGCAAAGUAUCGAGCAAUUGUAGCUUUGAUGCCAAACUGUCACGGGCAUUGAGUACUCAGCGGAAUUUUUCUCGUCUCUUUUGUUUUUGCAACACUAUGCGAGGCUCCGUGAUGGCGACGAGGCUUCUCUGAACUUCGACCAGCCAACUCUAUCUCCCCAUACAACGCCUUGGUUCUGGUAGGCGAGGGCCUUAUCAAGCUAGGUCUACGUUAUCUGUGUGUACACUUCACACUUCACUCUUCUCCCGUCUCUCUUUUGUAUUGGAUUGCAAUCCUUUUUCACACAGGUGUGUACCUCCUUUCUCACAAGUUUUGGGAUUCUCUAAUACUCACAUGCAUACAUAGUUUGUGGAACUAGGCAUUCCUUUUUUCAUUGAUAGAAGCAAACUGCAAUUACAUGGAACUCUUCUUUGGUUUGCCAAGUCUAUUAGGCAAAGUUCAAAUCCAAGUUUACCUACUCUGGGCUACGCCCUAUAUAUAAGCCUACUCGAGUUUGGAAGUUACAACCCAACUUCCCUUAGGUAUAUAUGGCAUUAUACCUUAUUUCUAGGAGUAGUGAACAUCCCCCACUAUAUAAGUUUAUUAUUUACUUUAGACAACCAUCAAGAUAUGCAUAACUUCCUUGUCAACUAACCAUGAAAUCAAUAUCGAAAAAUGUUUGCACUAUCCGAUGAGCAUGGGAGAUUCUAUUGAGAAACGAGUUGCGAAGAUUGAGUGGCUCCUCAAUACUAAAUUAGCGAAUGAUUUGGUUAGUUUAUUUGCUCACAUCAAGUAUUUGAAGAAAGAGAUGAAGUUGAUGCAAAAGACGAGCGAGAUUUAUGAGGAAGAGCUCAAGGAGAAGAUGGAGACGUCCAUCCAAGAAAUUGAAGUCUUAUCGCAUGAGACAAAGGCAAGAGUUGAAACAUUUGACGCUAACAUUGACAUGCUAUUGCAUCCUAGCAGCAAUGGAGGCAGAGCAAACGCUGCUAAGUUCAAGGUGCCAAGAGAGAAAAUAUCAUCGUGGUAAAAUCAUUACAAGGAGGGGACGAGUUUGGACAAGAAUGAUGGCAAUUCAGACAAGGAAUGGAAGAAUCCAAUCUCUAAAGAAAAUAGUGGGAAAGUUGAGAAAAAGAAGGAGAAAAUCGUGAAACUAAGUGCACAAGGCGGUUAUAAGCAGAUGAAGAUAAGAGAAGACCAAUUCAACUCGAAGUACAACUCUCCACUAACCUAACUAACUCCCACAAGGAAAGGAAAACGUGGGGAUGAGUAUUUUAUCUGCAAAAGAGACCAUCUUACGUGGGACUGUUCAUUCAAGCAUUGUUUUAAGGAGUCCAACGCAGAUAAGAAGAAUUUCAACGUAGCUAAGGAGGAGAAAGUCGAAGAAAAUACUCAGAAAGCCAAGAUGUCACUGCUAAGUGUUGUUGUUGUCGAACCAAGGGAAGAGAAGUGGUGGAAGGGGUUCAAGGAAGCUCCGACUCAGUUGGAGAUGUUUAUGGACAUCCACAUCCAUCCGAAGGGGCAUGUAACAAUGAUUGCAUCACUCCACAAGCAUGGUGUUGCAACGCACAAGUUAAAGAGGCACGAUAUCGACAUCGAGGUGAAAGAGCUAUGUCUAGAAGAGAUCGAAAUCAUGGUGGUACAUAGAUGUAUCAGUCUAUGGGCGUCUAUACUACUGCAAAGCAAAUUCAGUUUGAGAUCAACGAUUUAUCAAAAGGAAGGAAGCACACAUGGCCAACCUAAGAGAAGGAGUUCGUUGUAUGCAAGGUUCAAAGAAGCACUUGAAGUCUAUGAUUUUACAUGGAUCAAGAUUGCUUCAUAUCAUGAGGAGAUGAAUGCCGAAGCCCAACCACAGCCACAAAAGGGAAUGGUGAUGCCGCUCGGAGAGAACGAGCAUGAGAUGAGAAAUCUGCCCAUAGGGGAAGAUCGAGGGGGAAUAAUGAAAGAUGCUUGGAUUAAUUUCCCAAGCACAAUGGAGGUAAUGAGGAAGGAGCUAGCCAAGGGAGAGGGCGAGCAAGAGGAUGUUGAGAUGCAAGACUUGGGAGGAUAUGUACCCAAGCAAGGCAUUGAAGGAACAACAGGUUGGUUCGACUUGGCUGCCAUGCAAAGGCAAGCAAGGUUGGACGACCUCGUGGACAAAGUGUGCGAUAAGUUGAGGUUCAAGGAGCAGAAUGCCCGAAUUGAUGAAGAAGCUUGUGCCUAUGAACAAGCAUAAGUGAACAUGCUGUGGGAGAAUCAUGCAUACAACGCGGGCUAGCGAGAAGGCGAAGAGAGUGACACCGAAUCCAUCAAUCAAACCCCAUUGACAACGAGGGCGUUGUCAAGAUCAAGUGGGGGUGGUUUGUCACACCCUUGAAAUCAACAAGGGAAAAUCCACUAAGUGUUGGUUAGUCUUGCACCAUACUUAGUCGGAUGAAGGGCAGCAGAGGUUGCCACGAAGCAAGAUGGAGGCGGCAAGGGUUCGAAGGCAGCAUCCAAGGGUCCCUGCAGCGUGCACCCUUACGGGUCUAGCAGGGUGUGUGGCAGAUCGGCACCCUAGGGCUCGGCAAGGUGCACACCUCAUCAGCACCUAUGGGUCCAGCAGAGUGUGUGGCAGAUUGGCACUCUAGGGCACUCCAGGGCUCGGCAGGGUGUACAGCUCACCAGCACCUACGGGUCCAGUAGGUUGUGUGGCAAAUAGACACCCCAGGGCUCGGCAGGAUGCGCAGUAGGGCUCAGCAAGGUGUGCGCAUCAUGCAUGCACCUCAGGGUUUAGUAGUGGGUCCAACAGGUUUGAGCACCUUCAUACACCUAAGGGUCGAGCCUCAUAUGAACCCAAGGGUUUAGUGGGUUGCAAGCUCGUCAAGAGCAAAAUGUGUGGAUGCGGAGUGCACACGCUGACGCGGUGACAAAACAGCCGUUAUGUGGAGGUUACCAAGGCCUAUCCAAAAGGUGGUUACCAAGUAGUGGGCAAUGGCAGUUACUUAAUGUUGCAGCCAUGAUCUGUUAGUGAGGAUCAUGAGAAGUUACUUCCCACUUUGGAUAAACAAUGUAGUGGGUAGCUACUUGCUUAAGUAGUGGGUAGUUAUUUACUAUCAUCCUAAGUCGGUUAAGGAUGUCAACCGUAAGAGUAUACUACUCUAUAAAUAGUAGUAGGCAAGUAACACUCAAACGAAGCUUCAAGUUCGGAGUUUUGUUGAGUUGCACUAGCCAAAGUCCUUUGUUAAGUAAGAGAUAUAUCUUUCUUGUAUUGAUGUCAUGGUUAGUUGUUAGUUUGUCAGCUGUGGGUGAUUUAAACUUGUGUUUGUGAACCCAUCAUUGGUUACUCAACAAGUAACGGAUCCUAACAUGGGUCAGAUUGGGGAGCUGGGGAAUGAUUUUUCCCUAGAGAGAAUUCUAUAUUAGGUAUGAAGUGACGUACCAUGUGCUUCAUAUGAUGUUGGGCAGUGAAUACUACGUAUCUAUCUAGAUUGACCGGGGAAGGUCGAGGAUGUAAUUCGUCACUCUAGUUUAGGGGAUUAUGAGUAUCAUGACUAUGAGACCCGGAUUCUCAUAUUUUUGUCGGUUUUUUGCACCCAUGGAACCUAGGGUCCUUGACUCAGAAGUUUCAGCAGGGAUCAAAUCAAAUGAUUGGAAGGGGUAGCUCCUUGUUUGCUACUUGUUGUGGUACAUGUCUUAACUAGAUCCUUGAGUUUCACGCAGGAGUUUUAGGUUUCUCGGAGAGCGAGGGCGACUAUAGGGAUUUCGAGAAAUGACAAAGGCAGUUGCUGAGAGUGGUCGUUAGGUUUUCCUACGGUGCAUGGUUAAACCCUUGUUGUUGACAUUUUGUUGUAGAGUGUCGUUGUUUUGUUAUCUUGAUUGAUACGUCUUUCUUCAGUGGGUGGUAGACAUUUUUUACCACUCUGAUUGUUUUUGCUUGUGUGAUAUGAUGUUAUAAUUUAUGUGUUGAUUGAUCGAGGCUUGGCCUUAGCUAAUCGUGAAUUUAGAAGUGGUUGAAAGUUUAUGAGUAGUGACGUAUGUAUUGUUGACGUUUGAAUGAGUCCUUUUUGUAGUAUUGUGAGGUCACCUUGUGAAUUGGUUGAGAUAUGACCUUAAUGGCUUUGUGUUAUGUAAUGUUGAGCAGUUAUUGAGUGAUGAUGCAUAUUCUAUAGCUCUAUGAAGGAUUUGUAUGGACUUGAUGACUUUGUGAUUUAUUGAAUUAGGAAGUGUAAGAGUUUGAUUUCUAUUGAGUGAUAAAUUUCUUAGUGGGUUGUGCUAUUGUUGUAGGUUUGUGUGGCGGCGCGUCCAGUAGGGGUUGGGAGGUCUGUAGUAUUUGUUACCUUGUGCUCGUCGAUACGAACACGUUGACAUGUCAUGAGGUUAUGUUAUGAUCAAGUAAUGCAUCCUAGGUUUAAGGUUAAGUUGAAAAUCGUGUAAGGCUGUUAAGCUAUGGUGUUCGAGCUUUGAAAAUCUCAUUAACUAUUUCAAUAGGUUGUUUGAGUGUUCUGAUGACCUUGGGAGGUCUUGGAAGAAGAUUGCUCCGCCUUGGGAAAAUCUUCGGGCAACGAUUAGUUCAAGGGUAUAAAGGUUAUCUUUUCGUUUUAAGUAGUCACUAAGGUUGUGAUGACAUCAUUUAGGUAAUUGACGUAGUUUGGUGGAGCUUGACCCUUGGACCUUCGGUGAAGACGCAGCGGGAUUAUAAGAUGAGUAAAUCUCACUUGGUUCAUAAUAGAACCGUAAUUGCUUUAUAGUUCAUUUAUCGUAAAAUUGUGAAAUUGUUUUCUUGGAAACAAGUUUUGGUUUAAAUCAUAUGAACUUGAUCGACUACAGUUCAUGGGUAAGUAAAAUGGGUUUUCAUAUAAAAAUGAUUUUAAGAGAUUUACGAAUAUGAACUAUAAGUUGUAAUAGUGGGGCGUAUGACUAUUGAUGUGGGUAUUUAUGCCUUGUUGAAGUGAAUGCAUUGUUGAUGUGAUGUUGUAAAUGGAGAUUUGUGUAUUCUGAUUGAUGUGUUGUGUGUUGUGUGUUGUCACUCUUUUUGGGAAUAGGUGAUAUCAUAUUGUGUUGAUAUAUUGUCAUUUAAGAAGACACAUUGUGUUGAUAUAUGUCAUUCUGAAUAGGUGUUAUCAUAUUGGUGUCGAGGUUGAGUCAAUUGAGACUUGUUUGAUGUUUCAAUUCUGAAGACUUGUGUCUUGGUGGUGAUUGUGUGUAUUAGUUGUGAGUGUGUGCCUUAGUGCUGAUUAGGUGCCUUAGUGGUGGUGACAGUAAAUCGAGAACCAAGCCUUGGUCGGGUGAUUGGUUACGGUCAGUUUAGAACUCUAGUUUGUCUAUUAAUAAUGUAUGGGGGAUGACUAUGUGUUGACGAACUCAUCAGUACGAGGUUAUGGUGUGUAUGGGGGAUGACUGUGUUAACGAAUCUAGAAGCACGUUUGUGAAUUGUGUCCUUGUGAGAUUUGACUUGCUAAAAUGUUGUUUUAAGAUGUGGUAUGAAGAAGAGAUAUAUGAUUUAUUUAUGAGUCGUUGAUUUUCCUUAUUUGCUUGCAUUUGAAAUUCUUUGCUUUUAGAAAACUCAUGAACUAUGUUUUCUGCGGGAGAUCCUAUAAUUUUAUUUGUGUGAUUUUAAACGGAGUUUCCUGAACUACACUAUUUGUAGGAUUCUUUCGAUCUUAUAUGAAUUAAGUAAUUUCCCGAACUAAAUUUUCAACGUAGGAAUUACCGGUUUUUAUCUUGAGUGAUUUUGUGGUUCGAGUCAUUUAAUUUAGAUUUACUCAUAUGAGCUUUAAAGCUUACCGGGUUCGUUUUUUCACAACCCGGUGUAUCAAUCUAUGGUGUAUGGUUUGAUCUUGCAGGUGAGGAUUUUCAGGAUUGAAACAUAAAGGUUUAGAAGCUCUUUUUGGAAAUGGAACUCUUUUUAUUAUUAUUGAACUGUUGAUUUGUAGUAAGCUCUUUAGAGCAUGACCUUUAUUUGAGAUCUCAAGUUAUGUAAACUUUAAAAUGUACGUAAUAUUUGACUCAAAGGGUUGGGUCUAUAUUGACAGUUUAAAAUUUGGUUUGGCGUUUUAGAUAAACGGUAAUGAUUUACAGAAUUUUGGAAUUUUGUGUGGUUAUCAUGCCUCGAAAUUGGAUUUUUAUUUAUCUAAAAUUCUAGGUGUGACACCAUACACCAAAGAGUAAGGUGUGGCAUUUGUAGCAGUUUGAUAUAUCUUUCUAUAUGCUCACAGUGCUUUCGCCCAUCUUCUCAUGCCAGUCUCUUCGUGACUUGCUGACGGUCUUCUUCAAGAUGUUGCAGAACGUCUUAUUAAAUGCCUCCACCAAACCAUUUGCUGGGGUAUUAUACAUCGAAGAAAAGUGUAGCUUGAAGUGAUACCUCUUGCUAAGUUUUUGCAUAGCACUAUUUGAGAAAUAAUUGGCAUUAUCUGUGAUGAUGCAACGUGGCACAUCAUACCGCUGAAUAAUACAUGUCUUGAUAAAGUCUACAACAAUCUCUUUCUUUAUCUCUUUAAGCAGUACCGCUUUGACCAUUUCGAGAAGGAAUUCGUGGCCGCCAAAAAGUACAUAUGACUGGCAGAGGAUUUUGGAUUAUAGGUCCCACAUCGUCCAUCCCCCAGACAUCAAACGGGUGUGAGGCAAUUGUAGGAUGCAAUGGUUCAGGCGGUUGAUGGAUGAAGUUCGUGUGGAAUUGACAAGCUUGACAUUUCUCUGUGUACACCAUGCAAUCUUUGACUAUUGUAGGCCAGUAAUACCCAAUUCGCCUCACUUAGAAGUGCAACUUAGGACCUGACUGAUGAGCUCCACACAAUCCCGAAUGAACUUCAUCCAUGGCUUUCGCUGCUUUUUCUUUUCCCAAGCACCUAAGGAGUAACCCAUUAAAUGAUCGUCGAUACAGAGUCUCCUUGUAGUAGAAAAAGCGUGGGGAUCUUUGUUUGGUAUCUUACUGUUGCUUCGGAUCAUCAGACAACUUGUUGUGUUCAAGAUAGUCGAUCAGAGGAUGCCUCCAAUCCUCAACGUCAAUAGCAUAGACGAACACAACAUUGGAACUUUCGUAUAAAGGCGCGAUCACUGUUGAUACCACCCAUCAUUGGCAAAUUGGUAGGUUUAUGAUUUCAUUAUUCGACAAUGCCAGAGUAGCUGCUAGGUUGGCCAAGGCGUCUGCCAUGUGAUUUUCCUUUCUUGGUCGAUGCACUAGUGUAACCACAUCAAAGCCCUUCAAGAGUUGUGUAGCGAGACGAAAGUAAGGAACUAAAUCCUCCUUCUUGACUUCAUAAUUAGUUAGCAAUUGAUCAAUUACUAACUUCGAAUCUUCGUACACUUCUAGAUUUGCAAUCUUCAUUUCUGAUGUUGUUUGCAACCCCAUGAUCAGAGCUUGGUAUUCCGCAACAUUGUUGGAGCACAAUUCACCAAGAGUGAAUGCAUAUGGCAAUAUUUGCCUUUGUGGGGUGACAAAGACAACGCUAGCCCCUACUCCAUCUACUCUCGAAGAUCCAUCGAAUAACAUCUUCCAAGUGGAGAGGACCUCCGCAAGAAAUACUUCCUCGUCUGGCAAGUCAUCUGAAAUCUCCCAAUCUACAAGAAUUGGGUGAUCCGUUAGAAAGUCAGCCACAACUUGGCCUUUGACUGCCUUGGCAGGUACAUAGACGAUGUCGUAUUGAUUAUGGAGCAGUGCCCAUUUUGUCAUUUGUCCUGAUAAGAUUGGUUUAGACAUGACAAAUUUGACUGGGUCAGCUCGUGCCACUAAAUGCACUGUGUAAGCUUGCAUGUAAUGCCUCAACUUUUGGAUGGCAAAGAUGAGAGCGAGAUAUGUCUUCUCUAUUGGAGAAUAAUUUAAUUCUGCACCUGUGAGAGUUUGACUUAAAUAGUACAAGGCCAUCUCCCAUGCCACCUCAUCUUUCUUGAGCUGUGAUGUAGAGAAUAAGAGGUUUCCCAUGAAUGAGUGCACCCAACACCAGAGGAUUAGCCAAUUACUUUUUUAUGCCUUCAAAAGCGUUGUGACAUACUUCAUCCCAUACGAAAGGCACAUUCUUCUUCAUGAGUUGACUUAAAGGUUGGCAUCGACCCGCGAGGAUUGAGAUGAAUGCGAGUUUUCCUUGGAGGCUUCUCAAUGCUUUUAAAUUUGUUGGCUCUGGCAUUUUUUGAAUGACCUUAAUCUUUGAUUGAUCUACUUCAAUGCCUCGAUACUUCACAAUAAAUCUAAGGAACUUGCCUAAACUCACACCAAAAGCGCAGUUCAAUGGGUUCAUUUUGAGUUGGUACUUGCGUAAUCUGUCGAACACUUUUCGUAAGUCUUGCAAGUGAUCACUUCUUUUUCUUGACUUGACAACCAAAUCAUCAAUAUAGCACUCGACGUACUUGUGAAGCAUGUCUCCAAAGAUUUUCUGCAUGGCGCGUUCGUACGUUGCACCAGCAUUCUUUAAUCCAAAUGGAAUGAUAUUGAAACAAUAAAUGCCUUUAGGAGUGCGAAAUGCAAUUAACUCCUCGUCUUCUAACGCCAUCCUUAUUUGGUUGUAGAUAGAUGAUCCAUCCAUGAAAGACAAAGCUUCAUGACCCGUGAUCGCAUCCACCAUGAGUUCGAUGAUAGGCAGAGGGAAGUCAUCUUUCGGACAUGCAUCAUUCAAGUCACGAAAGUCUACGCACACACGCAACUGUCCAUUCUUCUUUUCAACUACGACAAUGUUCGCAAUCCACUUGGGAUAUUGCACCUCUCUGAUGAAGCCUGCAGCGAUCAACUUGUUAACCUAUGUUUCAAUUUGGGUUUGCACCUCUGUUCAAAAAUGUCGUGUCAGUUACUUGAUGGGUCGAGCCUCCAAUUUAACAGUUAAUCAAUGACUGCUACCUUAGGGUCAAGACCUGGCAUUUCUUUGUAAGUCCAAGCGAAGACAUCUAUAUAUUCGAGCAACAAGUCAUAGUACUCCUUCUCUCCUUGGGGACUUAGUGAUGCGCUCACAAAUAUUGGUCUUGGGUCCUCCUCCUUCCCCAAUUGAGCUUCUUGAGUUCAUCAACUGUAGCUUUCACCCCAUCUUCAAGUUCUGGAGAAGCUGCCUCCACUUCAUAUUUGGAGCCCUUAUGGUCACCCUCUUCAUAAGCUUCCAUUUCCGUUAUUGUGAUGUGAUAAGCACAUUGAACUAUAUCACCCUCAUCGUCACUAGUACUAUCGCCUUUUUUGUCUUGACCAAUGAGUAUGAUGGUAUGUUGCUUCACUUUAAGUUAGUCAGUCGAAUUCACCUCUAACAUGCAACGUCUUUUCAUGUGUGAUGGGAUGAGACUUCGGAUUUCUUUAUUUUCUGAUUGACCAACGUCUUCUUUUCUUUUGCUCCCUUGUUGUUCUUUAGGCGCUUGGAUCUUUUCAAGUGCCAACUUUCGAGGAGUUGGCUUCACCUGUUUCCUUUCUUCGUUUGACUGUGACAACCUUUUAAACACAGAAGUUUGUGUAGCUAAGGUGUCAAGAUGAUUGAAGACUAACCUUCAACUUGUUGACCUAUCAACACGCUCAAACACCAAAACUCUGCUCAAGGCCGGCCCUGUGUGGGGAGGCUAUAGGCGAAGAACAUUUUGAGGCCCCAUAGUAAAAGGUCGUUAAAACAAAUCAAUAGAUAAAGAUCAUUUUCAUUAACUCAUUAUUUAUUUAUAUAUUUAAUGAUUAUGAAAAUAGCUAUAACUUGGUUAACAGAUCUUAUAAGAUUAAGGUAAUAUAAAAGAAUCGUAUCCAAUAAAAUUUAAAACAAUAUAGGGAGUCAAAUACUCAAACAAAAUUAAGGUGUAAAUAAAAGAUAUGAAACACAAGUGUAAACUAAAAGAAAGACAAAAAAAAUUAUAAAGAAAACAAUAAAAAUUAGACAUGAGAUGCUCGAACAUAGAACCUCUUGAAAGUUAACACAAAUGCCUACCACAAAAACAAAUUGAUUUGCAAUACAUGGUUGCACCAGAUGAUUUAUAUAUAGGGGCCCUUUGAAUUUGAGGCCCUAGACUUGAGCCUUGCCCGUCUUGCCCCAGGGCCGGCGUUGACUAUGCUUGUUGAUUCAGUAGUAGUACUUUGAGAACUUGGACAGAUGCGAUUGAAUGCCGAAGUGCGAGAGACAGAUUGAGUUUGUGGAACUUCAUCUUCUACUUCUUCGAUACUUAUAUAUUGCAUGCUUGCUUUCUCCGCUUUUCUUCUGCCUGAGAAUUUGAUUGACUUGCUUGGGACAAAACCAAGACCCGCCUUAGCCGAAUCACCUGUGUUUCCUUGUUCUCUUAACUUCUUUUGAGACUCAUUGAGCUCAUGUGCUUUCUUGCUGACACUUGAUCAUCCUCUUUACUUGACGAACCAAAAUUGAAUCCAGCCUUUGCCAACAGUUUGUAAGCAUUAGGGUCGAACCCUUUAUUUGUUCUUUUCAUGUAAAGGCCCGUGCUCUACCCUUCUUUGGGCUAGUUUGACAAACCCCUUCAAUGGUUGCUUGGUAGGAGUAUAGUCGUUCAACUCAAUAUCGACGCUUCCUUCAAUAAUUUUAUGUCCUCUUCACCCAACCUUCGAGGACUUAUUUGCUGCUUCACUCCCACAAACGGAGACUCUCCCUCGAUCCUUGCACUUGGACUUUGGCACAUAGCGAAUGACUGGAACAACUGGAUUGGACUUGUCUUUUGUAGCUGAUGCCACAGUUUCGGAUGAAGAUGACUCUUCAUUUCUCUUGCCUUUUGUUUCAAUUUCUUUCCUCAUCGCCUCUGUGGCCUUCCCUGUAGACGGUACUUUGACCGGAAGAACUUUUAUAACUGAUUCUUCAUCUGUAUAGAACUUGGAAUCCAUGAAGUAAGACUCGGCUUCAGUGAAUGACUUGAUAUCACCUACCACCGUUUUCACACCUCCACGAUAGAACUUGAAGCAUUGAUACAGAGUUGAAGAUAUGACACCAUUUUCAUGAACCCAUGGUCGCCCUAACAAUAUGUUGUAUGAAGUCUUUGCAUCGAUCACAUGGAACAAAUUGUUUGAUUUCAAUUCGCCAAUAACCAUGUCUAGCCGAAUCAUGCCUUUUUCUCUUUGCCCUCCUUGGUUAAACCUUGGAUCAUGAGACGAAUUUUAGACAACUCGUCGACAUUGAUGCUGAGUUGAGACAUUGUCGAUUUUGGAAGAAUGUUCACAACAUACCCUUCAUCUAUAAGCAUGCGAUUUAACUUUUGCUCUCACAUGUAACCUGUCACAAAAGAGGUCGAUUGUGCGGCUUUGAACCCAAUUGUAAAUCUUCAUCCGUGAAGUGAAUGGCGUCACAACAUGCUACGUAUGUCGUGCAUUUGUUGAUGUUCGAAGAAUGCUUGCCCAUAUUAAGCAGCAAUUGGACUAACGCACAUCUCGCUGAUUUGAACAGCUACAACAAGUCAGUGAGGCUAAGUUUUAGAGGUAAGUCUUCCCAUUGUUUCAACACUUCAUUUUCUUCUAAUCCUUCAUUUCUGUUGACUGUGUUUUCUUUAGCUUUCUCAGAAUCUUUGGAACCACCUUCAUAACUUGUUGUCAUUGAACUGGCUCUCAAACUCAUUCGCGCUUUAGGCAUGCACUUUGUUGGCGAGUUUUGAUUGAGGGACUUCUGUAUGCAAGGAGCGAUCUUCUCCUUCACACACCUUGUCUCAUUCUUCUCGAGCCAUCGACGACUCCCAUAUGGUUAUUUGUGUAACAUCCUGAAAUUUUGGUUUUCUAUUUUUAAUUGGAAAAUUAUUUUUCGAGAUAUUUUUAUUUCGAUUUCUAUUAUUAUUUCAAAUUCUUUGUGGCUCUCGAAAACUAUUCAAAUUUUUAGUUUAUCAAGUUUUGUCUUUCGAGCCCAUAGGAGUAAACUAGAUGUCGUUAAGAGUUCGUGGGAUUUUUUCAGAGCAUCGUUUGGACAUCGAAGCUAUUUUUAAUUAUUUUCGGAAGUUGAUUUUAUCCAAAAAUUUAAUUACAAAUAGGAUAUUUGCUGGCAUGAUCUGGACUGUUGGAUCUCUUAAGCCGCUAGAUUAGGCCAUCGAUUUGGGUAUGUAUAUACAGGGAUUAGUUUGGACUGGAUCAGUACAAGCUCAGACCGACUCGGUCUCGAGCUGCUCUGCAGCGACGGAGCUCAGCUCCUUCCUCCGUCGUCCGGCCGUCUCCAGGCGCAAAACCGAUGUCCACAGGUCCGUCUCAACGUCCCCGUCCUCAAGAUGUUCUUCGUUUUUGAAGAGGAGCUCCGGCGAGAGAGAAAAGAAGGAGAGAAGGCGAUUGUGUUUCCGAUCGGGUUUUCGAUUCCGACCACGACGGCGAGCGUGAAUGGUACUGGUAGCUUCGUCUUGCCAUCCUCGUUCUAUAUGUGGUCUCGAAAUCUUCAGAGGAGCCUUCAUGAGGGAGAAUCGAUUAAUUGAAGCACAGGAAGUUUCCCGGCGAGAGUUCGAUGUUUUCCGGUCACCGGCGAAGGCAAGUGAGGUAUCAAUCUUGAUCUUCUCGUCGAGCUUUACCUCUGUAUAUACUUUAAAUUGAGCUUGGUAGUGUUUGGAAGAAGUUGGAAUUUUAGCAGAAAGGACUGCCGUGAGUGCUGCUGUGUAUGGCGGUGGUAGGUGGUUGUUCUGGUAGUUUCUGAUUUUGUUAGUUUAUCGGUUAUGAAGGAGUAAAUUGAGAUGUUUGGAUUCGAGAAAUAGAGGAGUUAGGAAUUUGGAAGAUUAAAUUGUCAGCUGGGUUGGGCAGGAGUUUGGAAUUGCCAUACUGGGUUCUUUUGGUUUUAAUGUUGUCAAUUUGGUUAAGCUGUGUUGAUAAUAGUAGUUGAAAGUGGACUAUCAAAUUGGUGUUGGCGGAAUGGAGCAGAUGUCCAGUUGAUGGCUUUACUGUGCAAUUGCUAUUGUUAUAUUUGAUCAACUGAAAUGGAAGAAUUGGGUAUUUGGAAGGCUAAGUUUUGUUUGCUGGGUUGCUUAGGAAGUUUGAGAGCAGUACAAGACUUCAUAUGGUUUUGAAGUUUGGCAGUUUUAGUUACUGUGCUUGAAUUUCAAGUUGGAGAGGUGUGUUGACGAAUUGGGAAGUACGGCCAACUAUGAUGAUAUGAAAUAAUGUAUAAUGGUGAUUGUUGGACUUUUGUGUUAUAAUGGAAACUGCCGUAUAUGGAGACAUGUUCAUUGUGAAUAAGUCUACAAGUUACUUGUUAUGCGGGUGUAAAGGAGACGAGAAGAGUGAUCGUGAGUAAUAUAGGUAAGUUUUUUUUUUUUUUUUUUUUCUUCUUUCUUUCUUUUAAGUGAUCGUGAGUUAUAUAGGAAGUAAUUAAGAGGAUUUGGGUGUCUAUAGUGAAUUUGUAAUUGGAUGGGUGUCCUUGGUAAAUUUUAGAGAUUGAUAAUUUCAACUAGAAGAGAUUCACCUACUUUCUCGGAUUGAGGAUUUGGUACUAGGAUCGAAUGCGAAUAGUUGGAUUGCAGUUCCAAAAGCAGAAGGAUAAGGAUUUCAGAAGCAUGUCGUUGCGUUACAAAUUUUAGCUGGUGUCAUAACUAACAUUUGGAUUCCAGGUAGGGUUUCUCGGGGAACCUUUCUUUAAAUUGAUACUUAGGUUAUUAUCGAAAUCGGUGCAUUGUGUGGCAUUGGUUGAUAUAACUCUUGAAUGUUAUUGUUUUCGAUAUUAUUGAUAUCGUUGACUUUCAUGAUCGAUGUUAUCGCUUAUCAGAAAAGCAUGUAUUGAAUGUUAUGAUAUGAGUAUUGAUAUUCAUUGGCAUAUAUUACGCAUUGUGAGGAAACGUGAGAAUAGUAAGAAUGAUGAUUAUGGAGAGGAGAAUAAGAUUGAUAGAAUAAAUACAUUUUGUGUAGUUGAGUUUCCUCAUGGGUAGUCCUCGGGAUCUAUGAUUAGCCCACACGUGCACAAAUGCAGGGAAUGUAUGCCCUUUCGAUGGCGGACAUCGAUAAAACGAUCUUAUCGGGUUGUGAAUCGGGAAACCAUGAGUAUAACAAGAAAACUAACAAAAGAGGUACAGGUGGUGAGAUAUUACUGAUUGUUAGAUCAUAUAUUCGAGACAUAUGAGUCACCCCCGGUUGGUAAAAUAUACGGUAUGGGACGUGUAGGCUCACCUGUCUUUGAUGUAUGGACUGAUCAGCCAGUAAUCAAGGAAGUCAUUCAUUAGCAUACAUGUAUCAAAUUGUCGUUAUAUAUUUAAGGUAUUGUUUGAUUAUUUGAUAACUUGUUUAUGCGACAUAGUUAAGUAUAACUUAAAAAUGUUAGGUCCUACUGAGCGUAAGCUCACCCCUAUGAGUCUUGUUCAUGUUUGUAUGAGGACACGUGUUUCUAAAAGACUAACUGUGGCGUUAGCUUAUGUGUACAAGUGGUGAGAAGUACAGAAGAUUAGAAGUCAGUUAGACCUCAAGACCUAUUUUGCCUUUGUAAUUUGUUUCUGUUAUUGUAAACGUUUUAUUUUCUUUUAUUUAGAGAAAAGUAUUUGAAAUUGUUCUAUUUUCUUUUACUUUUCCCACUCACACCUCGGGUUCGACGUCAGGUGCUUGGAAACCAUCGACACCGGGUCGGAGGUGUGACAGUUUGCCAUUUGGCCGCGUGGGUGGUGGACUUGACAACACACUUUUGCACACUUUUCUUCGAGUGACAAGUAUCCAUCCUUCAUAAUCGUCGCAUAAGGCAGCUUUAAAAGUGAGGUUCACUUGCUGGAUUGGCUCCAUUUCCUCCAAUUUUUUUUAUCAUUGCUGGGGUCUCUUUUGAGAAAUGGUAUGGCGCUUUCAUUGGCGCAGAAGGUACUUGAACUAGCUCAAAAGACCUAAAUAAAAUGGUAGUGCAAUUGACCUCAACAACCUCACCAACAUCAAGCUCGAUUCUCCCUUGUCUGGCAAGUUUCAUGAUCAAAUUCUUUCAAAACACUUCUUGACGGGGUGGCUAAUGAUGCGAUGAAACUUGCAAUACUUCGGGUCGUUGACUCGAUGCAUUUCUUCUGAAGGAUUGCACUCUGGAAGUUCUAUCACCUUGUUUUCAAGCAAAUCCUCCAACAUGCCUGCUACGUCAGAAUCUGAGAACGGGUAAGUUUUUUGUUCUAACUCCAUCAAUGAGCGUUUUCUCUUCUCAUAGGUUUGUUAGUUCUACUUUCUUAGCCUCCUUGUCUUGUGUGGAGAUUUUGAUUGGAGCAACAUUCACACUCAUCGACUCCUUUGUGGGCCUUUUCAUAACCUUGUCAAAUUUGCUGCUGAAAACUUUAUCUUUUCGUUGGUCAAUGAUAAACUCUUUCUUUCCCUUGUGGCUGGCUAUGCUCAACUUUAUAUCAUGUGCUCGCGUAGCCAAUUCUUUAAAGGUUUGAGGCUCGAUACCUUGGAGAAUGUACAACAAAUCAAAGUACAUGACUUGGAUGCUCAUUUCAACUGCAGACAUUUCUGACAAGCGAUCUUUACAAUCAAGACUGAGCGAGCGCCACCUAUUAAUGAAGUCAAUUGCUGGUUCGUCCCUCCAUUGUUUUGUGUUGGUGAGUUCCAUCAUACUCACAGUACACCUUGUACUGUAGAAAUGGUUUAGGAAGUUGCGUUCCAUUUGGUCCCAACUGUCGAUAGACUCGGGUUCUAAGUCCGUGUACCACUCAAAGGUAUUGCAUUUCAAAGAGCGAACGAACUGUUUGACAAGGUGGUCACCCUCCAUCCCAGCGUGGUCACCCUCGGGUAAAAUUGACAUGUCAACAACGUAACAACUUGUCCUUAAUUGUAAAAUUUUGUCCUUAUAUGUGUAAGAUAAUGUGUAAAUGAUGUAUUUGUAAACUGAAAUUUGGUUAGUAACUAUAAUGUUAGACUCCAUUAAAAAAUAAAUUUAAUAAAAUUCAUGUAGAGAUGUAGAGUUUGGUAACUAAAUCAACUCGAUAAAAAAGGUAACUAAAUCAUCUAGAUGAGAAGAAUUUGGUAUAAUUAUUGCCUAAUUUGGAUUUGAGAAGAAUACAAUUGUAUUUUGACCUAAGGAUGAUAUGACAUGAUUUUUUAAAUUGAUUACGUGUUUAAGUGACAUAACAUGCUACAUAAGAUUAAGACCAUAAAUCUUAGGCCUUAUUAAAACCCUCUACACUACCCUAAAAACAAGUAACUGAAAACAAUAAAAUCUAGAUAAUGAUGAUGGUAGUCGUAAUAUGAACAGUCAUCAAUAAAAAUAACUUACGACAUAAUGAUUAUAGAGAUGGAAACGUUCAUGUUAUCAUGAUAUUUGUAACAAAUACUCGUAACUAAAACAAUUAUGUAAUAAUUAAUCACAAUUAUUGGGUGUCAAGAACACUGUUGUUGAUAGACUUAAAAUUCAUCGGAGUUAAGAACAUCGUUGUUGACCAUGUCAAAAAAAAACAUGUUUCACAUAUCUCCACAAAACAAAUUGUCGGUUGCGUCUUAUCAUUUGUCAAGAUGAUGACGAAAAAGGAAUUAUAUAUUUGACAUGAUCUUGCUCAUAUACCUUAUUGCCUAAUAUGAUGACAUCUCCAUGGUUGUUAACCGUGAGGGUAAAUUUCGGCAACAAGGACCUUGCUUAAGUAAUUCAUGCCAGAAAAAUCAAGACCUUCAAAGUCCAAUUUUAUUUUAUUUUAUUUUAUUUAUUUUUUUUUUUAAAGUAGCUUCAAGCUCAUAAUAUAUUUCAAUAUCAGAACAUUGAUUUUUGAUCUAAGUCAAUAAUAUACAUAUCACCUCCAACAAUAAAUUCAUAAAUCAUUAUUCAUGGUCUUAACUCUUAUGCAAUGACCUUGCACCAUAGAACACAUCAAUCAUCAUUGAUCCAAUUAUGUUCGUUUAGAAUUUCAUGUUCAUAAAAAAUAAAUAUCAAUAUCGAAACUUCAUAUUCGAAUCUAAUGAACAAUUAAUCACAUGUACAUGCACAAAACUUAAGAUUUAUGCAGACAAUUACAAUCACAAGUCUAAUGUAAUAUUGAACUUCAGGUUCAUAAUCUCGAAAAUAUAGGUUCAAGUAUUAUUAUUGAAACUUCAGGCUCACUAAUAUAAACAAUUGUAAAUAUAAAAUUAAGUAAUAUAAACAAACAUAUAUGUAGAAAAAUCAUGGAGAAUUAGAUAUUACAAAACAAGAGGAGAAAACUCAUAGAUCGUGGGUGUGGAUAAUAAGCAACAAAAGUUGCAUAAACAUCUUGUAGAUCAUUAUGGAGUUCAUGGACCGAAUGAGCAAAAAUGUGCUGAUAACGUGUUGUAAACUAAAUAAUUAGAUAGAAAGAAAAGAGAAAGACAAAAUGUAGGAAGAGAUAGACUAUUUUAUUCUCAUUAAAACUCUUUAUAUAAAAAUAAAAUUUACAUUGUAAGGACGUAGUUAAUAAGUAUUUACGUGGAUAACCGUAUAUAUUAAAAAAAAAAGAAAAAGAAAAAAAAAAAAAAGGAAUAUUAGCUUACCCAAACCUGUUAUCCCCGCGGAUGACAAAACAAGCAUGACCUUUUGAAAUGCGAGAGUAGAGUAGCCCACUUCUCCUUCUUCUUCUUGGAAGGUUUAGGGUUUAAGCUUAUCCUUAUCCGAUGAUUCUCCACACCACCUUCUCCGCUCCUUCUCUUUUCUCCUGCUGCUCUUCUUAUCGUGCCCUCAGGCUCCAUCCCUUUCUCUCCCCCAAACGACGCCGCUCCGUCACGCCCAGGCUCUUCACAGGUCACUCUUCUCUCUCAAUUUCUAACCUCCAUUUCUUGCUUUCUUCUUCUUCGUCCUCACGGCUCCUCCUUCCAUUUUCAGUUGUCGCCGCCGCCGCCGCCGAGAAUGGCGUCUUUACUUCUCCACAGACUUCCAAGUCCUUCGAUUUUGCUAACGAAGAGAGGAUUUACAGCUGGUGAGUUCAAUUCUGACCUACAUUUUCACAGUCGCGGAUUGCGAUUUUGAUGCGGAGUUGUGUGUGAUUGGUUAGGUGGGAGUCUCAGGGUUAUUUCAGGCCCAACUUCGACCGCGGAACUGAUCCUUUUGUGAUUUCAAUGCCGCCUCCAAAUGUGACCGGCUCGCUGCACAUGGGGCACGCCAUGUUCGUCACUCUUGAGGUACUUUUCUUGUGUUGUGCUAGCACAUUGAUCUUUUCUUGGUAUUGUGUUUGUUUGCUAAUUGCACAUAGUGGUGUGAGGCUGUACAUAAAUUAAUUAGUUGAGCCAAUAACCUGCUCUUGUUAGCGAAUUUCAAAGAAAUGAUUGCGACUAAAGGUAUAGACAGUUGAAAGCAAAGGUAAUUGUGCUGAAUGGUGAAAGUACUUGAACUUGAUUCGUGAAUGGUUUGUUUCAGUUAGACUUUGACUCCUUGAGCUCAGGGAACAUAUUCAUGAAUACGUUUUUGAGAGUAAUAAGGAAGAUCUGGAAUUAAUAGUGGAGACGAACAAUUUCUUCAGUAGUUUUUCCAUAUGCCUGGAUGACACAUUAUAUAUCCAAGACCAUUGAUCAAUUGGAUUCUAGUUUCAUCUUCAAUCUACAGAAUGUUACAACAUAACCAGCUAAAUCUAGCCUUUGAGAGAAAAGUACCAUGUAUUUUGAUGUUACCCCAUAUGGACCUCCUUAUGUUUCUGCAAGCUGAAAGGUAACCAAGUCUUCCACGACCUUUUAGGGGCACACAAUUGGAAAUUUUUGUGAUAUUUUGAUCCAAGGCUUAUAGAAGUAUUAAUUCGGUUGUUAUGACAUCCCAUAUUUCCAAUAGUCAGAUUUCGAAGACUUAGAUGGUUCAAGUGCUUGGAUGGCUCUUAUCUUUGUUCUCACAUAGAAUGCAAAGGAAGUGCUGUUCAUGUAUACGUACACUGCCCUUUAACAUUAGAGAUUAGGUGGAAAUUUACUAAUGAAGCUAGUUUAAGUUGGGUGAGGGUGAUACCAAGAAGGUGUUGCUAAUUGUUGAGCAUGCAGUUCAAAGUUCAGAGAAGAACGCGAACAUUGAUUUGGGGGAGGAUGAUGUUAGUGGCAGUUAUACGCAGUUGACAAAACAGAAAGAAUUUUUUAGGACUAUUGAGGGUGGGUGUUGAUGAAGUUUGGGCUGAGUUUAUUUGUGUUCUGCUCUUUGAGCCUUGGUCACUGUUAAAUUUAGGCAUUAUUCUUUGUCAGCACGACCCUUGGAUUGGGAUGCAGGCAUGCAGCAGUGUGUUGAGGCUUCAAUCUCUGUUCCACACUUGUUUGAUGAUGUUCUGUAGGGGAAGAAAGAACAGGGAAGCCGUGCCCCAAUGUGCAACUCAGCCUGUCUAUUUUGGAGAGAGACCUUGACAUCUGUGUCAGAAAUUCAGAUAGUGACCCUGAAAUUAUUAACUGUGCUGUAGUUUGUUGGAUUUGAUGAAUUCAUCUACUAUUAAAUAAUAUACCAGGAUUUAUAAAUUAUAUUUAUCAUUUACCUAUGUACCCGCAGAUUUCACAAUACAGUUUUAGUGCGAUAGAAAUUGUAGUUAUAUUUGUGGUGGCAUUAAUUUUCAGAUGGGUUCUCUAUCAUAAACUAUUGUAAUCUAAAAUUGGGUUGACAUAUGAGUUGCUCUUGACUUUUUUGUAUCUCUGGUGCAAAGAUAAAAGGAUGUCAGCAACAUUUGUUUAUGCUUAUAUAACCCAUAUCAGUUGCAUAAAAUCAAUCUUCCUAUAUAUCAACACAAUGUUUGCUGUACUAUCUGCUCUUGACUUUUUUGAACCUCUGGUGUAAAGAUAAAAGGAUGUCAGCAACAUUCGUUUAUGCUUAUAUAACCCAUAUCAGUUGCAUAAAAUCAGUCAUCCUAUAUAUCAACACAAUGUUUGCUGUACUAUCUUCUCUUUGUAGUUUUUGUGAUUCUCAGAUAAAUAGUUAAAAUCCAUACCCUAGUAAGAUUUCUACAAUUCGUAUUACUCUAAAAGUCUAAAUUCUAGAAACUACAAUAGUUCCUUAAGUAGUUUUUUGUUUUUAUUUUUAAUUUAUUUUUGAUCAUUUAUUCUUUUCUCACAUUAUGUUCUAGGACAUUAUGGUUAGAUAUCAUCGUAUGAAGGGAAGACCAACACUUUGGGUUCCUGGGACUGAUCAUGCUGGUAUAGCCACACAGGUAUGUCUCUGAACCAUAGCCCUACAUUAACUGAUUUUGCGUCUCUGAUCUCUUUCCUAAUAUGUUUUCAUAUCUAAUUUCACAAUUCAACCACUGGUUUUAAUGUUGCAACUUCCUUAAACUUGUCUUCUGUUGGGACUUUGGAUAAUAUGAUUGGGACUGGAAGGUGGUAGCUCAUUACUUGGUCUAGAAUAUAAGAGUAUCUUGUUUGAGGUUGUUUCCUUGUUGUCACAACUUCUUUUGAGUGAAUUUAUUAGCCCCAAGGUUUUUUUUAUCCCUUGUUUCAUGUGGUUUUCUUGUCCACUGCUUUGUAAUCUCUCCUUGGUCCUUGUUCUUAGAAAUAAAAUCUGGUUUCUUUUUAGAAUGAUAUUAUGUUUGGGGAUGAAUUACCUUAUACUUUUUGAUAGUUUAUUUUAUGUAAUGUGCUUUUUGUUUGUCAACUCCAAUCUAUAAAGUAUUUCAUGACUUCAUGGUAAUAAAAAGUUGUAUUAUUUUUGAAAUUUGUUACUCAUACUGUUAAUAUUUUUGUGCCAGUUGGUUGUGGAAAGAAUGCUUGCAUCAGAAGGAAUUAAAAGGGUUGACUUGGGUCGAGAAGAGUUUGUGAAAAGAGUUUGGGAGUGGAAAGAGAAGUAUACAUGCCUAUCUAUCUUACAGUGUUUAUUAUUUUUGCUAUAUAUGUUUCGAGUCAACUUUUGCAUAUGCUCAUUUUUUCUUACAUCAUAACUUUCCUUCUCUCUCUNNNNNNNNNNNNNNNNNNNNCUUCUCUCUCUCUCUCUCUCUCUCUCCUCCUCUCUCUCUCUCUCCCUCCUCUCUCUCUCACACACACUUUGACACACAAAUGCACACAAUGUCUCAAGUGUUCUCACAUAUAUUACAUUUGUUGUUGAGCUACAAAGAGAGAGAAAGAAAAACUAUUGUGUAGAUAUUAGGUGCUAUUUUGUAUUAUGCAAUCCUUUUAUUUCUAACUUCUAAGACAAAAUUGGUGUAUAGUAUAAACUGAGAUAGAUAAACUCUGGUCCUGACAUAUCUCCUAAACACACCUCUCUCUCAAGUCUAACAAAUCAAGUUAAAAUUUAUUUAUAAACUUCAUUUUCUUGACAGUGGGCUGCUCCAUGUAAUUGUUGUAAAAGAUUAGCUAAAUGCAAAUUCUCCUUCCAAAUGAUUAGACUUCAAUUAUUAUGAAAUCAUUUUCUUCUCUAUCAUCUUGCUUAAAGCAACCAACCACAAGAGUAAAAAGCGAAAGGAUCACCUCGUCAUAAAACCUACUGACCCCAAACUUCCCUCAAAGGUCUCCCUUUUUUUUUUUUUUCCGGAUCUCAAGCAGGCCACUGACUGUAGCUCUGAAGUUUUGUUAUCCAAAACAUAUCCAGAUAAUUCCUUUCAACUUGGUCAGAGGCUUUCUCAAAGUAUUCAUGCAUAUCUCAGUCUCCCCACCCUUCUUAGGUGGGACCAAAUACAAAAGUAGCACAUUUAUCGACAGUGUUCAGCAAGCUUGUCAUAUCUCAUCCUCUAGUGAAGUUUCUGCACAUUGCUUUUGUUUCUAUUGAUAAAAGAGAUAUAUAGAUGUUAAUCACUAUAUAUAUAUAUAUUUUUUUUCGUUCCAGUUUUCUACUUUUCUUACUGCUGUAAGAUCAGAGCCUAAUCUCAAAAAAAAAAAAAUCUUUGUUUCAAUGUAGUUCUUUAUAUUGACUUUGACUGACUGGGAGAUAUAAUAAUCUUCCAGUUAUUUGAAUAAAUUUACAUGUGUAGAGACAAGAUGAAUGGAGUAACUUACUGAAGAACUUUAAAUAUAUUUGGACUGUAUAUUAUAGUACAUGCAUACUAAAUCACAAAAUCCAAAAAUGCCAUCAAAGCACAUCCGAAACCUUAAACUAUUUAUGUUUAAAUAAUCUCAUUAAAUCAUUAUUCUCUAAUGAUACUUGUUAUGUCUAAUAGAUUAUUCAUAUUGAUCAGGUAUGGUGGAACGAUCACAAAUCAGAUCAAAAGGCUUGGUGCUUCUUGUGAUUGGAAGAGGGAGCAUUUCACCCUUGAUGAACAGCUAAGUCGUAAGGCAUUUUUCUAUCUGGUAGAACUCCAGUCAGUAAAAAAAAGUAACUAUAGGAUACUUUACAACACUGUUGUUGUGGCCAUGUGAUGUAAAGCAGAGGGUUUAUUGAUGCCUAAGGAAGUGCAUAAAAUUGAGUCAGUGUCCUCAGUCUUUUAUCCUCCCCAUGAGCCUUAACUAUAGUUUAAGGUAAUCAAUGACAAAUCUUGGUAAAUAAGCCAAAGUUGUCAGGAUUUUCUAGGGACUAUUCAAUUAAAGCGGUCCUGAAGGUUCCUAUUGUUUAAGCAUGUCCUGAUUAUGCUGUAACAACAAACAUUUAGAGAAAUAUCUUCAGUCUUUAUCAGAAUUCAGUAGGUACUUUUGUCCGUUCUAGAAUUUUAUCAAGUUACAAGAGGUUUUCAUGGUGUUUGGAGCAUACUUCGUUAGUAGUAUUUGCAUUUUAUUGAGAUUAGGUGAUAGCACAGCUAUACUUUUGGUGAUGUGGAUUGAAUAGCAGAGGAACAUUAAAAAAGCUAACAAUCAACCAGCUAGAGUUAAGAAGUUGAGGUCAACAACCUGGGAACCCUAAAGUACAUCCUGGGUUUUAAAAUUUGUCAUUGAUUUACAUCAUAGUAGGCUGCAAACCAGUUGAUACACCUAUUAAACAUGAUCAUAAGGUGGCAGCAAAUACCGAUGACAUGUCGGUAGAUCAAUGCUACCAAAGAUUUGUGGAAAAGCGAAUAUAUAAACUCAUUUUGGAAGAUCGUAUGGAUCAUUUGAUCUGGGUUUCUCAUAAAACUAUGCAGUCAUAUUUCUAAGCAACAACUCACAGAAUUCAUGAAAGGCAGUUUAAAGUCAUUGUUGGAAAAUCUUGUGAGUACCUAGGUUCAAUUAAACUCGACAGUAGCAACAAAGCGGCUAUAUGUGUCCUGUCCAUAAUCCAGUUCAACAUGAUAGUACUGAACUGGAGGAGUAUCAAGAGAAACUAAACGCUGGCUUGAUAAAGUAGUAUGAGGUUCACAUCCAAAACCAAUUGGAAAUGGAUGGAGUGACCCAAACCCUUAUAAACCCAUAGGCAAGUCUCAUAUUCCUGACGUGGGAUUGAUAUCUCAACAUGGCUUAGUAUGCCCUUUGUUAAAAGAAAGCCAGUUGGCUGAUAUCCUCAAACCUACCAAAGGACUUUCCAGUAACUCCUCUCUGGUCCUUUAUAAUGUGAACUUGUUUUUCUUUCUUAAAUAACCGUAUUAUAAUAGGUGAAACUGUAUUAUUAAGAAAAUGCAUAAAUCUCUCAAGGCUCAUAUUCUUUUACUCUUUGCAGGAGCUGUUGUUGAAGCCUUUGUUAGACUUCAUGAGAAAGGCUUAAUCUAUCAAGGUAUAACCCUAAGAACCAUUCAAAAUUGUUAUUCCCUACUCUGAAAAACAUGGUGGCAUACAAUUGCAUAUAGAAUACAUGACUAACUAUUGUUGGAUAGUUGUCUUUGUUUGUGCGAAUUUGAAAGAAUUGAACUUAAAUAUAGAGUAGAAUAUUGAUAUAUAUAUAUAUAUAUAUUUUAUGUUUCCCCUCAAGGAUCUUACAUGGUGAAUUGGUCUCCUAGUCUACAAACUGCUGUUUCUGAUUUGGUGAGUUACUUCUUGUCUCAUGUACGUUAUCUUACAGAGCUUUUCUUUAGCAUCACAAUAUUUAACGUGAGCCCUUAACUUUGUGACCAGGAAGUAGAAUAUCAUGAAGAAUCCGGUAGUCUUUAUUAUAUUAAGUAUCGUGUUGCUGGAGGCUCAAAGUAAUUCCAGCUGACCACUUGUGACUCGUUAUGAUUUUUUAAUUGUCUUUAUCUUAUGGAUUAUUUAAAGCUUAUACUUCCUAUUGUGCCAGUACAAUAAUAUAUUUUAUGAUGUUUUAGAUGGCUGCAACUUUACUGCAAUGAUUAUGUGUUAGUGGAUUGAUUGGCUAAUGGCCUACCUCUAAUUGGUAAUUUUGAUGCAUAAUGAUGAUUUAUAUGGCAUUUGUGAAUAGCAUAAUUCCUAAAAAUGUGUAUUGCAGUGAAACAUUAUUUGUCAACUGUGUGAUAUUGUUUGGUCCAAAAUCAAUAAUGGUUGAUUCAACAAUGAAACUGAUGCUAUGAGUAACCAACUUAAUUUAGUUCAUGCAUUAUUCUCCUGAACACCUUUACAUGAUUUUCACACCAUACUAUGUUCCAUGUCUGCUUGUGUGUGAUGAGUGUCAGUUAUAUGCUUGAAGUGCCACAACAUUUUAUGAGGGUCAUUAUGCAUUCAGUUUGACUGAUACCUCCUAUUUUUGUAGGACUGACUUUCUGACAAUAGCAACAACUCGCCCGGAGACUUUAUUUGGUGAUGUAGCUAUUGCUGUGCAUCCUGAGGUAUAGUAACUUCACAUUCAUUUCUUGGCUUGCUUUAAUAUUUAAGUGGUGGAUUGCCCAGGUGCUGACAAUUUUACAUGGUAAAGUUUAAGAAACUUGCACCAGUACUUAGUGACUGUUACUUUUAUUGUUAAUGUUUCUGAGAAGGACAGGAUUAAAUAUUUUUGAUUGCAUCUCUGAUCUUUCAGGAUCAAGAUGUAUCUCCCUAAUUUAUCAUAAAACAUGUAUCUUCAUUUUAAAGAAGAAUAACAGCUACAGGAUCAAGAUGGUUUGAAAAUGUUUCUUUUUUUUUUUCAUUGUAAACGUACAUGAUGAAUCUUGUAAGUUAUGUUGCUUCAAGCUUAAGCUAUAGAUUUAGUACACAGUAACCUUUAUAUUCUGAACUCGUAAUGCUCAUAGCUGUUGGUUGGAAAAUAUAUUUGACUAAUUUUUCAGCAGAGUCCUGCAUAGUUACCUUUAUAUUCUACACUGGGAUGACAUAUAUAAUCAUAUAAGUAAUGUUGGUUCAUACUUGAGAUUCAGUACAUAGUUACCUUUCUAGCCUGAACUGUAAUGCUAUCAUAGCUGUUUUUUUGAAGAAUUAUAUGACUAAAUUUUUAGCAGUGUUCUCCAUCCUAGUGGAAAUAUUGUCAUGUCCAUGCAAAAUCUGGAAACUGUUUAUUUAUUAUCUAUCCAAUUUUUUGUUUUCUUUUUCUGUCAUGCAGGAUGAACGAUAUUCUAAAUACAUCAAUAGAAUGGCUAUAGUGCCUAUGACAUAUGGUCGCCACGUCCCUAUCAUCGCUGACAAGGUACACCUUGUAGUACUAAAUAGCACUCUUUAAUAGUAAUGUCUGGGGCAGUGUUUAGAGUGUGGGGGCUUAUAUAGAAGCACACAGAUAAAGCAGUGAUCAAAUUGUUGGUCGAAGGCUCUAAGUCUUCAUUGUAAUGUAUAACGUCUCAGGACUAUACAUAUUUGUAAUCUUAAUUGAAAUGGCCAUAUACUAUUUGUUAAAUCACUAUCCUUUAGUCUCAUCACAUAUAAUGCCAGGUAAACGAAUUGAUAUGUAACAAUUGAUUAAUUUCUAAUCUAACAGCUGGUUGAGAAAGAGUUUGGCACCGGCGUGUUAAAGAUAAGUCCCGGACAUGAUCAUAAUGAUUACAACCUUGCAAGAAAGCUUGGUCUUCCAAUACUAAAUGUUAUGAACAAGGAUGGCACACUUAACAAAGUUGCAGGACUAUACUGGUAAAUGGUGCAUCACUUUGGUCAAGUCCUUGAGGAUAUGGAGAAAAGCUUCUUUAUUGUCUUUUAAUUUUUAUCUUUUAUUUGGCAUGAUGUAUGUGAUGCGACAAUUGUUGUCCUGCAGUGGCCUUGAUCGGUUUGAGGCCCGAAAGAAACUUUGGGCGGAUCUGGAGGAGACAGGAUUGGCUGUAAAGAAAGAACCACAUACCUUACGAGUUCCCAGAUCUCAGCGUGGUGGAGAAGUGAGUUGAUUGUUUUCCCUUUGGUGUGUCGGCGUCCAAAUAAAAUUGUAAAAUGUUUGCUUUACCUUCAUUGUUGUACUGUAUUUCCUUUCCUUUGUCUUAAUAAUUUUUUUUCGGUCUCAGGUGAUAGAGCCACUAGUAAGCAAGCAGUGGUUUGUAACAAUGGAGCCCUUAGCUGAGAAAGCCCUACAAGCAGUUGAAAAAGGAGAUCUGAAAAUUAUACCUGAAAGAUUUGACAAGGUAUGUAAAUUUGUGUAUACCUUAUAUUAACUCCAGUAGGACCUGAUAUACACAAACGUUUGAAAAAAAGAACUAGAAAGAUAAUACAUUUCGUAAACCUUUUCAUUGACCUUUUCAUUGACCUUAUAUGUGCUUUUGUAGAGAGCAGAAAGAGAGGUUUCCUAUCUUUUGUAUUGAAACUUAUCAACAAAAUAAGCUUUUGAAGUUGGUCCCUUGUUUUCUAUACCUAUUACUUAUAUAUUAAUGUUCUAUCUUUAUUAUUUUUGACUGUUUUCAGGUUAGUCUUAAAACAUUCAUGUUUUGUUCUCGUGUCAUGUUGUAUGCAGAUAUGCAGUAUGUGGUUUUUUGGUGUUGAAUUGUCCUUUUUGUUUUCUCAGUUACAAUUUGUUACCCACCAAGUCUCAGCCACAAAUUUGGUAAUAAUUUGUCAUUUUGAUUGAGGAAUAAUAAUAAAAUAAAGUUGUGGGCUUGUGGCUAACAAAAAAAUUGCCACCAAAUAGUUGUGUAUGGUUGACAUUACAAAUUGUUGAACCAAAAAAAAAAAAGGAAAGAAAGGAUAAUAACAACAAUCACGACUAACCAACAUUUCCAAGUGUCAUUGGAGCGAGCCAAUGUUCCUAGGAGUCGUUGGCUUAAGUUGUCCUCGACACAAAUUUUAUUUGUAAGAGCCAUUAGACUUGAGGGGUCGUUUGUUUGGUCCGCAAGAGUAUAGUGGACCUUUUUUGUUUUUUAUACUAUCCUGGAUUCCUGAGGUUGGGCUAAAGCUACACUAAUUAGUGCUGCAUUUGGUAUAGUUAAGUAAACCUAGGUUCUAGUUUCUACCCUUUUCUUUAUAAUUUCUUCUUUCUUAGUUCUGUUGCUUUUAAGAGAAGUUUACAGCCCAGAAAAUUUCUAGAGGCAAUCAAAGGUCCACAACAUGUUUCAUUCUAUAGCCAUUGAGUCAUAUCAAUCCGAUUUCUCUACCUUCAUCGCUCCCACCUACUUAUGGAACCUGCAACCCAAAUUAUACACCCGUAAUAAGUAUCUUUCUUUACUUUCAGGUCACCUAUGGCAAUACACAAUACCCAAUUCCACAAAAUUCUAAAUAUAUUCAAAUUCAUCCUGGGCUAAGCCUCCUAAUUAAUUCUGCAAUACCCAAUAAUACAAAAUUCCAAAUCAGUUGCAUUUUCUCUUAUUCAUCACUUUCAUGCAGUACUCAGACAUACAUCAACCAAAUCUUAAAAUUCCCACGAAUCAAUUCAGAUUGUUUUUGUAUGUGAGAUCACUGCAUGCAAGACCGAGAGCAAGGUAGUGAAUCGAUGAGGAAAGAAGAAGCACGAUGAGGGAGGACAAGGAGUGACGAGGAUGCUAGGACCACUGUCGAGAAAGUGACAAACUGACAUUGAUGAAGACAGAAAGCAGGGGUUAACUAGAGAUGUCAAAACAGAGUACUCAAUUUAACAAAACCUGAUGCUGGAAAGGGAAGCAGGCGGUAUCUAGUACCAUAUACUUUUAUACCCAUUGUCCAAACUCAACUCGAACCAAUUAAGACCUCCUAUUUAACAUAAGGCCACUUAGUCCUGACAAACAAUGUACCCUAAGACUUUAGGGUAAUUAGAAGAGUCAUUGUGGCUUGAAUAUGACUCGAACCAAAGUUACAUAUUAAAGACUUGUUGGUUUAAGCCGCACAGUCCAUCUCAACAUUUCCUUUUGAAAAGAGUAGUUGGGUUAAACCUUAGAGUCAUUGGCCUAAACUGACACACACAGAUAUGUGUGUGUGUGUGUGUGUGUGUAUUUGUUUUUUGUUCAAUUAAUUUAAAUUUACAGAGUGCAUAGGCUCAUCUUCUUUUUGUGCCUAUGUGGUUAGUAUCGUGUCCCUGAAAGUCUCAAUGGGCCAGAUUUGUAUUUUUCCCCUCCAUGGCAUGGAUAUCUAUGCUAUGCGGGUCCUUUUUUAUUUUAUGUUUUGUAUCGUAUGCCAUUACCAUUUCAGUACUUGACUGCACUAAUGGAAUGAGUUAUCAUCCCAAUUACUAAUUUUUUACUUACACUAAUGCCAUAUAUUGAACAACAGAUUUAUAAUCACUGGCUAUCAAAUAUCAAGGAUUGGUGCAUAAGCAGACAACUAUGGUGGGGACACCGCAUACCAGUUUGGUACAUUGUGGGUAAAGAUUGUGAAGAGGAAUAUAUAGUUGCAAGGAGUUUUGAAGAAGCUCUUGGUAAAGCUCAAGAAAAGUAUGGAAGAGAUGCAAAAAUAUAUCAGGAUCCAGACGUUCUUGAUACUUGGUUUUCAAGGUUUGUUAUUAUUAUUAUUUUUUUUUAAAUUUUUUAUGGGAAGCCAAUGAAGUGUUUCUCCUGUAAACACUUCUAUCAUGAUCCCGCUUCACUUUUUUAUUGUCAGGAAAUCUGUCUAAUUAGUUAUUACAUAUUAGGUCAUCCAAUUCUUUCCAUCACUAUUAAGGUGUGUUAUUUAGUCACCAAAUAGAAUAUGUUAGUUGCACUGAACGAUGUUCCAAAGAUUCUAUUUUUAGCUGGUUUGAGAUUAUAAUCUUAUACACUUGUUAAGAGAACUAAAUUGAAGGUGGAAACUGAGAAGGCUUCCAUGUGUUACUCAAUAGAUCUUCCCUGUGAAUUGCUGAUAUCUGGAUAUAAUCAAGAACCUUAAAUAAAAGAUAGACAGGGAAACUUUUUGCAGCAGUUAUGUUAUAUUGGAUCCCUGAUCAGGCAUAAUAAGGAAAUUAAUACCAAAGAUGUAAAAAAAAUUAUAAAAUAGCUGAUCAUCAGAAAGGAAAAUCUUGGUAAGCUAAAACAUUGAUACAAAAGUAAACCAAUUUUUGGUUCAGUUGUUUGAAGGGAAUAUAUACCGAUGCUAUAGUUUGUCUGUACUUCUGAAGCUACUUGUACCUCAUUCAAUAUUGUUUCUUUCCUAUUAAUGCAAUAAUCUAGUAGAUGCCAAGUAAUUUGCUGACCAUGAAUUAUAUUUUUCCCUUCUCAGUGCACUUUGGCCUUUCAGUACUCUUGGGUGGCCGGAUGAGUCAACAGAGGAUUUUAGACGCUUUUAUCCUACAUCAAUGCUGGAAACUGGGUAUGUGUGAUCACAUAAAUUUUUUCAUCCUUUUUGUUCAUAUAUGGCUGCCAUUUACCAUAAAGCUAAAAAUUUAUUCCCAGAUAAGGAAGGCCAGAUUGUCUGGCUAAACUGACUAUUUUUAUUAAUGUUUCCCCAAUGGAAUGUUUGUGAGAAGGAUUUUCUUUCCAGAUGGUAUAUCCUAUGGAAGCGUUUAUUAAUAACAUGUGGUCCUAGUUUUGAAAAUGAUGCUAAUGCAUGCCCCAACUUGUUGUCAGCUUUAUGAGCUGCUAUUUGGUAGAAUUGAGAAACUGAAGUCUUUGUAUAUUUUGCCGGACUAAGGGGGAGUUGCAGUAUCUGUCAUUAUGAAGUUUUGUGUGCUGCUAGCAAAUUGUAUUUAUGUAGCUUUCUGUGCCUUCGUUUCUGUUGGAUGUUCCUUUCUGCUGAAUUUCUUGUCCACUUUUAUUGUAUCAUUUAUUGUGAUUAAUAAAAUUUGUUUUCAUUUUUCAAGAAAAUAAAAUUAAAAAACAUAUAAAAAUAUGAUGUACAUGUCAUUUUAUAUUCCUGGUGCCUAAAUAUCAUUAUUUGGCACCAUUCAAAAAUUCUGAAAGGCUUUUUGUACUAUAGUUAAUAUUUGUCAUGAAGUUUACUGUCGUUGAAAGUUGUAGAAGUUGAAAUUGUUGUUUGCAUGUUGAACAGGCAUGACAUAUUAUUCUUUUGGGUUGCGAGGAUGGUGAUGAUGGGAAUUGAGUUCACUGGGACGGUUCCUUUUUCAUAUAUUUAUCUACAUGGUCUCAUCAGAGAUCCAGAGGUAAGUAAAAUUUCAAAUUGUUGAUACUAUAUUUGAAUUUAUCUUUAUAUAUUUUUUCCUUUGAAAGAAUUUAUUCCCAUCCUCUCUCAUGUGUCCGUGUGACCAUCUUCAAACUUGGUAAUGAAAUUCUGUUACUAAAAUAUCACUAAUUCGUGGUUUCAUGAUUCAUGCGUGAAUUUUACCUCUCGACUGCUGAUGUGUUUUCUUUCUUUCUCUACAUUCCAAUUCUUUUCCAACUUAAAUUUUUGAAAAAACACUAAUUACUUUUCAACAUCUGGAUAUGUAUACAUGUAGUUUGGUGUUAGAUCUGCAAAAUCAAUGAAUUAUCAACCACCUUUGUGUUACAUUUGAGAUGAAUGGAAGUUGUGGACUUAUUUUUGCACCAGCCUAUAGUCAAUUGCUUUGUACUCAAAUGAGAUUCGGGAAUGUUUAUAGAUUUGUACAUGAAGUUAUUUAAUAGAUUCUGGAUAUGUAUACAUGUAGUUUGGUGUUAGAUCUGCAAAAUCAAUGAAUUUAUCAACCACCUUUCUGUUACAUUUUAGAUGAAUGGAAGUCGUGGAGUUAUUUUUGCACCAGCCUAUAGUCAAUUGCUUUGUACUCAAAUGAUAUUCGGGAAUGUUUAUAGAUUCGGGAACGCAGAGGUGUAUUAGCAGACAAAAGAUUCCCUUUCAUAAAAACCUGCAGUUUCUAAAACCCAGAAACCAGAACAGAUAGGUUUCACCUACGGACCACUGCUUCAAUAUGAUAGUAAGGCUCUUCCGCUGAGCACAGCUGUAACCCAUUCUCAUCAUCUUUUAUAAGUCAAGUAAUCAAACUUAUAAGUCCUUAGUAGGCAUUGAAAAAGAACCUGUGGCGCUUGGGUCGGGUUCGGUGAACCAAAGGGAAUAGGAAUGGACCGAAUGAUGGAUUGCGACUGGUUCGGAUGCAAGAGAGCGGUGAAAAGCUUUGCCUAAUAAACAAAAACAACAACCAGAAAGAAAUAUUAUUUGAUCAUGGAAAUGCCGGAGUUCCCCAUGCUCCAAUCACCUGCACUUAGUUCCUCUUGACUACGGGAACGUGAGUAGCAGAUGCUUAAUUUAUGGAUGACUAGAUGACGAGGCGGAUGAAGUCGAAGGCGAAGCAGUGGAUUGCCACAACCUAGAUGGCGAGAGUCGAGUAGCCGAAAGCAGUCCUGCACUGAUUACUAUCUGGACAAAAUUAUCAUGACUCAUAUGUGUAGGAUGACUACUUCACAUAUUUUAUGUUCACUUAAUGUCUUACGUGUGUUUCUCUAUAGAUAUGUGGAUGGUCCCUCAGUUGCCACAACCUUGUUUGUUGUUUGAGGGUAUCUUUAAUGUAAUGCAUCUGUAGUUUUUAUUUUCUUAUCCCUUCUUUGAUAAAACAUUUUAGGGGCGAAAGAUGUCAAAAACCUUGGGGAAUGUAAUAGAUCCUUUAGAUACAAUCAAAGAAUAUGGAACAGAUGCUUUACGAUUUACUCUGGCUCUAGGGACUGCUGGUCAGGUUUGUUUUUCCAUGACUUCAUUUUCUCAAUGGAUAAUAUGUAUGAAGUGUUAUGCUUUUGCAUUUCAAUAGUUUUAUAAGCUGAUUUGAUUUUACUGUUCUUGCAGGACCUUAAUUUGUCCACUGAGAGGCUGACAUCCAAUAAGGCCUUCACUAACAAACUAUGGAAUGCUGGAAAGUUUGUAUUGCAGAAUUUGCCCAGCCAGAAUGAUGCUUCUUGGGAAAGUAUACUAAUGUAUAAGGUUUGUUCCUCCUCUAUUUUUUUGUUGUCUGUUCUUAUAUCAAAACAUGUAUACUACUUUACUUCUCACGGUUACCACACUGAGCAGUCAAAAUGCUGCUGCCAUCAAUCACUUAGCAAGUGCUGUUGAUGUAUAUGUACACCUCUUAGUUCAUUGUUCUUGCACUAAAAGCUUGUGUUGUGUGCUGGGAUAUAAUAAAUCAGUUACUAAACUGCAUUACAUACAUACUGUAUCCUGCUGAGAAAGAUGAAAUUUUGUGGGCACCGGAGUAUGUCGUUGGCAUGCUUAAUUCUUUGCUAUUAACUUACUAACUCGUGAAUGUUUUUUUCUUUUUAACCGUUUAUUGGUGGGGAUAUAGGUCUUGGGAUGAUCAAAAGAGAAAAUCAUCAACACCCAGGAUGUCAUCUAGAAUGAAAAUGUGAUAUAUAUAUAUAUAUAUAUAUAUAUAUAUAUAUACAGAAAAGGAUACAGAGCGGACGUCCGCACUCGGCUUAAAGUGCGGACGUCCGUCCGUUCUCCACUGUCCGGCGCCGGCGACGGCGCACCUCCACCCCAGAUGACUCCAGCAGCGUCCCUGACCACAAUCCCUCCUCGGCAAGUCCGUUAUUUUCCAGUUUCCGGCGAGAUCGACUUUGUUUGAAGUUUUGGGUGAUCUCACCGGAAAACUGGAAAAGAAUGGACUUGCCGGGGAGGGAAAGUGGUCGGAGACGCUGCUGGAGUGUUCUGGGGUGGAGGCGCGCCGUCACCGGCGUCGGAGGGUGGAGAACGGAUGGACGUCCGCACUUUAAGCAGAGUGCGGACGUCCGCUUCACAUCCGGACUGUAUAUAUAUAUAUAUAUAUAAGAAUUAAAUUCGGUUUACCCCUUUGUGUUUGGGGGUGACUUCAUGUUAGUCCCUACACUUUUAUUUUCAUCAGUUUACCCCUUGAACUCUUUAAUUUCUGUCUGCGGUGCCCAAAUUCUCAUAUUCCGUUUGAAUUGACCUUUAAUUAUCAGCAGUUAAGGUCCGAUUUGGACAUAUAAGGUCCGAUUUGCCCAAAUUCUAGAUACUGGCCUCACAGUUAAGGUUAAAAUUAUCAGCAGUUAACGUCCGAUUUGGACAGAAUAUAGGACAUUUGGUCACGCCCGAGGAAAAUUCAAAAGUUUGAGGGGUAAAUGAAAUUGAAAGUAUGGGGAUUAACAUGAAGUUACUCCCAAACCUCAUGGGGGUAAACUGAAUUUAAUUCUAUAUAUAAUAUAUCGCUGUCUCUACGAAUAGAUUAUAUAGCAUGCACCUUCGUUGUAAUUUGUAGUUGGGUGAGGCUACUACCACUACAGGUAUUUGAGUUGGAAAUUCCAACAUUCCCUAACUUAUGACCAAGAAACUACAAAAUAUAUGAAAUAAUAAACUCAGCGACCACCAUCAGAUCUACCUUCUCCUCGAUGGAACAAGUCCUCACUGCCACCACCGCACCUUCUCUGCUCAAUCCAGCUGCCACCGCAUUUUUCUGUUCCUCUCUCUAGCUGGAGCAAUCCAGUCUGGGACAAGAAGCAAAUAAUUGGUUUGAAAAGUAAGCAUUAUGAUAGUUAGAAGAAAAUGCACCUGUUGCUGGAUCUAGUUCAUGAAAUCAUGGAAAGCUAUAGAGUUACUGGAAAACAAACCAAGUGCUCUUCUAGUUCUAAACUCAGAGGACCAAUACAGGAACCUGUGCAAUGAGAUUAGGAUGGUGGAGUGCUUUAGGACCAUUGCAUAUACUGUAUUAAGGUGUUGAGGUGCUGUAUUCCUUCUGCAAUUGGGUGAGUGUACUUGUUUCAUGUUUCUUGUGCUUGAGUUGGUAGACCAUGACAGAUUCUGUAAUUUGGGAUUUAGUCAAGCAAUUGCUCUAUGCAGCAGAUGCAGAGAGUGAUGGUAGUUGUUUGAUGGAGUUCUUGAAAGUUGUUUGUGAUUUUGGUUUUCUUAUACACAAAUAUGUAUUGUUAUUUGAGCGUUAUAGCCGAGAUAUGGAGUUUACAUGUAGGUUGUAGGGGUAUUUUGUAGGGCGGUAGCAGGCCCACCAUUGUUAUUUUGAUAUUUUCCAUCAAAAUCAUGGAAUUUUUUAUUUUUUAUCCACUGUAGCUGUUGUUACAUCAUAUUAGAUGAUGAUGAGUGUUACCUGGUUUGCUAAUUAAAUCAUUGUAAUGCUCUUUCAGUUUGACAAAGUGGAGCUUCUAGACAUUCUACCUUUACCAGAACGUUGGGUGGUAAGACAAUUUUCAGGCUGUGUUUCUGCAUUGCGAGUUCAUUUUACUUCUUUCUCUAACCAGGAGUAAGCUUCUGCUUUUGCAGGUCUCGAAACUUCAUUUGCUUAUCGACUCUGUGACAGCAAGCUAUGACAAAUUUUUCUUUGGAGAUGUAGGAAGAGAGACAUACAACUUUUUUUGGGGUGAUUUUGCCGACUGGUAUGUCCAGAAUUUAAUUCAAAAUGUUUUCCAUAAGAUUUAACAUGAGAAGGUUAUUAUAGGAAAAUCACCAAACUUUUAUCUGAGAAAGGUUUGACACAAACUGUAUAAACAUUUUACUUCAACAACAUUCAUCAAGUAUGAUGAAUUGAUGAGUUAUUGCCUCGAGUGCUGAGACACCAUUGAAACUGUGGAUGACUUUAGUUCUUCAUAGUGUUUGGUAUUUUUCGUACAGAACUCAAAUGAAGAGGCGUAGAAUCUGUACAGCUUUAAAACUGUGCAUAAUAGAGGUUCUUAGCUGAUAUGUGGCGUGCUAAACUCACUCCGCAUUCAACAUAUUACAUUACUUGUACUCCACAUAUAAUUAGAAGUGCAGUGCAAGUGUGAAAGUGGAGUGCCAAGAUCACUUCCUUAAGCUGCUGGACUCUAGUGGUUGUCUAAAAUGAAAGUUCAUUAGAGAACAGUAGGAGGAAAACAAAGAAGAAAGUAAAAGGUGGAGACACUAAGGGGGUAGAUAGAGUUUUAACUGAAAAAGUUUUAUGUAAAAAAAAAAUGUCUAUAGUUAUGCUAUUACUUUCUUUUUUUUUCUUAAUCUUGAGAUUUUUGUCCCUGAACCUUCUCUAUUACCACUGUUUAUGUAUCCAAGGUCAUAUGUUGUAGUAGUCCUAUGUCUGUUGUAUGGUUGUCUAUUCAAAGUUAAUAUAGUUUCAAUCUACAUCCUGCAGAAGCUUAUUUCCUAAUGCCCAAAAGUGAAAAAACUUUUUUUAUUUUUUUUGUUUUUCAUUUCUUUCUUCAGAAGUUUCUAUCUUCAUUUUUGGUUUCAAGAGGUAUCCUGUUGCUUCUUUAUUGAUCUCUUCGGCCUGAAUCGGAUGUGCUGAAUUACUGCUGUGCAUACUAUUAACUUCUUGCACUUCUCCAGGUAUAUUGAGGCCAGCAAAGCUCGUCUUUCCCAAUCUGGUAGUGUCUCUGAGGCUUCUGUUGCUCAGGCAGUUCUAUUGUAUGUUUUUGAAAACAUACUUAAAUUGCUACACCCUUUCAUGCCAUUUGUAACUGAGGAACUCUGGCAGGUAAAUGGUUCAAGGAUAUACAUGAUAACUUGUAGUAAAUUGAAUUGCUUUACCUACAAGGUAGAUGUUGGUUUUAUAAGUUUGUUCAUGUUUCUUGUGAUGUGUAAAACUUUUGUCAUGAUUUGGUGUCUCUAGGAUACAUGUGAAAAUGUCUAGCAGAGAACAUAAUGUUGUUAUAUCAUUCUUCUUUCUAAUGAGGUCUCUAGAAAUUGAAAUAGGGAAUGACUUGGUGGAGUUUCAAAUUGUAGUCAAAUUCGUACUGAAGUCUUUGAAAGCUUGUUUGUUGAACCCUUUGACUUGGAAUUGGAAUAGAGUGGUUUUCAGAAGUUUGGUUUUGGAGGGUUAUCUUGAACCCUUUGUUCCUGUCUCAUUUGUCAUAUCCUCGAAACUAUUUUUAUUUCUGAAAUUUUUUAGCGCUAUACUUCUUUGAAUGGGGUCUUAAAAUUAAUUGAAGUCUGAGCUUCUAUUUGAAGAAGUUACCAAAGGAGCAUCUCGGUAGUCCUACUUGUAUCACUUAAUUGAUAAUAAAGAACAUAUUUAAGUUCUUAACAAAAUAUUAUGUGCCCAUUAAUUUGCAUGAUGUUUGCUCCAUUUCUCACCCUACAAUAAAUAUACAUGCGUAAUUACUUUUACCUAUGGAAGCUGGUCACUUUAACCAAUAUAGUUGGCGGGCAUUUCAUUUUGAUUUGACGACUGUUGUCUGUGGUUGGAAUAAAGCUACAAUUUUGUGGACAAUCAUUCUUUUCUUCAGAACAGAUAUAGCAGGAGGUGGUUUUCUUGGGAAAAUUAUUUUGUUUGUUUUUUAGGUUUCAUUUUUUCCUGAAUAUCUCUAAAUUCCACUUCAUACAUAAAGACAAUUUUAUCUUGGAAUUUAGGGUGAUUUUUGUGCUUUUUUACUCCAUUGUAAUGCAAUCCAUCUUUUUAUCUGUAUUUCUUCCUGAUUCUAUAGAUAUCUAUGGACAAUACAGGCACUCCCCAAUCGAAAAGAAGCCCUUAUAGCAUCUCCAUGGCCACUGACUUCCCUUCCAAGGCAAAUCAUCUCAAUUAAAAAGUUUGAAAAUUUACAGGCCUUGGUGAGUAUAUAUGUUCCUUCUUGUCUCUUUCUUAUUGUUUACGCAACAAAUGGAAUUUUAUUUAAUUAUUUUAUUUAUCUACUCUAUGUUUUUCCCAUAUUCAAUGUGUUAGUUAUAUCACUGAUGCUACCUUGUGAUUCGUAGACUAAAGCCAUUCGGAAUGCACGAGCAGAAUAUUCUGUUGAGCCGGUAAAGCGUAUAUCAGCAUCAAUAGUUGCAAAUGCAGAAGUUACUGAAUACAUAAUGGUAAGUAUCUAGGCUGAUUACAAUAUAAGAGUACCGAGGUACUCAUUCCAUGUCAGUCUUUUCAAGUUGAACUCGGGGAUAUGAAUUUCAGCACUCUUGCAAUCAUCAGAAACCCAUCAUAUAGAGCUGUCCAUGCCCCAUAAGCCUUGCUUUGGUCUAGGUUUCAGUAGCCAAGCAUGGGCCCUAGAAGGAAAAAAUCUUGUCAGUCAUUCUUCAAGGUUCAUGUGUCAAAACUAUGGUUGCCAAAAGAAAAAGAAAAUUUAAAAAAUUGAAGAUUUAUAAAUUCCAGAUGACUAGUUGCUCUGCUUCUUUCGAAGUGUACAUAUCCAGAUGACUAGUUGCUCUGCUUCUUUUGAAGUGUACAUAUGGCCAACAAUUUUAACUUUGGUUGCUUUAUAUUAUUUUUAUCAUCUACAUAAUUACUAUUAGCAUUAGUCAAACUUAGGGUUAUGGUUUUAAAUCUACUUUAUGAUGCAGAAAGAAAAGGUGGUUUUAGCUCUCCUAUCCAGGCUAGAUUUGCAAAGCAUCAAUUUUACAGAUUCUCCACCAGGCAUGUUCCUCUCUAUUUAGUUUCAGUCGGGCAAGUAUAUCCAUUCUUACAAUGUGACAGUGAGCCAUUAUUUUAAUGAAUUUUAUGUGUUUUACUUCAGUGAAUGCCGAUCAAUCAGUCCACCUUGUUGCUGGUGAAGGACUCGAAGCAUAUCUUCCUCUUGCGGAUAUGGUUGAUAUCACUUCUGAAAUCCAACGGCUUCAUAAGCGACUUUCCAAAAUGCAGACUGAAUAUGAUGGACUCAUAGCUCGGCUCAAUUCUCCUAAAGUAAGAGUUGGUCUACAUGAGUUUACUUACUUUCAAGCACUUAAAUUGAUAUGCAGUUUCCGUUUCUAUUUAUCUGAGGGUCUAUUUGGAUGACAGGAUUUAUAAUGUUGGAUUUGGAUUCAAUGGUUACUGACAUAUCCAUUUCUCAUCUUUAUAAAGUCAAAUGUGUGUGUGUGUGGGAAAACGGAGAAUUCAAUACUCUGGAAAAUGUGUCUCUCUAAAUUGUUUAGAUCAUAUAUACUACUCGAUUUAUAACAAACAAAGUGAUACUUUAUUUUCAUAUUUAAGCAUUUAAAACGGAGUUACCGAAAAUUUAAAAUUCUGUAAUUUGACUUGUUGUACAUGUAUUUACAAAAAAAAAGAAAUUAAGAAUUUCAGGCAGUUCUUCUGAGUAGACAAUCUGACAGUCCACCUCUUUUUCUUUACUAUUUUGGCCACAAAAUCCUGUUUGAAUCUUUUUAUGGAUUUCAUUUGUAAUUUAAUAUUUUUGAAGGUCCAUCAACCAAAUUCAACUAUAGUCAUGAAGAAUGUGUUUUUCAUUUCGAAUCCAGUUAUGUACCGUACAUUUGGGUCCAUUUAAAGUUUGCAGUCCGGGGAUGUUUUUUGUUUUCUUUUCUUUUAUGAUAGGAUUAUAAAGAUCAGUUGCUUGAUUGAACUUAACAUUAUAUCAUGAGAUCUGUUUGAGAUAUGUUCUUUCUAGUUGAUUCAAAUACAAUAUCCAGCUUGUAAUAGUUUUCUCCAUAAAUCUGUUCUUGAGAAAUCAAAUUCUUUUAUUUAAUCGUUCAAUCCAUAGGAAUUAUGAAUUUCACUCAGAAAUCUAGAUCUAAAAUGGGAAGACAUGCAAGUGUGUUUUAGUCAUAAACAAGAAAAUAAAGUCCAAUAAGUGAUUCGCAGAAUCAACAAGAUAUCAGAAUAUGUUUACAUAGUGUUUUAAUGUGAUGCUUAAACUGUUGUGUCCUUUGUUUAUUUGUUAUGGUAUCUUCCCGUGUCAUUAUGGUUGGUGGUUGCACUAGUACCAUGUACCUGUUACCACAUCUACUUUAUCCUAUCAGUUCAAAGAGAAAGCUCCUGAGGAUAUUGUUCGUGGAGUUCAAGAAAAAGCAGCAGAAGCCGAAGAGAAGAUUGCUCUCACCAAAAACCGAUUAGCAUUACUUGAAUCGACUGCUCUCGUUACAUAAAAUGAUAAUGCUUAAUUCCAGGCACCAAUUUGGCUGGAUGAUGAUCUCAUUUUCGUAUCAAAAUGGUAUGUGCACCUUCAGAGAAAAGUAGACUGAGAUAUAUUUCAAGAAGUCUAGAAGGAAAGCAGGUCCCUCAUUCAAUGCCAAAUGAAAGAUAUCGAAGCAGUAGAUAGAUUGCUUCUUUUUAGUGACAUGUGACUUGUUCUGUUUUUUCUAAAACAAAAGCGCCCAACAGAUUCAUGGUCAAGUCGGUUAUUCAGCACCAUUUUGUUAAAUUCAAAUGUAAUUAAUUGUAAAUUUUGUGUCAUUUUUACUAGUGUAGGUAAAGCCUGUAUGCCAAUGACCAGAGGCAACUUCCCGAAAUAUGAGCUAGUUGUGAAAUAUUGCUUGUUCAAUGAUUGAUAAGCUACAGGUAGAGUGAGAGCACCGUUUCUGCAUUGUUGAAUGGUGUAGUUUACAAAUAUCGAUUUGCUAAACUAUGGCGAUGAUUUACUCAUUUGAAAGGUAGAACAAUUAACAUUAAACACAUGAACUUCUCGCGCACAUGCUGAACUACUGAACGAUAUGCCUCGAUCUUAUUCAGACUAGUGACUACUGACUAGUGAACUUUAUUGAUCCAAUAGUUGAUUUGUUAGUUACAAUGUUUUUAAGUUGGGUACCAAUGCGGGUCAGCAGAACAAUGGACACCAGCAAAAGGUACGUCAGGGAUUUGACCGGAAUGUGGAAUCGGGAAUUGAGAAGGCCCAGAUUGGGUAUGGGGCACCAUCCAAGCAAGAGAGGAACUGAGCGAAUUGUGUCGCCGUGACAUCAGGUAUGGAGGGGCGACUUGCUGCCGAUACUGGGAGGAUGAAUGGUGCGUACCGAAGUAGCGGUUGUAAGGUGGUUGGGAAGUCGCCGACAUGAUGAAAUAUGGGAGCCAUUUGCGGCAGAGAAGAUUUUUUAUUUUUUUACUGUAGAAAUUUCAUGGAUUUUUGGGUGAUGGUAGAGGAGGAGAGGUAGGAUAAAGGAGGGCUAUGAAAGCUGAAUUGAAUAAAAAAACUAGACAUAUCAAAUGAGCAGCGAAUUAGGACGUGGAUAGAUGUAGGAGAAGGACAAGAACAAGCUGAGUUGAGGGACAAAAUAAAAGGUAGGAAAAGGAACUAUUUACUGAGGUCAGCCUAUCAGAUAGCUGCAUACGACAAGUCGUACAGAAAAGUCGAUAUAUCCCAAAGCAAUGAAACUGACUCCAGAGUCCAGAGAGGAGAGCUCGUUCUUGUUCAGCAUCACUGAACCAGGGAUAUGAAACGAAAAUGAAACCCUCUUCUUCUUCUUCUUCUUCGUCGUGCGGAUUAAGCACGCCGCUUACCAUUCUGUUCCAGUCGUCGAGACCCAAAGCCUGCGACAACCGCAACAGCAACGAUUCUCUUCUCAGAGACUUGGCCGCUCGAGAGUUCAACGCCUUCCUCUGGAUCGCUCUCAUCGCCGUCACCGCUCUUCUGCUCCGCGAACUCGUCCAGGUGCACCGCUCAUGGGCCUUAGCCAAGCCCAUCCCUGGCCCUCCUUGCCCCUCUUUCUACGGCCACUUCCGCCUUCUUUCCCGCCAAAACCUCACCGGUUCGUUCAAUUUCCUUCUCUUUACUCUAAUUGGAACUAAGUAGGUUAGUUUUAGUGAAUUGGAUGCUGAAUUUGAAUUUGAAUUUGGCAAUUCAGAGGUGUUGGCUGAUUUUCACAAGAAGUAUGGCUCCGUUGUGAAGCUGUGGCUGGGACCGACUCAGCUUUUGGUAUCGAUAAAGGAUCAGACUCUUGUCAAAGAGAUGCUGCUCAAGGCUGCGGAUAUGUUGCCUAUGACUGGGAGGGCUUUCCAGUUGGCCUUUGGAAGGUCAACUCUGUUUGCUUCUUCUUUCCACCAGGUAGCACCCACCUCUUGUGCUACUUUACUAUUUUUAUAGCUUUGCUUUUGUUUUUAGUACAGUGAUUCAUGUAAGCAUGGCUCCAUAAAUGGAUAUUCUUUGAUCACGUGAACCUUUUAUGAUCCUUUUUGGUCUUGUGUGGAACGUUGACGCGCUGGUUUCCGAGCGUGCGAUAAUUAUGAACCCUGUUUUGACAAUUGUAAUAUUGGUAGAUAAAGUUCGAUCAAUCCGGGGACUUCAGGGUGCUCUUGCGUUUACAAACCUAAACAUAUUAGAAUCUAAAAUAAGAGUUAUUUACAUAAUAUAAACAACAAUUACAUUUAUAUGAUUUCGGGGGGGGGGAGGGGGGGGGGGGAGGGGGGAUUUUAGGGUUUGUUCUAACAUUCUUACGAAAGCAGUAAAGAAAAGAUACUAAACUAUGUACAAGUGAUCAUCUUCCACACACACACAACCUUCAAACAACAAGUAUGUAUCGAUAUAUUAUCAUGUGAAUAAUAAAAAUGUUGUCAAGCAAGAUAUGUCAAUGAACCCGAAACACAAGCUUGAAGAAGUCAUUGCAUUCCAUCGAAUUCUACUUAAUAAUCGUCAAUGAACCCGAAACACAAGCUACUUGGGAAUCAGAGGAGCAAAUGAUGCAACAAUAUCCGUAUCUCUUCGGAUGACAUGUAUAUUAAUUUCGAGGACGAAAUUUUUAUAAGGAGGGGAGAAUUGUCACAUCCCGACCCUUAUAUUUUUACCUUAUUUACUAGCGUGAUUAUAAUAAGAAUUUUACCGUCUCGAUCAUUGAGUAAAUAGUUUAAUUGGUCCCUAGAGGGGUUUCGGGGACGAUUAUGUGCGGAGGAUAAUUCGUAUGAGGAAAAUACGACGACGGUAAAAAUGGUAAAUUUUAGCUAGUAAAAGGUAAUUUUUAUUCGGGUAUUAUUUUUCGGGGUAUUUUUAUUUUGGAAGUUUGGGUUAAAAGGGAGAGUUGGGUCGGCUGGGCCGAGCCCAACCCAUUUCUUCUUCUUUUCUUUCUCUCUCUCCCUCCCGAUUUCCUCUCCGCACCCGAGCCUCCCGCUGCCCGGUUUUCCGGCCGCCCUCCCGCCGCCGUCCGGCCUCCGUUCGCCGCCGGACCAGUUCCGUUCGGUCGGUCUCCCUCCCAGCAACAUUUCUAGACCGGUGAGAGGAGCCCUAGCGCCGCCGUGAAGGAGCGGUGCCACCCGUAAGGUCCGACUGUCCAAACCUUCACUUCGCCGGAACUUCCUCCUCCGGCCACCAAUCCGGGCAAGCUUGGUAUGGUUUUGUAGCCCUCCAACCCAGCAACCUUGCCCUAAAAGGACUCACUCCCUCUUGAGCUAGGUAAGGAGAAAUUUGAGGUGGAAGUUUUAUGGUGUUUUUGAUGUUUUUAGUCGAUUGCCCUAGUUAGGCUUGGAAUUGGUGUUUAUGCUAGUUAUGAAAGUUGUAGAGCUUGAUGAGAGGAAGACGCUGUUAAAAUUUCAUAGGUUUUGGAGGUCGCCGGAAUUGACCUCCGGCCGCCGCCGGUUGGGAGAUUUUAAUGUUGUUAAAUUUGGAAUAUUAAGGGGAGUUUAUUGAAGUGAGUUAUGGAAUUUUUGGAUGAGUUUUGGAUAGGUUUAUGAAUUUCUGAAGUUUGGUAUUUUUGGCGGUUAAUUAAUGUAGAAUCCGGCCGUUGGAUUUAAGUCGUAUUUUGGGGAGGUUAUAUUUACGACUGUGGAAUAUGAUAUUUAAGUUCGGAUCGUUCCGAUGUAAGAAUAUCGAAGUUAGGCAAUAAUGAGCGUAAUUAUGGCUCUCGGGUAAUUUUGCCUAUUUUGAUUAAAUAUUGGAUUAUUGGUUGGGAAAUUAAUAUGAUAUUUGGAACAGGACGUGAAGAGGCUCGAGCAGACGAGACCCCAGAUUGACAUCAGGCUUAGGCCUAAUUCGUGAGUGGACUUUUAUUUGAAAUAAUAUGCAUGCUAUGGUUCAUGAUUGAACAUUUCCUUUUGUUGGAGUUUUACCGUCAAUUAAUUUUGACGCUUUUAUUUCUCUGAGAGAGUUACCGNNNNNNNNNNNNNNNNNNNNNNNNNNNNNNNNNNNNNNNNNNNNNNNNNNNNNNNNNNNNNNNNNNNNNNNNNNNNNNNNNNNNNNNNNNNNNNNNNNNNNNNNNNNNNNNNNNNNNNNNNNNNNNNNNNNNNNNNNNNNNNNNNNNNNNNNNNNNNNNNNNNNNNNNNNNNNNNNNNNNNNNNNNNNNNNNNNNNNNNNNNNNNNNNNNNNNNNNNNNNNNNNNNNNNNNNNNNNNNNNNNNNNNNNNNNNNNNNNNNNNNNNNNNNNNNNNNNNNNNNNNNNNNNNNNNNNNNNNNNNNNNNNNNNNNNNNNNNNNNNNNNNNNNNNNNNNNNNNNNNNNNNNNNNNNNNNNNNNNNNNNNNNNNNNNNNNNNNNNNNNNNNNNNNNNNNNNNNNNNNNNNNNNNNNNNNNNNNNNNNNNNNNNNNNNNNNNNNNNNNNNNNNNNNNNNNNNNNNNNNNNNNNNNNNNNNNNNNNNNCAUAAUAUUUAUUUAUUAUUUUAUUUUUGUCCACUCACUCUAACGUUAUUAAAUGUUUUCCCCUGGGCCCUUCAUUUUAAAUUGCCCAGUCUGCAGAGUUCGGGUUGGAUCUAGUAGGAGACGAGGCAUAGUCACCCGCUUUUCGGCCAGUUUUCAUCAGUAGGUUACAUGUUCAACCUACUCGUGUUUUCUUGCUUCCGCUUGUGUUUAGUAGCUCUGAAUACUUUAGAAUUUUUGUAUAUUAUGUGAUAUUCAGAAGCGUUAAAUUAAGAGUGUAAUAUGAAAUUUUCGAGUUAGGGUUGUCCAUCUGCAAGGGAGAUUUUCUUAAUCUUUUCAGUAAAUUUUCCUUGGAGGUGGUCCCCGCACGACUUACUCUGGGUUUCAGGGUGAAAUUCGGGGUGGGUUGUGUCAUUUAUAGUGUCCAUGUCGCACCUAGGGUUUAUUCUCCACCCUUGAUUUUACCUUGAUCCAACGGUCCAAGAGAAUUGCUUGAUCUCCACAACAAAUCAGCCAUUUAGUAUCCUUCCUUGUAUUGCCGAAAAUCAGCUCUUCCUCUUUAAUUUGCUGCGCCAUUUAUUGUUCCUAAAAAGGGAAGGAGUUAGUCUUGUAAAAUCAGAUUUUUAGACAAAAGAAUUUAAGGAAUUAAUUUUCAGAUUUUCAGAUUUGAAUUGCAUAAUAAAUCCCUUAAUUUAGACAAAGAAAUCUUGUCUUAAAAUCCUAGAAAGACUCGGCAGGAAACCCUAGGGUUUUGCCGUCCCUCUCCUUGAUUUAUGGCGACCACCUUAGGCCUAAUCCAUGUAGGAUUUGGCAUCCUUGCUUCAUGUGAAAUCCCUGUCUCAAGAGGAAAGAAAGUUUCCAAAAUAAAUUAGGAAAGUCAAAAUAGGAAAAAUUCAAAGAUAGCAAGUUUCCCAAAAUGGAAAAGGUAAGUUUUCUCUUUUCAAAACAGGAAAGUUUCCUAAAUGACUUAUCCUCGACUUUUGCGCCUCCUUGAGUUUCCUAGUUGCACCAGGAAUCCUUCUUUGAUUAGGAAUCCGCUCAAUUUUCUCGUUUUAGCCUUCUUUUGUGUAAAUCUGCCUUUAUUGACUCUAAAAUAUAAAACAUGUUAGAAAUGGAGUGAUUAAGGAAAUAACGAGGCUAAAUAGGGUCGGAAAUACAUUAAGAAAGUAGCAUAAAAUACGUCUAUCAAACGUGUGUUGGUUUAGACUUUCGAGAUUCUAAGGGACCUUUUAUUGUGAUGGUGGAAUCUUUUCUAAGGUGUUUGAAGUAGUGGUUUCUAGAACUCUACCUUGUGAACUUGGAACUUGAUAUCUCUUUCUACCUUCCGUUCUUUCUUUUCUUGUCUUAAACAAUUUGAUGGGGUAAACUAAAACCUGCCUUUUGACCAUCUUGGCUGCUGGUCCUACAUGUAAAUAUUGACAAGAAUAGGUGAAGGAACGAAUGAGACUGUCCACAAAAUGAACGCAUUUAAUAUUCUAACUGAAAGUAUCAAUAUUAGAGUGUCCUUUGCUGGCACCAGCAAUUUUAGGCAAAGUUCAUUGUGGUCUCACAUCAAAUGUACACACAAAUGAUUCCAUAAAGGGCANNNNNNNNNNNNNNNNNNNNAAAAAAACAAGAGAAAAGAAAAGGAGAGCUGAUUCAGCUGAUGAUGGAAAACAGUUAGAAUCUUUGACAGAAUAUGGGUUGUAGCCUUGUAUGUCAGUUUUCAGAUCAGAUAGAUUUAGGUCACCCCUUUGGAUGUGAUGUGUUUUUUGUUUAGUGAUUAUUCCUUUGUAACUACUUUUUAUGAUGGCCCUUUAUGACGCUAAUGCUGUAAAACUUUGGAUUACUCUCCUCUGUACUGGUUUGUUGUAGUCUAUGAUAUUUUGAGAUUACUAUCCGUUCAGUGGACUCAUCAUUUCCUGUAGUAUUACAGUCCACCUUGCAUAUUUAAAUUGUUGAAUGUUUGUGUUUUGAAAAAGAGAAGGAAAUAGAAGGCAGAAGAGAUGUGGAACCGGAACAAAGUGCAAGAACUUAAUUAUUGAGGAUCUUGAUAUUAUGAAUCAUAAAACUAGAACUUGACUUCUCUUUUGGAAUUGUCACUCUUAAGGCUAGAACUAUUGUGAUACAAUACUUAUGCGAUUUAUAUUUGCACAGUUGCACUGAUCUACAACCCUUCUUCAUCAAUUAUGCUGUUUCAUAUAUCCAAAUCUUAAUUUUCUGCGCAAAGCAUUUGUAUAUGUCAAUUUCCCAUUUUUAUGUGGUGAUUUCAAUGCGCUCAUCCUGAAUAGUACUUCGUUUGCAGGUGCAGAAGAGAAGGGAAACAUUAUUUACAGAAUUAAAUGGAAAACAUCGUGAGAACAACAAUGUGAUCCCCACCAAGGCUGUGGACAGUAUUUUGAUGAGGAUAAACAAUAUGGGUAAAAAUAGUGUUGACAGUAAAGUAGUGUCUCAAAACAUGGCUUUUACCAUAUUAGGAGCCACCCUUUUUGGAGAUUCUUUUUUAGCUUGGUCUAAGGCUGAUGCUUACGAGGAGCUCCUUAUGAUGAUUGCUAAGGAUGCUGGUCUUUGGACUUCUUAUUAUGUUACUCCCUUUUGGAAGCGUGGAUUUUGGAAGUAUCAGUCUGUAUGCAGAAAGUUGAAAUGCUUAACUCAAGAUAUUGUACAACAGUGCUGCUACCUCUGCUUUUAGGAAACUGGAAACUUAGGAAAGAAAGUUGCAUGUGGCGGACCAGCUUGCUCUGAAGUUGGGAUAAAAAAUAACAUAUUCUUUGAGGAGCUUAAUCGCUAUUUUAAUAUUAGCGAAGAACCAUAUGGGAAUCUUAUGGGCAUCAUGUUUCAUGGAAGCCUCAGCACAGCUAGUUUGAUUAACAACAUUUUCAUGAACCUUGCUAUGCAUCAACAAAUACAGGAUAAGGUCUCUCUCUCUCUCUCUCUCUCUCUCUCUCUCUCUCUCUGCUUAUACGUGUGGACGUCCUUACUGGAUAAGCCCUAUAUAUACAUUACCAGAGCAACUGUGCAAAAAGCAACUGUUGAUCAUAGUAGGAAUGAAAGUAAGAUCAUAUUGCCUAUCUACCAAUUUUCUGAAAAUAUAAAUUCCCAGCUUUCAGUCAUCUUUUAUUUGUCCAGACCUAGAGUGUUAUAUGGGUGUACUGGAUCCCUGCAAUUAUAUAAUAAUAUUUUAUAACCUAGAUCAUGUAUCAACACAAUGAGUUUGGAUCGUCUUCCCUUAUAUGUGCAUAGAGAAGUACAUAUUAAUCACAUAUGCUAAGCUCCUUGAGUGAAGCUGAUCAACAAUCUGAUGGGCCUAAACUAAACUUUUCUUAUUUCUUUAACUAAAAGUUCUUGUCAUAUUUUGGGUAGUUUCUACAUAUUAUUUGAUCACACUAGAUGGCUGAGUAUUUAAUGACGCUUGUUGUUGCUUGUAGAGAAAUAGAUAAUGAGUCAUAUGAUACCUUUAGCUAAAUAGAAUUAAAUUGCAUUUUGUAUGUUUCUGAAGAUCUACUCAGAGGUAACUAUGGCACAAAAAGGUGGACAUCACUUAGAACUUCACGACCGAUCAUGGUGGACCUCAUAUCGCGAUCUCUCCGGCCUUCUUCUUCAUUCCAACACCGUCGGGGGAGGUCUGGGAUCACGCCGGGGAGAAGAAACGGUGUCGCCGGCAAUGGUGGAGAAACGGUGAAAAUCCAGACGGAAAACCCGUCCGGAUGUCCGCAUCUGAUAAUCCCCGUGUAUAUAUAUAUAUUGGAUGGAAUCCAAAGCUUUUCCCAACUGCAACACAAAAUACCCAUUGUAAACUCACAUCAUACUCAGAGAACAGAGAUUGAGAGCCAAACAACCUCUUGCAGUAUAGUGAUUGAGUUCUAAAAAUAUUUGAUAUAUUGCAGAUAAAGCUAUAUCCAGAAGCUCAGGAUACCUCAAAACCAAGUAACUUUGGGUUUCAGCCUCUUUCUAGUUUGCAUAUAGUUUUUGUAGAAAGGAACUGCUGAAAGGAUGGACACAAAAAGCUUUCGUUGUGGAUUACUUGGUCAUUUGUAUUUGAUAUUUUUCCCUCACCCGGGUUUUUGAUGAUGGAAGCUCCUUUCCGCUAUUUGCUAUUAAGGUAGAGAGGAUGUUGCAUGAGUAAAUCCACAGCUCAUGUUUUUGUGCCCUCUGUUUAGACUUUUUUAGAAUAGCCCUGCUUUUAUAAAGCUAUCCUGGGCUAUUGUUGUAGCGGCGCUUUGCAGUUUUCUUCCCCAUCAUAGAUUCUGCAACUUUGUCUUCUAUCAUGAUUUUUUUCUCACCCAAUGGGUGUUCAUCUUGUAUUGUACGUUGACGUGCACCGACUGUAAGUAGUUAUGUAAUAUAACCAGAAAAAGCCUUUUGGUGGAAUGCAACAUCUCAGGAAACUAUAUUUGUUAUUAUGACCUUCCUUAACAACGUCUGCCAAAAAACUAGAUUCUCCCUAAAUAUGUUUGGAAAUAACAUAAUCUUUUCACUGAACUGUCAAACUGGCUGUGGAGUUUUAGAGCAAGCAUGCAUGUGAUUUUUCAGAUAGGACAGGAGACCUCGACAUACUCAGAACUCACACCUUAACUUGCUGCAUGUUUUUUAGUUGGUGAGUUACGAUUGUCAGCUAAUCUAAUCAGAAGUACGUCCAAAACCAAUCUGGCGGGUGGAUCCAUGCCAAUGUAUAAGCAUGUAGUCAUUCCAAAGAAAAAAGGGAGCUUUAAUUCUAAUAGGAAAAAUCGUCUCAAAAACUUUAAAAUGGUAUUUCACGUUUUUAUCCUGACUUAAAAACGGUAUUUGGAACCAUUAGUUCCGUUAAAAAACUGACGGUGGGUAUAUUUUUAUAACUAAAUGGCCAAUUUACCUUUCAUUUCUAUUUUUAUAUUUAAUUUUUUUUAACUUCAAAUAAUAAAAAACACAAGAAUAUUAGAUAUAUGAAUGGAUAUAACAAGGCCCAAAAAAAAACAAGAAGAAGAAGCUACAGACCCCUUAAAAAACAAGAAGAAGAAGAAGCCUACGCUAAAGACCAAUGGAUGGAAUAGAUGUUUGCUCAUGUUUUUACUCUUUUCUUGUGUCCCUCCUUCUGUCUCAGUUGGGAGGUCCUUGUGGGUGUAGCAUCAACGACUAAGCAACCCCCUAAUCACCAACAACGACUUGUCCUCUUUCUUUGAUAAUCCAUUCGUUGUUAACAGUCUCUAGGAUCCCGAGCAUGAAUUCGGUUGUGAUGAUCCCUACCUGUGGCCCCAAGUCCAGAUUGCAAUUAUAAUUCCUCUCUUUUCUUCUCUGAAAAGAAACUCUAUAUUAUAUAUUAUGUUAUUAUUCUGUUAAACUAACGAUCUUGUAUUAUCUUUAAAGAUUAUUAUUUUAAUUAACACGCAUGCCAAGAUAAUUAAUAAAAAUUAGUCAGGGAAUCUCUAAGUCUAUGAAGCUUUGUCUCUGCUUUUGUUUAACAUAAUAAUAACAUAAUCAUUUCAGUGUUUUCUGUUUUGGACUAGAAACUUACAAGAAAACUAGAAAAGAAAGAGGUGAAUAACCUACUUGUGUGUGCUAAAUUGCUAAUAGUAUUCACUACAGUCUUCUCUUCAAAUUCUUCAAAAGGUUAGGAACAUGAACAUGCACAAGGCUUGAACAACUAUUGUUUCUCUUCUUGCUCGAGGAGAUUCAAACAUAAAGGUGUAUGAAGAUUGCAUAAACAUAUGCUCGAGUAGAUAUAUAUAUGUUUGAGGGGAUAUGCAUAUAUAGUCGAUGGAAUUUAUUUAUGGUUGAAGAGUUAUGAGAGGAGAUAUUAACAUAUGCUUGAGGAAAUCUAAACAAAGAGUUGUUGUGAAUUGAGAAAGUUUUAUUGAUACUGAAGCUUUUAUAGACUAAGAGAGGUUUUGUACUGAGAUUUUUGUUUCUCUAGCGUACUGUCCCUCCUUUCUCUUCAUCUUCUUCGUAUACUAGUUAUUGGUCUAAUCCACCGUUAGGUGCUCUAAACAGGUGGUUAGUGUUACUAUAUACUAUUGUUUGAGAUGACGUCAGCUUCUAAUAGGUUACUGUUCAUAUGAAACAGUGCGCAGACUUCUUUGCCCAUGUUGUUGGUCUGUAUAAUUCCUUAAGUGCCCUCAGACUUUUAGGGCUAGGCAUAAAAGCGUUCGUCUUCUCCUUAUUUCUCUUCUUCGAUGUGUCACGUUUGUCUCAGACCUUCCAGAAACAAAUAGAAUAGUUGUGGCUUCCUCAGCGAUCUACUCCAUUGAAAACAAAUUUUGGGUUCCUUCAAUUGAAAACAAACUUCGGGUUGUUUCAUGCAGAUCUUCUUCAAUUGAAUGUACAAUAUGUCAUGCAAAAGAUGACAAUCUUUUCUUUCUACAGCUCUUUAUACUAGAUUGUAUGGAUUGGUCAUGCAUUACAAUACAAAACACAAUUUACAAUGAGCUAGAAGACAUAAGUAAAGAGCCAUAUAUUUUUCAGUCUGUAUUUCUAACUGAUCUUAAAUUCUCCGCGAGUCUUUUCGGUAUUGAGAAGCCCACAAAAUACUCUUUUUAUCUUUACUACUCUACGUGUUAUAGCGUGCUGUAUAGCAGAAUUUACUCUAUGCCUCUCCCGUUCUGUCUUCCUUGCACUACUAUUUUUCUUAAGCCUUGUAGAUUAAGAUUGAAUAAAAAAAAGCAAAAGGCAUAGAAAAAGCUUACUCCCUAAGCAAAGAUAGAUUCCCAGAGCGACGCGUGUUACGACACGUAUCAGAAAAAUAUCCGAGAACCGAACCAGUAUAAAUAUCGUUCUCCUCCUCCAAGUCCAAACCGUCAAAAACCAGACUAUGAAAUUGAGAUCCCAAUCGAACUCAUCGCCUUCCUUCGUCUUCUUCUUCGUCCUCUUCUUCUCCUUCAUCGCUCUCUCUGAAAUGGCCACCCUCGGCGGAAUCGGCGACUCCCCUGCCGGCUCCGAGAACAGCCUCGAAACCGAAGCCCUCGGUCGCUUCGCCGUCGACGACCACAACCAGAAGCAGGUGAUUAAUCAAUUCAUCAAUUCAUGAAUUUGUUUUCGAAAUAGUUUUGAAGUGAUUUGUGAUCGGAUUGAAAAUUUGAUUGUGCAGAAUGGUAUGCUGGAGUUUGUUCGGGUGGUGAAGGCCAAGGAGCAGGUGGUUGCCGGCACUCUGCACCAUCUGGUGGUGGAGGCCAUCGACGGCGGCAAGAAGAAGCUCUAUGAAGCCAAGGUCUGGGUCAAGCCUUGGUUGAACUUUAAACAAGUUCAGGAAUUCAAGCACGCUGGUGAGCCCGAGACUGUGUCCGGAACGCCGUCGUUUACCUCUUCCGAUUUGGGGGUUAAGCAAGGUGACUUAUUUACUGAUCAUUUUUUUUAUGGGUGUUGAUAUGAAUUUGGAGUGUGUGAGACUGAGUGGGUUGUGAUCAGGUGGGCAUGCUCCAGGGUGGCAAGAUGUGCAUCCUCAUGAUCCUCAAGUUCAAGAUGCAGCCAACCAUGCUGUGAAGAGCCUUCAGCAGAAGUCCAAUUCGUUGUUCCCUUAUGAGCUUCAAGAGGUUGUCCAUGCUAAGGCUGAGGUCAGUAGCGAUUUCCUUCUAUGAUUUCUUGGCUUAUCCAUCAUUCGUUUCGAUUAAUUGAGCUCAAUAAUUUGGAUGACUAGGGGUUGUGUUUAGCUGUAAGGUCUAUUGAGUUUGUCUUUACAAUUGGGGUGGAUGUGGAACAGGGCCUACAAAUACUGUUUGAGAAGGGAAUUUGCUUGAAAGAUUUGCACUUUCGGUGAACUUAUGUGCAUCAUGUGUAGGAAAUCCAAGUUAUUCAAUUAACUUGUGUGCCAUGCCUUGAGGCUGGUCUGUGGUUGAAGAACAAAGAAACUUGAAUAUAGAUUUACCAUUAAGAAUCAAAAGUUUUGUACAUGAGCACGAGCCGCUUAUACUUCAUUUUAUUUGUGCUUUCCUUGUAUUCUUUUUUCUGACUACUUGAGAGAUUGAUUGAUCGUUAAUUAGUCAUGUUAAAAUUGUGAGAGCAGGUGAUGGAAGAGCAUGCCAAGUUCAACAUGCUACUCAAACUGAAGAGGGGAGACAAAGAAGAGAAAUAUAAAGUUGAAGUGCACAAGAACAAUGAAGGUGCCUACAAUCUGAAUCAGAUGGAGGUGGAGCACUGAUUAUAGAGAGUUCCGUUGCAUCCCAAUCAUAUAAGAACUUGAUGUAUAUUACAUGUUUUUCUUUCGUUGCAAUUAGUUUCUCUGUUUGUCCAAAUUUCUGAUACAAUCUUCACUAUAUAUCAAUAUCAGCUUUCCUAGUGUAUUUCUUGUAUGGCUUGGGAAUGCAACCACUUCGUUAACAUUUCAUCUGCCCUUCUUGCUACCGAUAUUUCAAUUGGCUGUUUAUGAGUUGCUGUUAGACCACUUAUCUUGAUUGAACAAGUUCACCCUUGUUGGAAAAGGUCAUUGAACUGUGGAACUUACUUUCAUGUAAAGGCUACUCCGACCUUUGUUUAUGAGAGUGGCCGGGUGGUAAAGUCUGGCUACUAGUUUGUCCUCAUUUUGUCUCUCUUUGUUGUGUUUCUUUGGCAAUGGUUCAUUCCUGAAGUCUGAACUAUUGAGCAGAGGCAGUCCCUGAAGACGCAGAUGACCCUGAAGACCAAAGGAGCCUUAAAGACAUGUGGUCUAAACUCUAAACAUAAUUUUUGAACUCUUGAGAAGAUGAAAUUCCGAAGAGAGAUGGGAGAUUAGGAGUUGGAGGUGCAAACUGGAGAUGCGAUGAUCUUGUUUAGAUUAGUCCUAGUCAAUGUAGGAACACUGACGGACUCAGUUGUGGGAAUGGGAGAAACCUAUAGUCAGCGGAACGAAUUCACUUAGAAUAGAUAAAAGUAAAUUAAUGGACCCUAUACUCGCUGUAUCAGAUUGCGAUACUUGUGUUUUCCUUUAUGCUAUCGGGAACCUAGUACUGUUAGAAAAGCCAGAAUUUCUAACUUUCUAUAAUGGUGAACGACGUCUGCUCUAUAGAGAAACCAAUGUAGAACAUAUGCAUUAGUUCUAGCACUGUUUAUUACGUCUCAGACGAGCAAACGAGUAGAAAGCAGUUCGGACUUCGGAACGAGGUGAUAACUGAAUUUUGAGUCUCAUUUUGUCAUGGACAAGGUUCCCAGUUUUAGGCGGAAGCUUCUUCGGGAUAGGGAGAGAAACUUAUGUAAGAAGGCGAACGAGCUUUCGAUACUUUGUGGUACUGAUGUAUGCAUGAUCACCUUCAAGCCUCACAAUACCAAACCAGAGACUUGGCCCCAAGAACGUACAGAACUACAGAAGUCCAUCGCAUUAUCGAAAAGUACAAGACUUGACCCCAAGAAGAUGAAACUGGACUUGAGUUUUUCUGAUUCUUAUGAUUCCGAGACUAGAGGUAAGAAGUUGCAUGCUGACUACAAUGCUCUGAAUCCUGAAGAGGCCAUGGCUAUGGAGAUGCAGUACCAAGAAGGGACUGCAAAGCAUCCCCAGAACGAAUUGAUUGGAGAUGACGAGGCAAAGCUUGCUUCACUAGAAGUUAAGCUGCAAGCUAUAACCAAGAGAAUUGCUUCAAUGGAGGCAAAUUAUUUUUAAAUUCUAUAGGAUAGUAUGUAACUUGCUUGAUCAACAACUCAAUAUUGCUGGAUUAACGUGUAUGACUAAUGACUGUAUAUUUCUAUUAUGCAUUUGGUGUUAGUGCCAAUGUAGUGAAAAAAUAUGAUUAGGUGAGGACGAGAUAUUGUUCAAACACCCAGUUAAAUCUUGGUGUUUUGUGCAUUAGCUUAUGCUUAUAUAUAUAGUUUUUCCUUUUCUUCUUUCAAUCAUCAAAAUUGGUAAACAACAAAUAAGACACCGGCCACCCUUAAACCAACAAUCCAUGUUAUGAUUAAGCACUAUGUAGUACUGCAAUUCAUGAAACUUAAGCUUGUAAACAACUGCUGACCAAUAUGAUACCAAUUGGAGCAUGUUCAAUAACACAAAGUAGGAACUAAACUACCCUCGAUCUAUAAAGACAAUAAACUUGGAAUCAAGAACUGAAAUUUCCCUCAUGAUUCCUGAUCAGCACACCGUUCCCAGUUUAGAGAAAGAGGUGAAUAUGCAGAGUAUUCGAAGAACACUUAAUUAACUACUCCAUAGCAGGAAAUCCCCUCUCCAUUGUAAAUACAUAUAUUAUUAGUGUUGCAUCACUUAUUUUGGAUUUUGAGCCAAACUAGUUGACUCUUGAGCUUCAUUUUUUAAUGGCAGUGACGAUGAUAGAGCUGUUUCCGAAUCAUCUUCCUCAUCCACUACUGGCAUGUCUUGUGGAUAUAGGAAUGGCUUUGGAGGCAUUGGAAUGGAUUCAACUUCUCCUUCAAGCAUCUCUACUACUUUGUUCAUCGAUUUAGGACGGUCACUAGGCUUCAUUUGUAUACACCACAAUGCUACCAUGAGCAUCUUCUUUGUUAAUUUCUUUUCCUCGUCGGUCGCAUCUUCAAUUUCCAUCUCAUUUCCUUCACUGAACUGGUCAUAAACCCAUGAAGGAAAGUAAAUUUGGCUAGAAUGGGCUGCAACUGCAUUCAAGUUCUUUCUUUUCCCUGCUAUUUCCAUCAGCAACAUUCCGAAACUAUACAUGUCAGCUUUGUUCGACACACCACCAAUAUUCUUGUAAAACAAUUCCGGAGCUAUGUAUCCAAUGGUUCCUCUCACUGCAGUCAAAAUUAAACUGCUGUCGUCUAAUGGGCAUAAUCUAGCCAGACCGAAGUCUGAAACCUUCGGAACAAACUUCUCGUCGAGAAGAAUGUUGUGUGGCUUGAUAUCAAAAUGCAAUAUCUUCAUGUCACAUCCUUGAUGCAGAUAACCAAUACCACGAGCCACUCCUAGUGAAAUUUCAAAUGCUUCCUUGCAGCUUAAGGAAAUGGAUCCUUCCUUAGAAAAAAUGUGCUUAUCAAGAGACCCGUUUGCCAUGAACUCGUAUACAAGAGCACGCUUUGAUCCCUCAGCACAAUAGCCAAUUAGUUGCACCACAUUUACAUGAUGAAUUCUUCCAAUGGUUGCAACUUCAUUGAUAAAAUCUUGACCAUUAGCUUUAGACUUUCCCAACAGUUUAACAGCAACAAGGCGACCGCUGCGAAGCUUGCCUUUAUAUACAGAGCCGUAACCUCCUUCCCCUAAUUUAUCCUUAAAUCCCUUGGUCAUUUUCUUGAUAUUGGAGUAGGAGUACCUUAUUGGCAUUAGGUUGUUAUGAGUUUGUAAGAAUUCUUCAAUAACGCCGUACCCUGAUAAGUGACGUCUUUUCAACUUGAAGAUUAAAAACACAAUCACACAGGGAAAUCCGAGUACAACUUUUAUCCCAGUCCACAUAAUCACUGUAAAUGAAAUAAUAACUGAUCAUAAAAAUGAUUCUGUAAAGAUUGUAAGCCUCAAUCAACUUACAGAAGUCCUAUAAAUAUGAAUGAAUCGAAUAUGAUGAGAAGAAGCAUGGUGAAGAAGGUCAAUUAAGGAAUACGAUUAAAGUUUCUCUCAUCUGUAUCAAUAAUACCGUCUUGCCCAACAUCUUGCUCCUAAAUACUAGCUUGUCCAAGACACAUUGUCCUAGUUCACUACUACUAAACACGCCUGCAUCAAUAUUCCUAGCUAUAUAGUGGUAACAAAGCCAUAAAUUCGAUCUAACAGACUUUGUAAUGGCUGGAAACAAUAAUGUUCUGAAAUAAUUAAAGAUGAGUAAUUAUGGUUGUUUAAAGGAAAAAAAAAAAAAAAGAGAAAACGCACCUGCGUCUUCAGCUGAAUCUGAUAAACAGACAGAAGAGUUGUUCUCAGAGAUGUUAAAUUAAAAUGGUCUGAAAAGAAUAAGACUGAGAUAGUUGUCACCUCUUACAAGCUCCGCAAUAGUGUCGAUGUAGCAAUUAACUUUGUUGGUAUCAGUGUCGAUGUAGCAAUCUCCAGCUGGUCGCCCGUAAUUGUGCAACCAUGAAAGUUCAAAACCAUAGAGCAGCUCGUUGUGGAUGUCGAUGUAGGACCUGUUCACAACCUUUGUUCCAUUCCAUGAUGUCAGAACCAUCAGCUCCGUCUGGCAUGAAUCCAACAAAUCCGAUGCAUUUAAGCUGCCAGUGUUAACAAAGGAAUGUCCACUCGUUGCGUUGAUGCAAGGAGCAGCAUCUACAAAGAGGGAUGAAUUCCCUGGCCGAAAUUCACAGGUCAUGAGAAUUAUAGGCUUUGACAGUUCAAACCGACGAGUUUUCCACCACCUUGUACCUUUCCUUUGAUACGUGCUAUAUGGAUCAUUAUAACUGAAGUUAUAUGCAGUCAAGGAAUAAGGAGGGAGUGAAGAGCAGUUAUCCUUUUGAAGAUUGACAUCCACAACUCGGAUCGUGCCGUUUUCAUAAUUGAUGGCAAGGACAUAGUAUCUUCCUGAAUACAAGUGUAAAACAGUGAGAUUAUUCUCACAAGACAGGUUAUACCUGAAGUCACCGCACUUCUGUGGAUCACCGAUGAGUCGGAAAGGGUAACUUAUAUUACGGAUGUCGCCGCAGGAUGAAGGCUCACAGUUUUGAUGAUCCUCAGCAUGACAACAAACUACACAGCACAAACCAAGAACUAGAACAAUAACGAAAUGUGCUGGAAGGGGUAGUAGCCUGAUCACCUUGAUCAUGGCGAGAAAGACAAAUAAUUCUAGUUUAGCUUGAUGCCUUCCUCUGUUCUAAACAAGCAGAGAUGAUAUGAAUAAAUACUGCGAUCAGUACUUGAACAACAUUAAUUGGAUAUGAACUUCGCUCACUAUUCAACAUGGGAAAGAGAAGUUCUGACCAGUAGACUAGUGGAAGUUCAUUUGGAAAAAGAGCGAGCAAUUGAGACAUCUCUCAAAUUUGGUUCCAUUUGAUUUUGUGGAUUAGCAAAUGCCAACAUUAUUGGUUUUACUAGUCAACAUGGAAAGAUAGAUCGAGAAUAUUUAACGCGUGGAAAACUGCAACCAGUUCAUUUUAUUUGAGUGCAAAAGAUUGAAUGAGCUUGACUUGAGGUCAACUUAAUACGGAUUAGUCACUCUCAAGCAGUGGCGGAGCCAGGAAAAUAUUCAAAGGGGGCACAAAUUUUUUCUAUUGCCUCUCAUCUUCUAUACACAUGAAUGUACUCGCAUGGUUUUUAUCCAGUUACGUGAUCUCCCCCAUAGUUUGAUUGCUCUUAUAAUGUGUGUUUCUACUGUCAGUUAUCGAACAUUCUGGCGCUUCUUCCUCCGUUAAAAUCUACAUUAAUUUUUCUUUUACGGUCAUCUGUUUCCUAAUAACUUUGUCUUCUCAUAUAUAUAAAACUUAUCUAUAUGUAAACUCGGUCUUACCUGCAUCCACUAUUGAUGUGCAAGAGAAACACAUAAGAUCUAUCAUCCGUAGUAAACUAGUAAUCAUUGAUAGAAAAAAGAAGCUAAAUUCUAUAAAAAUUAAGAAAAAUGCAUAGAGUUAACACUGAAAGAGAUAUGCACAGCAUAAAACAAUGGAAGGGAGUGAGAAAAUGCUUUAGAGAGGAAGAAGAGGAGAGAAUUAUGGAGAUAAGGAGAAGAAGCGGUGAGGAUAAGGAGAAACACCCAAAUAUAUCAGAUCUUUAGUGGCUUUUUACUUGUAUAUAUCCACGACACCAGACUUUACUAACUUUAGUGCCUAGUGUAUAUUUUUUUUUUUAAAACGAAGAAGCUUCAUUCAGGAACUGAGGAACACAGUCCAAAAGCCCAGCCAAAAAGACUGAUGCCCAAAUACAAGAACUAGAAGAGAAGGCUAAUCAUCAUCUUGUUCCGAUCUGAAGUAGAAGAACAUGUAUAUCCUUCAUUACAGUGGGGGCACAAAGAGUGUCAGUGGGCAAAUUUCAGUAUUCUUCUGGGGGCACGGGCCCCCACUGGUCCUUCAUUGGCUCCGUCACUGCUCUCAAGUAACCAAGACCACAAAUGACAUAUUUCACAUUUAUAAAAGGUCAAUAUUUGGGACAUGACAAAUAGUUUAACACAAAGAGAUAUGGGUGCUUCCGGGAAGAUGAGUGAACAGAACUAAGCAUUCACAAUUUAUCCCAAGCUUAAGAUAAGCUCAUAUUAAGGUUAAUACUUAAUUAUACGCAUGCAUCUGUUGAAGAGUUGGGAUAGUGACAAUCCCAGAAUGUUUCCUUCUUUGCUUGGGACUUGCAAAGAAGCCAAGACGCUGUCUGGUUAAAAUUUGACAAGAAAAGGAUCCUAAACACAAACCGGUUUGUGUUAAGAAAUCAAAAUUAACAAGAAGAAAGCAGGACUCGCAUACCAUGUCAGACACAACAAAGCCCCAAAGGAUCCUAAACACAAACCGGUUUGUGUUAAGAAAUGAAUGACCCAAAGAGACAUGUAUUUCAAUUAUAUGUCGAAAACAAUCGUAGAGGUUGUGAUUCCAAUUUAGACCUUAGAUGGACUAAGAUUGUCAAGUUCUCACAUGGUAACAGGAAAUCAUUAGCAUAGUUAAGUGAGCGGGAUUAUCAGUAAAAAAGAUAAUAGUAUGAAGCCUGAAUGGAUGAUUCAGCAAGUAGAGCGUCAACCCACCGGAAAGAAACCAACAUUGAAAUAUUCUGUUCAACAUUAAGAGCAUGAACUGUAAACUGUAACGAUGUAACGUGGUAAUUUAACAGCAUGUUAAAAAGAAACAUUAUAAACAUGAUAAUUUCUCAUGUCUCAUUGGCAAAACCAAAAGCCUUCGCUUCUCAUAUAUUUUUCUACUAAGCUCUUAGAAUACAUCAAAAUCCUUUAACCGCACCAAGUAUAACAGAUUAAAAGAAAACUUCAAUUGAUACUUCUAUCUUAAUUCCGAACUCUUUAAUAAUUUAGCUUCACGCUCCUGACAAAGUCUUUACCUCUGGAAGAAAACCACACAGACAUAAAAUGUAAGGAUAGGAAUACAUAGAGACGAAAUAACAGAUGCAAUCCAAUAUUAUCACAAGUGGUUUUAGAUGGUUAUAAAUUAUGGAUCACAUUGUUGUAUUAAAAGACUGAUUGCAUCUCAUUCACCAGACUAAGUAACAGUACCUAUCUAAUCCAAUCAAAUAAUGCUCACGAGAAAGGUGAUGGCUUUGUGAUUGAGAAUGUGCACAAUACUCAUCUGGUGGCUGGUAAUAUAAAUGUUUCUGCUGGCCAUGCUAAUGAGGUUGAUGAUGAUGAUGAGGAUUAUGAUGAUGAUGAUUAUUCUAGCGUUGAGGAAAUAUAUGAGGAUGGUAGUGGUCAUAAUAAUCAUAGCUUGGAGAGGAUUUAUAAUUCUCCACAGAGUCAAAGUUGGCAUGACACGGUAGUGGAGGACCAAUUUAUUAAUCAAACUGAGGUUUUCACAGGUGCAGUCCCCCUUGGUUUUGAGCAUGUGGGUGUUUUAGCAAAGGAUGUUUCUUUAAUAGCUAGCCAUGUUGAGAAAGGAGUUCUAGUGGAGGACGAUUUUGUUAAGGCUCUUUCAAAAUCACAGAAGAAAAAACAGAAACAACAAGCCAAUUAAGCAUGUUGCUGCUGCUGCUAGUGAGGGUCCUUAUCCAAAAAGGGACGGGCAAAAAAAUCAAAAGUAUGCAUAAUGAAGGUUCUUUAUUGGAAUAUUAGGGGAGUCGGUAACUCUGACUCUCAAUCUAAACUUUCAAAUAUUUGUCGUACUUAAAUACCUGAUCUGGUUUGUAUUUCUGAGCCGAUGGUAGCCUUUGAUUCAAUCUCUUCAGCAUUCUGGUCUGCUUUAAAUUUGGACUUUGUUACGGUUAAUGAUCGAGGAUCCAGGCUUCCAAAUCUUUGGUUGCUAAGAGGUCGUCAUGUUCCUAGUCUAGUGAUCAUCUCUACAUGGAGCAGCAAGUUACUAUUCAGGUUUCUUUUGAUAAUGAGCUUAGUCAAUUUUCUUUUGUUUAUGCUUCUACUUCUUACAUUAAGCGUAUGGAUUUAUGGCAUGACUUCUCAGUUAUUAGUACUCAAACCACUGUCCGCUAGCCUGGAUGGCAAUUGGUGACUUUAAUUCUGUGUUGGGAGCUCAUGAGAAGUCAGGGGGUCCUCCUCCAUCCCGUAUAUCUUGCUUGGAGUUCCAAAAUAUGUCAGAUGCUUGUGAUUUUGUCCAUUUGGACACUGUAGUGCCCAUUUUACUUGGACAAAUGGUUGUGGAACUAGGGCGCAUGUUGAGCUUCGAUUAUACAGAUCCCUUUGCAAUACUAGUUGGUUUGAAUCAUGGCCGUAUUCUAGCUGUAUUGCCCUGCCUCGGGUAGUCUCUGAUCACACUCCUAUAAUUUUCUCUGCUUCAAAGCUCUCCCCAAGUGAUCCAAAGCCUUUUCAGUUCCAGUCCAUGUCACUAUGCCAAAAUAUUCAUCAGACGACAGUCCAGGUCUGUCGUCUGACAGUUUUUUUUAUGUCGUCUGAGGCUGUGUCGUGUGAUUGACCUCAGACGACAAUUUUCCACCGUCGUCUGAUAUCUGUUCAGACGACAUAUCUUAUGUCGUCUGGAAGAAGCUGAAUCUGGAAGGUUUCAGAAAAAUAUGUCGUGUUAAUAGAUUACAUACAACAUAUAAAUGUCGACUGAAGCCAGAAUAAGGAAGAAAUUAAUGAUGUCUCAAUAGAAAACCAACAACAUAUAUAUGUCGUCUGAUAAAGCAAUUAUGUCGUCUGAUAGUCUAUUAGACUUUAUAUUUUUGUUGCUUGUUAUAAAGACUUAUGUUGUCCAAUUGUCUGUUGGAAUUCACAUUCUUGUUGCUUUUUAUAAGCACUUAUGUUGUUUGACUAUGAAUUGAACUUCAUAUGUAACAAAAUUAAGAAUCAAAGAAAGUAAAACUUCAUUGAUGUUGAUAAUCCACUUCAAUUAAAAAAGUACAUAAUACUUUUUUAUCCUAAUCUAUAAAAGGCUAUAAGUUAUGGUCCAACUUUCAAUCUAAUAUCUAUUCACUAAAAUGAAUAUAUGGACCUAAUCUAUUUCUAGAAAUGAUAUACCGAAACCUAUUAACGAUGUCAAUAUUGAUGUCAUUCCUCUCAACGGGGCUUCAAGUCGCAAAAUGACCUCGGAAUCUUCUGCAAACACUUAUACCUACAUAUUGACCAAAUCAACAACAAAAAGAAUGAGAGAUUAGUUCAUUUGGUGCAUGCUCCACACACACAUGGAUCCUCUUCCUGAUAAUUCGGUAGUAUACAAUCAGAAAAUCAUCAAAUUGAACUGUGGGCAUAACAGGUCAUAGCAAAUGAGUUGUUAAAUUGAACAAUUAAAACAGGGCAUACAACAAAAGAAACAUAAGCUCAUGAGGAAGCAACUUUUAUCAUCUCUAUUAUUCCAAAAAUGACUGAAAACAAAACAAGUACUUAAAACCAAAAUGACUUAUAUUGUUGCUCCAUGAUAGACAUUUAAUUAAUCUAUGACUACAUACCCAACCUUGAUUCAACAAUUCCAUUCUUUUGUGCAUUGUCUGUGGUGCAUAUUUCUAUCAAGUUUGUCAAUCUAGUAGAGAGCAGUAAUGAGCUUUGCACGAUAUGUAUACAAGUUACAGUUUGCUUUGCUUUCGUAAUUAACUUAGCUAUUACAAUCUAUAACUAUAUAUGUAUAGCUAGGAGUUGUCAUCAGCAAAGACCCUUCAUACAUUAAAUAUACGUAUGCUAAUGUAGGUACUGAGCAAACAAACAUAUACUAAAGAUUCAAAGCAAUUUGUACAUAAAAUAAAUAUAGAAUAAGUUAUAAGCAAGUCAUUCACCACUUUGCAUCUCUUGGAUGCAAAUAAGACUAGGGCGACAAUCACUAUCAUCAUUUUCACUCAAAAGUGAAAUCGAGCUAUUACAAAUUGGAAGCAAGAGCUAAUAGUCAUAAUGGUGAAGAAGGUGAAUACCUUGACCAGUUGACCGCUGCACAUGCACGAGUUCAGGUUUUACAUCAAGUUUUUCAGAAGUGGAGCAACCAAGUGGAAUUCUACAUGAUCUCAGUAGCCAAUACAUUUUCAUAAGCAAUAGUACAAGUUAUGAUUCUUAUAAUUCAAAAUGAUAUUAAAAGCUACUUUGUGUAACUAAAUUAGUACGAGUUUGAAAAAAUCAUGAAUCAGUUAAGGUUUUAAGCAUGCAUGAUGUUCUGCAGAUAACAUCAAAACCUUGUUAAAAAAUGCAGCAGUGUAACAAGUCUAAAUUUUGGGAGUUUUAUUGCUUAAUCUUGUUACUGUUUGCAAUUUUUAUGAAGAUAGAUAUAUUUGUUGAUCAUAACAGCCAAGCAAAUAGGAUUGAAAACAAUUUACAGGCCCUUAUGUCUUACAGCCUAUCACAGCAUCAAAAUUAAAUCGCAUUCAUCUGCAUAAAAUUGAAGUUCAUAUUUCCAAUUUUUAUAAUACAGAAACAAAACAAAAACAACAAUCAAAACUUAGAGUUCUUACCUUCGGCUCAUGACUAAUAUAUCUGCAAUCAAGGUUAGCGGAAGGAAAUUGAAAAACAUAGUCAAGAACCCCUAAAACAUGAUCGAACCCAUAUUAUUCAUAACAACAAAAACUUCAAAGCAAAGAGCUCCAAUCCAAACACAUAUUAUUCAUAGAAGAAAGGGAUGAAUUGUAAAGAGGAUGGACAUUUUCAAAUGCUGGACCGGGAAAUAAACCAGAAAAAAUUAAAACGGAAAGAGAGAGGAGAGGAAGAAGACGAAGAAGAAGAAGAAGAACAGAGAGUUUUCCCCAAAAUGAAGGUCCAGUUUACAAAACUGAAAAUUCUUGCUGACGACGAAGAUUACAGAAAAUCGAAACUAAGAAAAUAGGAGCAAAGAUUUCAGCCCAACUAUGGAUCCAAAUCAAGCACCGCCUCAGACAAAACUAAAGGCAAUGGACGCAUUGCCUCUGAAAAACUGGCCGCCUUUCACAACCAAAAACCAGAAAAGAGUUCAUUUGCUGCGCCGUCGCUCUUGCUGCCGGAGGCGGCGACGGUAGUGAUAGGGCAGGAGGUGGAGGCGGCGAAGGUGAAGGAGGUGGAGGCGGUGAUAGUGAAGGAGGUGGAGGUAUGAGUGAGAGUUUCUGGUUUUGGAGAGAGGAGAGAGAAGGCUGCUAGUGAAGAAGAAGUAGAAGAAGAAGAGAGUUGUGCGGCCGAGUGAAGAAUAAGAAGAAAAAGUUAAGUUGUGAUGAGGAAGAGAAGGCUGCUAGGUUUUAAGUUUUGGUGAAGUUUUUUUUUUGGUCAAAAGUUUUGGUCAAGCUUGGAAACCUUUAAAAGUUGAAGACUUAAAAUUAGGAAAGGGGAAAUUUGAUUUUUGAUAAAAAAUAAGGCGGGGUUAAGUGAAAAAUUUGAAACUGGGUAAAAAAUUUUAUGACGUUUAUUAAGUUUAUGUGCUCGUCAGACAACAUGUAUAUGUAGUCUAAGUUUAUUAAGAAACGAUCGAUUUAACGUUUACCGCGUCGACGAGACCAGAAAUUUAUCAAAAAUGUCUAAAUUUUGUAACAAAGCCAUGUUUCACUAUCGUGAUCAUAUCCAAUAUUCAAACUUUAAUUUUUUGAAUUUUAGUCAUUUGAAUCACAAUGUGCAUACUAAUGUGCUACAACGUAUACAUGUUUACUAGGUUAUAUCUAUAUGUACAUCUUUAUAAAAAAAAACUAUAUGAAAUAAAUAAAACUUGUAAAAUUUGACCGUACGAUGUGAUCACAAUCGUUAAAUAUGGAUAUGGUAGAAAAUUUACCUAUUUUCGAUAACGUUUGGGUCUCGAUCGCAUGGGUCAACUUUAUUUAUGCACAAACUUCCCUACGCUUCCUUAUGGGGAACUAUACCAUCGAUUUGUAAAAGUGACCGAAUUUUCACAUGGAUUAGUUUCACCAAUACUAAAGGAGAGUUUGAGUUUUGAUGAAUUGAAUAUAUAAGUUUUGGGCGGAGUAGAUAAGAGCGUUUCUAUUUUGAUAAUUGUGUUGAGUUUUUCAAGUAUUAAUCAGACAACAUGUAUAUGUAGUCUGACUUUGUUGAAGAAUGAUCGAACUAACGUUGACUGCAUCGACCGAGACCCGAACAUUAUUGAAAAUGUCUAAAUUUUGUACCAUGGCUAGGUUUCGCUAUCAUGAUAAUAUCCAAUACUCAAACUUGAAUUUUUUUAGUUUUAAUCACUUCAAUCAUGACGUGUCUACUAAUGUGUUAUAAGACGUUUACUACAUUAUACCUAAACAUGUAUCUUUAUAAGCCAACUGUAUGAACAAAAUCUAAUUUGCAAAAUGUGACCGUACGAUGUGAUCACAUAACUAAAAUAUGGAUACGGUAGAAAACUUACCAAUUUUCGAUAAAGUUUGGGUCUCGAUCGUACGAGUCAACUUUAUUUACGUUUAAAUUUUUCUAUGGGGACCUAUAUAAUCGGCUUAUAAAUGUGUCUAAAUUUUCUCAUACAUUAGUUUCGCGGGUACUCAAUGAGAGUUCUAGCAUUCACGAAUCAAAAAAAUAAGUUCGGCCGGAGGAGAUAAGAGCGUUUCUGUAUGGAUAAUAGACAUAUCGUUUGUUGACCAAUUUCGGACCUCUUACUACCACAUAUUUAUGUCGUCUGAUUCACACAAAGAAGUGGCGCCAUAAUUCGUUAAGAGCGGGAAAAUUUCGAAUUCGCUAAGAUUGGGAAAACUGCUUCCGCACACAAUUGAAAAUUAAAGUUCUUUUUGGACGACAUAAAUAUGUCGUCUCAUAAGUAAAACUCUGCACAGGGAAGUUUGAAUUGAAAAUUUCAGUUUCUUUCAGACAACAUAUAAUUGUCGUCUCCAGAGUACAUUAAAAGAGCUGAAAACCAGAUUUGGACAGCCUUCCUCAGACAACAUAUAUAUGAGGUCUCAAUUUUCAGCAAAAAGUGAGAAUUUCUAAGUUCGAAUUGAAAAUUUCAGUUUCUUUUAGACGACAUAUAUUUGUCGUCGUCUCUAGAAGUACAUUAAAAGAGCUAGCUGAAACCGGAUUUGGACAGCCUUCCUCAAACAACAUAUAUAUGAUGUCUCAAUUUUCAGCAAAAAGUGAGAAUUUAUAAGUUCGAAUUGAAAAUUUCAGUUUCUUUCAGACAACAUAUAUUUGUCGUCGUCCAGAAGUACAUUAAAAGAGCUAGAAACCCGAUUUGGACAGCCUUCCUCACACAAAAUAUAUAUGAGGUCUCAAUUUUCAGCUAAAAACCUCAUUUCAGCUCAAUUUUCAACUCAAUUUUCAGACGACAUAUAUUUGUCGUCUCCAGAAGUACAUUAAAAGAGCUGAAAACUAGAUUUGAACAGCCUUUCUCACACAACAUAUAUAUGAGGUCUUAAUUUUUAGCUAAAAAUGAGAAUUUCUGGGUUUGUUCACACCACACCUAUAUGUCAUAUGAUUUUUACAAACCUAGAAAAAAUGAACUAGCCUCUUGAAGUAUAUGGCACUCAUACGACUUAUACUUCACAAAUGUCGUCUGAAGGGUCGAAAAAUUAAUCAGACGAUACAAACUCAAAAUCGUCCAAAAUAUGUCGUCUGAAAAGUGUCGUUUGAUGAUGUAUAUGGCCUAGUGUGUGGUUGAAUCACCCUACUUUUCGUGACACAGUGGCUACGUUGGAGUUCUAGUAAGUUUUGGGGAUGCUCGAUGUAUGUCACUGUGCAAAAAUUGAAGGCUUUGAAAUCUUGCUUGCGGAAUUGGAAUAAAAUUGUAUUUGGGGAUGUCCAUCAGAAUGUUAAUAAGGCUCGUGAAGCUUUAUCUGCAAUUAGCAAGACAUUGUUAUUCAUGGUAUGACUGACCAAAAAUUUGAAGAUGAGGUUGACACAAAAUUUCGUGUUUUGAAUGCGGUCAAGAUGCAAGAAAGCUAUUGGAAGGAUAGAGCUCGAGUAAAAUGGCUCACGGAUGGGGAUCGUAGUACUUCAUUUUUCUAUGCCUAUGCCAAGGUUCGUUCUGCUAGUGCCCGAAUGUCUUUAAUUCAUGAUGGAGAAAGGAUUCUUUUUGAACCCUCAGAUAUUGCAGCUCAUGUAGUGGGGUUCUAUCAAAAUCUUUAUUCUUCCUCCUCUACUCUAAGGAAUCUAGAUGAGGUAUGCUCUGUUAUUCUUUCUUUGGUCACCAAUGCAGAAAAUGAUUGGCUUACAGUAAUCCCUUCUACUGAAGAAAUCAAAAAUGCCGUCUUUGCUAUGAAUGCUUCCAGUGUACCAAGCCCAGAUGGAUUUCCAGGUUGUUUUUAUCAAUCUUUUUGGGAUAUUGUCGGUUCGGAUGUUGUUGCAUGUGUGAAGCAAUUUUUUAUGCAAAAUUGGCUGCUUCCUAACAUAAAUUGCAACUUCUUGGUUCUUCUUCCAAAAGUUCAGGAUGCCCAUGAAAUUACUCAAUUUAGGCCGAUUGCCCUAGCCAACUUUCUUUUCAAGAUAAUUCCAAAGAUCUUGGCUUCUCGUUUGGGACCAAUUGCUGCACGUAUAAUAUCUCCGGAACAAGGUGCUUUUAUUUCAGGUAGGCGGAUUACUAGUUGCAUUGGCACAGUGUCUGAAUGCUUUAAUCUCCUUGAUCGCAAGGCCUACGGUGGUAAUGUGGGGAUCAAAGUGGAUAUUGCUAAGGCAUUUGAUACGUUGCAAUGGGAUUUUCUACUUAGAGUCCUCAAGAAUUUUGGGUUCUCUAAUAUUUUCACCAGUUGGAUUAUUACUAUUCUUAAGUCGGCAAUGUUAUCAAUCUUAAUUAAUGGUUUUCCUCAUGGGUUUUUCUCUUGUUCUCGUGGUGUGAGGCAAAGGGAUCCUCUUUCUCCAUUAUUAUUUUGUCUUGCCGAAGAAGCUCUCAGCCGUGGUUUAUCUAUGUUACUUGGUUCGGGUCGAUUGAAGCUUAUAUCUUUUCCUAGAAACUGCACUCCCCCUUCUCAUGUUUUAUAUGCAGAUGACCUUAUUGUUUUUUGUCGUGGGGAUAAAUUAUUUCUUAGCCAUUUGAGAAGGUUUUUUGACCGUUAUAGUGCAGCUUCUAGUCAAUAUAUUAAUGCGGCGAAAAGUACUUUUUACCUUGGUGCCAAGUAUCAUCAUAGGCAAGCGACAAUUCAACGAAUAUUGGGGUUCCGCACAGGUAGAUUGCCUUUUAUUUAUUUGGGUGUCCCAAUUUUUUGUGGCAAGCUUCGGAGGUGUCAUCUUCAAGUUAUUGCUGAUAAAGCAAAAUCAAGACUUAUGGGUUGGCAGGGAUGGCUUCUUUCUAUGGCUGGUCGGACUUAAUUGGUGCAAUCAGUUUUUCAGAGUAUGUUACUUCAUAGUUUUUCUGUGUAUCAGUGGCCUGUGUAUUUGGUGAAGAAGCUAACUUCAUGGGCACGAAACUUUAUUUGGCCUGGUAAUAUAGGGACUCGGAAAAUCGUCAAUAUUCGCUGGGCUCAGGUUUGUGCCCCGAAGCUGGAAGGUGGGCUUGGUAUUCGUGAUCUUUCCUCUCUUAAUUCAGCUGCUAUCCUAAAGUUUGCUUGGGAUUCUUUCUCUUCUCAUUCUCAAUGGGGGGAUUACAUACGAUCAAGGAAUCCUAUUCUAUCUGUCUGCAAGCUGGGCUAUCGUAAAUCCUCAAUUUGGCCAGGUCUUCGGUCGGUUGCUUCUGGUUUUAGACAAAAUUGUUGAUGGUUAAUUGGAGAUGGUAAAUCUGUGUGUUUUUGGAAGGAUAAAUGGCUUCAAGCUCCUAUUUUGUGGACUUUAGGUAUUUCAAAUUGGUCUUAUUUCAGCAAUCUUCAUGUCGCAGAUUUUAUUUCUCAUCAUUCAUGGCAGCUUCCUCCCUUCUUUUGCCAAACUUUUCCGCUCUUGGCUAGGCAGAUUUCAGAUUUGGCACUCCCUCUUAUUGAUGAGUCAGAUAUGCUUAUUUGGGAGCCCUCUACCUUCGGUGAGUUAACUUUUUCUGUUGGGUAUGAAUUUCUGAGGCACCACAACACUGUCAAAGAUUGGGCUUGUAAUGUAUGGUGAUCAUUCAUCCCACCUCGUUACUCUUUUUUGGUCUGGAGAAUUCUUUUUGAUCGGCUUCCAACUGAUGAUAGAGUGAAAAUUAAUGGAAUUCCUAUUGUGACUAUCUGUCAGUUAUGUUAUUGCUCUGGUGAGACAUCAUUGCAUUUAUUUUUAUAAUGCCCUUUUUCCCAACGGGUUUGGAAAUGGUUGGCUGCUCAAUUUGACACUUCUUUAUCUUCUUUCAACUCCUUGAUAGAUUUUUGGAAGAGCUACUGUUGAAAGUCUUUCUCCUCGUAGCUUUUUAAUUUGUGGCUAGCAGCUGGCAUGUUUACUUUCAUGGCUCUAUGGAAGGCUCGGAAUAAGCUAAGGUUUGAUAAUCGAUCCCCUAAUUUAUAUACAAUGUGUUGCUCAAUUAUGGUAGGGAUUCGUCAAAUUAGCCUUUUUGCUCCUGGUCACUAUAAGGGUGUUCUUGAUGCCCGUUUAUUGACCUCUCUUGGAGUUGCUCCUAAAGGUGGUAAGACUCCUAGAAUUCAAUAUGUCUUAUGGCAGCCUCCUCCGUUUCCUUGGAUCAAAGUAAACACAGACGGUUUAGCAAAAGACAAUCCAGGUCCAGCAACUUGUGGGGGUGUGUUUCGUGAUGCCUCAGGUGGGUUUUUAGAGAGUUUUUGUCAUUCGCUUGGAUGGAAUACUUUCUUUUAUUCUGAACUUGAUGCUGUUAUCUUGGCAAUUGAAAUUGUUCAUGAUAAAUGGUGGGUCUACUUAUAGUUGGAAAAUGACUCUGUUAGUGUGGUAGCUUACUUCUCUUCUAGGUCUUUUUCUCCUCCAUGGAACUUAAGAGUUCGUUGGAAUAACUGUCUUUCUAUAAUCCGUCAAAUGAACUUCCAUUGCAGUCAUAUUUUUAGAAAAGGAAAUGUGCUAGCUGACAAGAUGGCAAACUUGGGGUUGUCAAAUGGUUCAUUUACUUGGUAUGAUAAUCCUCCUACUGAGCUUCAUGGUUUCUUACAAGCGGAUUAUUUGGGUAUCCAUAAUUAUCGGUUUUCAUAGUGGGAAGAUUGCCUGGUUUUUUAUGGGUAGAAUAAACAAUGUCUUUUGGUAUGUUGUUUUGGUUUGUAAUUGAAAUGGUUUUGGCCUAGUCCCCAAUUCCUCUUUUAAUGUAAUUUCUUUUAUUAUAAAUAAAAAUUCUGAUAAGGGACGGACAGUGGGUUCCUUGUUGUAGCAAUCCCCUUCGGGAUAGAAUGGGUGCUCUAUCACCCACCAGACUCUGCUACAGAGGAGCUGAUAUCACAUAAUCCUUGUCAGUAAUUAAUUAAAAAAAAAAAAAAAUGUAGGUAGUAACUUCACAAAAAAGAUAGCGAAGGUGAUGUCUGAGUUAAUUAAUAACUGUGGACGCCCAACACGACCAUAAACAGAGGGUUUCGUUUUCAGAAAUUGCCAUAUAGUGGGUGGGGUACGCAUAGGAUAUCCUGGCAGUUAAAAAUCAGGCCAAACAAACAUCACUAUAAAACUUCAAACCAAAUGCUCUUGACAGGAAUUGCCCGAACAUCUGAGUUGCAGUUGAUGAAAAUAAAUAUGUUCUUAAACAAAUAGUAUUUUCUUUGUGUUAGUAAUGCUCAGAAUAUGAUACUAACUGCAUGGAAUAUAUUUGCACAGGACAGUUAGCCCACCGCUCUUAAAUCAUAAUCAUAUGUUUGCAUUGACAAGGGAAUUUGUGCAACUCAUAAGCAGUAGGUUCCCUACCCUACAAGUUAACAAAUCCCUCAUGUUUGUUUGUCCAACUGGACCCAUCAGUUCUAUGUAUCUAUAAUUGCUAAUUAAAUUGCCAAGGGACAUUAAGCCCGUACACGUUGCAAGAGCAUAACGAACAGUGAGCUCCUACAUCAAACCAUAAGAACCAAUAUACAGCAAGGAGAAAGGAGGGCACUGAGAUGAGUGCCACCUCUAAUGACCACAAAUUAGUUAGAUGAUGCUCCAUUGUAAAUACAUAUAUUAUUGGUGUUGCACUUGCAUCACUUAUUUUGGAUUUUGAGCCAAACUCUACUACUUUGUUCAUCGAUUUAGGACGGUCACUAGGCUUCAUUUGUAUACACCACAAUGCUACCAUAAGCAUCUUCUUUGUUAAUUUCUUUUCCUCGUCGGUCGCAUCUUCAAUUUCCAUCUCCUUUCCUUCACUGAACUGGUCAUAAACCCAUGAAGGAAAGUAAAUUUGGCUAGAAUGGGCUGCAACUGCAUUCAAGUUCUUUCUUUUCCCUGCUAUUUCCAUCAGCAACAUUCCGAAACUAUACAUGUCAGCUUUGUUUGACACACCACCAAUAUUCUUGUAAAACAAUUCCGGAGCUAUGUAUCCAAUGGUUCCUCUAGCUGCAGUCAAAAUUAAACUGCUGUCAUCUAAUGGGCAUAAUCUAGCCAGACCGAAGUCUGAAACCUUUGGAACAAAAUUCUCAUCUAGAAGAAUGUUGUGUGGCUUGAUAUCAAAAUGCAAUAUCUUCAUGUCACAUCCUUGAUGCAGAUAACCAAUACCACGAGCCACUCCUAGUGAAAUUUCAAAUGUUUCCUUGCAGCUUAAGGAAAUGGAUCCUUCCUUAGAAAAAAUGUGCUUAUCAAGAGACCGGUUUGCCAUGUACUCGUAUACAAGAGCACGCUUUGAUCCCUCAGCACAAUAGCCAAUUAGUUGCACCACAUUUACAUGAUGAAUUCUUCCAAUUGUGGCAACUUCAUUUAUAAAAUCUUGUCCAUUAGCUUUGGACUUUCCCAACAUCUUAACAGCAACAAGGCGUCCGCUCCGGAGCUUUCCUUUAUACACACAGCCAUAACCUCCUUCCCCUAAUUUGUCCUUAAAUCCUUUGGCCAUUUUCUUGAUAUUGUAGUAGGAGUACCUUAUUGGCAUGAGGUUAUUGUGACUUUGCAAGAAAUCUUCAAUAAGGCCAUACAUUGAUAAGAGUGGCGUCUUUUCAACUUGAAGAUCAAAAACACAAUCACACAGGGAACUCCGAGUACAACUUUUGUCCUGGUCCACAUAAUCACUGUAAAUGAAAUAAUAACUGAUCAUAAAAAUGAUUCUGUAAAGAUUGUAAGCCUCAAUAUCGACUUACAGAAGUCCUAUAAAUAUGAAUGAAUAUGAUAAGAAGCAUGGUGAAGAAGGUCAAUUAAGGAAUACGAUUAAAGUUUCUAGUAUUGCUCUAUUUCUCUCAUCUGUAUCAAUAAUACCGUCUUGCCCAACAUCUUGCUCCUACAUGGAGAGGCUUGAGCUGUAAUACAUAAUACAAUUAACUUUGUUGGUAUCAGUGUCGAUGUAGCAAUCUUCACCUGGUCGCCCGUAAUUGUGCAACCAUGAAAGUUCAAAACCAUAGAGCAGCUUGUUGUGGAUGUCUAUGUAGGACCUGUUCACAACUUUUGUUCCAUUCCAUGAUGUCAAAACCAUCAGCUCCGUCUGGCAUGAAUCUAACAAAUCCGAUGCAUUUAAGCUGUCAGUGUUAACAAAGGAAUGUCCACUCGUUGCGUUGAUGCAAGGAGCAGCAUCAACAAAGAGGGAUGAAUUCCCCGGCCGAAAUUUACAGGUCAUGAGAAUUAUAGGCUUUGACAGUAACCGAUGACUACUCCAAACAAUUGUACCUGUCCGAUAAAGUUGAUACAUGCGAUACGGAUCCUCAUCACUACUGAAGUUGUAUCUAGUCAAGGAAUAAGGAGGGAGUGAAGAGCAGUUAUCCUUUUGAAAAUUGGCAUCCACAACUCGGAUCGUGCAGUUUUUAUAAUUGAUGGCAAGGACAUAGUAUCUUACAGAAUGCAAGUGUACAACAGUGAGAUUGUUCUCGCAAGACAGGUUAUACCUGAAGUCACCGCACUUCUGUGGAUCACCGAUGAGUCGGAAAGGGUAACUUAUAUUACCGAUGUCGCCGCAAGAUGAAGGCUGACAGUGUUGAUGACCCUUAGCAUGGAAAGCUACACAGCAUAAACCAAGAACUAGACCAAUAAUGAAUCGUGCUGCAGGAACAGGUAGACUGACCUUGAUCAUGGCGAGAGAGACCAAUUAAUCUAAUUUAGCUUCAUGCCGGCCUUCAUCAGUUCCACGGAAGGAGAGAUGAUAUAUAUAUAUAUAUAAAUGCUCUGAUGAUCAGUACUAAACAACAUUAUACAUAAACUUCACUUACUAUUCAAUAUGGAAAACAGAAAAAAAACUUCUGACUUGUAGACCAAGUGAAGGCUAGCUAGGUCCAAUUACAUUUGGACAAAGAGAUCUCAACUUUGGUUUCAUUUUUAAUGGCUACUUGAGAUUUUGUGUAUAUAUAGCAAAACUGGAACAUUAUUGGUUUUACUAGUCAACAUGGAAAGAUAGAUCUAGAAUAUAUUUGUAGAAUACUGCAACCAGUUCAUUUUAUUUGAGUGCAAAAAUGAUUCAAUGAGCUUGACUUACUCAACUUAUAAAGAUCAAGUAACCGGCCAAGUCCACAGAUGAUGUAUCUCAUUUAGAAAAGAUCAAUAUAUGGAGUAUAAGAAACAGUUCUAACAAAAAAUAUAGAGAGAAUUGCCUUAAGGCCUCAAGGGAGUCUACUUAUAUAUAAAUUCUAUAGGAUAGUUUGUAACUUAUUACUGGGUUAAUUUUGCUGGAUUAUGUGUGUAUACAGCUUUUGUUUCAUGCAUUCGUAGAGAAAGAACACGAUAGGGUAUGUAACCAAAAAAAAAAAAAAGAACACAAUAGGGUUAGGUAUGCAUUAUGUAACAAUUAAGGACGAGCGAAUCUUCAAACUUUCUUGUUAGGUCUUCAUGUAUGUGCUUGAGCUUGGGCUUAUGCAUGUAUAUAGUUUUAUUUUCAACUUUCAAUCAUCCAAAUUUGUAAACAACUAGAAAGACAUCGGCCUCUCUCAAACCAACAACAGUCCAUGUCAUGCUGAGCACCAGUGCACUACUGCAUUCACGAAACUUGUAAACAACUGCUGACCAAUAUGAUAUGAUUGAAACUCGGAAGUAGCGAAAGUAUUACCAUGUUGCCGUUCUGAAAUGAUCCAAAAUUGGCUAGAUUAGUCACAUAGACAGAUGAUGGUUCAGUAAAACUUGACGAAAUAACGUUCUGAGCAUCUGAAUUAUAAAACAGCCUAUCUCUUCCAUUUCAACUAAGGGGUCCGGCUCGUCUAAAAUAAGGAGUCCGUGAAGUUAGUCUAAGUUCAUAAAAUCCACACUCUUUAUCUAAUCUAAUGGGUUCUGAGCAGGACACGUCACUCUUGGAUUAAUAUAAGUUAACCUAUGGUUAACUUUGGUAAACUGCCGUCAACUACAUAACAAAAAAGAAAAGAAAAGAGGUUUUACGUCUUCUGCUAUAACACGUCCAACUGCUAUCUUCCUCUCUUGCUUCUAAGUCGAUCGACUUGCUGCGCUAUACAUAUGCUCUGUUGCGAAUCACUAUGACGAACUUGGACUAUUGCAAAUAAAUCACUACAUUUGGUAUCCAGAUACAUACUUUCAGAACAUAUGCUCUAUUCCCAGGUAUUACUCUUCACCAAGGACUAUGGAUGAUAUCGUUCAGUAAUUGAAACCUAUUUGGCCGAUUUUGGAAUAAUAGAGUUACUGUGGGAUUUGGAUCAGUUGCAUUUCCUACUGCGUGCUAUGAAAGAGGACCGUUUGAUGUUUCUAAACUUUGAAAUCAGCUGUUUGAUAUUUUUGCAUUUGGGACGCACAUAACGUGUUUGAUGCAAUGACAAGCUCAAUUUUUGAAUAUUGACUUCAGAUUUUGUUCAAGUUAACAUGGAGUAUGAUUUUGGCAUUAAUUGACAAAGGCCAUAAAGCUGAUUUUCAUCUGUACUAAUUUCAUUUUUCAUCUGUAGUUUGAGCACUUCUUAGAUGUAUUGUUCUUAUUUUGUGUUUUCAAAACUGAAAAACACACAUCUAAGUAGGCAAAUACUUGUUUGUUUCAUCUCACUUUUUGCGAAAGCAAGACCUACUUUAUCAACUAAGUUGUAAUAUAAAAGUUAAUGCAAUGCAUAGUCGACAAAGUUGGAAAUAUUGCUCGUAAGGAACUGUGAAAACUGAUUCUCUAAUUGUAGAUAUGGACAUGAGCAAAAAUUGACAUGGACAUGAGCAUCUAUAAUUGUCAAAACUGAUUAUCAAACAUUAUAUGGUGUUGGUGUUGUUGUUGUUAGAAUUUGAGCCUCUACUUUGUAUUUUGAACAAAAUAUGAUCAAGAUCAAUUUACUGUAGCAAAUGAGGCAGAAGAAAACUCAGUUGAACUUUGAAGCAAACCUUAGCAGCCUCUAUUCUUACUUGUGGAAUUCUUAGAGAUUACACAGCAACUGAACCCUUAUAUAGGGUGCAAAGUAACCUAUAAAAUAUCAUAGAAGCACCUAAUUAACUAGAUUGUAAUUGUACUUUACAUACAACAGAAUAUCUAGAUUUUUUAUUUUAUUUUUUUACUAAACAAAAUAUCUAGAUUAAGUGGAGGAGAAAACAUUAAAGCAAGUGGCUGGGAUUGUCUCACUGCAACUCCAGCGUGAGUCCCUGCAGCUGAUUAUUACUAACAGAUAAGCUUCCCAGAUUUCUCAGGAAAGCAUUAACUUCAACAGUUGUUAAUUUCUGUGUGAUCGAUCAUACUUCUGCAUCAAAAGUUAGCAACUAAACAAAACCCAAUUCAUGUACCCAAACUGGAUUUUACAAUUUUGAUUCCAUAUAUUGGAUUCAUGCAAGUUUAAUCAUGCAGCAAAGGUUAAUUAAUUAUACCUCAAUGGUUAUUGCUAUGGUCAUAUGAAUGGAGUUACAGUUGAUCCUUGUGGAUUUCCACCGUUGUACUUUUAGCAUUUGUUAGGCUUGCUUGAAGGUUAAUAAGUAGUGACAAUACUUAGCACUAAAAGGUUAUAUUGGUCCAACGCAGUGCCUUUCAUGCUUCACCCCCAAGAAUCUAUUGAGCAUGUGCUAUGUAACUGCCCCAUCAGUAGAACCUUAUCAAAGCAUCAUUUGAACAUUCCUGUGACUUUGGUAGAAAUUGUUGUGGAUUCUGAUACCACUGUCAGAAUUUGUGGCUUGUUACUACAAUCAGAGUUGGAGUGGAAGUGUUUAGUGUGUGAUGAGCUAGGACAAUGUGUUUAGAACAAAGGUAUUUAGGAGCUAGACUUAGGAGAAGAUGUUAUUAGGACAAGAAUGUUAGGAGGUUAGAUAGGGGUUAAGAGGAGAUGUUAAUAGAGGAGGGAACUUGAUUGCUUGCUUCAACUACUCUUUCAUUCAUCUUCAUUACAGUAUAAGUAGAAGAGGUCAUACACAUAUAUAUAUAGAGCAUGUAAACCGACAUUGCAUAGUAGCCGGCGACCUUGCUGGACUACAUCACAGACUUUGUUUUGUUUCUAGACAAUGCUAGACUCUUUGCUAGCUCUAGAUGACUACAUGCAAAAUUUUCAUGAUCAUUCUUCCCUAAUCUAGAUUAAUCUAGCUAGCUCUAGGACUUCCUUCAUUUCUCUAGAUAUCUUUAGUGUGGUGCAGUAUAUUUUAAAUGGUCAAUGUCUCCACCUUUCAUUUUUAAGGAGUGGAUGAUGGAGGAAGCUAAUUCACUUGCUGAGAAGUUUAACUCAUUGCUUAUGUUUAUUUGGGGCAUCUUGGAGAAACCGCAAUUCUACUCUAGCUAUGGUCUCAGAAAAGUCAAGUGCAAAUGACAUUGUUUGCCGUGUUAUCGCCUGGUAUCAUGAGUUCACUGCUACAAAUCAAUCUCUUCUCACGCUUGAAAAGAUGCAAUUCGGAGGAGAGAGUUAGGAAAUCACAACAGAAUUGGAGUGCAGUGGCAUGAUAAAACUGGAGAUGCGAUCUCAUUUAGUUUAGUCCUAGUCAAUGUAGGAACACUCACCUGUAGGAAUUGGUGAAACCUUUAGUCAGCAGAAUUGAGCUCACUUAAAAUAGAUAAAAGAAAAUUAAUGGACCCUAUACUUACUGCAUAAGAUUGGAAGCUAGUGUUUUCCUUUAUGCCAUCCGGGAACCUAUUGCUGUUGGCAAAGCCAGAAUUUCUAUUCCAUAAUGGUGAACAACGUCUGCUCUAUCUAUAUAUAUAUAGAGAAACCAAUGGAGAACAUAUGCAUUAGUUCACGAACAGUUUAUUACGUCUCAUAUGAGCUAAGAAGUAGAAAGCAGUUCGGAAUGAGACUGAAUUUCGAGUCCCAUUGUCAUGGACUCAUGGACAAGGUUCCCAGUUCUAGACGGAAGCUUCUUCGGGAUAGGAGAGAGGAGAGAAACUUAUGUAAGAAGGCGAACUAGCUUUCGAUACUUUGUGGUACUGAUGUAUGCAUGAUCGAUCAUCUUCAAACCUCACAACACCAAACCAGAGACUUGGCCCCAAGAACGUACAGAAGUCCACCGCAUUAUCGAAACGUACAAGGAAAAGCUAGCGAUGCAGAAUAAUGACGUCAAAGAUAUGAGAAGCACUUCAUCUCUGUCAAUCGGAGACGCCACAAACGCUACUACUUCGCAUUCUACUUCUAGUCAUGAACCAAAUAAGAAGAUGAAACUGGACUUGAGUUUUCUGAUUCUUAUGAUUCCGAGACUAGAGGUAAGAAGUUGCAUGCUGACUAGAAUGCUCUGAAUACUGAAGAGGCCAUGGAUAUGGAGAUGCAGUACCAAGAAGGGAGUGCAAAGCAUCCCCAGAACGAAUUGAUUGGAGAUGAUGAGGCAAAGCUUGCUUCACUAGAAGCUCAGCUGCAAGCUAUAACCAAGAGAAUUGCUUCAAUGGAGACAAAUUAUUUUUAAAUUCUGUAGGAUAGUAUUGCUUGAUCAAUAACUCAAUAUUGCUGGAUUAAUGUGUAUGACUGUAUAUUUCUAUUUCUGUUAUGCAUUUGGUGUUGGUGCCAAUGUAGUGAAAAAAUAUGAUUAGGUGAGGACGAGUUAUUCUUCAAACAUUCUCAGUUAAAUCUUGGUGUUUUGUGCAUUAGCUUAUGCUUAUAUAUAUAGUUAUUCCUUUUCUUCUUUCAAUCAUCAUUGGUAAACAACGAAUAAGACACCGGCUACCCUUAAACCAACAAUCCAUGUUAUGAUUAGCACUAUGUAGUACUGCACUUCACGAAAUUUAAGCUUGUAAACAAUUGCUGACCAAUAUGAUACCAAUUGGAGCAUGUUCAAUAACACAAAGUAGGAACUAAACUACCCUCGAUCUAUAUAAAGACAAUAAACUUGGUAUCAAGAACUGAAGUUUCCCUCAUGAUUCCUGAUCAGCACACCGUUCCCAGUUUAGGUGAAUAUGCAGAGUAUUCGAAUAACACUUAUUAACUACUCCAUAGCAGGAAAUUCCUUCCCCAUGGUAAAUACAUAUAUAUUAUUGGUGUUGCGCACUUAUUCUGGAUUUUGAGCCAUGCAUCACUUAUUCUGGAUUUUGAGCCAAACUAGUCGACUCUGGAGCUUCAUUUUUUAAUGGCAGUGACGAUGAUAGAGCUGUUUCCGUAUCAUCUUCAUCAUCCACUACUGGCAUGUCUUGUGGAUAUAGGAAGGGCUUUGGAGGCAUUGGAAUGGAUUCAACUUCUCCUUCAAGCAUCUCUACAACUUUGCUCAUUGAUUUGGGACGGUCACAAGGCUUCAUUUGUAUACACCACAAUGCUACCAUGAGCAUCUUCCUUGUUAAUCUCCUUUCCUCGUCGGUUGCAUCUUCAAUUUCCAUCUCAUUUCCUUCACUGAACUGGUCAUAAACCCAUGAAGGAAAGUAAAUUUGGCUAGAAUGGGCUGCAACUGCAUUCAAGUUCUUUCUUUUCCCUGCUAUCUCCAUCAGCAACAUUCCGAAACUAUACAUGUCAGCUUUGUUCGUCACACCACCAAUAUUCUUGUAAAACAAUUCCGGAGCUAUGUAUCCAAUGGUUCCUCUCGCUGCAGUCAAAAUUAAACUGCUGUCAUCUAAUGGGCAUAAUCUAGCCAGACCAAAGUCUGAAACCUUUGGAACAAAAUUCUCAUCUAGAAGAAUGUUGUGUGGCUUGAUAUCAAAAUGCAAUAUCUUCAUGUCACAUCCUUGAUGCAGAUAACCAAUACCACGAGCCACUCCUAGUGAAAUUUCAAAUGCUUCCUUGCAGCUUAAGGAAAUGGAUCCUUCCUUGGAAAAAAUGUGCUUAUCAAGAGACCCGUUUGACAUGUACUCGUAUAUAAGAGCACGCUUUGACCCCUCAGCACAAUAGCCGAUUAGUCGUACCACAUUUACAUGGUGAAUUCUUCCAAUGGUUGCAACUUCAUUCAUAAAAUCUUGACCAUUAGCUUUAGACUUUCCCAACAUCUUAACAGCAACAAGGCGUCCGCUGCGAAGCUUGCCUUUAUACACAGAGCCGUAACCUCCUUCCCCUAAUUUAUCCUUAAAUCCCUUGGUCAUUUUCUUGGUAUUGGAGUAGGAGUACCUUAUUGGCAUGAGGUUGUUGUGACUUUGCAAGAAAUCUUCAAUAAGGCCAUACAUUGAUAAGUGGCGUCUUUUCAACUUGAAGAUUAAAAACACAAUCACACAGGGAACUCCGAGUACAAUUUUUGUCCCAGACCACAAAAUCACUGUAAAUGAAACAAUAACUGAUUAUAAAAAUGAUUUUUUAAAGAUUGUAAGCCUCAAUAUCGACUUACAGAAGUCCUAUAAAUAUGAAUGAAUAUGAUAACAAGAAGCAUGGUGAAGAAGGUCAAUUAAGGAAUGCGAUUAAAGUUUCUAGUAUUGCUCUAUUUUUCUCAUCUGUAUCAAUAAUACCGUCUUGCCCAACAUCUUGCUCCUAAAUACUUGUCCAAGACACAUUGUCCUAGUUCACUCCUAGCUAUAUAGUGGUAACAAAGCCACAAAUUCUAAUAGACUUUGUAACGGCUGGAAACAAUCAUGUUCUGAAAUAAAGAUAAAUAAUUAUGGUUGCUUACAGGAAAAAAAAUAAUGAGAAAACGCACCUGCAUCUAGAAUGUAUGAAGCUGACACUGAUAAACAGACAGAAGAGUUGUUGUCAGAGUUGUUAAAUUAAAAUGGUCUGAAAAGAAUAAGACUGAGAUAGUGGUCACCUAUUACAUAAUCCGCAAUAAUAGUGGAGAGGCUUAAGCUGUCAUACAUAAUACAAUUAACUUUGUUGGUAUCAGUGUCGAUGUAGCAAACUUCACCUGGUCGCCCGUAAUUGUGCAACCAUGAAAGUUCAAAACCAUAGAGCAGCUCGUUGUGGAUGUCUAUGUAGGACCUGUUCACAACCUUUGUUCCAUUCCAUGAUGUCAGAACCAUCAGCUCCGUCUGGCAUGAAUCCAACAAAUCCGAUGCAUUUAAGCUGUCAAUGUUGACAAAGGAAUGUCCGCUCGUUGCGUUGAUGCAAGGAGCAGCAUCUACAAAGAGGGAUGAAUUCCCCGGCCGAAAUUCACAGGUUAUGAGAAUUAUAAGCUUUGAGUACAGUUCAAACUGAGGACUUUUCUCCCAACUUGUACCUUUCCAUUGAUGCGUGCGAUACAGAUCCUCAUCAUCACUACUUAAGUUAUAUGCAGUCAAGGAAUAUAGAGGGAGAGAAGAGCAGUUAUCCUUUUGAAGAUUGACAUCCACAACUCGGAUCGUGCCGUUUUCAUAAUUGAUGGCAAGGACAUAGUAUCUUCCUGAAUACAAGUGUAAAACAGUGAGAUUAUUCUCACAAGACAGGUUAUACCUGAAGUCACCGCACUUCUGUGGAUCACCGAUGAGUCGGAAAGGGUAACUUAUAUUACGGAUGUCGCCGCAGGAUGAAGGCUCACAGUUUUGAUGAUCCUCAGCAUGACAACAAACUACACAGCACAAACCAAGAACUAGAACAAUAACGAAAUGUGCUGGAAGGGGUAGUAGCCUGAUCACCUUGAUCAUGGCGAGAAAGACAAAUAAUUCUAGUUUAGCUUGAUGCCUCAAACAAGCAGAGAUGAUAUGAAAAAAUGCUGUGAUCAGUACUUAAACAACAUUAAUUGGAUAUGAACUUCACUCACUAUUCAACAUGGGAAAGAGAAGUUCUGACCAGUAGACUAGUGGAAGUUCAUUUGGAAAAAGAGCGAGCAAUUGAGACAUCUCUCAAAUUUGGUUCCAUUUGAUUUUGUGGAUUAGCAAAUGCCAACAUUAUUGGUCUUACUAGUCAACUUGGAAAGAUAGAUCGGGAAUAUAUACCUUGUGGAAAACUGCAACCAGUUCAUUUUAUUUGAGUGCAAAAGAUUGAAUGAGCUUGACUUGAGGUCAACUGAAUAUGGAUUAGUCACUCUCAAGUAACCAAGACCACAAAUGACAUACAUCUCAUUUUUGAAAAGAUCAAUAUUUGGGGCAUGAGAUAACACACACAGAUGGGUGCUUCCGGGAAGAUGACUGAACAGAAUUAAGCAUUGACAAUUUAUCCCAAGUUUAAGAUAAACUCAUAUUAAGGUUAAGACUUAAUUAUACGUUGAGGAGUUGGGAGUAGUGACAAUCCCAGAAUGUUUCCUUCUUUACUUGGGACUUGCAAAGAAGCCAAGACGCUAUCUGGUUAAAACAAAAGGAUCCUACAGACAGAAAUUAAAUUAACAAGGACAAAGCAGGACUCGCAUACCAUGUCAGACACAACGCUCGCAACAACAAAGCCUUGAAAUGAAUGAUCGGAUGAAUGCCACAAAGGGACAUGUAUUUCAAUUAUAUGCCGAAAAAAUCACAGCAGGUUGUGAACUUGUGAUUCUCAUUUAGACCUUAGGUGGACUUAAGAUUGUCAAGUUCUCACAUGGUGACCAAAAAUCAUUACCAUGGUUAAGUUAGCAAAGAUUAUCAGUUAAAAAGAUAAAGUAUGAAGCCUGAAUGGAUGAUACAGCAAGUACAGAAUCAACCUACUGGAAAGAAAUGGGAUAUUCUGUUAAAAUGCCUAUAUAAUGUGAUUUUUCUGACCAAGUCAGUAUGAGCAUGAACUGUAAACUGUAAUGAUGUAACGUGGUAAUUUAACAGUAUGUUGAAAAGAAACAUUAUAAACAAGAGAAUUUCUCAUGUCUCAUUGGCAAAACCAAAAGCCUUCACUUCUUCUUGUAUUAUUUUCUACUAAGCUCUUAGAAUACAUCAAAAUCCUCUAUACUGCACCAAGUAUAACAGAUUAAUAGACAACUGCAAUUGAUACUUCUAUCUUAAUUCCGAACUCUUUAAUAAUUUAGCUUCACGCUCUUGACGAAGUCUUUCCCUCUGGAAGAAAACCACACAGACAUAAAAUUUAAGGAUGGGAAUACAUAGAGAGGAAAUUACAGAUGCAAUCCAAUAUUAUCACAAGUGGUUUUAGAUGGUCAUAAGUUAUGGAUCGCAUUGUUGUAUUAAAAGACUAAUCACAUCUCAUUCAUCAGACUAAGUAACAUUACCUAUCUAAUCCAAUCAAAUAAUGAAUAUGUAUGUAGUUAGCAACUUCACAAAAAAGAUAGUGAAGGUUGCCACAGCAUGAUUUCUGAGUUAAUUAAUAACUGUGGACGCCCAACAGGUAAACCCAGAACCACAAACAGAGGGUUUCGGUUUCAGAAAUUGCCAUAUAGUGGGUGGGGUACGCAUAGGAUAUCCUGGCAGUUAAAAAUCAGGCCAAACAAACAUCACUAUAAAACUUCAACCAAAUGCUCUCGACAGGAAUUGCCCGAACAUCUGAGUUGCAGUUGAUGGAAACACAUAUGUUCUUAAACAAAUAGUCGUUUCUUUGUAUUAGUAAUGCUCACAAUAUGAUACUAAAUGCAAUGAAUAUAUUUGCACAGGACAGUUAGCCCACCACGGCACCACUCAUAAAUCAUAAUCAUAUGUUUGCAUUGACAAGGGAAUUUGUGCAACUCAUAAGCAGUAGGUUCCCUACAAGUCAACAAAUCCCUCGUGUUUGUUUGUUGAACUGGGUCCAUCAGUUCUAUGUAUCUAUAAUUGCUAAUUAAAUUGCCAAGGGACAUUAAGCCUAUACACGUUGCAAGAGCACAAUGCAACAGUGAGCUCCUACAUGAAACCAUAAGAACCAAUAUACAGCAAGGAAAAAGGAGGGCACUGAGAUGAGUGCACCUCUAAUGAUCACAAAUUAGAUAGAUGAUGCUCCUUUAGGUAAAGACACUAUGUUUUGACUACAGGAUUAAGAGUACAUUUAGGCAUACAGGCCAAGAAAAAAUCCCACAAAACUGAAGGAGGCAACUACAGUUUGUGAGCAACAUUGCCUGGCUAAUGGACUUCACCAGCUCAACCUCUUUGCAUUUUUUGUUGUGUUUUCUACAACUUUCCUUUCCGCCGAGUAUCACUCAGUUUGAAAUAUGUAAUCCAAGUUGGUGAGACAAAAAUUUUCUGACAGUUGAAGUAUACCCACUUGUUAAUUCUUUUUCACAACUUUGUAAUAUUGAUAUGAAGGAAGAAGCAGAACACCUAUGAUGAAUUAAAUUUUAAAAACUCAUUAAUGUUUGUAUGAUUUCAAAGAUGGAUUAGAGCCUAAGAGAAAAUUCAAAUUUUUAUAUUUUGUGGUGUGCACAAUAUAAAAUAGAACCCCUCUAUAAAUACAGGUAUAGGUAAAAGAAAAUUGUGGGAUCAAUGAACUGAAAAUCCAGCAUUUACAAGUUUUCAAAAACAUUGCACUGAAUAAUAAUGCUAAUAUGACAUGAGAAAGGCACAAGCAACAGAUUUAUGUGUAUCACCCCCAGUAAGACCAGUAAGACCAUUAUUUAUUCUUUACAUCAAUACAAUAAAAUUAUACACAUAAAAUAAUAUUGUAUCACACAUUUUGUCAAACUACGUUUUGAGUUGUAUCCUUUAUAAAUUGGUCCCAAUACUUUUUACAAUCAAUCCGGUGACCAUUCAACCUAAACAAACAUUUCUACCGCUUGUAACACCAGCUUUCCAAGAAAAUAAAUAAAAGAGCAGGAUUUCAAAAAAAAAAUAAUAAUAAUAAUAAUCAUAACAAGAAAGCGUACCCGUCUUUCCCAAAAAGGAAGAAAGCAGACGAAAUCAUAGACAGGAGUAAUGGUUGAAACUAAGAUAGCAUUGAGUCCAGUAAACACCAAAAGUGCAGUCAUAGGUCGAGUUCUGUGCGGCAUGUUUCUCUAUUGUCUAGGCUUUCUUCAGCUCUGCAAGCAAGAAAACACAGUUGAGGACAGAAAGCAACACUAUGCACACCUAUCAGUGCUUAAUGCACACGGAUGAAUAAAAGUACUAGUACAGAAAACACAAGAGAGUCAAAAUAAAGAUAUGACAAACCAUGCUCAAAUGGGAAUAGAGGACUAUUAUUUUUUUUUUUUUAUGAAUAUCUUUGAAAAUUAUUAAACAGAAUGCUUUUAUAUAAACAUGUCCUUAAAAGCCAACAAAGAUAAAUUGAAUUCCAAAUAUAUGUGCUUAAAUGCGGUAAAAAAGGGAAAAAAAAAAAGGUGGCCUACCAUGAUGGUAAAAACAAUACGUAUCGGACUUGAAAUCAGUUCUACUUUUUCCAACUGACAAAGCCAACAGGUCAUAGAAAAUGCAAAUGAAGGCCUAAAAAUGCUUCACAUACUGUAACCAAACUAUCGGUUAAUGAGUACAUGAAAAAACAUAAUCUACAAUAUAUAUAUAUAUAUGAAUAUAUAUAGAUAUACAGAUACAUAUAUAUAAAUUAACACAUUUUCUCAGUACAAGACACAUUCCUGUCAUCAUGAAGCUAAUGAAAUUACAGUGGCAAGAAAAUGCCCACUAAAAAAAAUAUUUAUAUAUAUUUUCAACAAAAGAUGAUUGCCCUAGCAGGGGUGGGUGUUCAUCCAUUUUGGUUACAAAAACAACGGAGUUGCAUCUGCAACUCUAAAAUGCAGCACUACUUCAUUUACACACAUAGUAGUGAGUGCAAACCUGUAAGUAAAGUCCAUGAAAACCCAAUAUCUGAGACAUCAUAUUCAAUCUAUUCGCUAACUGUGUAAGCAAAAUACCAACCUGUGUUCUGUCAAAUUCUUACAAAAACAGUUGGGCAAAUCUACCCAACAAAAUGUUCACGUAUAAUGAAAAUGCCAUCACUUUAGAACCAACAUACAAAACACAGGCCUUUUGAAGCUAUUGAAAGUAAGAUCUAUAAACAUUCAUGUUAUAAUCAUAUAUUAACCAUGAUCCAAAUGGGGAAUUUAAUAACUUUGCAUUUUCUGAUCUCACUUACUCCUGUUAUUGGUCACUUUAACUUUACAAUCAUAUUUAGAAGUACCCCCACUCAACAAAGUGGAGAAUUGUACAGUACUCACCACAGCUUGCUGCAGUUGUUGCUGGGAUAUCAGUAACCAACCUGGAAACCAUGUAAAGGAUGAAUACUCAGAAAAAGUAAGCACCACUCCUCAUCAACCUGGCCUAGACACAUCCAAUACCCAAAUUAAAAAGAACACCAAUCAAUCAAAGUGAACAGAUAUUCUUCUCUACAUAUACCCUUGUUGGUCUAGAUCGUUUUUCUAGAGUUCUUGCCAUCUUGGCUUUAAGAAUACAUGAAGAACAAUUUCAAGACCUCAAAAAGCUUAGCAGUAAUGCAUAUCAAGGCUUAUAGCUCACUUUUGCUUUCUUCGUUUUAUUAAUCAAUAAUAUAAUACUUGCAUACAUAUUCAUCAUGUAUAUAUAUUAUGCUGUUUGUCAUCUUUGUUUAGAAAUGCAUUAGUUUAAUCUACAAUUCCCUCGUUACUUCAUCGAGAAUAGAAAACAAAAGAGUAAACACAAACCCAUAAAAGGGGUUGUAUGAUAAAGAAAUAAUAGCUACAAGCUGAGGCUCCAGAACUAACAUGUUAUGCUUGGCUCUUUCAGUUUGAAUUUGAUGGUAGAUAUGAAUUCAAUUCAGCGGCCGAAACAGGCAGAACACAGCCCAACCCAGUUCAACUCACUGUCCAAACUCCAAAACCCCAAUUCUUCAAUAAGCAAGAGUAUCAAAAUCUCACACAACCCAGGUAAGCUUUUCUACUAUAGAACUCGAAUUUCACAGAUUCGACAAUAAUUUCACAACCCCAAUCAAAGAAAUUGAGCUCCUCUAAUCGCAAUUCUCACUACCCAAAUAAAAAUUGCAGAACAAAGUUUCACUGAAACUGUAAGUAGGAAUCUAUUCCCAAUAUUAAGCAAGAAAAUGAACACAGCAGACACAAUCACCCACAAAAGUAAACUCCAACGCCAAAUUCAUAUAUCAAAACUACACUCAGCCCAAAAAUGAACUCACUCUCCCAACUCCAGAAGCCAAUUUGAAUUUAGGAAAAACGGCAUGCAACACAAUGCCACGAACCCAAAAUGCAAGCAAUACCAAAAGAUGAGAAAGAGUAAGAGGGAGGACUACCUUUCUUGGACUUAAGACCUUAGUCCUUCCUCCUCCAAUUCCACGUUUCCCUUCACUAUUCUGUCUCUCUACGCCUCUCUCAAGUCUCACCCUCUAAUGUUUUAGUGGAGCAAUGGAAUGCACUUAAUCCUUGGCAACAAAAUAAUUAUUUUCUUGAACAGCAAGCCCAUCCAGCUCUCUAAAGUUUAACGGAUUACAAGCUCCAAUCAGGUGAAUCAAUUUCUCUAUAUUUUACGAGCUUAUUUUUUGAGUAUUAAUAGGAUUUCCCAUAUUAUAUGAGGAUCUUCCUAGCUAAUGUACCACACUAUACCCCCUCCUCAAGAGUGUGAUUUACUUAAUAUGUACUUUUAGUAAAUUUUUUUUUUUAUUGCGGCAAGACAGUGCAAAAACCAAAAGCUAUUCUUUUUGUUCAUCCAUUGUACAGACUAGUAGAGUAGUAGAGAAUAGAAUUAUUUAGCUUGAGUGAUUCUCACAUAGCCUAUCAAUUUCUCAGAUCUCGGGAAGGAGACCUCUCUCAAACAAACAGUAAAGAUAGAAACUUCACAACAACAUCAACAACAAAAAGAUCUAUACCACAAUCCACAUUACAAGCACUGAUCUAGUUAAACACUGAAAGUAGAAAUUCAGUUACCAUGACAUAACAUUCUGUAUAAACCUAAGAUUAUCUCUUCACCGUAAUCAUAAAGUAACUAGGCAUCUCUUUCAGAAGUUGCAACUCUCCCUAUCUAAAAGCUUCCAAUAUAUCUCCAAAAUAGCACAACAAACGGAGUACAAAACAACACGAGAUUGCCAUUUCAUGUGAUAAACAGUCGAUAUUGGUUUCUCCGACCCUACUUGACUACCAGUUACCAAACACCCGAGAUAAUUUUCGCAUAUACACUUGUAUACAGUAACAUUCUCAUUGUCAAGCACCCAAUCAGGUUCAUAUUUUCUCUCAAAAUUCAGGGAAAUAAGUGCAGGGUACCUCUUUCUACAGACUCUACAAUACAAUGAGUUAGGGAUUAGAAAUCACACCUCGGAACAGCUUGAAAUCUUGCUUUGCAGUGACUGAAAUUCUGGGUCCUCCCGCCAAGCUCGAUUCCUUAAAACCCUAAACCCUAAAAACAUUGACAAUGAUUCUAACUUUGGAAAUGAGCUUCUAAUUUGUCUAGAAGUUUUAUAGAUUUUUUUUUUUUUCCUUAGAAUAAAGUGACAGGUGAAGAAAAGGGACACGUGUAGGGUGGAUAUAGGCGAGAAGAGAGAGAUUCCCGCUUUUGAAACGUGGACGAGUCAAACCCAAAACCCAUAAAGCCACCUCCUCAUUCGCGUUCAUCCACAUUCACCGAUUCCAAUCUCUCUCUCUCUCAAUUCAGCUUCCUUCGUCAACUCUCUCUCUCUAUUUCUCACCGGAAAAAAUGGCCGCCGUCCUCGGAGGAGUCCACGAAUCCCAAGGCAGCCAGAACAGCCUCGAGACCGACGAGCUCGCUCGCUUCGCCGUCCAAGAGCACAACAAGAAGGAGGUCAAACUCAAAACACGCUUUCGAUUUCAUUCAGUUUUUGACGUAAUUUUUGUUUUGUUUUCUGGAUCCAAACGAGUCGAAUUUGAUGUGCAGAAUGCUCUGCUUGAGUUUGUGAGGGUUGUGAAGACCAAGGAACAAGUGGUUUCGGGGACUGUGUACUAUUUGACUAUUGAGGCGACCGAUGGGGGCCAGAAGAAGCUCUUUGAGGCCAAGGUCUGGGUUAAGCCGUGGCUCAACUUCAAGGAAGUCCAGGAAUUCAAACCCGUUGCUGACGUCUAGUUUGCUUUUCAGGUAUAACUUUAUUAUCUUUGUGUUGAUUGAAGCAUUUGAUUUGGGAAAAUGUGGAUUUGAGGAAUUUCAGUGUUAAAUGGUGGUCUUAAGAUUAGGGUGAUAAGCUAUUGAUGAAGAAUUUGAUAAUUUAUGUAAAAGAUAACAUGGUUUUGGUUGAUCAUCAAAUUUUUUAAUCGACUUUGGUAUCCUGAACUCCAAUUGUUCUGUACUUAUACAUGUUUAUGUUCAAUUUGCGAGGGCAGGCAAUAGAUGGUCUUGCAAAGUUUAAGAUGCUUCUAGAGGUCAGGGGAGCAAAGAAGUGUAAGUGCAUACGAAUAAUGAAGGUACCUUCAAUCUCAGUCAGAUGGAGCCUCUCAACUUUCUGAAUAUAUGGGUUUGUAGUAUAUCAAUCUUCUAUGAAUUGGGUGUAAAUAUGCUAUGUUGCUGUUAGUAUUUCUUAUCUCUGUUGAUACAAACACUAGUUACUAAGGUGUUGUUGUGUACUUUCGUUUCCUAAUCAUAUCAAUGAUCAUUCCUAUUUCUAUGUCUUUCGGCCUAUUUAUUGAUGUAAGAGUCAGUAAGACAUCUUAUCUAAGAUGCAUUCAUGCAGAGAUGGUAGGCUUGGUAGCCAGUGGCUGUGGUGUAGAGACAGUUGGGUAUACACAAGUGCGAAAUGACCCUAAACCAGUAAACCUUAUCAGGAGUUAUUCUACCAUGUCCAGAAUUGAGAACCUAUCAAAAUUUUCUUAUCUUUACUCAGUUGACAAUGCAAAUCCAUAUUUAUUUUUACUUUAAAGUAGAGAUAUCGUUAGGACCAAAUCCUUUAUCUUUGGUUGGCAAAUGGUUCACUAAGGACGGGUAACCAGUGUAUAUGCUCAGUGCCCCAAUAAUGAGUCUUCCUGCCUAUAUAAAUGGACAGAAAACUUAAAAAGAAUAUGAAGGAUUGGAAAAAAAUUCCAUCUCAAACAUACUUUCUGGCCAUCUCCGUGUUCCAGAAGAUAAUUUUGCGGAACUUCUGUUACGUCAACAUGUUUCCUGCCUCCUACCAUUGAAGUAAUAACAUUCAAAACUAUGAACACCUGACAUUGACAGUGCAUUACGAAAGUUCCUUAAAAAUUCUUCUGGCGCAAUGUAGCGCAGUGCUGGGAACUGCACAACGAUGCUUGGAGCAUAUUUGCAAGACCAAAGUUAGAGAUCUUUGGAUUGAAGUUGUCUUCUAAGAGUAUCUUUAUCAACUUCCUCAUUUUCUUGAACUUCUCAUAUUUGGGGAAUAUAGAGCUGUUUUUAGGUCAAACAGCUUCUCCGUCCAAUUCCUAGGGCCGGCAUUGUGGCCAUAAAGGCUCAAGGCAAGAAUAUAUUUGAGGCCCCCAAGCAAAUGUUCGACAAAAAAUAUAAAAUAGAAAAACUCAAAAUAUUACAAAAAUAUUGUGUAAGAUCGUUAUGGUCUAUUAUAAAAAAGCCUGGGCCUCUGUUAUGGUCUUAAGAUCGCAAACAACCUCAGUAUUUCUAAUUUGGAUAUAGAAUCAGAUUCUGCUAUUCUUAUAAACUUGAUGCAAAGAACUGAUAUGUUUCUACAUCCCCUUGGAUUUUUAAUUGCUGGCUGCCAUCACUUUGUCUCCACCAUGGAGAAUUUUAAAUUUUUUCAUAUUUUCAGAGAGUGUAACAUGCUUGCUGAUUCCUUGGCCAAGAUGAGUAUUGACCAUGCGCCUGGUAUUACCAUUUUUGAAGAACCUCCUAUUCAUGCCACUGCUGCUUACUUAGAUGAGCUGGGAAUUCUAAUGCUCCUUAGUUUCUUUUUGUUUCUUUUUCUUGGGCCUUUGUGCGCCUCUUGUAACCAAAAAAAAGAAGUAGAAAUAAAUCCUCACCGUGGGAUUCUGUAUAGAUGACGUGGCAGUCCAUCAUGUGGUUCCAUAGCAUCAUCCACAGUUCCACACUAUAACUAGCCCCAAUCCCCUUCCUAAAACCCUUUCUUGUUCUUCUUCAUCAUUCCGUCAAACAAACCAAAGACCUCGUAGACCACCAGCUCCGCCACUCUGCCUAGUCGUCAUGCAAGGCGCUCUCUUAUCCCCAACCACCUCUACUUCCACCUUCCUUCUCCGCCCGCCUCCUCCGCCGCGCCGCAGCACCAAGCCUCCUCCCUUCUUCUCCGUCCGCGCCUCCGCCCAAUCCGCCGCCAAUGCCGUCGCCGCCGACGAGACCAAGCUCAACAAGUACAGCUCCCGCAUCACCGAGCCUAAAUCCCAGGGCGGCUCUCAGGCCAUUCUCCACGGCGUGGGGCUCUCCGACGCCGACAUGACCAAGCCCCAAAUCGGCAUAUCCUCCGUCUGGUACGAAGGCAACACUUGCAACAUGCACCUCCUGGGGUUGUCGGAGGCCGUCAAGGAAGGCGUCCAGGGCGCCGGAAUGGUAGGGUUCCGGUUCAACACCGUCGGCGUCAGCGAUGCUAUUUCCAUGGGGACUAGGGGCAUGUGCUACAGCUUGCAGUCUAGGGAUUUGAUUGCUGACAGCAUUGAGACUGUUAUGGGGGCGCAGUGGUACGACGGCAAUAUCUCCAUUCCUGGCUGUGACAAGAAUGUGAGCCCCCAUUGUUAAGUUGCUUAGUUUCAUUUCUUUGACUCAGUUUGAUUUCAGUUAGGAAUUAUUAGUGUUUGGUGCUGUGUCAUUUGUUUUUGCAGAUGCCGGGGACUAUUAUGGCAAUGGGCCGGAUCAACCGACCGAGUAUCAUGAUUUAUGGUGGAACUAUCAAGGUUGGACAUCUCUAUUUGAUUAGUGAAAAUGGGAGCUAGGAGUAUACUUGCCUUUCCUUUCUGAUUAUCUGUUUUUUUCAGGUGUUUAUUUUUAUGAUUAGUAAUCAUUCCUUUUCUCUUUCAAUAUGUUUGAAAUGAUUAGGUUGGCCUUAAUAAAAUGAGUGAAAUUGAUAUUGUUUCCCCUUUUGUUACUUCAUCAACAAACUUUCGAAUUAUUUCUUUUUCUUUUUACUACGUGCUUAGGAUGAUUGGGAUUUGGUGACUGAAGUCAAAGUUGAACCGGGUUAUUACAUUGUCUAUCUUUUAGAAAUAAUUUAUUAUGCUUUAAUUAUUUUCUUUCUGUUUUCUUGCAGCCUGGGCAUUUCCAAGGCAAUACUUACGAUAUCGUAUCCGCCUUUCAGGUAUGCUUUUUGUAUUUGUGGUUAGAUUUUGGUGUUGGGCUUGUUACUUGGUGUAUAGGAUUAGCAUGUAUACACAUGUCCUCCUUACCUACUUCUACAUCUAAUAUCUUCUGAGAUGAAUAUUCAUUGCAUUCAAAAAUAAAUACUCUAAUUUGAAGCAUUAGAAAUUGUUUACAAGGAAUAGUUGAGAUGUUUAGUACUUUAAUUUAUCUAUCUUGUUGAUGUUAGAUUUAUGGAGAGUAUGUAAGCGGAUCCAUUAGUGAUGAACAUAGAAAGGAAGUUGUUCGUAACUCCUGUCCUGGCGCUGGGGCUUGUGGUGGAAUGUAUACGGCUAAUACAAUGGCUUGUGCAAUCGAAGCUUUAGGAAUGUCCAUACCUUACAGGUAGAGAUGUCUCCACUAUUCUGAAUACAAAUGAGGGUACAAAAAGAAACUCUAUUUGAAGUUUGUGACCGCUAGCUCUCAUUGUUUUUUUUUUUUUUUCCUUUUCUCUUAAGCUCGUCGACACCUGCUGAAGAUCCGUUAAAGUUGGACGAGUGUCGCUUGGCUGGGGAAUAUCUGCUGAGAUUAUUAAAAAUGGAUUUGAAACCGCGAGAUAUUAUUACUCCAAAAUCGCUACAUAACGCUAUGGUUACUGUCAUGGCAUUGGGUGGGUCUACCAAUGCCGUGUUACACUUAAUUGCUAUUGCCAGGUGAGAAACCACCCUCCGAUGCUAAUAAUUUUCAGAAUGAAAAUGAUUUACUGACUAGAUUCUUAACAGGUCUGUGGGCCUUGAGUUAACACUAGAUGAUUUUCAGAGAGUCAGCGAUAAGAUUCCAUUUCUAGCAGAUCUUAAGCCUAGUGGCAAGUAUGUCAUGGAGGAUGUACACAAGGUCUAAAUUCUAGUGAUUUCUUUUACUAAUUUUUUAUUUAUUGGUGCAUGCUAGAUGUGGUACAAAUCAUGUAAAUGACAUUUUUCUUGAAGAACUCUCAUUAUUUAUUGUUUCUCAUGAUCAUCAAGUAUUGACUAAUUCUGUUAAUAGAUUGGAGGAACACCAGCUGUUCUUCGCUACCUAUUGGAGAAUGAUCUUUUACAUGGGGAUUGUAUAACUGGUACGUACUGUUCACGUGAUUUGGAAACCACUACUUAGAUUAACAUAAUGAUAUUAUUAUUUUUCCUUUAGUAACUGGGAAGACACUUGCUGAGAAUGCUAAAAGUUUCCUUCCCUUGUCUGCCGGGCAGGUUUGAUUUCUAACCAUAAAAUAAUUUCACCAUCUGAUAUAUUGCCAUUGUUUACUCUUCAUAAAUCAUGUGUUUGAAGCCAGCUUUUAAUGUUUCUCGUGCUUUUUUUUCUCUCAUCAUUCAGGAUAUAAUAAGACCCUUGGAAAAUCCUAUCAAGAAAACAGGUCACCUCCAAGUAUUAUAUGGAAAUCUGGCACCAAAGGGUUCUGUAGCAAAAAUUACAGGGAAAGAAGGACUAUAUUUCUCUGGUAUUGCUUUUAUUUUGUGUUUUUUGGUUUCACAUUGCUCUUCAUUCUCCUGAACUUUUUUGUUCUUUUAUUGAAAGUCCCUAAGCUGAUGAUUCAUUUAUUAAAAUACUUCAGGUCCUGCGCUUGUCUUUGAAGGGGAGGAGGCUAUGCUUGAAGCUAUCACCGAGAAUCCAAUGAAUUUCAAGGUCAUUUCUUGUUUGAUGACUUCAACUGUUUCUAGCAAUGAUCUCUUGACAAACUUUGAAUUGGAAAACCCUGAUCUAAGACUUGUUGCUUAACAUUGGGAGGCAUUUCUUUUUUUUAUUCUAUUUUUUGCGUCAUGCAACUUCUCGUGACGACUUUAAACUGAUAGGUGUUUUUGAUUGAUCUCACAUGUGCCGUGCCUAAUUUGUGUAUCUAUUACAUUUCAGGGAAAAGUAAUUGUUAUUAGAGGAGAGGGGCCAAAGGGAGGACCAGGCAUGCCUGAAAUGUUAACACCUACCAGUGCAAUAAUGGGUGCAGGUCUUGGGAAGGUGCACUUAUUUUAUAGUAAACAUUUAGUUUUUGAUUAGUUUUAAGUUAACUUUAAAAUGUAUUUUCAUCAAAUGAAGUGUGUUCGGUUGCUUUAUUUUAUGUCCAAAGAUGGUGAUUUGACUUCAUUACUUACUAUUAGGUUCUCUUUCGGAUUGUGAUAUUUAUUUAUUUUUUUUGUUGAUAUGGUUCUUUUGGUAUUGCUUUUGAGUCGCAGGACACAGCAUUGUUGACCGAUGGUAGGUUUUCGGGAGGUUCACAUGGAUUUGUUGUGGGACACAUAUGUCCUGAAGCACAGGUUAUUUUAACUUCUUUUCAUAUAGUUAGAUUGUACUCGUCUUGGUAUCAUAAGUAAAGAUAGUUUCUGCAACUGAUGGGAUGCGUUUCAUAUGGUUUUCAGGAAGGUGGCCCUAUCGGAUUGAUUGAAAAUGGGGACAUCAUCACUGUUGAUGUCGAGAAGAGAAGAUUGGAUGUUCAGUUAACAGAUCAAGAGAUGGAUACUCGGAGAAAGAACUGGGUUGCACCUCCAUACAAGGCUAACCGUGGAGUUUUGUACAAGGUAUGUUAAAAACUUCCUAGUGCAACCAUCUUCUUGUUAUAGCUGUCUUUGUGUUUAAAUAACAUCAUCUUUGUAUCUCCAGUAUAUCAAGAAUGUACAAACAGCUUCAAGUGGAUGCGUGACGGAUGAGUAGUGGAGAUUGCAGAAGCAGUUUGUAUCAGAAAUUGCAGGCAGCUGCACAUCUCGCCGAUGAGUAGUGGAGAUUGGAGGAAACGACUUGAUAUAGAGAUGGCAUAAAUAUGCAUUAGUGCGGCUCUUUAGGAUGUCUAUUUGGUUCAUAGUUCUUUCGGGGCUCGGCUUUUUUCACUUUACUUUUCUUGUAUCUUCAUCCAUUUGAUUCACUGACUUAUAAAACAAAGUUGUUUCGUUAAUAAAAUUUUCAAUGGUGCUUAAACAUUUGUUUCAAGUGCAUCAUGGUAAGAAUUUUAUGUAUUUCAAAAAAAGAAUUUGAUGAAUGCUGCUUUUGGUGCAGAGACUGGAGCACAUUGAAAUCUGUUUUUGCUGCUUCUGUUAGCAAAUUUAACCAUGUAUUGGCCAUGAAUAAUGCAGCUUGGCCAUGAAAAAAGUUCUUGGCCAUGAAUGAUGCCAAGCUUUGAGGAUUCCCCAAUGUGUUGCCAACAAUUCUGGCUUGAUGAUGAUCAAGAUGUGACAAAGAGGUCUUUAGCAGAUGUCCACUAAUUAAAUAAUGCAGCUUCAGCAAGUAUCUUCUCUUGCUACACCUCGCUGUGAAGGUUCUCAUCAAAAUCUUGAUGUCUUCACCCAAAGCUUGCUUGAAGCUUUCCUUGAAGUUGUUUAACACAUCUGUAUGAAUCACAUCGAAAAUAUGUACUAUUAUACAUGCUUCACAGCUUUUUAAUGAGUUCGUUUAGUGAACUAAACUUAAGGGUCAUCACUGAAAUUUGAUUUUACUUUACAAAAUCCGCAGCAAGGAUAAAUCAGAUUAAGAGGCGAGUCAAAUCAUCAAGUACUCUCAUCUUUGUUAGCUAUGGUCAAGGUCAGUACUCUACACGUUCCAGCACCAUGCAUUGUUCUUCUAGUUCUUGGUAUAUGCAAUGUAGCUUGCCACGGUAAGGAUGAUUGUGAGCCUUCAUCAUGUGGCGACAUCUGAAAUAUAAAUUACCCUUUUCGACUAGACCAUGAUCCAAAAACUUGUGGUUCCUAUAGGUAUAAUCUGUUUUGUGAGAACAAUCUCACUGUUUUACAUACCAUGUUCUUGCCAUCAAUUAUGGAAACUACACAAUCCAAGUGGUAGAUGCCAAUGUUCUUAAGGGCAACUGCUCUUUCAUCCUUCGUUAUUCGUUGACUGCGGAUAACUUCACUGUUGGGGAUCCGUAUAGCAUGUUUCUCGUGAAGGGUAUAGGGAGUACAUUAAACUGUCAAGGCCUAUAAUGUUCAUGACCUGUGCAGCUCGGCCGGGGAAUUCUUAUCUCUACGUGGAUAGUGUUCCUUGCAUUAACGCAAUGAGUGGCCAUUCUUUUAUUCACACUGGAAGCUUAAUUGCCUCAGAUUUGGGGGAUUCAUGCCACAUUCACAUGAUGGUCUUGACAUCAUCCUUAAUUGGUACAGAGGACAUGAACAGUUCCUUGACUUCCUUCAUAGACAUCCACUAUGAGCUGCUCUAUGGUUUUGAACUUUCAUGGUUGCCGGCUACGUUAUAUUUUCACUUGGGGGUUGCUAUGUCGAUAUCGAAACCAACAGUUAAAAUGUGGUAAGGAUAUGAAAGAACAUCCUAUCUGCUAUCAUCUCAAGCUUGACUACUUAUAUAUCCACACUUCUUUUAUUUUCCAUUUACUUCUUCAUAGAGUUGAUAGCGGCUUGAUAUUAUGUAUUUCUGCAGGCAAGAUCUUUGAUAUUGUGGAGUAUGUAACAGGUGAGAACUAUCUCAAUGCAUUUGUUUUAAAAUCAUGUUCAAUUACCAACUCUUGGAACAACUAUUCUCUCCUUUUUUUCUUUGCAGUACUACUGCAACUUCCAUUCAUUCUAUAUCCAUGUGCGCUCUCCCAUUUCUUUCUGUACAAGCAACCUUGAUCAUACAUCUUGAUUUCAGAACAUAACUAUUUCCAACAGUUACAAAGUCAUACAGUUUUGAAUAAUUGUUUUUAGCAGUAGUUCUAGCACCUUACAAAAUCACUUAUGAAUUUUUUUGUUUCUUUUCAGUGAUUGCAUGGACUGUGACGAAAUCUGUACUUGGAAUUCCGUGUGUGAUUGUGCUUUUAAUCUUGAAGUUCAAAAGAUGCCACUUAUCAAUGUAUGGCCUUAUUGAAGAAUUUUUACGAGGUAACAACAAUCUUAUACCGAUAAGGUACUCCUACUCCGAUAUCAAGAAAAUGGCAAAAGGAUUUAAGAAGAAAUUGGGGGGAGGAGAUUACGGCUCUGUGUAUAAAGGCAAGCUUCGGAGCGGUCGCCUUGUUGCUGUUGAGAUGUUGGAAAAGUCCAAAGCUAAUGGGCAAUUUCAUGAAUGAAGUUGCUACAAUAGGAAGGAUUCAUCAUGUAAAUGUGGUGCAACUGAUUGGAUACUGUGCUGAGGGAUCAAAGCGUGCUCUUGUAUAUGAGUUUAUGUCAAAUGGCUUUCUAGAUAAACACAUUUCCUAAAGAAGGAAUCAGCUAUUUAAGUUGCAGAGAAGCAUUUCAAAUUGCACUUGGAGUAGCUCAUGGCAUUAACUACUUACAUCAAGGAUUUGACAUGAGAAUUAUGCAUUUUGAUAUCAAGCCACACAACAAUCUUCUUCAUGAUAACUUUGUUCCAAAGAUUUCUGACUUUGGGCUAGCAACAUUAUGUCCAUCAGAUGAUAGUAGUCUAAAAAUGACUGCUGCAAGAGGAACCCUUGGAUUUUGACCCAAAAAAAAAAAGAGGAACCCUUGGAUACAUGGCUCCAGAAUUGUAUUACAAAAAUAUAGGGGGGUAUCUCGAACAAAGCUGACAUCUACAGUUUUGGAAUGUUGCUGAUGGAUGGAAAUUGCAGGAAGAAGGAAAAACUUGAAUGCAGGCGCAACCCAUUCGAGCCAAAUUUACUUUCCUUCUUGGGUCAAUGACCAAUUCAAUGAAGGAAAUGAGAUGGACAUAGGAGAUGUCACUGAGGAGGAAAAGUUGAUAAUAAAAAAGACGAUCAUCGUGGCAUUAUUGUGCAUCCAAAUGAAGCCUAGUGAUCCUCCUAAUUCAAUGAACAAAGCGGUAGAGAUGCUUGAAGGAGAUAUUGAACGUCUUCAAAUGCCUCCAAAGCCUGGCCUAUAUCCAGAACACAAGCCAAUAGUGGGUGAUGAAGACGACUCAGAAACCUGUUUCCUGUUGGAUUUUUGGUGUUCCAUUACAAAUUGUCUAUUCUGUGAUUAUCUCUUUAACUAUACGUCAUAUGUUUUCUGCUUUACUCAUUUGCCACUUUGAUCACUAAACUUCAACUCUGUCAUUCACGGUGCAUGGAUGUGCUGAUGUGCAAUACGAUCGUUUCUGGUAUACAUGGCAGCAGCAGAUGGGUAGGAAGAAAUGUUAUGACCAAUUGCCCUACAAGAUAUGCAAAUAGUGGUGUUCCGGCGCUAGUUGCAGUUGGAACUCUCAUCGAAGUUCAGCUCAGUAGACAAAGUCAUCACUUGCAUGGCGCAAAUGCACACAACUUAAAUCGGCAACGAAACAGCACACAAUGUUAUGAACACAGAGAAUUCACUCAAUUGAGCAUCACUGCACCAUCCAAUUUCACUAAAAAUACCAGUAAACCUCGUACUAUAUGAAACGUGUUCUAGAACCUUUUAGCAGGUAAAACACCAAGAGACAGAAAUCCACCAGAGGUUAGAUUAAUCAAAGGCCUACCGUAAACUAAUACUUCCAGAAGAUAACUGUGAGCUGUAUUACAUAUUGUACCACAUUCUAAAACAAACAUUAAAUUCUUUUUUAAAAAAAAAGGGCAAUCCACCACUAUCUAAGGGUGCCAUAUUCCUCAUACACUGCUCAAAGAGUUAAAGUGCAGAGGCUAACCUCUCUGCCACUGUCAGCAAAAGCUACCUCUGGAAAUGGAUGUUAGCAAAUGCUAUAGGAAAAGAACUUCCAAGUCCUCAUCAACACUAGUGCAUAGGCCAUUUCAUCUCCAAUGAAUAAGUCACCAUCCAAAGCUUUUGUAUACUUUUAUUUGAACUUUCCUCCAUGUGCCUCCCAUUGAUAAUUUGAUCUUAGUAGCUUAUUUUGGGGUAAUGAGAACCCAUCAAGGGAAGGUUAGCCCUCUUCAUCAUAGUCUUCCUCAUCCUCGUCCAGCCUUUUGCUCAGCUGUGCAAGUUGAAGAGGGUCAAUGGCCAUUUUGUCGACGUCUGAAAGAGACCAUCCUGGAUAUUCUUCAUGUUUAGUCUCAGAAGUAGGUGCAGCGGAUGAGGCUUGGGCUGCUGCCGCUGCAGCUUUUGUGUCCUCCUUUUCAUGCACAUCAGCAUUCAAGUCAAAAUUUCGAACUGUCGGAUCAGAUUCAUCAGGGACACCGACAUUUUCCUUCAAUAAAUCCUUUGACUCGGAAACAUCAUCCACCACCAUGGCAGGGUUUACAUUCAGUUUGCUGCUCUGCUGAAGAGAUGUGCAGGGUUCAGAUUCAGUCUCAUGAUGCACAGGCUCUCUUUCAGUUGUUCGAGCACCACGUCCACGGCCUCGCCCUCGACCCCGUCCUCUUCCCCUGCCACUGCUGCUUCCAUGGCUUACCUCAAGCUGCAGGAAGUAAAGAGAAGAUUCUGCCAUCAGUUGAAUUCUUAACAAUAAACUUACAUGCAAUAUCAGAUAAAUCAACCCAGGUAGCAAAACUCAUUUACAGAUAUUCAUAUUUCCUAAAGAAGCCAAAACAAAUGAUAUAGCGGUCAAACUUCUUCCAAUCAUGAGAAAAAAAAAAAAAAAAAUAAUAGUUCACAAUAAUCAAAGAUUCAAAGAGAACUUGGUAACUCGGAAGUCACAUUAACCACCAACAAAAACUUAUAAAAGGAAGAGCUCACAAACUUGGCAUGUUGAUCUAUGGAAUCUUAAAAAGAUAAAAAGAACGAAGUAUGGGAGUUAUAAGUUACCAUCUUGCUCCUCUUCAACUCCUCGUCACUGUCAAUGCAUUCAUCACCUGGUGGUUUUCUGAGAAAGAAGCAAAAUAGAUUCAAUAGUUUUCCCAAAAAACAAAAAACAAAAUAGAAGAGUAGACUCCACAACUGCAUCUAUUAAGAUAUAUCGAAGGUGAAUAACAAAGUAGAUGAACUAUACCUUCUCUUUGUGAUGGCUCGAUCAUCAGCACUAGCAGCAGCAUCAGAAUGACCAUGACCAUAGUCAGGCACUCUACUGACAAUUUCUCUUAGAAAAUCAAACACAUUAUAGCUCUGUACACAAUGUUUUCUGCAAUCGAGGUAGCGUAAUUAGUUAUGAAGACUUAAUGAAAACAAAACUCAAAUAUUACACAUGAUAAUAAAAUGAUAGGAACUUAUACAAGGCAAGUGCAUAUCCUUUUAAUUAUUUUCUUCCAGGUAUACACAUGACCAUAAAGCUGAAAAACUAUAUCACUUGUUCAUUGUACUAACUAUAUCUAUAUAUAAACUAGAUAACUUAGAUUUGGCUACAAAUAGGUGGACCCACACGAUAUUUUAGAUUUGAUUCAGGUGCAAUGUUGCUUAACAGUUCUUAGUACAAUUAUGAUAAGAUGCUUCAGGUGAUAAAUAUAAGCUAUUAGAACAUCAGAAGAAAAGAAAAAAAAAAUGAUAAAGCGAUAGACUUUUCACACCUUUAGCUUUUUAAUUAUGAGUUUGAUGUAUUGGAGUUCAACUAUUAGGUGCCAAUAACUUUACUAGAGCACAUUGGGUAGACAGUUCAUUCAUAGACAAUGUAUCUUUUUUCCUUUAGAAUUGUCUGUUAAUUAUCCGAAUAGAAGAAUAAAGAAAAAGAAUAGCUUAAUCUUUCACUUACAGAUGCACUGAAUUCAUGGUUUUAGCUCCUCUUUGGAGAGUUAUUUCGUAUGUACGGUCACAAAGGUCUUGUAAAAAUAACUCUAAUGCUUUAGCUGCAUCAACAUUCAAGAAGCAAACUAUAAGCAACACAAAAAACAAAUAGUCUAAAAUGAAAAAAGAACCCCGCAUGCUAAAAAAUCAGAGCAACUCACAAACUAAAACGGGCACUGCCAAUGCUAUCUUGCCAACAUCCUCAUCAGCUUGCAUAAUUUUUUUAAUCCGGGCCUGCAAAAGUUAAACUUUGUAUUAGAUUAAGCUAUAUAACAAGGCCUCACAAAUUAGAAGGGCAAGAUGAUGUAAAACUUUAAAAAGCAAACUAAAAACAAGUCGCUGCUACCACUGAAUAAUUCCACCCUAAAAUUUCAAUAAACGAAACCUUUCACCAAAGGAAGCAUAAGAAAACAUGUACCUAUUUUGAUAGGAACUGUCAGUAAAAAAGAAUCAAUACAAUACAUGGGACAGGAAGUCCCUCCAAAAAACAAUUAACACUAAAGUAUUUCAAUCAUAUCGCUAUUGCAUGGAAUAGGACAGCAACCACACCAUGUCAAAGUUCGUAAAUAGACUACCAAGAGGUUGCAAGCUCAGCCCAAUAUUUUGACCUGGUGGGAUGAGGGUACAGCAGCCCUGGUGGGAUUUAGCUUGAUUCAAUCAUAACUGUCAUAGCAGUUUUCAAAGAUGUUCCUACAAGGGUUUAAAGGUUUGAUCAAUGUGUCAUUUAAUUAGGAGUCAAGUCAUGCUUGGUUGACAAUUUGGGUCACUAAUGCUGAUAUUUAACUUAUGUCUUGUAAAGGGUGACUAGAAGGUUCUUGUGGGUCUCUACAGUCUACUUAAAGCAUGUAACUCUGUCAAUUUGGGAAAUGAACAGUAUUAUUAAUUCACAAACAGAUGUGAGUGAUCUGUACCAAACCUAAAUUUUAUGAAAGGACUAACUGCUCAACAUCAGAAUAACCGCAAGUUUCAGAACAACUGAACCCCAAUAAUGAACUCUCUCUCCCUCAAAAAUAUCCAACUCUUCAUCCAUUGCACCCUGCAAAAUCCUCAUAUUCCUCUACACCCACACCCCAUAAGACCCCUAACACAUCAUAUUACUCCAGCACCACACCUCUAUUUCUACAGCAAACACAUUUGUCCCACCCAUAUGCAACACAAGAAUCUGAAUUGUUAGAGCACACUUGGGUCACCCUAGGGAAUAUAAAUACUUCCUGUCAAGCCUAAAGGAGGACUCCUCUCGCCAUUUGAAAACAUAAACAUCGACAGCCAUCUCAAAGGAAGUGCCAAUUGAUAAAAAGAAAUUAAUUAAAGAAAACCUAUAAAGAAUAUGAUGACACUUUUGCCACUUGAAGUCUUGGAAGCCAGACAGCUCUUUGGCUGUAUAGUAUCGAACACCACACAUUAAGGAAGGAUCAAGGAUGUCGCCCUUAAUAACAAUUUGAGGAAAUAGAAAGUUGGUAGAAGCUAGCUAAUUGGUGGGCAAUAUGUGAUGACAGAAGCAAAUGCUUCAUUGUUAUGUCUCUAAGAGAAGACGAACUCUAUCUCUCUCUGUCUCUCCACUUUUCCUACAAAUGCUAUAUUUCCUAUUGCUUCGGUGAAGCACCACAAAAAUCAGUGGGCUUCAGAAGGCAGAAGCACAAAUUGAAGAACUAGUCGGUGACAGCAUCACCUGCUAACACCAACCAAAGAGCAUGUUUCGGAAACAACCUUAUGCAUAUAAGGAAGUUCAGUUCGUUCACAUUUCGACAUUUUCCCACAUCAUAUACCAUGCAAAACGUUACACAGCAUUGAUUCCAAAAACUUUAGACAGAGGUACAAUCUCGGCCUCCAAACAAUAGGAAGCAUUCUAACUGUUAAUAAAUAAUAACGCUGCACAAAUUACCAAAUACAUAUCCACUUCCCAUCACGACCUUUACAACCGCCAAGCAUCUAAUAUGUUUGUUUUUUUUUUCUUUCCAAAAGUCUAUCAUGCAUAAGAUCUAUACACACAAUUCCAAUUCUUGUCCACCAACUCAUAUACAGUAAGGGUUACACACUAAAUAAGGAAGUGGAAACCCAUCCUUUCCUUUUAUUUUCACGACAAAUAAUCCAAAAUUCCCAUCCAGAAGUAAAUAGCAACAAAACCAGAUCAGAUUAUCACAUAUCAACAUUACAAUUCACUCUAUAUCCCAAUUGACUUUUAACCCUAAACCAAAAUCCAAAACCAAUUCCUACCCACAAAUCAAAAAUUAAACUUGAACCAAAUUCAAUUCAAACAUUUCCGAGUUUUGUGAAAUGGAUGAUUGCGAAACAAGUAAGAAGAAGAAGAAGAGAAAAGGGAGACUUACAGCAGGGAAACGAGUAUCGAGCUUCUUCCUCAUGGCGUGGUCAGAUUCGAAGAAACAUUAAAUUAAUUAUAAAAUUCAAAAAGGCAAAACAACAAAAACCCAAAUCAGAAUCGCUGAAUGAUUACCCCCCAUCAUUCUCUCUCUCCCUCUUUUCCCCAGAUCCGAAAUUUUUAUUUACUUUCAGAAAAUAUGAAAAAUAUAUAAAAUCAAAAUUAUAAAACAAAAUUACCCUAUAACUAUAUUCGACCAGGAAAUAAAACCGAACCGGGUUUGUUUUUGGUUUCCAACACACACAGAGUUGAUCAAAACAAAAAGGAAAUACCCAGAUAGCUAGACUCUCUCUUUUUAUCUGUGAAGAAGAAGCUCGGGUGGGAUGGGUUUGCUAAUUAAUGUCAAAGUCGUCUGUUUUAUUCCACGUGUAAAGUUUUGAUUGGGAGUAGAGCAGACUCAGGAUUAUGCUCCGGCAAUAUUAACCACUCGAUACUAACCGAUGUAAGUCACGGCCGUUGGUUUGCUAAAGAACCAAAAACUGGAGCCGUUAGGAUCGUGACACACGACUCAUACUUUUAAUGUUUCAUAACACACGCUUUUUUUUUCUUUUUUUUUUGAGUGAUGUUAGGGAUUCCAAAAAUUUCUAUCAGAUUUUUUGAAUACUAAAUGAUGUGUCAAUUGCCACAUCAUAGAUUCACACACUUUAUAUUUUCUAUAUGUUUUUAAUCAGAAAAAAUUGUCCAAACAAUGUCAUAUCUUUUAUAGAAUCUAACUUUUGGUAUCUUAAUUUUUAUAAACUUUAAAAUGAUAUCUUACGUUUUUACCCCAACCUAAUAAUGGUAUAUGUAAUUGUUAGUUCCGUUAAAGCAACUACCAGAUUAAGGGUACUUUCGUCCUUUCAAUAUUUUAAUAAUUUUUUUUCCUAUUUUCCUACCCUCUUUAUUUUUUUCAUAUUUUUUUUUAAGAAGAUUGUCUCUCUCCAUUGAAGCCCAGCCCUAGAAUUCUCUCUCUUGUCCCUCACUCACAAUUAUAAUUCAUCACAAACUCCACUUCCCGAUCAUCCAUUUCUUCACUCAAACAUACCCCAAAACCAAUAACCAAUCUAUUCCCUAAACCUGAGGCCACUGAAGACCACAUAUAUUUUGCGCAACUCAACUCUUUGAUAAUUACAUCUGGGGUAUUUUCAGAGAUGCAUGAGCAUUGAGUUUUCGCCGGAUGAGUUCAUAUUAGGCAAUGUUCUUUGUGGGUGUGUAGGUUUAAGAGGAUUGAAUGUUGGGUGUCAGGUUCAUAGUUAUGUGGUGAAAUGUGGGUUUUGAGAUCAAUUUGGUUGUUGGGAACAUAAACACAACACAAUUCUUUACCCCCAUCCAAGUUUUGAAGGGUAAGUUAUUAAGUAAUGAACCCAAACGCAUAUUCUCCAAUACGUGGAUGCCAUAUGAUGGCCACUUCCUUGAAGGCUUUCAUGUUUUGAUUUGGCCUUUGGGGAUAUGGCCUGCAGAACUCAUCUGCUUGGAGGUGUUAUAGAUAUGGCGAAUGAAUAAUGGCAUUUUUGUUUGAUAAACCACUCACCAAGACCCAAAACAAAUGCACCUAGCCAUGAUGACAUGAAAACCCCAACCAAAAAUAUGGAUGUAAUGGAAGUGACAAAUCCCUAGCCGAAAAUGUUGAUUCCUAGCUGAGCAUAUAUUGGAGAGAAGAAGCCAUCCACAAAGUGAAUACACCACCAAGUUAUGUAGAAAGUGAUGGCUAUUGGAAAUAAGAUCACACAUGUAUCCAGUCAUAAAUUUCUUUGACGCCCAACUUCUGAAAAUCUUGUAAAAAGUCUCCCGGCCAAUGACGAAGAGGACGAGGGCUUGGAAGAAAUGUCUUCAUCAUCGAAGUUGGCAACCGGAAUGAGGAGCUCUCGAUCUCACGGCUCUCUGUCUCUGCUUGCCAAUUACAAUUGACUACGACUUCUCAUCGUCCAUCACCCGCAUNNNNNNNNNNNNNNNNNNNNGAAACGUGGGAUACCGUUUUGAAGCUUUUUAAAAGUUGAGAUACCAAAAGUUAGAUUCUCUAAAAGAUAGAACAUUGUUUGGACAAUUUUCCCUUUUAAUCAAGAAUUAAAAUAUCGACGAUUACAGAAAUAUCGUUGGUUUGGAAAAAUGAAAUCUCGAUGGAAAUAUCGAGAAAAUAUCGAAUAUCGAUGGAAAUUUUACAAAAAUAUAUAUAAAAAUUGUGUAUUUGAUCAAAAAUAAACUAAAUAUAUAAUAUCAGAAAGAUAUGAAAAUUAAUACAGAAAUUUCAAUGAAAUAUCAAGGAUAUAAUAGAUAUUUUAGUUCUUGUUUUUAAUAUAUUACUGAAGUUUUAUGAGAUUAUAUACAAUAGAUUAAAACUCAAAACUCAAAGAAAAAUAUGAUAGAUCAAUAAAUCAAAUCUCAUAUAUGAGUAAAUGGCCGCAUCUAAACCCUAAAACCCUAAGCCGUUUUCUCUCUCCUAGAGCAUGGCCACCAAACCCAAAAAGCUCCGUCUAACAUCGGAUCUCCUUGUUUUCAAUCAUUCUUAUGACCUUUUCGCACCCAAACUUUGAUCUCUCAUCCUCUUCAAAAGGAUCGAAGAGCAAGUUUUCCAUCACUCUAUCGCCAUCUAUUGGCAAAAACUCUAGCAUAGCCAAUAUGCUAGCAUCCUCAUCCUCAUUCUCAUUGGGUAUUCAAAACCCUAGUCAAGGAUUUGCUGCCUCCUUGGCCUUCGCAAACGUGAAGGUUACCAAACUCUCAGAUCGUGUCUUUGCUCCUCCGAAAAAGAAGAGAAGACACCCUAUUGGUUCACGAAACACAACGGGUCAGGAGAAGAUGCAAGAGGAAGAGAAGCCUCCCACCAUCACCCAUGAACCAAUUAACACUACCAGGACAAGCACUUUAGCCGACGAAAGAUUUUCGUCGGCCUGUUAUCUUAAUUCGUCGGCUAAGAUCUUAGCCGACGAAGGCUCGUCGGCUAUAGUGUCGUCGGGAAAAGGUCGUCGGUGAUGACUUUAGCCGACGAAAUUUUUUUUUUCGUCGGCUAUAGUCCCACAGUUAGCCGACGAAAAACAUGUUGUCGGUUUUUUUCCCAGACUUUAGCCGACGAAACAAUUAAGAUAUUCGUCGGCUAAAGUGUGUAAUAAAUAAUUAAAAAAUAACUAUAGCCGACGAAAUUUACUAUAUUUCGUCAGCUAAACCUUAUAAAAAAAUUUAAAAAAUAACUAUAGCCGACGAAACAUUCCAUAAUUCGUCGGCUAAACCUUACAAAAAAAAUUUAAAAAUACUAUAGCCGACAAAUAUAGUAUUUAAAUAUCGUCGGCUAAAGUUGCUGGGUUUUGAAAAAAAAAACUGCAGAACCUUUCGGCCACCUCCAAUCACGACCAAAAUUUGACAGAAUCUUCCUCUCAACAUUUCGAACAACUUUCUAGAAGAAGUCGAAGCUCAAUUCUAAGCCUAAACAGGUCAAUCGACUCAAAAUAUAAAAAUCCCCAAUUUUAAACCCUAAAAACUUCAAAUCUUCGAUUCUCUUCACACACACCGAAUCGAGCUACCAAAUUCUAGGGGAAUGUAGUACUAAUCAAACUCAACUUAUCCAUAUAUAGAACUCACCAAAUGGUGGCCUAAGGAAGGAGAAAUUUGAUCGACACCGAAUCAGAACCGGCGGAGUUUUGGAGCUCGAUUUAUCCCUCACGGCGGCGCCACUCGAUGCACCACCUAUCCAGCAAUGAAGUAGAGACGACGGCGAAGCUUUUGGGACAAGUGUGACGGUCUCCGGUGGCUUGACGGCGGAGCUAGGCCGAGAAGAAAAUCUGGCAGAUAAUAGACUUCUUACCAUCCAUCUUCGCCUAUAUAAAGAACUUUAGCCGACGAAAUUCUUUAUUUUCGUCGGCUAAACUCUUUUGAAAAUUUUGGUUGACCACCAAAAAAUUUUGGUUGAAAAUUUUGAAAAUUUUUCGACUUUAGCCGACGACUUUUCAUAUAUUUUCGUCCGCUAAAGUCCUUUGAAAAUUUUCCUCCAACUUUGGUUUACCGCCUAAAAAUUUUGAAAUUUUUGANNNNNNNNNNNNNNNNNNNNNNNNNNNNNNNNNNNNNNNNNNNNNNNNNNNNNNNNNNNNNNNNNNNNNNNNNNNNNNNNNNNNNNNNNNNNNNNNNNNNNNNNNNNNNNNNNNNNNNNNNNNNNNNNNNNNNNNNNNNNNNNNNNNNNNNNNNNNNNNNNNNNNNNNNNNNNNNNNNNNNNNNNNNNNNNNNNNNNNNNNNNNNNNNNNNNNNNNNNNNNNNNNNNNNNNNNNNNNNNNNNNNNNNNNNNNNNNNNNNNNNNNNNNNNNNNNNNNNNNNNNNNNNNNNNNNNNNNNNNNNNNNNNNNNNNNNNNNNNNNNNNNNNNNNNNNNNNNNNNNNNNNNNNNNNNNNNNNNNNNNNNNNNNNNNNNNNNNNNNNNNNNNNNNNNNNNNNNNNNNNNNNNNNNNNNNNNNNNNNNNNNNNNNNNNNNNNNNNNNNNNNNNNNNNNNNNNNNNNNNNNNNNNNNNNNNNNNNNNNNNNNNNNNNNNNNNNNNNNNNNNNNNNNNNNNNNNNNNNNNNNNNNNNNNNNNNNNNNNNNNNNNNNNNNNNNNNNNNNNNNNNNNNNNNNNNNNNNNNNNNNNNNNNNNNNNNNNNNNNNNNNNNNNNNNNNNNNNNNNNNNNNNNNNNNNNNNNNNNNUUGUCUAGAUCUGCAAAUAUAAGGCACUUUAGCCGACGAAAUUAUAUUUUUUCGUCGGCUAAAGUUUAAAAAGUUCGUCGGCUAAACUUUUAAAAAUUUCAUCGGCUAAACUUUUAAAAAUUUCGUCGGCUAAAGUUCACAGACUAUAGCCGACGAAAAAAAUUAUUCAGCCGACGAAAUAUUAAUUUCGUCGGCUAAAGUUGACCAUAACCGACGAAAAUUUUAAAUUAGCCGACGAAAAAAAAUUCGUCGGCUAAAGUCCACUUUAGCCGACGAAAAAAAAAUUCGUCGGCCUGGUUUUUUUAUUUUCGUCGGCUAAAGCCUUUCCUCUGGUAGUGUAAGAUGACAUCGGUUGCAACUAAAGGUCAAACGAAGAAGUGGAGACGUCCUGUCGACUUCAGGAACCCAAAAGAAAUGUCAAUCAGGAAGAUCAGACUCCUUCCUCGAAGCCCUAGCUUGAAGGGCAAGGAGGUUCUUUGAAGUCUUUUUUUCUAUAGGGAAUUUUCAUAUACACCCAAUUUUGAAGAGUGGUUUUAAAUAAAACCAAUAUAUUCAGCUUUCACUUAUUGACAAACGAUCUGAUCUGAUCCGCGAUGAACUUGGCUUGUUCGUUUUUAAGUGUAUCUGGAUUUUGUGUUGAAAUCCUAUGAAGUGUGUGAUCUAGGUGUUUUCCAGUUACUUCUGUUCCAAAUCCAUGUACACUCUUCGUCUAUCAAUGAUUGUUAUCAAGGAUUAAAAUCUCUGCGAUAUAUCCGAUAUAUCCUCUGAUGUCUCCUUUUUUCGAAUGACCGAUAUAUCUAUAUGGGUCAAUAUCUUAUUUUCCACCGUAUCUACGAUAUUUCCUUGAUAUUUAGGAAAUAUCGUCAAAUAUCACCGAUAUUUAGGAAAUAUCUCCGACAUUUAUGAUAUUUUCGAUAUAUUACUGACAUAUUAAAAAAAUAUCUAUAAAAAAAAUUGAAAUGAUAUCCGGAAGAGAAGUAAUUCCCUCGAGGUGUAUCCCAAUGAAGAGUGGUGGUCUCGACUCUCGAAAAAAGCAUGAUUCCUUUCAAGAUAUAUCUGGAUGCAGAUCGAUCUAUUACACAAUUAUCAAACUUAGAGAUGAGUGGACAGUGGAGGAAUAUUUACACUUGAGAAAGAGAAUGGGUAUAAGAUAGAGAACACAUGUGUACUAGUGAGACUUUGAGUCCGUGACAUAAGAUAGAUAACACAAUUAUAGAGAUGAGAAACAGAGAGAGAGAGAGAUGUGAGUCAUGUGACUCCAACGUCCACACUCCCACCAUAUCUUAAGUGAUUACGGUCAUGUCUCCCAUGAUCAUGGCUAUAGAAGUACUAGAUAUGGAGCACAAGAGGAUACCAUGUAUGGGAGGAGGACUAGAGGUCUAAAUGAUGAUCAAGAUGUUGCUUUAGUUGCGCUAAGUUCUGAUUCUAUCAGUUUAGGUAGUGGGACUGGAACCUCAAAUGAAUCCCAAGAAGGCAACAAUCAAUAUGGCUAUAAUGUUUUUGUAAUCAAUGCACGAAAGUCAGUGAUUAGUCAUCCAGUUGGAUUCAUCCUUACUAUCCACUUAUAGGGGAAACAGUUGGCAACGCGCUUCAAAGACAUAUAUGAUUAUCAUAUUCAAUACUACAAUUUGUACUAUAUGAGUCAUAUAUCUUGGUCUGAUUAUUGUAUUUUUGUGGACCAGCGUGUGUCUUAUGACUCUUAUUAACAACCUAGAUUCUCAUUCUAGAUGUAGAUGAAGUUGAUGUUUGUAAUAUUUAUAUAUAAAUCCAAUAAAUUAAAUAUUUCAAGAAAAAAAAAAAUUCUUCCCAAAAUACCGAUAUUUUUUCCCGGGUUUCCUCGAUAUAUCCCCGAUAUAUCCGAAAUCUCCCUUUUUCAAAGGACUGAUAUAUACACCAAUACCGAUAUUUUAAUCCUUUGUUAUCUUGAUAGAAAAAAAAAAGAACCAAAAAAAUAUUAAAAAAAUAAAAAAAGAAUAAAAACCUUCUCUAGCUAAGCGUUCUCCUUUAUUGCUAGCAGAGCGAUGGACAUCCUCAUCAUCUUCUUUUCGCCAUUAGUAAGGAACUAAGGAUGCAUGCGAAAUAAAUAAAUAGAAGGGCGAAUUUUGAGGAGAAAAAAAAAAGGAUAUCUAGUCCCUUUUAGCAACGACCCAACGUAAGAGUAUGAAUAAUUAACAUGCAUUCUUAAAUAUUCUAUGAGUAUGUAUGGGGGUAGCGAGGGCAAAACUACAUGCGACAACAUUUUUAUUCUUUUCUUUACUAAAUCAGUGGGUGACAAUAGAAUGAAAUGAAGUAAAGGAAGUCACGAAAUAGGGAAGCCUGCUAGGAUCAGUUCAUGUCUCUCCCUGCAGCACGUUCCCCCCAUCUGCCAUACCUUGCUUAGACACCGACACAUCCAACCCCAUUUCCCCAUACUACGCCACUCUCCUAGGCUCCUCCUAGCUCCUCCCCUCAAUAAUAAUAUACAUCCAUCCCUCCCUCCCUUUCUAUAUAUAAAUCCCUCCCAUCCAUGCAUACUUGCAGUCUUGCAUAGAGCCCCCCAAAACCAAACCAAUUCAUACACUACUUAACCAUGCCGACACCACCGCAAUCCUUGUCGUUGCUCCUGCUCCUCCUUGCUCUUCCUCUCCUUAUCUUCUGCUUCCCGGCCGAAGCCGAGUCGCCACCGUCGCCCCCCUCCUCCUCUGCCUCCGCCGCCUGCAAGUCCACCCUCUACCCCAAGCUCUGCCGUUCUAUUCUCUCCGCCAUCAGAUCCUCCCCCUCCGACCCUUACAACUACGGCAAGUUCUCCAUCAAGCAAUGCCUCAAAAAGGCGCGCAAGCUCUCCAAAGCCCUUGAUCAUUUCCUCCACCACACCAAACUCUCCUCCUCCAUGACCGACGCCGAGGCCAACGCUUUCGACGAUUGCCAGCAGCUAUCGGAGCUGAACGUCGACUACUUGGAGGCCAUCUCGACGGAGCUCAAGUCGGCAGAGCUGCUCAACGAGGAGCUGGUGGACAAGGUGCAGACGCUGCUGAGUGGGAUAGUGACAAACCAGCAGACCUGCUACGAUGGGCUGGUUGUGGCCAAGAGCAGCAUCGUCAACUCCAGCACGAGUCCCUUGUCGGUGGCCUUCUCCAAUGCCACGCAGCUCUACAGCGUGUCGCUUGGACUGGUCACUCAUUCUUUGGCUCGAAACCUCAAGAAGAAGCAUAAGAAACGAAACGGCUCUUCUGUCUCCCAGGGUCACAAAAUCCGCGAGCCACUUGAGACUUUCAUCGAGGUACGUACGUGUUCUAGCUUUACCCGCAGCUUGUACGUAUAAGUCUCUUACUUAAUUACCUAAACUCUUGCAUAUAUAGUGGCAUUCAUCAAAUGGAAAUUAACAAACUUUGUAGCAUAUCUUUGAGGUGCCUACGUACAUUCGUAGUUAGCUAUGUAGCUAGGGAAAUUUAAGUAAUUGCUUAAAUUUGCCUCAUACUGUCAUUCAUAUGGAACUAUAUAUAUCUGAAAAUUGAAUUAAGGUACUGUAGUGUAAUCAAUAAUUAAUCACUAUGAGAGGAAUCCAUAAUCUAUAUCUCAAUCAUGAGAUUUUCUCCCUCUUUUUCUGUUUUUAAGGACUUCAUUUCAGUUUUUGGCUUGUCCAAACUUUGUGAUAUUUUUUUUUUCCUUUGCUAUUUUGAUAGUACGUAAACAAUAGCUUUUGCUUCCUUGCUCGAUGAAAGAGUGUAAAAUUUUACAAGAAAGAGUUGAACACAAGCCGAGUGAAUUUAGUUCGAUCUAUCGAUGCUUGAAUUAUAUGGAUUAAGUUGAAGUUGAUAGAAAAAUAUAGAUGUAAUGUCUUGGUGAAGAAGUAAAUCAUAAAUCGUAAACGGGAAAUAGAUAUGUCAUAUGUGGCACGUCCAUGAGGUUAAUUUACCUCAAAAUGAGAUUGAAAGGAAUGUGGAUAAUAGAUAGAUACAUAUACUAGAUUUGAUGCUAGAUUAAUUCCUCCAAGAUCUCAGACAAACUAAUUAACAUAUUGUUCAAUAUUUAAGUGAACAGGGAGCUUCGUGUGACCAUGAAUUUAUAAAUUGUAAAAUUGAGAUCCAAUUAAACAACAAGCAACAGGGGGGAGUCAACUACGUAAUGUGAAUUAAUUAAUUAAGGUCAAGCACGUAGUUGGGACAGGUAGCCCAUUAAUUAAUUAAGGUCACUCACAUGAGAAGUGCAGGCAUUUCGACCGCUGUGAUCAUGUCAUCACCGUCCACCACGCCACCGCCACCGCCACCGCCACCGCCACCACCCCAUCCCCAUCCCCAUCACUACUCAUAACCAAACUAGCUAUGUGGUUCAAAACAAUAUUAAUUUUAACGUACGUGGUAUAUAAAAGGCAGAUGGAGAGAGCUGAUCGAAUGAAUAUGAUCAUCUUGCUUGCAUGCAGGGUCUGAGAAAGAGUUCUUCCAAACACUCGAGAGAUGAGAGAAUUCUGGACGAAAUGGAGAGCAGUGGCAUUAUAGUGAAUGACGCUGUCAUUGUCAGUCCACAUGGUGACGACAACUUCACUUCCAUUGGAGCUGCCAUCGAUUCUGCACCUAAUAAUACAAACCCAGAAGACGGUUAUUUCGUAAUCUACGCUAGAAAAGGUCACUAUAAGGAAUAUGUUGUCGUCCCCAAGUACAAGAAGAACAUAAUGCUGCUCGGAGAUGGUAUUAACAAGACUAUCAUAACUGGAAAACACAAUUUCGUCGAUGGCUGGACUACUUUCAAUUCCUCAACCUUUGGUAAGUUAUACGUACACAUGAUGCCUAGCUAGCUAGCUACUACUUCAUUUCGUUGUCUAUUUACCGAUGUAGAUUAUAAACCGGCAUAAUGUGAUUCAGUACUUGUAUAACAAACUGACAAUUCUGAACAAUUAUGGAGAUGGUUUGAUGUAUAUUUCUAGCUUUUCUGUUGCAGCUGUUUCGGGAGAGCGAUUUGUGGCCAUAGAUGUUACCUUCAAGAACACAGCUGGUCCAGAAAAGCACCAAGCAGUGGCCGUAAGAAACAAUGCAGACUUCUCCACAUUUUACAGAUGCAGUUUUGAAGGGUACCAAGACACUCUAUAUGCACAUUCUCUAAGGCAAUUCUACAAAGAAUGUGACAUAUACGGAACCGUGGACUUCAUCUUCGGCAAUGCUGCUGCUGUCUUCCAGAGUUGCAACUUGUACGCCCGAAAGCCCAUGCCGAACCAGAAAAACGCAUUCACAGCACAGGGACGAACUGACCCGAACCAAAACACGGGAAUCUCAAUCCACAACUGCACUAUUGAAGCUGCACCAGACUUGGCAAUGGACUUGAACUCAACCCUAAAUUUUUUGGGAAGGCCUUGGAAGGUGUACUCUAGGACUGUGAUCAUGCAGUCUUAUAUUGGCCCUCUGAUUAGUUCUGUUGGGUGGUUGGAAUGGAAUGGGACUGUUGGAUUGGACACACUAUAUUAUGGUGAGUUUGAGAAUNNNNNNNNNNNNNNNNNNNNNNNNNNNNNNNNNNNNNNNNNNNNNNNNNNNNNNNNNNNNNNNNNNNNNNNNNNNNNNNNNNNNNNNNNNNNNNNNNNNNNNNNNNNNNNNNNNNNNNNNNNNNNNNNNNNNNNNNNNNNNNNNNNNNNNNNNNNNNNNNNNNNNNNNNNNNNNNNNNNNNNNNNNNNNNNNNNNNNNNNNNNNNNNNNNNNNNNNNNNNNNNNNNNNNNNNNNNNNNNNNNNNNNNNNNNNNNNNNNNNNNNNNNNNNNNNNNNNNNNNNNNNNNNNNNNNNNNNNNNNNNNNNNNNNNNNNNNNNNNNNNNNNNNNNNNNNNNNNNNNNNNNNNNNNNNNNNNNNNNNNNNNNNNNNNNNNNNNNNNNNNNNNNNNNNNNNNNNNNNNNNNNNNNNNNNNNNNNNNNNNNNNNNNNNNNNNNNNNNNNNNNNNNNNNNNNNNNNNNNNNNNNNNNNNNNNNNNNNNNNNNNNNNNNNNNNNNNNNNNNNNNNNNNNNNNNNNNNNNNNNNNNNNNNNNNNNNNNNNNNNNNNNNNNNNNNNNNNNNNNNNNNNNNNNNNNNNNNNNNNNNNNNNNNNNNNNNNNNNNNNNNNNNNNNNNNNNNNNNNNNNNNNNNNNNNNNNNNNNNNNNNNNNNNNNNNNNNNNNNNNNNNNNNNNNNNNNNNNNNNNNNNNNNNNNNNNNNNNNNNNNNNNNNNNNNNNNNNNNNNNNNNNNNNNNNNNNNNNNNNNNNNNNNNNNNNNNNNNNNNNNACAGUUGUGGAGUAGUUCUUCCAAGGCCUCCCGAGGUAAGUCUUGACCGAAGACAAGUCCCCGAAAGGCGAAAUGGUGCAGUUUUGAAAUGAGAUUCCUGUGUUUUGGUUAGGGUCGAUUUUGCCUUGUGCCGUGAUUGUGUUCUGCUGGCCAGUCAUUGGUACCCUGGGGAACACCUUACAGUUCUGGAGGACUACUGCUGAGUUUCCAAAAAUGAAAUCAACUGUUCCGUAGAUGUCGCACUCUCGGUAGAAUUGGCGAUUGGCAUGAACGUAGAGCGAGUCCUGGAACGCAUCGAUGCGGCAUCUGUAGAACACCGUCUGGUCAGCACUCGACAUUAGUGCCACCGCCUGGUGCUUGGCUGCUCCAGCUGUGUUACGAAAUCCAAUGUCUCUAGCAACGAAUCCCUUCCCAAAUACGGCUGCACACAAGGCCAAAAAUCAAAAUCAGUACUGAUCUAUGGCAUUACUCAAUCAUGCAUGUGUCAUAUCGCGCAUUAAUUGUUGAUGACGCAUGUUAUUUGCUAUAUAUAUGCGUGUGUGUAUGGUGAAAUAACAAACUCUAUGUAUGUUUUCACAGAGCUUUCCAAUUUCCAUCUUCUUUUUUUCAUUUAGAAAUAAGGUUAAGUAUCUACUAAUUAAAUGUCAUGAAAACUAGUAACAGCAGAAGGAUAUAUAAGUGUCUUGGAAAUUAACUUACCAAAUGUUGCACUGGAAAAGUCCACAACGUUGAGGCUGGCAGACACAAUCGUUGCAGUCAUUCCAUCGCCCACCACUACAACAUUCCACUUGGUUUUCUCGACUCGAACAUUCUCGAAAUAAACCCCCUUCUUCACGUAGAUGACUGUUCUCUUCUUGCUUUUGUCCGGCACAGCCUUGAGUGCAUCACCUAUUGUCUUGUACUUACCACUCCCAUCUUUCGCCACAACAAUGUUGGCCUUCUUCCUCAAAUCAGAACUUUCAAUUAGCCUCCGGUCUGUCUGGUGCAGCCACUCGGGGAUGCCAUGGCUAGUCGCGGUACCGUCGUGACUCAGCAACCGCCUUAGCUUCACAGAGUUAGCUACUUUCGAUAUCCAAGAGACAAUGGCAAGGCUGUUACUAGUUAGCUCAGUAGAAGUCUUGAGAUACUUUUCAAUUGUAUCCUUGAGCUCUCCUUUUGCAUCAUCAAACCCAUCUACACAUGACUGCUGGUAAGUUCCUGCAGAGCUCAACCAUGUUUUGAGAUCUUCAACCACUUCAAGCAAGGAACCAUCCCCAGACAACGACUCGUUGAGAUGAUCCAAGGCAAGACCAAGAAGCUCUCCGCAGUUUUUCAAAGCUUCCACUGACAAUUUGUCCGUGACAGUACCAUUGAAGAGCCCUUGAUCCGAAAUUUGAGCGGCGGCUUUGGAUAGUUCCGCAAUCGCCACUUGAAGAGAUCCUCAGGCUUAAAAUUGCUGGAGUUGACAACAGGACCAAGACUAGAAUAACACGAGUCCUGGUACAGUGUCACGUCACAAACGGCUUUGACGGAUGCGGAAAGUGUCCCUUUGCCACUGUCGUCACCUUUUUUGGAGUUAUGAGUAGCGGUUCCAACCACGGAGGCGACGAUGACACAGACAAGAACUAUGGAGGAAAUGGAUAUGAUGGCGACUCUCUUGCAAGUCUUGCGACGAGCGUCGAGCUUGGCUUGGUCGGAUUCACUGACUUUGCCAUAAGCUUUGAAGGAAGACAUACUUGUUUCUGCUCUUGUGUAUCUCUACUUCUUUCUGUUUAUGGAUUGCAUAAUAUGGCUGGUGAGGUGUUUGUGUUUUUAUAUAAAAGCAAUAGGAGCAUACAUGCAUGAAGAACAUAGGUGUGUUGGUAGGCAGACGCGGUAGUACUACGUGCAUUGCACUAUUCUAUCAACUUAAUUCUAACUGCUGGAGUGCUGCACAUGUUGGAACGCCUGAAUAUAUUACAGACUAACAAGUAACAACAACACACCUUUUCUUAUAACAAGCGCCUGCAUGUAACAAGAAGGGCCAAUGAUAAAAGGGUACAGUUAGAUGUAAUAAAUGAUAACACAGUUAAUAAAUAUUCAUUGAUGAUAAAACAGUACCUCUAUUUAAAUCUCUUAAAGCGUUACCCAUGAAAAUAAAAAAAUUACGAUCUAUGCCACUGUUCUCUUAAAGCGUUGCCCCUAAGAAUGAAAAUAACUACGAAUUAUGCCACUGACGCCGUUACCCCAUCCACGCCGUUACCCCCAUAUCUGAGUCCCCCNNNNNNNNNNNNNNNNNNNNNNNNNNNNNNNNNNNNNNNNNNNNNNNNNNNNNNNNNNNNNNNNNNNNNNNNNNNNNNNNNNNNNNNNNNNNNNNNNNNNGAGAGAGAGAGAGAUGUUUGGGGAAAAGAAACUGACGUUUUGGUGUAGAGAGAGGGGAGGGUACUUUGGUUAUGGAAUAAAAGUAAAAUGACGAAUUUGGAUCAUAAAAUGAACUUGUAUGGAUAAAAAUAUUAAUGUGGACUUAUGUAAUAGAAAAUGUUAAAAAUAUGACUUAUGUGAAAUUUUCUAAAAAAACAAACGCGGUCUAAGAAAUGUAAUCAAAGAGUGCAUGUUUAGGCUUUCUUCUUUCUUUUUCUUUUUUCUUUUUUUUUUAAAGAGAAAAAAAUCACAUUAAUUGUGGAAAAACGGAAGGCAAAGCUUGCAGAAAUUUAAUGAUAUUUCUUCUUGGUGAGGUUACAAACUUAAACUAUAUAUAGAAGAAGUUGAAUGAGAAACACACUUCAUCACCCAUACAUCUCUUACACACAAGACUAACAUAAAGAAACAAGGCAACAAGGCAACACAGCUGUGGCACUAAGACCAAAAACAUCAUGCUACUUUAGGAGACCAACAAUUGUAUACAGCCCAUGAGUAGUUGUCACACAAUCUCACACCUCUAAAGUCAAUUUGAACUAAUGUUUGAACUAAUCUCUUACACAACAACUUUGAUAUACAAGUAAUGUAAAAUGUACAAGUAACAUAUAAACAAUAAACGGUAAACCUGGAAAGAGACCACAACAGCCAUGUAUCCUCAGAUCUGGGAGACCACAACACCUAUGUAUCCUUCGGAUACAACCAUUUUGCAUUCCACAGCCAUACCUCCAAUAUUUCUCCAAUAUUAAGAAGCCUCUAGCACACGUUUAGUUAAGAGCAUGCUUUUGUUACGUACAUUUCAUAUUUGGAUAGAGAAUGGGCAUCAAAUCCAUUAGUGAUGCAAUACUAUCCUUUUCUAAAUAAAGUAAGAGUAAAAAGUGAAAAUUGGAGGGAAAUUUCUCUUGUUUUCAUUGGAAUUUUGGAAAUUACAGUAUAACGAUCAUGAUUCAUGAACGAAGAUAGAUCAUAUAUGUGGUCGAUAUAUAACUGCAGAACUAACAGCUUUGCUAGCCCACUCUUCUUAUCAGUAUUCAUUCCAUGGCGAGCUUCAGCUUCAACACCACCAGAAUCAGAACCCCAACUCUUCAAUCUCACAAACCCAUCUCUCGCUCUAAACCCACCAGACUUCCCUCUACUUUCACUUCAAACAACCUCCCAAAGCUUCACCAUUUCCGACCAAACUCCGUGUCGGAAACCUCCGUCUCAACGCAACAAAUAGACGAACAAGAAGUCGAAGAUGACCCGACUGCCGAACUGAGCUACCUGGACCCGGAAACCGACCCGGAGAGCAUUACGGAGUGGGAGCUGGACUUCUGCUCCAGGCCCAUUUUGGAUAUCAGAGGAAAGAAAGUGUGGGAGCUUGUGGUUUGUGAUGAGUCUCUUUCUUUACAGCACACAAAGUACUUCCCUAACAAUGUCAUCAACAGCAUUACUUUGAAAGAAGCCAUAGUUGCCAUUAGUGAUGAGCUAGGUGUGCCUCUGCCCGAGAAGAUUCGAUACUUCAGGUAAGCAAAUCACUAAAUAUCAGAAAUGUGGGUUUGUAUAUUUCGCAAUCAUGUAUGAUAUGUUUUGUUUGGUGAAUUGUAUAUAGGUCACAGAUGCAGACCAUUAUAACAAAAGCCUGUACCGAGCUUGGGAUAAAGCCUAUUCCGAGUAAAAGGGUGAGUAUGCUUUGCUUAUUUCUUGUUAACUCUGUUUUUAUUGCCAAACUCUAGACUACAGAUCAAUCACUGCAAGUAAAAUAUACCAAGUGACUUCCUGUUAGUCACGUAAUUCAUUGUUUAGGCAAUUUUCCCAAUCAGGUCACUUGAGAUAGUUCAGCUAAUUUCCCCGAGGGCCAUUUCACAGUUAAAAGUUUUCAAUGUAUGAUGAAAUCCGGUUGAUAGAUACGCGAGAUUGCGAUGAAUUUAAAUAAAGCUACACCAAUUUCAUCUGUAGGAGUUAAUCGUGCACCUGUGCAUGAAGCUUCUACUCAUUUAGCCAGCUAUGUCUACUGAAAAUUUGAGGUUGAUUGUUUUUGUUGUGUAGAUGGUCACCAGAAAGAAAGUUGUUUGUACUAUUUGAGUAGUGUCAGGAUAUCUUGAACUACAUUUACCUGUUGCUAACACUCUAACUCAGCUCUGUAAAGGAAAAAUUGGUAUGGAGUUGAUCAGUUUCCCUCUAGGUAAGAGAGAACAAGAUUUCCUUUCAACGAACCCAAGUAAUUGAGAUUUAGGAAUACACCUCCUUAUGACAUGAAGCGCAGAUUAGUACUAUAAUUGUUACUAUUUUUUUAUUAAGAGCUAGCCAGACGUUACCACUAACUAGACAAGAACUAUAUAUCAGAACGAACCAUUCAUGUUAUUCAUUUUAUAGAGAUACUAUAACAAUGGUGGAGAACUUGUGUUUUUGAAAUAUAGGACAAGAUUAUAGAGAUGUAGCCUGCUUUGAGUCCUUGGUAGAACUGGUUCCCUUCUCUAUUUACUUGUCUUAAAACUUUUCUUUUUCUCAGUGCCUGUCACUGCUUUUGUGGUUGGAAGAACGCUAUGAGACUGUAUACACACGCCAUCCUGGUUUCCAAAAAGGUUCAAAGCCUCUCCUUGCACUAGAUAACCCUUUCCCCAUGGAACUUCCAGAAAAUCUUUUUGGAGAAAAAUGGGCCUUUGUCCAACUGCCCUUUUCAGGUAAGGGAUUUACUGAGUACGAUGUUUGUGCUUGUGACAAAUAUAAUAUGUCUCAUUCUGUCUGUCCUUACACAUCCAGUAUUUCUUUUAAACAUCUUUUGUUCUCAUACAAAUUCUAAUCGUGAAUUCAGCUGUCCAGAAGGAAAUCUCAUCCUUGGACUCGAAUCUGGUGUUUGGAGCAAGUCUGGAUUUGGAUCUGUUGGGGAUUGAAAUUGAUGAUGACACAUUGAUUCCUGGAUUGGCUGUUGCGUCUUCACGUGCUAAACCACUCGCAGGUGCAAAUUCUCUCUAAUAUAAUCUUCUAGUAUUUCUAGAAGAUUAUAUGACCAUUGCUUCUCAUCACUAUUGACUUCAUAUGAUAUAUACACACCCACAAAAGGUCCUCUGAAUAUUUACCAACUUGGCUACCUCUGAGUUGUCAGAAACUUGGCUCCAUAUGGGAGCCUGUGAUACAUUUUAAAAGUACAAGCAAGGUUUAAAAGUCAUACUUGUAUUUGAAGUCCAUUGAUAGACUCAUGAAAGAUUUGGUGAUAUGAUCCUUCAGAGUGCAAACGAUAAUCUUACGCAGUUCUAACAUUGUGAAUUGAAUUACAAAUGCCAGGACUUGUAUACAUUGUGCAUGAGUUGUUCAAUGUAUUGCCCUCCAAUUUCAUGUAGCCCAACCGAAGAGCUGCACUUUCUUUUUGAUGAGGCAGGGAUAACUAAACCGCAUAUAUACUACAGUCCUGCAUGUUUCAUAAGUCAUAACAAGGAUUGCUGUCAGGAUUAAAGACCAUACUGCAAUCACUUGCCUAGUUACCUCCUUCCUCAAAGACCACACUACAAAACGUUUCUACCUUCAGUAAUUUAGUCAUUAAAAUUGUACUUGGCAUCACAAGUGAUUUUGGAGUACACAUGUUUGCUUGAAUCUGCUGUGUCAUCCUUAUUUUGCCUUACACAACUUCGUAACACUUUUCCUGCAGCUUGGAUGAAUGGGUUGGAAGUUUGUGCGAUUGAAGUUGAUUUUGCACGGGCGUGCUUGAUUCUUUCUGUCGGAAUUUCUGGCCGGUAUAUUUAUGCUUCAUAUAAGAAAAGUCCAGUGACAACAAAGGAAGCCGAAGCUUGGGAAGAAGCAAAGAAGGCUUGUGGAGGCUUGCAUUUCCUUGCCAUCCAGGGGGACUUGGAAUCAGAUGACUGUGUUGGAUUUUGGCUUCUUCUAGACUUGCCACCUCCACCUGUAUAGUAGUCUCAGUUGUUCAAAUGUUUUGUAAGGAAAUUACUGUUACACGAUAGUUUCUCAGUUAUAUUGCUUCAAGCUCAGUUUCUGAGCUGUCUGAUAAGAUGCAUCUAGAAACUCAAUGUCGGAAUGUGAUGGAUGCUGAUCGAGGCUAAUGAUACAUAGUAGUCCUUACUUGGAUACUAGCAAAUGCAUAUAUUUGGGCGGUUUAGUGUUUGGGCUAAUACAUGGGUGAUUUGUGCAGUCGGAGCUUCAGCAUUCUCUAGUUCCUCACAGUUCUAAUAGUACCAUGCAUCAUUCUAAAUCAUUGCUUUGGGCACUCAAUUACAGACAAUCUACACAGAAAUGAGAGUACCAGAAAACAGAUAAUGAAUUUUAAACAUCUACCAGAAAGCACAUAAUGCAAGAGCUAGAACAAACAUAAAUCUUUUACUAAAUCUUCAUUGCUUUGAACAAUCAUUGUUGAUGCAUGGAUCUACGGAGAUCUAAUUAACUGCAUCAAGAACUCCUACAAUUCCGUUCAGAUCCUAACCAUGAGUAUCAAAGCCAUUCAAUACAUCAAGAGCAUCACCCUUCACCAUGACUCAUCACUCCUAGCUGUUUGCCGUAUUUGAGUCCAAAAUAAAAUGCAAGAGCUUCAGUAGCCGCUGGAGCUAUAAGAAAAGGAAGUGAUAGGAAGAGCACCCAAUAAGUUUCCUGUCCCAUUCUCUUUAUCCACCGCCUCAUCAAAAUUCAAGACUGGGUAUGAGAGAAUUGGGGUUUGAGAGAGUCAAAGAUCUCAACUCAGGAACAAAAUCAAUUCUAUUUAUUUCUACAUAUGGUAAUGCAUCAAGCCUGAUAUAAAAACAGCACCCUAUAAUUUCAGGGUCUCCAUUCCUGUCCUAUCACAGAAAUCUUUUUUAACAUCCAGACUGAGUCACUAGACUAUUGAAAUACAGGUGGAGAGCGAGGGAGCUGUAGCGGAGAAAGCUUGCCGUGUAGCUGACCCUGGUUGGAAGGAGUUAACUCUUCAAGGAAUACUAAAGAGCACCCAACAAACAACUCCCUCUCAGUCUCUCCUCAGUGAAGACUGACAAAUGAGCAAAAUUACAAGCCACGGCAAAUGCUACAACAUACGACUGUCAAAGACUACCUAACCAAAAUGGGGAAGGAAGCCACCAAAAAAAAAAAAAAAACCCCAAUGAAGAUGGGUAUAUCCACCUCAAGUUUUUGACCUCUUCUGCUUUUGGGAUACAAAGCGAACUCCUUGCUUUCCAAGUUCCAGAGAUUUGACCUUGCCGUCAUCUAAAGUAACAGAUAACACUGAUGUGCCUUCAAUAACAUCGCUAACAACUCCCUUGUGCCUGAAUACAAGAAAAGGGAAAAUGAAAUCGACAUAUAAUGUAUGAACCGCAGUUCUUCUACCAUACCAACACAUACUUGGCAAGAAAGGAGCACUAAUACAGUAAUUUUUUUUUUUUUUUUUCUUCAAAAUGCACAAAAAUUAUCACACCAAAUGGCAUUCAUCAUGUUCUCUUGACAUGAUACAUACAACACCAGCCAUUUAAUCUUCAUUCCUUUAUAAAAAUUAGCCCCCUCCCUUCAGUAGACACACUACAUAGUCAAUAAUAAACUAUUGCCCUUGUAUAAUGAAAGAAACUUUAAACAUGGAAGGCAGCUAAAAUGCAUAUGCAUGACACAAGCUGAGAAACAUACACAUUGUCUCCUAAGCUGUGAAGCAGAUGUCUUUGUAGUAUCAUUUAUAUUCUAGAUGUAAGAAACAUAAAGUGUAACAUUCGCAGCUCACCAAACAUGCAUUAUUCAAUGUUUUGAUUCUUGCUUUGUUUUACUUGGACGAGGGUUUUGUUUUUCAUCAAGCAGAGUUGGAUCAACAACUAAGCAUCAUCCUCCCAAAAGCUUUCAAUUACUGUAUACUACUCUAAAUUAUAGAAUAAAUUAGGACAAUUUGUAGAUAAUGGAACAAUUUCAACACAUGACUGAUGUCCCAAACCUAGGUAAAACUUCGACACAAAAAAAAACUAGGUAAAACUUCGACACAAAAAAAAAAAAGGUAAAAUAAUAUCACUCACCAUGAGUUGUCAGAUAGCUGCUGCACUUCUACUCGCUUUCCAACUGCAUCCUUUCCCAACUUUUUCAAUAUCCAAUUAGCAUCCAUGAUCUCGUCCAUUAAAUUAUCUUCAACUGACGGUCCCCUAUCAUUUUCACUGAAUGAUGUUUUCUCCAUAAACGGUGGUCUCUUUCUUUUUGAACGUUGGCCCUUAACAGAGCUUUUUUCUUCAUCAUGCUGAGAAGAACUCUGGCUUUCAACAUUAGGUUUCUUAAGCUUAAACUUCAAUGAAGGCUUAUGUUCUUUGGAGGAAGAUUGUGAAACCGGUGUUUGGCCAGAUUCAUCAUUCUUGUGAGCAGAUACGGCAGACCUGCUUUCUGAGUGCUUCCUUGAAUAAACCUUGUUAUUUUUCAUAGUGGGGAUCUCACCUACAGGCUCACUUGCAGUCGUGCCUUCUUCAGUGCUUUUUCCGGAUGAAACAUUCACCUGCUCUGGAGGAAUGCCUUCGACUACCUCAACCCUAUCACUUUUCACAAGUUUGGGGUUAUGAUCCGGUGCUCCUGACCUUACCCUUCCCAACUUUAUUACAUUCCCUUCUCUUCCAGCAACCUUCGAACCUAUCACAUAAAAACAAAUUAUCAAUUCUAUCUGCAAAUUGUACACCACCAGGAAGGUUUUGAUUACAUAAAAUAAUGAGAAUUGACCAAGAUACUAAUAAUUAAAUAGGAAACAGAUAAUAAUCAAAUUUAAUAAUCAGGGGAUUCUACCUUUUAUACCUUUAGCAUCGCCAAAAUUAGCAGGACUAUCAUGUUUAUUUUCCAUUGUUGUCUUCUGGCUCGCAUCUUCACCACCUGCUCAUCAAUAGAAUAACAAAUCAUAAAGAGAGUGAGAGAGAGAGAGAGAACAGUAUGACAUUUGUUCCCCAUACAGUAUACAGAUGACAUACCAUUAGAGGUCACGGGAGCAUGCACUCUUUGAUAGGUUGAAGCAUCAGAACUUGGAGAUUUAGUAAUAUUAAUCUUUUUGGCGCCGAAGUUUAUCACAAGCUUCUUCUCUUUCACAGGCUUAGACUUACCAGCAUGCUUUCCAGUGUCCUCUCCACUAUCCAGACCAUGAGACCUGCCCUUGAUACGAACUUUGGACGUCCUAUCUCCCCCAUUUAACAUCACUUCAUCAACAGACUUGUGCUUCAAUGCACUUGGCUCACUGACAGAGAAGAUCUCUUCAGUAUGGCUCAUACUUCCAGCAGGAGGUGAAGAAUAUACUUCUGGUUCUGCAUUUUUGGAGGACUGCAUCUCAUCAUUCUUGUCCGACCCAAGAUACUGGGAAUCAUGUCCUCGAACACUCUGAUUUGCUUUGGUACUAACUGAAAUUUCAUGGUAUUCCUUCUUCUUAGCAGGAAUUCUGAUCAAGGAUUUCUUACCACUAUCCUUGGUCUUUUUUGGCGACUUAUCAACUAAUCCUUUGAGAGACAAUUUCAAAGAGCGUCCAUAUUCACUCUUUUGUUUUGGGGGGCCAGUUUCUUCAUCAUCAGAAUAGGGUGGAAUAGAAAAUAUUUCUUCAUGAGCUGGCAACCCUGCAGCAGCCCUUAAGCUAGUAAUUAAAUCUCGUUCAGCUUCGUCUUUUCUCUUCCAAAGCUCUUUCGCAGCAUCCUCAUGAUUCUUGACCUGGCAGAAGAGAUUCAACAGAAGAUCAAUUCUUUUUUUUUUUUUUUUUUUUUGGGGNNNNNNNNNNNNNNNNNNNNGGGGGGGGGGAGUAAAACUGGUAUCUAAAUUUAGCAGACCUGAUGGCACUCUCCACGACAUGUGGCACAUUUGUACUGGAGAUUUCCAUCUAACUGAAAUUGUUGAUAUUUUUCAUCACUGGAAAAAGAAAUGACACAUUUAGUAUACAAAAAUAAAUAAAAGAAAAUAACUGAUACUAUAUUCGAAAAAUAAUUGUGCGUUUAUAUAAGGAUCGAAGGGAGGCCCGAGCAGAAAACAUUCAUUUAACAUAAAUGCAAAAUAAUAGAUAUGAUUUGCCUGCUAGCAAGACCUAAGGCUUUAGAAAUCUGAGUAACGAGAGAGAGUGAACAUAAUGACAUGUCAUUCCAUUACUUUCCCCUAAGAGAAAUUCGUCUUAAUGGUAUACGAACUUUUGCUACUUAUAAACUAUGGUAUAUCAAGUUUUAAAAAUAUCAGAUUGGUAUCUCAUGUUUCCAUCCCAACCUAGGAUUGAUAUAUAUAGCCAUUAAGAUGACUAAUUUACCCUCAGACAAAAAAAAAGACCAACUUACCAUUAAAUUCUCUCUCUUUUUUUCUUAGUUUUCAUAUUCCAAUUUUCUUUUUUUGGCUUUUUAUAUUUUUAGGAACGUAGAGAAAAAAUUCUUCGUCAUUUUCUCCUUGCUAUUAAUCAGUUCUUCAUCUCAAUCGUCCUUGAAUGUCAACAGCAACAACAAGAUCCUUGACUGUCAGCGAAAACAACAACAAUUGAACUUCUGUAUGUUUCCUCUCUUCAAUCUUCUUCAAGUUUAUAAAGACCAACCCAAAUCAUCAAAUUCCAGAACCUCUUCUAAUAUUUCUGGAAUAUGAAAACAAAUAUAAAAAAAACUAAGAAAAAAAAGAGAACUCAAGGGUAAAGUGGUCAUCUUAAUGGCUAUAUAUGCCAAUUUUAGGUCAGAUGGAAACGUGAGAUACCGUUUUGAUAUUUUCAAAACUUGAUAUACCAAAGUUUAUAAGGCGCAAAAGUUCGUAUACCAUUCGGACGAAUUUCUCUUCCCCUAAAUGAAAUUACAGAAUGAUAUGUCAUUCCAUUACUUUCCACUAAAUGAAAUCAUAUCUCCUAUUGAAAUUGGAUGAUCAAUCAUUUUCUUGAUAAAAAAAAAAAAUCCUUCAGAACCAGCGAAAUCAAAGGACGAGACUAAGCAGAGUACUUGUUAGUAUAAAAAUAAAUCAACCUGAUCCCAUCACAAUGGCAAUGUACCCAACGCUGGCAAAUAUCGCAGCAGACCAUAGGUGUUGAUUCUGAGUCUCUGUAAACCUAUAAAAUGGCAAAACCAAAAAAAGUCAAGAGUGUAGAAAGAGGACAUAUUCCAAUGAGAUGGUUAAAAAAAUAAGAUAUAUUGUUUAAACUAACUAGUACAUCAGGGCCCUUCCAUUGAGGGAUCCCUAUUUUUAGUCACUUUUAGGGAUAAGCUCACAUCAUUGGAUCUGUCAUUUAAUGAGGUUGGAUGGCUGAGAUUAAAACAAAAAGUUACACACUUUAUAUCAAACCUGGACCGUUCAAGAUCAUUAAAAAUAAAUUGAAGUUUUGAAUGGGUUAACGAUCACUAAAUUAUCUGAAAAUUUGUAUAAAUAAUCUACUCAUAUAACCCAAUGAAUUGAACGGAGUAGAUGCAAAAAUUUGAUCGGGAAGUUGGUGUAAUGCCCUAUCCUUAGAAAUAGUCAAAAAUAGGGAUCCCUCAAUGGAAAGGCCCUCACUAGUACAUACAUACCGUAGCUCUUAAUAAUAAUUAGCUGAUCAUACAAAUGCAACAAAAAUCAUAAAAGUCAAUUAAAACAAAUCACCUCAGGAAAAUAGGCUACAGAAAUAUAUAGUACCUUCAAGCAAACAGGGCAAUAGUUCCCCUUAACAAAUAAUCGUCCACAUGCAUCACAGCAAGUGUAUCCCAAAAACCACCUGUCAAUUUAACCAGCGAAGCUUAAGUCUAUGACGUGCUCCCAAGUUAGCUAACUGGGUGAUAACAGUAAGAAACUUAAAGAGCCCAUAACAUGUUCCUAAUUUAGAAGGCUUUCAACGACAUAGAGAAACUAUGCCAUAUGCCAAACACUAAUACCACAGAACAUAAUAAUAGGCAUGGUGUGAGGACAGAAUCUAAGAAGGUGCAGAAUACAGAAAACUAAGAUACUACCAACUGAACUAAAUCAGAAUAUCACAAUAACAAUCAUCUUAUCAUCAGUGUAGGCAAAGAAAAAGAUUAAUAGAUCAAAAUAGUAACAAUACAUACCUAACACUUAGACCAUUUCCUGGCACGUUUGACCCACAGCUGUGACACUUUGUAUGUUUUGGGCAUACAUAAACCCCAGCAGAAACAUUCUGCAACAUGCAUGAACAAAUAUAAGCAUAUUUUCAACCAAAGAUAGGAAAUCAUGAAUAUGUAGUGCAUCCCACCUUGUGUGAAGGAUGUUGGCAGUAACAGUGGUAAGCACCAUCACACCUUUUGCAGAACAUAAGCUUGUUUGGAUCUCCUGUUCUUCGACAUACCUGGAGAAAUGAUGCAAUAGGCACCUGGUUAAGAAGUGCCUCUUUGGAAACCGAAUACCAGGAACAUUGGCCCAUACCAAACAAUAUGGCAUCUUUGGUAUAAAAUGAAAUCUAUUAAAGAAUCAUAGGUUAAAUUAAAUGAAUAAGUCCUCAUGAAGUGUUAUUAAGAGACAAUUUAUAGCCUAUGAUAAUAGACCAAGUGGAGGGAUAUACAGAAUGUAGUGGUGGCCAAAAGCCCUAAUUUUAGGUAUAGGCAUCAGACUAAUCUGUUUUCAUUUAUCAUGGAUCAUAUUAUUAGGAUGCCUACAAAUAUUUAGGGUUAUGAGAGUUACAAUAUAAGAGAGCAAUGAUCAAAAUAGGAAAGGAAAAAGAAACAUACAUAUAAACGAAGGCAUAUCAGGAGGAUACUAGAAAACACACCAUAUUGGGUGUGCAUGCAAUAUGGAAACAUUACUUUCGUAGACCAACAAUAACAGAUAAUACUGACACACUGAAAAGGUAAUGUAGGAGCUUGAAUAGAAAAUACAUGUAACAACAUGGACGAGUACUGCAAAUCACUCAUUUACCUCACAUAUUCGGCACGACGGGCAUGCCCAUGAACUCCAGUGAAAUAGAUCUGCAAAGAAGUUCCAUUACAUUAAUAUGUCAGAUCUAUAGCCUCCUACAAAAGCUUGGGAACUAUUAGUACCUCUGUGUUGAGACCAAGUUUUCAAGCAGUUCCUAUGGUACUUUUUGCCACAGGUUUUACAUGGAAGCAUCCUUCUUGCUUUCUCACUUCCUUCAUUUUCCCCAGAAAAGCAUAUCCGACACAUAACAUUGGACUGACCCUGCUCUUCUCCCACAACUCCUUUGGAGGUGUCCUGAUAACAGGAAGAAAGAAAUGAAUGAAAAGUUGGUAUUUUCAACAUAAAUAAAAGAGGUGAGUAGGGGGAUAGAGUAGCAGAGGAUCGAAAAGAAUUUAACAGCUAAAUUUUUUUCAUCUAAAUCACGAUACUAUAUGAAAAGGUUUAAAUGGCACAAGUAUGUCAUAACAAUAAGGUUAUAACGGAAAAAAAAAAAAAAAAAAAAAAAGAAGGCCCCAACAUGUCAAAUACAACAGAUACUCUAAAAAACUUGCAACUAAACGGAGGUAUGCCAUUCAAGUAACAGAAAAACUUGCUUGGUCUCAUAUUGUGUCUAAAGCUAAUGGGGUAUAAAGUCAAUAUAACCCGAAGCGGGUAAGGGCAUUUCAACAUAAUGUUCUAUUCCUUAUCAAAGCAUAUAAAUUGGAGUUUUUCAUAGCAUGGCAUCUUGAGUGUGUAGCUGGGAAAUUCUAUAGUCAGGGAAAAAACACAGUUGCAUCUUAGUUAAAGGUUAUAAUAUGAGAGUAUAAACCCUACUCUGGGUUCUUACGUUUAGAAGCUACUUCAAAGCUUUUUGCAUUUUUUUGCAGCUAAAAGUGCUGCAACCACUUAGACUCACCCUUUACUACAAUAAUUUCACCUAUGUCUCAUAUUUUCUCCUAGUCAAUCCUAUUGGCCUUUAUAAGAGAACCAAAAACUGACUGAACUUGUCCAUAUCUCAACCAUCUUAACCGCAUUGCCUGCAAAUACAAACAUGUCAUGUAUCAUAAUAAAUGGACCCCUAUUACUCAAAAAAAUUCCCGGUUGGUAAAUCAGAAGCAUAUCUCAUUGCGGGAAACCAGCAUGAGCCUGAAAAACCUACAAGUCAAUAUCUAGCCGAAACAGUCAAAAUCUAAUAUCCACUCCCUAACCACUUUCCCAGUACCAUAUAUAAUCUCAGAUUCCUUAUUUCGCAAUCAACUCUACAAAAACUCGAAACUCACAUAACAUGCAUUCAUCUACGCACAAAUACAACCCAAAAAUUAUCUCCAAAUUACAGCCAGUAACUCCAAAAACAUAAAAUUCUAACAAGCAGAUGCAUAGCACACAAAAUUCAAAAGCAUUGAAUUCGAAGAACCUCACCGACAAAUCACCAGACUCAAAGCGGCGAGCAAAGUCCUCAGCGGCCACCAUAUCCGCAGCAGCCUUGCGCUGGAGAGCGGCCCGCUUGGCCUGCGCGGUGGCCGCAGCUGCCGACUCCUCAUCAACCGUCGCCGCCACCGCAUCCCCAACGACCGACGGCGGAACCGGCAGAGGAGGCGGCGGAGGCGGCGGCGCGACUCUGGGAACAACGACCUGGACAGUUCUGCCGUCGUCGCGAGCCCUAAUUCCGGACGGAUCGCUGAGAAACUGAUGGACUUUGAUGACCUCGUCGAGGAAGCUCGCCUUGGAAUUCGCGGUGGCGAGGGAUCGAGGAAACCCUAGCGGGCAGAAGCAGAUUCGCCGGCUGAACACCACAACAGAGAAGAAGUUUUAGAGAGAGAAAAUGAGAGAGGGUUUUAGAGAGAGAAGGAGCGUACCAUGUAAUUGGGCAAGCGACGUGAAAUGCCAUAUUGCGAUGAUACAAAGGGGAUUUUAGAUUUCCAAAUUUUUUUGGUGUUCAGGGAUCUCGCCCCUCCUAAAUUUUUUUACUUCGCGAGGAAAAUAUAUAAAUAAAAAUUAAAGUUUAUAUUUUGGAAAAUAAUUUGGUUUUAUAGGUAAAGGGGGUGACUGUGAUGACGAAGAAGAGAGGGGAGACACGAAGAUAGAAACAGGGUCCUCCCUCUCUGUGCCUGUGCGUUUUAUUUUCAAUUUUGGGAUUUCUCGUGUCGUUUCGGGCUCCUUUAACAGCGAUUUGUGGGCCACUUGGUUAAUACACAUAUAACAAUGGGUCAAAUUAUAAAUCUAGAAUUUUAAACUAUCCAUGGUGACAUGGGGUGAAUGUUGGUGGUGGUCAUUUUACAUAGAAGAAAAAUAUGUCAUCUAAAGGGCCAUGUGGUUAAGUUGUUACAAAUAUUGAUAUGAUAAUAUGGACCAACACAACACAUUCAUGUUAUUGGUAUAAAAUAAAAAAAUACACCGAGCAGAUUACGUGACAAACGUCUCGCUCGUCAUAUUUACCUUGACUAUUAUAAUAACUCCUGCCGUAAUCUUUAUGUGGCAUGUAAAUUAAUAUCUUGUAGAGUUACUAUAUAAACUAAUUCUUGGUUCUAUAAUUUUCUAGAAUCUCCUUCAAUAACAAUUAGCUUUUUAGUUGUAGGUUCGUGUAUCUUGGUUAGCUUUAAACAUACGGUAUAAAGGCGAUGUAGGUUCAGAUCUCCGAUGCACAAAUGGUGUCAAAUCGGGAAGUAUAUAAACUCAUGCCUCUAAAAUCCUGUUUGGGUAUAUAUUUCUGAUGAACAAUGAUCGAACCUGAUUGUCACACCCCAAUUUUCGAAAGAUAAAAUUUCAAAAAUUUGGGCAUGAUAAAACUCAAAAUCUUAAUAUCCCACAACCUGCUCGACAAAUUCCAAACUAAAAACAAAUACUGUAAACUCAUGCCUCUAAAAUCCUGUUUGGGUAUAUAUUUCUGAUGAACAAUGAUCGAACCUGAUUGUCACACCCCAAUUUUCGAAAGAUAAAAUUGCAAAAAUUUGGGCAUGAUAAAACUCAAAAUCUUAAUAUCCCACAACCUGCUUGACAAAUUCUAAACUAAAAACAAAUACUGUAAAUGUAAAUGUAAAUUAACUCCUCAACCGAGUUAAACACUUAAUCUCCUUAAUUACAUUAACUUUCAAAAGUCUAGUAAUAAACUACUUCGCUCACAUGAGCUUCAAAACAACCACCAUAAAAUACAAAUAAAUGUAUAUCAUCAAAAACCCAGCUCCUAGGCCACUGCCUCAAACCUUCUGAUCAUCACCUGCAGGUCUAACCCCUACACCAUGAAUUGGUGCACCGGGUUGUAAACAACAAACCCGGUAAACUAAAAGCUCGUAUGAGUAACUCCCAAAAUAUUAAUUCAACAAUCCCAACAUCACAUAUAAUUAAAAUUGAUAAUUCCUGCAUUAAUAACUUAGUUCAGGAAUCACCUAAAAACAAGAGAAUUCAAAAGAAGCAAUUAAGAAAAACACCAUAAUUCAAAAUCACUCAAAAUCAUAAAUGAAACAAAUAAUUAACAGGAAACACAACAAUUCACAAUCAAACAAAUCAAAAUGAAAUUCUGCAAAAAGGCAUAGUUCAGGAAAUACUUAAAACAAAGAAUUUUAAAAGACAACAUAUAAGAACAUCAUACAAUCAUUUCUCUACUCUUACUUAUGAGUUCGCCAACACUUAGUCAUCCCCCAUAAGUAACCAACAAUGCGUACUCAUGGGUUCAUCAACACUUAGUCAUCCCCCAUGAAGUACCGACUGACAGACUAGAGCUCUAUACUGACCGUAACCAAUCACCCGGCUAAGGCUUGGUUCCCGGUCCACCACGAAGGCUCCUAAUCUAAGAAUCACCACUAAGGCACACACAUACAUAACUAAUGCGCAAAACCACACUAAGGCACGCAUUCAAAUACUCUCCCAUCAUAACACUUAUCAAAUCAUAAAUUAAUAAUAUAAUCAUAACCGUAACCAAUCACCCGAUUAAAGGCUUGGAACCCGGUUUGAAUAUUUAAACAACAAUUCACAAUAUAAAAUAUAUCAUCGACAACAACACAAGAACACUUCAUAAAUUAUAUCUUUCCGCCUAGAUAUAUUUAUAUAAACGAAGACAUAUAUAUUCUCACUAGAAUAAUAUAUCAACAACCAUAUUUCAACAUCACAAUAUCACAUGAUCGGAAGUCCUUUUGAAAGAUUCUAUUUUACCAGAAAAUAUAUUUUCACUUACCCAUAAGCGUUGAUGAUCAAACUCAUUUAUUUUUAAAACAAAAAUCAUUUUCCUUAAAGGACAACUUCACAACUAACAAUAAUAAAAUUAUAAAAUAAACUCGGUUUCUUAUGAACCCAUGUGAGAUUUACUCACAAUAUAAAAAUUGCAUCAUAAUCAUCAUCACCAAAAUCAACAUCACAAUCAUCAUAAUAAUUGUCAUCAUAACAAUUAUCAUCAUCAUCAUUAUCAAAAUCGUCACCAUAACAAUUAUCAUCAUCAUAAUCAUCUUCAAAAUCAACAUCACAAUCAUCAUCAUAUUAAUUAUAAAUAAUUGGUCCCAAAGUGGACCUUGGUGAGAUGUUACUCACCUCAAAUCCAGCUGCGUCUUCGCACGCACAACACAAACAUAUAGUACAAAACCACACCCACAAGUCACUUAUUAACAAAAACGUUAACCUUAGCAACUAUGAAAAACAACAUUAUCCGACUCGAACCAAAACUCAAGUCCUAACCCACGAGCUUGCCACUUGAGACAAAACUUCCUCCUUGACCUUUAAAAGGUCGCCGAAACGUCCAACACAUCCUAUAGAACUACUAACCAGAUUCUCAUGUUCGGAUUUACUCAAAAAUGAAACGAACGAAACUUAACACCACGGGGAAACCCUAGAAUGCAAUAAUGAUAACCAAAACCUACAACCCACAUAUCAACACGCUCGUAUCAAAGAGUACUAUCUAACCAGCACCACAAAACACCCCAGACACUACCGGACACGCCACCACAGGCGGCGGCGAGUGGGCCCCACGCGCCACCACGAAAUGUCUGAAUUUGGGCAAACUCAACACAUUAAACUUGUAGAUUGAGGAGAGAGGAGCAUCUUUUAUACCUGAGGGUCCAACCAGUUCGACCGGAAUCGGCCGGAAAUCACCGGAAACUUGCCGGAAAAGUUGGAAUUCACCACCACCACUCCACACCGAGAGUCGAGCUUCAAGACCACCGGAAAAUGAACCAGGUCGCCAAGGAGCUCCUAUCCCGACCUUUUCCAAGUUGCGUCGCCGCUGCCGGAGGUGGGAAUCCCGACCGGUCUCUAAGCCGAACUUCCAAGCUUCAGGUCACCACUUCGGGACUGAAUCGGCGUAAGUCACCACCACAAGGUAGCUCGGACGGAGGAGAGGAAGAGAACCCGACCGGUGCCGACGUCUAGGUCGGUCGGAGGUGGCCGAAAAAUCCGGGUCGGGUCAACCGGGUCCGGGUCGGGUCGACUGGGAAACUCGGAUACUGAAGGUGAGGCGGGAGAGAAGAAAAGAGGAGAGAGUGAUGUGGGACAAAAAAAAAACUGAGGGAACCCUAUAACUUUUUCAUAGUUAUACUAAAAAUUUCCGAAAACCACGAACUUCUGCUGACCAUAACUUCCAUAUACGAAGUCCGUUUUACACGUGCCAUGUGUCUACGAACUCGUAUCGUCGUGCUCUACAACUUCCGUGAAGGAAGUUUUCCGAGAAACCCAACAGAUUAAAAAGUCAACUCUUGACCCUUCAAAAUAAAUCAUUUUCAAGGAAAUAAAAACUCGACUACUUCUAGUCCACUCACUAAACCAGAAAUCCAUACAACUCUUACUUAAAUAAUUUCCAAAAAUAAAAUUAGAAACUAAUAUUAAAUUUCCAGGGUAUUACACUGAUCCAGUCCUACUAUAAGGCUUUCGAGUUUAUGUAAACCAUCAGAGCUCUCACUCUCUCACAACAAGCCAACUUAAGGUUUUCCCAUCCAAAUCACUUGUAUUAUGUCGCUCUUGAUCCUAGUUAUCGGCUGACGAACCUCUCGGUCUCGCGAAUCUCUCUAGGGCAAGCUUUGGGUUGCUGCAACCUCAUUUGGUUCUCGUGGGGACGUGCAUUUUUUUUCAAGGAUGAUGGGGAUGACGGGGAUGACAUAGUUUUUCUCCGAUGGAUCCAAAUCAAAUAGUUUUCUCCGAUGGAUCCAAAUCAAAUCUGGGAUCUUGUGUCUGCCAAGGUUCAAGAUGUCGGUAGGGCUGGUGUAGGGUUAUGGGAUUGGGACUUCUUAAGAAUUGGGGCCUGGAUUUGGGCCCCAAAGUCUUCGGUUUGGGUCUAGGUUUCUAGGGCCUUAAUUGAUUGAUGUUCAAGUUUUCUUUAGCUAUGACGAAUCAUUUUUUUUCCUGCUUCGGGCAAUCGGGCUUGGGCUUUUAGUUUGUUUGUUGAACAAGUGUGUUUUAUUCUAUCAAGUGGGUGUAUUGGGGCUUUUGGAUCUUAUUCUAUUAGUAUAGGUGUUGAAGCUCUAUAAAAUCGUUCUUUCGAACGGUUUUACCGCUUGUUAUUCUAUUAGAGUCUAACAAUCAUCGUUUCAAACAAAAACCUAAUCCGACUAGUUGUCUAACUCUCUUGUUAUCUAUAGUUAGCCACAUCUUCUAGGGUUUCUCUGGCUUCUCCUAAGGUUCUCCAAACGUUGUUGCUUCGCACCCCAAUCCCAUUGGCACUAGGUCCAACGAGGUCUCAUAGAGAUUUGCCUCCUCUUUAGCUCUUCCCGAUGGAGAUUGACCUUUGGUCGGCGUCACUCGCUCUACCCCGGCUCCGCAAUAGUUCUUUGAUGUAGGCCAUCUUCUCACCCUCAAGAGAAAGGUCUUAGAUUAGAAUGCGGUUAUCGGUACUCUAACCUCAGUAUGAGAUCUCCAGAAUCGCCUCCAGAUGCGUGCAAGAGAUGAUCGAUUUGUGUUGCUCUUCAAUAGAGCGGAAGACUAGAAUUGUCACAUCUCGGUUCUUAAGUCAAUUUGCGGUUAUUUACUUUUGGGUUACUUUGGUCUUUCACCGCUUUAAGUAACCGUUUACUGUUAAAGAACCCUGGAGUUGACUUUUUGUAGGAAAAUUAUUUUGGGAAAAUUUCUUUAAGGAAGUCGUAAAGGACAUUAAUACGAAUCCGUGGACAUACUAUACGUUAAAAUCGGAGUUCGUAUGUAAAAGUUAUGGUGUAAAAUGUAAAGUUACUAUUUCGGGAAGGAAGGAAUAAAAAGGGUCAAAGGUGGAAAGUCAAAAGUGAAAAGUCAGAUUUCACUUUCACUUCUCUCUCCUCCCCCGCUCGGUUCCCGACCCGGUGCCUUCUCCACCUCGGUUCGCCGCCGUCCGGCGGAGUUAGGCCGCCAUACCGGUUGGGAUUUGAAGCUUGGCUCAUACUCAGCUGAUCUGGGUAGCUGGCCGGUGGUGUCGCGCCACCGUGAGGGAGAAAGAGCGACUGGAAGCCGCGGUUGUGUGCAGAGGUUUUUCGCCGGAAACUCCCUUUUCCGGCCACCAUAGCUGGAGCUGCUAGUAUCAUUUGGAAGCUCUCCUCUUGUGCAGCAAACCCCUAAAACGAUACAUCCUAACUCGAGGUAGGUAAGGAGAAUCGAAGGUUUGAAUUUUCUAGGGUUCUUUAUUGUGUUUUUGUUCGAUUGGCAUGUUUAAGCUUGAAAUUGGACUUGGUGAUAGUUAUGAAAGUUGUUUGGGAUGUUGAGAGGAAGAUGCUGUUAAAAUUUGGUAGCCAUUGGGGGCCGCUGGAGUCAGCCGCCGCUGCCGGCGAACGCCGCCACUUGGAGGUUGUUUUUUAAGUUUUUUGGGUUUGUUAUAAUGAGAGGAGUCUAAUGAAGUAUAGUUUGGAAUAUUUGGAGGAGUUUUGAUAAGGUUUGGGAUUUUUAAAAAGAUCAAGGAUUUUGCCGGUUAUUAGAAUGAAAAUCCGGCCGUUGGAUUUCCUUGGUAUUUAUUAUAGAAUGUUAGAAUUGAUGAAUUAAGGUUGUGGUGGAGUUAUGUGUGAAUCCGGCGAGUUUAACCCUAUUAAGAGUAGUGGGUUAAACGGAAGAGAGUUAGAUGUUUUUAUUCACGUAUUUAUUUUUUGGAAUUGAAGUUUGGUUCUAAGCAUGGUUGUUGUGCCAGGAUGCAAAGGGAAUCUCGCUUGAGUGGCGAUGCGGUUAUCGUCGGGCUUAUGCCUAAAUUUGUGAGUGGACAUUUUGGUUUUAAAUAAAUAUGCAUGCAAGAUUUUAUAAUCUAUCAUUUUAUUUUCCGAGCAUAUAUUAUAAUUUUCAGCUCAUGAGUUGAUCUUGAAAAAUUAUUUGAGUUUGGUGCAUUGAUUAAGUGUUGGUCAUGAUUUAUGGAUUUAAGCUCGGAUUAUUAUUUUGAUAGUUGAGUUUGGAUAUUCCUUAUAUAUUUCGGAUUUCAGUAUAAUGGUUUUAUUGGUGGACUUCGAGAUUUUUAAAAGAUUUCCGAAAAUGGGAUUUUCGGUAGUUCUCCAUCAUAAUUUAAUUGUUAUUUGAGGCAUAAUGAUUUUGACUUGGAGAAUAUUUUAGUGAGUAUUUUCAAGUGGAGAUAUUAUUAUUUAUGAUUUAUUUUUGAUAUUGAAAUCUCGCUUAUAUUUAUAAAUUUGAGAAGAUUAUGACGUGUGAGACACGUCAUUGACUUUUAUUAUAAUAUCUUAUGAUGAUUUUCAAGUACGGUUGGGAACCGUACCAUUCAUGUGAUUUUAGGGAAGUUUAUUGGAUUUAAGUGAUUUCGUAUGUUUUUAAUCACCAUAAUAUAGGGUUGAUUUAUAUUGAUUAUUGCUAGCUAACCUUAUUAGCGGUCCUCAUCAUAUGUGAGUCGCUAGUAUGCCCUUAUUAGCGGUCGUCUUCAUAUGUGAGUAGAGCGCUUAACGUGGGACGCUAUUAUAGCCUGGGAGGCAACCGAUCGGUAUUUAUAUUUAUUAGUUAGCUAGCCAUUAUUAGCGGUCCUCAUCAUAUGUGAGUUGAGCGCUUAGCAUGGGACUCUAUUAUAGCCUGGGAGGCAUCGACCCGAGUCUUAGAGGCUCCUUUUUCAUGGUGAUAACUCUUCCCCUUAUUUUAUUCUUCUCAGUAAUAUAUUUGAUUAACCAGUGGGGCUGGUUUAUCUCAUUUUAUGAGAUUUCUAUUUUAAUUAACCAGCAGGGCUGGUUUGUCCUUUAUUAAGUGAUUUUAGAUUUAAAGUUUUAAGGACGUUUAAGUUGCAUGCUGUUAAGUUUUAAAAGUUGAAAAGUGGGAAAGUAUAUAAGUUUUAUAAUUGUUAAGUUAUUGAAUUUAUUUUUGUCCACUCACUCUAACGUUUUUAAAUUACUUUCCCCUGGGCCCUUUGAUUUUAAAUGCCCAGUUUGCAGGCUAAGUUAUUCGAGGUCGAGCGUACAUGGAGUCAAGGCAUAGUCAGAGGCUGCUUUUGCUUAUUCUUUAGUCAUUGUUUUUCGUUUAACUUUAGAUAUGCUCUGAUAACCAGUUAGUGAAUUAAUGUUGGUUAUUGUUGGUUGUGGGAUUAGUUUAGCUGAGUAGUUGUUAUAUUGGGAGAUAUGAUGAACUUAGGGAACAUGAAGGCUCCAGGUGUUGAGGAUGGAUGUUUGUUUAUAGAAGUGUUAAGUUGGAUUUUUCAGGUAAGGGUUGUCUAUUUUCAAGGAAGGUUAUGCCGAAUUUUCGGUUAAUUUUCCUUGAAGGUGGACCCCGUAGGAUUUACCUCGGGUUUCAGGGUGAAAUUCGGGGCGGGUCUUGACAAGGAUAACAUCCUGUAUGGAGGUCCUUAGUUCUAUGGCAGAUCCCAAUUUGUUCUCGUCAAAUAUGAUGGUCUUCAAGAUGUGUCUCAGGUCCCUAUUGAGUCUUUCUCGAUGUGGAUCGAAAUCAAGGGGUUUCCAGAUGCCUUGAUCACAGAGGAGGCGGUUGAGAAGAUUGGUCUGACUCUAGGGUUUGUGGACCAUGUCAACAAACUGAAAAUCAAGCACAGAUCGAAGGUUAGGGUUAGCAUUUUGCACAAUUUGUGCAAUUAUUUCAAGGAAGCCUUUGGGGAUCUGCCCUUUGAGUUUGGAUCGAGGAGGUUUCUAGCGAAACUUCAACUGAAGUACGACUGGACUGUUGGUUUUUACAGGGUGUGCGCCAUGAUGAUCCAUCCCGAUUCCAGUUGCACUGGUAAGCCAGUGUUGACACCAAUUCAUCGAAAUCAAGUCGAUGACGACUCUAUUUGGAUAUAGAGGAGCAACUAGGGUGUCCGAAACCAAACCGAUCGAACCCUAACCUUAGUCUGGUCUCGAAACCAUUUAUGGAUCUAAGUGGUGCGUCGUCUUCUGGGGUGAAGAACCUGGUUCUCUUGUAGCUGCCAAGUACUGCCUUCAACCCUUUUAAAGCUGCAAGAAAUUGAUAUGGGGUCUGUCUGAUUUCCCGAAGGUUUCAGUCUCUCUCCUUGGAAUUUUUGUUGCUGAUCUUGUCGUGUAGUUAGCUCGAUUUCGGUCUGCUCCGGUGACUGAACCGAUCUCGGUACCAGCUCUAGAGGUGGUGACAGUCCCAACAAGUGUGCUUCCAAUGUCAUCUUUAGCUUGGACGAAGAGGAGUGUUGAACUAGCUUUAGUGUCGUUUUGCAAGAGAGGUUGUGGUCUACCUGAGCCGGAUCAAUUUGCUGUAGUGCCCUAUGAGCUGCCCUUCGCCCCUAAAAUGGCUCUACCUCACUCUGGAUGGACUCUUACUGACACAACCCAUCCCAAAUUUCACCCUGAAACCCGAAGUAAAUCCUGCGGGGAACACCUUCAACGAAAGUUUACCGAAAAAUCGGCAGAACCUCCCUUAAAAAAAAUGGACAACCCUUCCUAAUAAUACCUGCAUACACUUCUGAUAAACCAAAUCCAACCUUAAACUCCUGGAGCCUUCAUGCCCCAAAUCACAACAUCUCCCAAUUAUUUAAAUAUCUACACAAAUCUCAUAUCCAACCGUUUAUAGGUUCAGAGCAACACUAAUAGGAAGAAAGGAAACAUGAUAAAUUAACAAGCGGAAGCUAUAUGAUGACUAUGCCUCACUCCCCAUGUNNNNNNNNNNNNNNNNNNNNGCAACUCGGCAUUUUAAAACGAAGGGCCCAGGGGAAAACAUUUGAAACCGUUAGAGUGAGUGGACAAAAACAUAAAUUUAAUGAAAAUAUUUAUGAUUUCCCAAUUUACAUUUUCAUAGAAAAUAUGCUGCAUGCGACAGCUCAAAAACGCUCAACACAAAAAUUGGCAAUUUCAUGACUAGCUCCGGCCAGUCUCCAAAACUCAAUAAAAUACAGCCUCUCAGGCUAAAAUAAAAUAUUUAUGUAUUACACUCGUCAUAUCCCUUGUAUGAAUUUUCUUGAAACAACAAAGACAAAUAGAAAAUUCACACAAGGCUACGACGCUUGCGUCUAACGCUCACGUCGCACCAUAAUGGCAUUUUACCUCAUUAUGGUGGAAAAGACGGUGUAUAAAUAUAUACGCGCAUAUCCCUUAUAUAAAUUAUUAUAUUUAUAUAGGGUUACGACGAUUGCGUCUAACGCUCACAUCGCACCAUAAUGAAAUUUUUACCUCAGUAUGGUGGAAAAGCACGUAUAGCUAGCUAGCAUUCCUUCAUAUACAUAUUAUUCUCAUAAUCAUCCAAAUAUGGAUAUAUAUAAAUAUAUAUACUCACCGAAAUUCUCAAUUUCGGUUAUUCUCCAACAAUAAUGAAAAUUGCCAAUUAUCAUAAAAAGAAAUACGCACACGACUCUACCGAAAAUCUCAUUUUCAGUAACUUUCCAAAUAACACGAUAGCCAUUAAAAAUGAGAACAUUUACUUCUGAAAAUGACUUCGCGAAAAUAAACAAUUCCACAAAUUGAUAUUCAAUAAAAUCAAUCAUUUAAUGUAGAAUCACCGCAUGCAUAUAUUUUAAAACAAAAGUCCACUCACAACUUUAGGCCUAAACCUGAUGUCGAUCUGGACCCUCGCUUGCCCGAGCCUCCUCACGUCCUGUUCCAAAUAUACUAUUAAUUUCCUAACUAACAAUCCAACAUUUAAUUAAAAUAGGCAAAAUUAACCGAGAGCCGUAACUACGCUCAUCAUUGCCUAACUUCGAUAUUCUUAAAUCGAAACGAUCCGAACUUAAAUAUCAUACUCGGCAGCCGUAAUUACAACCUCCAAAAAAAAACGACUUAAAUCCUACGGCCGGAUUCUACAUUAAUUAACCGCCAAAAAUACCACACUUCAGAAAUUCAUAAACCUAUCCAAAACUCAUUCAAAAAUUCCAUAACUCACUUCAAUAAACUCCCCUUAAUAUUCUAAAUUUAAAACCCUAAAAAUCUUCCAAACAGUGGCGGCGCCGGCGCCGGCUCCGCGGGCAGCAGCGGCCGGAGGCUGAUUCCGGCGACCUCUAAUGCCUAUGAAAUUUUGACAGCAUCUUCCUCUCAUCAUGCUCUACAACUUUCCUAACUAGCACAAACCCAAAAUCUAAGCCUAGCUAUGCCAAUCGAAUAAAAACAUCAAAAUCGCUCCAGAAUUUCAAACUCACAUUUCUCCUUACCUAGCUCAAGAGAGGGUAAGCUGUUUAGAGGGGUUGCUGCACGGGAGGAGGGCUACAAAAUGAGCUAAGGAUCGCCGGUUUUGGUGGCCGGAGGAGGGAGUUCCGGCGAAAAGCUUCCCGGCGUCUCCGGCGAGUUUUCUCUUCUUCCGGCGGGCUAAUGGCUCGAGGGCUAGGCCGGGGAGGGAGAGGAGGAGAUGGGGGUCCGAACUGGGGUGGAGUGGUGGCUGGUGGUUGGCCGAACGGCGGCAGCUGGCAGCUGGAAGUUUCUGGCGAAGGGGGAGAGAGCACGGGAGGGAGAAGGAAGAGAAAAGAGAGAAGAAGAGAAAGAGAGGGAAAUGGGUUGGGCCUCUCCAACCGGUCCAACUCCACCAUUAUACCCAACUCCCACAAAAUAAAACACCCCGAAAAAUAAUACCCGAAUAAAAAUUACCUUUUACUAGCUAAAAUUUACCAUUUUUACCAUCGUCAUAUUUUCCUCCUACGAAUAAUCCUCCGCACAUAAUCGUCCCCGAAACCCCUCUAGGGACCAAUUAAACUAUUAACUCAAUGACGAAGACGGUAAAAUUCUUAUUAUAACCAAGCUAGUAAAUAAGGUAAAAUAUAAGGGUCGGGAUGUGACACUUACGGUGUCGCCGGCGAAGAAGAGGAAAGUGGGACGCCCUCUAGGUUCUAAGAACAAGAAGGGGAGAAGGGCAUCGUGGCAGGCACUUGAGUCGGGGCAGCUAGAACCUAAGAGAGCUACACUAUUGGAAAAAAACACCUAGGAGAUGGAAUUAUUUCGUCUCCUAAGUGACAGAUUUCGUCUCCUAAGUACUUAGGAGACGGAAUGUCCGUCGGCUAAGAUCCGUCGCCUAAGUAUGGUAAGGUAGACACUUGGGCGACGGAACCUAAAAUUCCGUCUCUUAAGUGGUUCUUAGGAGACGGAAUAUUUUCGUCUCCUAAGCACUUAGGCGACGAAUUUUAUUUUAUAAUAAUAAUAAAAAAUUAUCCACUUAAGAGACAGAAUUGUUGAAUUCUGUCGCUAAAGGCUGAAAAAAAAAUUAAAAAAAAACGUCACUGCAGGUUUUUUAUCCACUCACUCCGACCGCCCCAAAUACCACCACCACCACCACCACACUAAUUUGCCUCAAAUAUGCCACCGGCACCACCAUCACAUCCUAACCAAUCACGUUAGGCUUCCCUAACUGGUUGUUCUGAAACUCCACUGCGACUCUGUUGUCCUUCGUCUUCUUCAAUGAACCCGGCUUCAUCUUGUCAAUCGACGCCGGCUUGAAUUCAUCUGCAAAAUCACAAAGGAAACGGAUCCGAUCAGAUAAAACAGAGGAGAAGAGAAUGGACGGUUGUGAUCAAGGGGAUUACAUCGUAGGGUGCAUAACUUGCUGGAGGACUCGUCUUUGAAGGAGGGGCCUAGGGUUAGGUUGUACCACCGAUCGGGUUGAGGAGCGGUCUUGGGCUCUUCCUUGGCGUUACUUGCCAUGGCGGGUUUAUCGAAGGAGGAGAAGAGGAGCGGUGUGGUGCGGUCCAGCGAGGCUAGCUGACAUGGCAAGAUCAAAGUGAGGAGGACCACCGGUGAGGAUUUAGGAGGAGGAGAGGAGAGGCCAGCAUGAGAGUGAUGGUUUAGAGAGAAAGCUCUGGGAAAAGAAGAUAAGUGAGAGAAUUGAUAUGUGAUUUAAAAGAAUCGGUAUGUUUUGAAAAAUUUUGGUUUGAAUUUUCAUGAAAUUUUACGUCGGAACAUACGCGCUCAAAUUUUUAGAACUUAAGCGACGGAAUGUUUUAUUUCCGUCGUCUAAGUGAUUCAUAAUUUUUUUUUAAAAAAACAUUUCGUCUCCUAAGUUCUACUUAGGCUGCGGAAUAUAGUUCCGUCUCCUAAGUGAUUCAUAUAAAUUUUUAUUUUUAUUUUUUCAAAAUCUCGUCGUCUAAGUAAAAAUAUUCCAUUUCCUAAGUAGCAUUUAAGCGAUAGAAUGGAAUUAUGUCUCCUAAGUUGUUCUUAAGAGACAAAAUCAAAAUAUUUCAUCUCCUAAGAACAACUUAGGAGACGGAAACUGUUCCGUCUCCUAAAUAGAAUUUUUCGUCGCUUAAGUACCACUUAGGAGACGGAAUUUUUUAAUUCCGUCGCUUAAGUGCUAUUUUCCAGUAGUGCUAAGAGGAGGACUUUUGAGGCUAGGAGGGCACUGGUGCUGGGUGAGGUUGUUGCUGGCAUGGUGGUUUCAGUCUUGGAGGCUGCUCUGGUUGGUAAUGAAGGUGAGGUAGAGGAUUCGGGGUCUUGGGGGCAAUUUCGCCUUCGUUUGUUGCUAGCUCCUCCUCUGAGGAGUCUAGUUCCGCUUAAGCUCUUAUUCUAGAGGCAAAGAAUAAGUUAGGUUCUUGUGUGAGUCGACCUCGCCUAUAGUUUAUGGCAUUAAGAUGCUUAGGGUGUUUAGGUUUUAGGUCUAAGUUUUUUUUAGUUUUUUGGCAUGGUUCAAUUAUUUCGAGCCCAUGAGGGCGGAUUGUGUUUGUUGUACUUUUACUUUCAGUUUAUUAACGGAGUGACAUCCUUUUUCAAAAAUAAAAAAACUCUUGCUAUCUAUUUUUUUUUUAUUAAUUUUUUUAUUAUGAUGUUUGUUAAAAUUUCAUGCGAAAGCAGCGAAACAUACUAAAACUUCAUUACUCUGAAUUCCAAACGAGACGUAUUAAGAUUAGGAUUGAAUUUUUCAGAUGUGACACAAUACAUGUAGGAAGCUUGGAUGGAAUAGUACCGUACAGGCGUACAUUGGUAGAAAAUUAAGGUAACUAUCCAAACUUCCAUCAUUGAAUGGUUUACACACCACCCUCUACGUACAAUUUCUAAUCUGUUUGCACCUGAAGUUAGAAUCUUCUAACUUUCUAUGAUCUAUCAUUUUCACAAAACCUCUGGUUCCUUGCUUUGCUAAAAUUGGUAUCUACAAUUAAACUCUAACCUAACUUGCUAGCUUGAACAUUUACAUGACAGAAAAGUCAUCAUCAAGGCCGUCUAGUUCUCCUUUUACACUGUUUUGUUGAAUGAUUAAAACUGAUGUUCUGACUGAAAAUUCAGAACCCGCAAGAACAUCACCAAUCGGACCCAACUCCGGACACUGCUGCCAGUCAUUCAUCCCAAACGUCAAAACUGUAUUCACCCUUUCCCCUCUUCCCACUAUUAUAAGUGAGUACUGCCCAUCUAAUGCCAUCAAGGUAUUAUAAGUCUCAGAAGAAUUGGCAAGAUGCUUCUCCAUGUAAGCAACUUGCCCACAUGCAACAUGUCUCUCGUAGAACUUAGCAAAGCACUCAUCAUCAAACUUCAUUUCCUCUUCUUGUAGAGCACGGCUGACCGGGUAAUGGCCAGGUCUACUUGACGCAUUUGUGGUAGUGUCCACCAAAAAUCUUAAGAUGGUGAGUUUUACACCAGGAUGUCGUGCUACAAGACCGGCAUAGGCGAGUGCUUCUCUAUCAUCUUUUCCACCAAUGAAGAUGACAGCCAUAUCGAUAGAAUGAUCAUAAGAUCUUGAUAUUUUUUCAAUCAUUCCAAAACCUCUGUCUACAAGAAUUCCUAUGGAGCAUGGAGCAUUUUUGAGGACCUGUUAAUACCAUAGUCAUCAGUAACUGGUCAAUGCGAAGUAGAAGAGUAUUCUAAACUACAUAUAUAUGUCCAUGAAAGAUAACCAAUGUAUCCAAAAGGUUGUGAAUAUAUAGGCUUCUAAGCUAGCUAGAGCAUACACUUAAAGGAGCAAACCCUGGUCUUUGAGCAGAUACUAUGUUGUAGUAACUAAUUAUAGUGGUGUAUCUACAUAUGCAAGUAAAAUUUGCAUAAAUGAGAGCAAGUAAUACAGCCUGCUCAGAGUUUACAAGGUUAUGUGGUGAAUCAUUGUUUAGCAGGAUUGUAUGUUUAUGCUUUAAGAUGGGAAGUGAUCCCGUGAAAGUGUUCUGGAAUAUGUUUUCAGCUAUAAUUGUACAAACAGUACAAACUGUAUAUAGAUUCAUUCCAAAUACGAUCAUGGUGUUAAAAUUCUUGAACUGCUAAAUAUGUGACUGUUAAACAAAAAACAGAGAGAGAAGCAGUAUUCUGUUGCACAUUACCUUACGGUUCACAAAUCUGAAACCAGAAUGACCGCCAUCUAAUGUCCCAUCUGCACUUUGUGUCUUGUGAAAUGGCAAUAUGAUGAGGGCCACCGUCGAGUCCUCAGCCAAAACGCAUAUAUCUUGGGGCAUGCCAUUGAAAGUCGAGAGUGCAAGCAAUCGUCCUAGUGUAAUACCAUUAUCGUCUUCUUCUACAUAGGAUUGAAUUGCAGCAGUGACUUGAGCUCUCAUGUCUGUUACCGCCUUUUCAGUCACAGUCAUUGUGUUCACUCCUUGUUCUUUAACUAGUGUUGCUGCUAUUUGGUCCGUAAGUUCUAUCAUGUCUGUUACAAAUACUACAACUCCAGGGUCUGCUGUCCCUCUACAUAGCUCAAUGAAGUUAAUCGCAGUACGCACAUUUUGUGGCCCAUGAAGGCAUAGUAAUAUGCGUAGUUCGCUUGAGGGGUCAAGCAACUGAAGUGACAUCCGAUGAGUGGGUGCUCGUCUCCUUGCACGCUUAAUAAUUUGUGCCACAACUGACGGGGCGUGCACCACAGUGAAAAAAAUAGCUAUUACCAUCACAGUACUGGUUGAAGUAGAGGUUUUUCCAUACUGCAGUUGAUCAAAAGAGCAAAGAAAACAAAGAUCAUUAUGGUUCAAAAUGUGACAGUAAGAGGAAUAUAUCAAUAUGCAUGAGAAUGAAUGUUGUAUUUGGUAUUUGUAAGAUAACUACAGUUCUGUCACUGGGUUCAAUUUAAACAUACACUAUUUAUUUCCAAUACGAACACAUACAUUACUUGGCCUAACGGAACAGAAAGAAUUCAAUCAGUUUUCUAUUGACUCAACUUGUUCAGCUUCAUUUUGGAAGAGACAUUGCGAACAUUGUUAGUUGAUCAAGUUAUCUUUUAUAAUUGUUCAUGUAAAAGUGUAAAUUGAAACAAAAUUCUCAUGCAUUUACUUUCAUACCAUGAAAAAGACAAGAAAAUUUUAAUGAUGUAUCGUACUUAUAGAACUUUCAGCUAGGAUUGGAUGGAGAUGCAAAGAACAUGAAGUUUAAACUGUGUCAUAACUCAAGAAAUGAAAUGCUUCAUUCAGGAAUUAGUUUACAUGGAAAUUGGGCAACAAAAACCAAGGACAUGGGAUAAAAGCAGAGGUGUCGUACUAACCGAUUUUGCAGCAAUGGCCAAGUAUAUAUGAAAAUGGCCUUUGGUUGUGAGAAGAAGCCCUAGUGCAACAGAUUCAGGCCAGUUAAACCCCAAGAGGGCUCCAGAGAUGACUGUUCCUAAAACUUUUCCGACUGUUGCUAUAGCAAAAACAACAAAUAACCUUGCCCAUGUCAUCCAGUCAAGAGGCUGGAAUUCUGCAAAAUAAGCUUCAUACCCCAUCCAAAAGAAAAAAAUGGGAUAGUAUAUGGUACUCAACAAGUAGUUGAUCUUGCCUAUCACCCACUUUGACACUCUUCCUUCCCUUGGUAAAAAGAUUCCUGCCAUAAAUGCACUCAAAAUAGAACUGUACCCAAAAUAUGAUGGGCAGGCCACAGCGAAGGCCAUGAAAGCCAUAGAGAGGACUAGAUGUGAGCCUUUCAUGGGUUUGCCUUCGGGGUUUUCAUUGUUAACCCAGUUCAUGAAGAUUGGUGAAACAAAGGCUGUAAAAACUGCCGUGAUCAACAAUGCAAUACCCAUCUCAAGGGAUCUAUGAAGGCUGCUUUUUUUAUCUGCAUCUUCAACAGGCCAAAUGACAAAGCCAAUGGAGAGGAGAAGAGUGGCUAUAAAAUCAGAGUGCAUUCCUGUAGCAAUGACGAGCUGGCCUAUGUCUGACUUGCCUAUUUUGAGACUAGUUAUUAUUCGUGUCAGUACAGGCGAAGCCGUGCUCGAAAGGACCAUGGAGAGGGAGAGAGUGAAGUCAAUCUUAAAACUUUCUGUAUAGUGCAGAAAUGGGGUUAUUCCACAGGCUAGGAUGAAUGUGGAGAGCAUACCAACAUAGGCCACUUUCGCGUCUUUGGUUGGUAGUUUCAAAAGCACAUAUGGAUCCAUUUCUAUUCCUAGCACAAGCAUGUAGCCAAUCAUUCCAAAUUCAACCAGGUAACGCAAUAUAUGCUUUGAUGACUGUGAUAAAACACCACGUAUGAACCCUAUGUUUCCGAUGACUAGUCCUACCUGCAUUACAUAAGAGAUAAGAACUUAAUCACCAUAGAAGGCCGUGCGAUACUGUAGAAAAGAAAACAGCAUCUAAAUCAACAUUUCAUAUUUAAAAUGAUUAGCAAGUGAACACUUUUGUGAGUCUCUCUUGAUUCGGAUCAAAAUUACUGAUACUCAGAAGGAUGCAUAUGAAGAAAAAGAGUGCUUCUGUUUGUGGUUUAGCACACCACAUAGCAUGUAAAACUAUUUCUCCAUGAAACCCUAAACCAAUUAAAAUCUGGGUUGCUUGCAACUCAAGUUUCUGCAGAGAACAUUUACCCUAAUUAACACAACUGGUAUUUUCAUAAACGGUUUAAAUUACAAUGUUGGGUUCCAAUAAUGAGCAAUAGGGGCGCUUGUCUAAUAUUCAAUAAAAAAUUUGAGAUUGCCAACCUCAAAAAAUAAGGAAAAAAGAGAAGAAAGGGAGAGAGACUCACAAAGGUAUCAGAGGUAAUGCGAGGCUGGGAAUAAGGCUUUAGCAGGUAGUGCGAAAGAUGACAGAGAAUGUACAUUAAGAAGAAACCUGCAACAUGAAUGGCUACAUGUGUGAUAAGCUUUGUUAAUUGUACUGAGCAUCCAUCAGGAAUGUCAUUUGUAUCAACACCACCCUCUUUUCUGUUUCUCACCUCCAUUUUCUUCAACCCCUUUGCUUUCUUCUUUGGGUUUUCUAUUUCCCCAAAGAUUUUCUUUUUCUUUUUCUUUUUCCCUUUCUCAAAAGUUUGCAAAUGAUUUGUGCCACCAUUGUUGUUUGUCUGGACCUUGGCUUUUCGCAAAAUGAGUUAGCGGCUCUAAUCAAUUGCCUUGUUUGAGGAGAAAUUGAAGGAGAACUAGUAGAAAUUCUGAAAUUGUACGACUUUUAAAAAAUUAUUGGGAACAUUUUAAUUUUGUUUUUUUAAAUUUCUUUUGCGUUUGAUACCAAGGGGAAAAAUUAUUUUGGUUUCCAUUGCUACUGAUUGGUCUGAGGUGGGAAUUUUGGUUGAAGAUCUUAAAGCUAUUAUGGGAUAGGCAUCUGUUUCUGCUAUAAUACAUGUAAGAAUAGAACAACAGCUAAUCAAGUGGCGCACCUCUUAGCUCAAAUUGCAUCACAUAGGCGUUCCCAAUAUUUGUACCUACCCCUUCUCAUGAUGCAUGCUUGAUCAUUAAGGAAUUUGAACCAUUCUUUGCAAAAGAAAAAAAAAGAAAAAAAAUAUGGGCAUAGCAACUGCUAUAUUUCCUUCAUUUCUGUAAAAUCUUGAAUGGGCUAGUUAAAUUUCUCUGAGACUGUUUUGUGAGUUGGUACUUGGUUCUUCCUGUGUAAACAGGGAGGUGGAGAAACUGAUGGUUACAAAUUGACACACAUAUUUUCAUUUCAAACUAUCAAAUGUAAUACCAGCUUCAAGUACACAGCAGCAUGCACUUCUACCACUUCACUAGCAACGGCACACUGUGGGUUAACCAAAAUUAUGGACAGAAUAACCAAAACAUAUAGCUGCACACUGUAGUUUAAAGUUUAAGCAAUGUCAAAAGGGCAUAAAAAGAAGCAAGUCUAAGAAUAAUUUGGACAUCUAGCUAUGUCUUAGAAACAUAAGAAACAAAUGAAGUCCUAAAUGUAAAACAGAAGUCCCACACAGCCAACAUGCCCAAACUGAUCUUCAUUAUUUUUACAUUAAGCACAGGUUACUGAGACUUCUUCGACCCUUGCCUUCUCCGCAUUUUCUGUCCACCAGGAUGAUCAAGCUUCACCAGUAAAAAACAAAGUCAGCCAUGACCAACUUUCCUAUCUUGAAAAAUAUGCAAUGAGAGGGAGUGCAAAGACAGACAUUACAGGCUCAUGAACUUGAACUUAAUAUAUAUAUAUAUAUAUAUAUAUAUAUAUAUAUAUAUAUACGUACGUNNNNNNNNNNNNNNNNNNNNUCACCUGGGCUUCUUUGACAAUAGAGGCACUACUAGACUCCUUUGAUUCGAGAGUAGAAUAAACAGCCUCACAGAAAACAUUAAGACUUUCUAGUCUCUUUUCCAUCUCUAGGCGAGUUUUGUGCAGCUUAAUGUUGGCCGCCUUGUCGGACCUACUCUCUAGCUCGUCCAACAUACGCUCUGAUUCUGUCUGCUCUAUUUCCUUAUUCUUCUUAUAUUCAGCAUACUGAACUCGACUCCUGUCAUAAAUCUCCUUUAGCUGCAAAUAAAGCUGGAAAGAUAAAUGCUGGUUUUCGUAUCAAACAUACCGUUGCACAUAAUACUUGAAUCCCUAAAGCAACUUGAGCAUGGCAGAUUGCUGCUAGAGUCAUGACCUAAGUAGAAAACAAACAGAACUCUCAGUUCAACAUAUCAUACAUUGAAACUAGGAACAGACCAAUGCCAUAGUCUGCAUUGAGGAGAUAGAAGUCUUACCUCGGAUUCAUGCUGCUCCGUACGCUUCAAGGACAUGCUCAGAGCCUCGAGUUCCUUUUCAAAUUUAGAUGGUAGGGUCAAAUUACAAUCUACUUGAAUUGUUUUGUGAGGGCAGCUGCAGCUCUUUGUUUUGCCUGUUCCGCAAGCUUAUAUUUGUCAUGCAAGCACUGAUUCUUUUGCAAUAGCUGCAGCGUUUCUUCCUGGCAUUCAUUAAUCUGCCGCAAAAGCAUUAGUUUCUAUAACUCUAUAACUACUCACUCAAGGGUGAUACUUAAUUACUUAUAACAUACAUAUGAUCAAAUAUAAUCAUAAACCUUGUUUUUAAGCUCCAAAACCUGGUCGUUCAUGCUGGACAUCCCGCCCCUUCCUAUCAGAAAAAAAUUAAGGCAUUAAAAAAACCCUAACCUGGAUUCGAUUCAAUUUCAAAUUGACUGCAAAUUUAAAAGGAAAAAAGAGGUUUAUUACGGUAUAUGCAAUGGAUAUACACGAUUACCUAGUUGUUCUCCAGAACUUGAUUGUAUUGUGUAUUUGUGUUCAAAGCGGAACCAGAUCACUGGGAUGAAAGUGAGUCGGGAGAGAAGCAAAUAAGAGAGUCUUGAUUCUGCAACUGUACUCCUUCCUCUCUUCUCAGUUCGAUUUGUUUGUGUCAGUUGAUGUGUAGGGUUUCCAGUCUUGGACUCAGUCGGCCACUCUAGACCCAUGAGUAGUAUUUCUAGGCAAAAAAAUCCUCCCACAAAAUAAUGUAUAGGUUGUAUUUGGAUAGAGUAAUCUCAAUUUAUAUAGAAGUUUCAAAAUCAUGGGAAUUACAAUUCCGUGUAUUCAAAUUCCAUUAAUUAAAAACAUUGUUUGGAUUUCAGGACAUAUAGUUUUAAAAUGACAAGAAUUAAUAUUUAAUCAAAAAUAAGGGUUUUUUAGGGUUUAGGUUUAUGGCUUAUUAAUUAGAAUUCUCAAUUAAUGGAAUUUAAAUUCAUGGAGUGUAAUUCCCAUGAUUUUGAAAUUUAUGUGGAAAUUGAAAUUACUUUUACUUUAUCCAAACACAACGUGAUGGAAUUGAUAAAUGACGCCUAUGUUGUGAGAAAUUCAAGUCGGGAAUUUAAGCUCUCAAAUUCUACGAUUAUUUUCCAUUGAGAAUUGCUAAUUUCAUACGAUAGGAGUCCAAACGCGGGAAAAAGAUCUAUUUUUCUUUAAAUUCCCUCGCUUCUUCCCUCUUCCAAACACACUGUUGAGAGAAAGCGAAAGAGCUGGGGUUUCGAUCUGUUUAGAUAUAAAUAUCCGAUUGGGGUUUGCGUUCCCAAUUGGGAUUCAUUUCCGUAAUAUUGGAAUAGGCUAGGGUUUUGUUAAAAAUAGGGGAACGAUGUCCAUGGAGGAAGAGGUUUUGAAGCUCAAAGAGAAGGUUUGGUUUGGUCUAUUGUUAUUAUUACUAGCGGUAUCCGAUCUCUAAUAUUACUAGUUUGCAUUAUUGGGUUCUAACAAUUGGUGCUACUGCAUCUCCUGUCAGCUCUCUCAAUGCCAACUCGAAAGGGAUCGGCUCCGGACCCAGAACGAGACUUGGGUGAUCAAGGAGAAACUUAUCACGCAGGAAAAAGAACAACUAGAUCAGAGAAGCUCAGAGUUGAAAUAGAAGCGAAUUUGUGCGCAACAUCUGAAUUUGAGACAAAGAAGAAGCCUCUCAAGGAGGCCUUGGACGCCAAAACCGAGAGUCUACGUCAGGUAAGUUAGAGAUGUACGUAUACAUGACUCUGGUCAUGCUAGUUUAGUCACUUCUAAAUAUGCUUUUUUUUGGCAGCUACGAGAGGCACUCAAAGAGUUUAGAGAUACUCAUGAAUUGGCUUAUAUGGAAGCACGAUCAGCCAUUGCCGAUGAAAGGAUUGAUAGAGUGUAUGAUAUCCCAAAGGCAGAGAGAAAAAAGCUGGCCGAGCUACGUUCAGAGAUAAAUGAGAAACGGGACAAAUUACUUGCUUUUCUUAAGAUGUGUGUGAAACAUUCAAAGAUCACUACUGAUGAUGUAAAACCUUUGCUCCGAGUCCAUUAUGAUGCAUAUAUUGACACACUCAAGACUGAUGUUGAUGAUGGCGCUGUGGGAUGUUAAGAAGGUAUGCGCGUCGUGUUCUACAACCCGGUUUUGCUCAGAAGCUAUAUAAAGUGAUGUUUGCCGGGGGUCGAUUUGAUAUCUCCAAUUUCACCUGCAAUUUCAUUUACUUUUAACAUCUUCGUGAGGAAAGAGAGUGUCCAAUGGUUCUCUAAGAACGCAAGUCUGCUACCGAUUAACAAGGUCAUAUAUUUUGUGCACAAUGACACUGGUACUGUUUGGACUACUUUUUAGGACAUUCUCAAUUCUCUCUGUUUUUGGUUUUUUCACUCAGAAGUCAGUUUUUGGAUGUGGUGUAAGCGACUUUCUGAUGUGAUUUUACUGGUGAAGCAUAAACAUCCUGUAAGAGGAAGAGAGGACGACGAGUAUGAACAUCCUGUCCAGGCCGGCCUCAAUAGCAUAGAAGCUUUGGAACUUUUUUUUUUUGAAACCGGAAGCUUUGGAACUUUAUUAUAAAGUAAAAAGAUGAGGACAUGUUGGAGUCUGCCUCCCUCUCCCUCUAUAUAUAUAGAGAUUUUCUCAGCUGCGGACGUCUGCACCGAUUUUUUGGUGCGGAUUUCUAUUUUUACACCACUUUCCGAUCGAAUUUCCUUAAACUUUCUUCUAGACAUAUCUAGAUCAUCAUGUGUAGAUCAUCUCUGCAAAAUUUCAGCCAAUUUGGUGAUCGUUAAGGCCCUCAAAAUCGAAAAACAAAUUUGACGGACUAAAUUCUGUCCGAUUCAGGUAUAUAACAGAAAAACGCAAGUUUGAGGGUCUUAACGAUCACCAAAUUGGCUGAAAUUUUGCAAAGAUGAUCUACACAAGAUGAUCUAGAUAUGUCUAGAAGAAAGUUUGAGAAAAUUCAAUCGGGAAGUGGUGCAAAAAUGGAAAUCCGCACCAAAAACUUUGGUGCUUUGGUGCGGACGUCCCAUAUAUAUAUAUAUGAUUUCAAGAUUACGAUUAUAGUUUUGCUGCGGUGCUUACUAAAUUAGAAAACUAUUUCUUUCAAAAAAAGAAGAAAAGGCAUGGGUUGCAGGCUCGCAGCACUACUCACCCCCACCCUGGACAUGUGCCUCAGUACCUGAAUAUAUGUAACCUUUCAAAGUUUAUACACCAACCAUGACAUGUUGAGCACUGUACACCUACAACUAGUCAAGUACUCCCACCCUACUUUGGUGUCUGAAAUAUAGCCAAUAAAAGGUAUGUCAUAAACCUCUCAAAGUUUAUACGUCAUCCAUGAUGGCACACUAUAUAUCUACUAAGAUCUCACUAAUAUUAUCUAUCCAAAAAUAAAUGGCGGUACUGUCAUCCAAAAACAAAAUUGUAUCCAAUAACGAUGAAUCUGCAGACUGCUUGCUCAUCUACAAAAUCACAUCUCCCAUGCCAAUCACUGCCUAUAACAGAAUAAAUAAUAUAUAUAAGCAGCUGAACAAAACACUAGUAGAACUUUCAGAAAUAUUCAAGCAAUUGCGUUAAGUAAAUACCUCAGAAAAAGCUCGACGAUAACUAGAUCCCCAAAAUAGGCUCGACUAGAAUUGUCAUUGCAACCGAAUACGAGGUAGUACAGAGAGGGAUCCAGAAUGUGGCAAACAGUCUGCCAUGUGUAGUAUGGAAGGAAAAAUCACCAUAACCGGUGGAGGUCAUAGUCAUCACUGUAAGGUGUAAGAUGACAAGAAUAUCUGCCCAUACAGAUGGAUAAGAAAGAGAUGCACUAAGAUGCUGCUGCUCAGACAAGGAUGUCCUAAGUGCCUCCAGCUCAAAACUAUAUAUCCCUAUCAUCCCUGACAACAGAGUCACCAAGAUCAUUCCAAUAGCUGAAAUAACUCCAUAAAAGAACCUCGUAGGUUCAGGGAUAAACUUCUGACCAAACCAUAGUGCUACGCGACGCAGAAAAUGACUGAUAACAAUCGGCACAAAGUACCCAAGCACGGGCAACAUAUCACAGAGAAUAAGAGCAAGAGCUGACUCGGGAGGAAUAUCACCAAAUCCAACCCCAUGCACCGUAACAGAAGUUGCAUAGUAUGCAUCAGUAGCUGAGCCUACUCCCUUGUCAAUGUCCAUCAUAAAAUGCAUAACAAAGAGACCGGCAAGCAUCCAGAACAUGAACACAUAAACAAGAGACAUAUAAGGCAGCCUGCAAAGUGCACGAAAAAGCAAAUGUUGACAAUUGAAAAUCCAAAUAGGAACUUCCUUAAAUGCAAAUAACAAACCCAGAAGCAAUAAGAAAACAAAAGAGGAUGGGAAGGCAAGUACUGGAUGAGAGUAUUAAGUAAGUUUACAUCUGAUCAAAUCCUACGGAUAAGACUAGAGGAGAAUUGUGGUGUUCUAAUUAUGAAGUGUUGGAUAGGUUUAAAUAUAAAGUUUGUAUAUGUUAUAACAAGAAAAACCUGUGUUCCUGUGGUUGAGAGCAUGCAAAGCUAUGGAAUCAGCUACUGAAUCAGCUAGAUAUACAACGCUACUCACUAGCUGUGGCAACUUUGAAUGGUAAGAGAUGAAGUAAUCUUUAAACAUAUUACCCCCUAACCCUGCAUCAGUAGUGACAGCUCUUACCUUCAAUCCACUAUCAAGUGGAAACCUCCUAGAGGUUUCAUCAUCAGAAACUGUAAUGGUAGAGAGUUGCAGCUACAAAAGGAAUGGGGAAAACUACUGUCCCGUAGUUGAAGGCUUGAAGCUAUAGCUUUAUGUAUGCUAGAAUGUGUUGAGUUGGUUCUUUCAGAAGCUUUACUGAGAAUGUAUCUUAUCUGCUAUAGAAAUAGCUUACAAGAAAGUCCUAAGAAUGAUUCCAAGUUUACAAGAAAGUCCUAAGAAUGAUUCCAAGCUUACAAGAAAGUCCUAAGAGUCUUGCAAGAGUCAUCAAUUUUAUGAAAAAUAUUAUGAGUCUAGUGCCUACAAGAGUCUUGCAAGAAUGAGCCUAAUGCUUCUAAAUCUUGGAAUUUCGGAAACCAUAAGUAAUACACAACAGUUGAUUACAUGAUCUAACAUCUCAUUUUGGUCAAUACAUGAUCUAAUAUGAACUUCCACAAUUUAUAUAUAACUCAAGUGCCAGAGAAUUAUAGGUUUGAAAGAAAUACCAGACAAGAGAAUCCAUAAAUUCAGAACUUACUGAGCAGACGCCUUGGGCCCCUUUUUCUUUGGCCGAGUUUUCUUUCCAGCAAGUCUGGCUUUGCAAUCAUCCAGCUCUUCAUCUCUUUCCUUGAGCGUGUUCCGGGUCUCUUUCAGCUGUCUACUGAGAUCUCUCACAUUGUUGCGCAACUCCUUGACAGUCCGAAUCAGUCUACGAAUUUCCACCUGCAAUACCUCUGCAUCUGCUUCCGCCAUGCCAAGAGUUAGGGUUUACAGAGAGAAAUGGAGGUUGCGUGAGACGAGUUAGGGUUUUACUCAGAAACGGAGAUUGGGGAUUAUGGAGCUCGGAUUCGGACCAAAACGCAAAGCUCUGCGUUUUGCUCAAAUCCGCGCUCCGCGUUCACAAACUCCGCACCUGAGAAUUUCACCAGUAUUGGGAUGCAAAGCAGCCGAGGGGGUAUAUAUUAAUUUUGUUUGGGGAUUUGGGUCCUCAUCGUAUCCCUUUUGUUAAUCCAGUUUUUAAUACCGGACAAUAUGUUGCAAAAUCCGUGUCCAACACGUCAUGUGGCGUGUCUAAAAAAGUUGACUUUUUGAACACUUUUUCGGACACGUUGACCAGCUCCGACAUGCCACGUCAACAUUUCAGAAUUUAAAAAAAAAAAAAAAACAAUUAGCUAACUGGGACGCGCAGCACUAGCAGAGAUAGAUUCGAUCUCUUGACUCUUCUCUCCUUUGAUUCAAUCUCUUGACGCAGCAUGCGUAGCCCAUCGGAAAACUGUUUUAGCUCCUUCGCGACGGGUGGUUCUAAAAACGAGCUUGACUGGAUCAAGUCAUCGGGUAGAGCGGCGAGUUCAGGAUUCAAAGUUGUAGUGGCUUGAUGCGCCAACACUGAUGAACACAACAGCCUUGUGAGCUUGGGAGCAAAUUUGAUCACCGAUCGGGGCUUCAAGGAAAAGAUUGCAGAUGGAAGAGAAAGGGAGCAGCUUGUGAUGACUGGUGAGAAAGACAAUAUUCCAUGUGAUUUGAAACUAAAAUUUGAUUUCAGUGUGAAGAAAAGAGGUGGAUUGUUUCUGUAUCCAGAAAGAAAAGAGGUGGAUAGGAUUGGGUGGGGUUUGAUCAGAUACAGAGAGAGAGAGGGAUAUUGGGUCAGGAAUAAAGAGAGAGAGCGGUUGCGUGUGUUCUCACGCAAAGAAAAAAAAUAACCUAAAAAUAUAUUAUAAUUUUUUAUUUCAUCUUUUUAGUAUUUUUUAUAUAUUAAAAAUACAUAAAAAUAUGUAUUAUUUGCCGUGUCCAAGCCGUGUCGGAUCUUGAGUUUUUGGGAUUUGCCGUGUCGCCGUGUCGCUCCGUGUCGUGUUGUCGUGUCCGUGUCCGUGUCCGUGCAACAUAGCUCGACAUAUAUGUAGCGCUGACAUUGGUAGGUAUACUGACUUUGUAUACCAAUAUGACGAAGUAGUAUCAAGAGAAAUUCUUCAUCGAAGUACGAUAGCAUAUUCAUGUACUUGUUACAAUAUGCUUGACUCGACAUCUCAUUCACGGCCAAGUUCUCCUUAGUCUUUCAACUCUUUUCCUAACGGUCGAGCAGCUUCGCUCCCACUUAGAUGAGUGUGAAUAAAUGUCAAGGUAGUGGCUCGAUGUGCCCAUGUAAUGCCAAUGUAAUGGCAGUAAUUCCUUCUAUGAAGGGUUUAGGCUUAUUCAUCCCUACAGAAAGAUACAUCAAAGACAAAUCAAAAUAUGCCCAGUUUCGUAGGUCAAUUUCCACGGGACCUACAUGAUAGCCCAUUCGUUCUAAAAUGGUGAAAUUAGUACCAUUGGAAAGGUUUAUGUGUCUACUUUUCAGGAACACCAACCAUUUGAUUACACUUGUCAUAUUGGGUGAGUUAUGACUAUUUUCGUAAAGUAAGACGAAUCUGUCUGCAUAUCUGCUUUUGUAGAAUUGUCAACUUCGACAGAGCUUUAUGAUCGGCUCAGAAUAUGGUUGGAAAACUACGGGUGUCUAGUUUCUAAAACUUUUUACAGUUUGUCCAUACCUAUUGUAUGGAAGAAGUUAUGACUGGUUAAGUACAAGAAGGUCAUGCCACGCGUGAAUAUGAUUUUUAACACGAACUUAUGUUUUGAGUUGUUAGACAACCUUCUCCUUAAAGAUAAAAAAUAAUGCUAAGUAUAGCAUGUAUGAUCUAAGGACAAUGUGGCUGGAUUUAAUGACUAAAUCGUUGUCCAAGUCUACUUUUAAGUCUACUUUUAAAGUACGUAAAUUGUAUUGGGUUGCGUUGUUUAUCUAAACUUCGAGAUUGAGUUAUCAAUCAAGGGAAGUCGUUGUGUAGACAUCAGGGAGAGUCUACAUCACAUGUUUGCUUCAAAUAUAAUUGACGCGUUGUGCUCUUUUUACCUUCGUGAAAGUCUUUUGUUUUACCUAUAAGGUUUUUAUUUUACUUGAUAAAGUUUUUACUGAGACAAUACCAUAAACACCGUAACGUAUUAGGAACGUAACACAAGAGAGAUUAUGUUUUUAUUAUUCAGUCGGUCAUGUGUAGUGCCCUGAUACAUGUAGGAUCAGGUGAUUCGUUUUCCUAUUAGAAUAGGUGACAGUAUUCUUACAGGGUACUGAUGUUAGAUCGAAUUGACUUAAAUGGGUAUAUAUGCUCUCACAAAUAAAUGCUUUUCAUCGCAAUCGCAGAAAACUGACGCGAGUGAUCGGCGCUAAGCACAGAAACGAGAGAGAGGGGAAUUCCGAUUAGCCGGAUUUGGGAAUUCCGAUUCACGUCCCUGGUAGCGGUUUCUCUACAGAGAUAGAAAUCAGAUCGAGUCACGGCCAGGGUUUUGGGGAUUCAAUUCAGCGUAAUACCGGAAUUCGGAUCAAGUUGAGGUUAUAGGGUUCGAAUUGGGUAGUUUGAUUAUAGGGGAAGGAUGUCAAGUGAGGCAGCUGGCCCCAUGGACGUUGACGAAGAGGUUUUGAAGCUCCAAGAGAAGGUUUGCAAAACUGUUGUUUAUUAUUCGAUCUCUAAUAUUACUACUAGCUAAGUAGCUAGAUUUCAUUAGAUUAUUAUGCAUUCACUUGUAACAAUUGGUGGUGUCAGCUUUGUCAAUGCCGACUCGAAAGGGAGCGGCUCUUGCAAGAGAAAAAGAGAUGGAGGAUCAAGGAGAUACUUGUGCAGCGGGGAAUAGAGAAAGUAGAAGAAAAACUCAGAGUUGAAAUAGAAUCGAAUUCGGGUGCAACAUCUGAAUAUGAACAAAAAAGGAAGACACUCGAGGAGGCCUUGGAGACCAAGAAGAAGAGUGUACUUAAGGUAUGAUUUCUUUGGACCAUCUCAUUAUGUUAAGUGCAAUAUCUGGUGCUAAAUAUGCUUGGACAUCUCAAGUUUCAACUUUCUGGUUUGAUGCUUUUUUGGCAGCUACGAACCGCUACCAAAGAGUUUUUUGAUGAUACUGAUAUGCCUUAUAUGGAAAUGGAAGCAGAACUAGAAAAGGAAAGGGAAGAGUAUGGUAGAAUGGUUGAUGAAUACGAAUACAUAACUGAUCGCUUAAUAGCACACAGACGUAUUGUGCGCAAGCUAGAAUCACAGUUACAUGAGGAACGGAACAACUUGCUUGCUUUUCUUGAGACUUGUGAGGAAAACUUAAAGAUCACUGAUGAUGUAAAACCUUUGCUCCAAGCCCACUAUGAUGCAUUUAUUAACACACUCAAGAGUGAUGACGAUGAUUGGGACUGGUUUAUAGAGGAGUUGUAUGAUGCUCUACAACUGGAUUCUGAUCACAACAGACAUGAGAUGUUUCCCAGGGUUGAUUUUAUAUCUCCAGUUUCUGCUGCAAUGUCAAAAAUUUUAAAUUUGUUCAGAAGAAAAAAGACGGAGUCCAGUGGUGCUUUUAUAUAUUACGUAAGUUCUACCGACAAAGAUGCUAAGGUGAUAUAUUUUAUGUUCUGAACGCAAUAUUUUGUGUUCAAAUACGCUAUGUUGGUGUGUUAGUAUUUGUUUUUGAGCACAUUAGUGUUCCUCUCUUUUCAUUGUACAUGUUUUUGAUUUUCUUUUUUUAGAACUUAGAAGUUGGUUUUGAAAGUGGAAUUACUGGCUUUCUGAUGUGAUUUCUUCUUUCACUAGUGAAGCGUAAACAUCCUGUAAGAGGAAGAGAGGACGACAAGUUUGAACAUCCUGGCAAGCAUCAAUAUGAAAGAAGAUUUGGGAGUUUAUCAUAACAUAAAAAGAUGAUGUCUGUUUGCACUAUGUCGACUCUAGAUGGAACAAAAUGCGGAGGACAUUGAGAAUAUUGAAUUUUCUCAUAACAGUAACAUGUAGAAAUUUUAGCGUGUUUACCCUGAUCGUGGAGGGUUAACAAGUGCUGCACGAUGGAGGAUUAUUGGUCUAGGCCAACAUAUGUUUCUUUUGGUUGUCCUAAUGUUUCUCAUGUGUGCGGAGUAACUUGAAUUAUUUUAUUUUAUUUUCAAAUUUUCUUAGCCCUUAACAAGAUGCAUAAACCUCUCUCUCUCUCUCUCUCUCUCUCUCUCUUUGUAGUAGUUUUGUAUGUGAAUAGCAUGUGUUCAGGAGAAUUGUUUCUUGGAACUUGUGGUUAUUCAGGGACGAUUGGAGAUGGUAAACUUCUUGCUCGUGUCUUGGGUUUCGAUUUACUUUCUUGCUUUUCAGGUAAUAAUUGUCGAGAAAUUUUAAGUAUUAGAUACAAAAUUAGUAUAUUGCUUCUUAUUCUUAUUGGUAAGGUUUGGUUGCAUGAUCACUGAUGUAGUUAUUCAUUUCAGCUGUUAGCUGGAAAUUGAAUAUGUGCAUCCUUGCAUGCGACCGCCCUUUAGUCUCAGUUUAUCACGUUGGCAUGGUAAACUGUUUUCAAAUAAAGAAUUGCCUUUAUUGUAAAAAUGAAUCUGCGGUUGAUCCUGUAAGAAAAGGCAUCUCAUCCACACGGAUAAAUUUUCUAGAUUGAAUUUAAGAAGUCGUACUUCAUUAAUAUGAGAAUUAGAACACAGAAAGAUGUGGAGAUGUGCCUAUGUGGUUUGAGUUGGUACCAGGUUGUUCUUGUUGAUUUUUUUUUUUCCUCUCACUUGUUAUGUACUGGGAUUGGGACAUUUCGGUUCAGUAACAAAAAAAAAAAUAUUCAGAAUCGAGUCUGAACCGAUGAUAAAACUAGAUUGAGUUUAGUCAUUUUGAAAUGCUAGAACCGAGAAGGAUCAAAUCAUUCUGUUUCGGGUUGGUUAUUCCAGUUCCUUGGUUUGCUUUAACCUUCUGGCUUUUGACUUUGUUUCUCUGCAUUUCUGCUUCUUCUAAGGGGUCCUGUUUUUUACAAACCAAUUCUAUAGUGAUUGCAGAAGUUAUAUAUUUUCAGUACAUGCUUUUAUUGAUGUCUGAUUGUUUUCUGUAUUGACUCUUAAAUGGAACCAAAUUUGUCCAACUUGAUCCUUCAUGUUUAGAAUUGUAGAUCACAGUUAUGAAUGUAUUAGUCAUGAGUAUGUUGUCUCGUUACUGAACUCUAGAGAUAACAUGACGAUCAACAUGCCCUUUUCUUAUAUUCUCCCAAUUUCUCUACUGUUUGAAAUAGAGCUGAUAGUGAGUUAGAUUGCUAAAUCUUAGGUUAUACUUCUAUCUACUUCCAGUAACAAUGGUGGAAGCAAUGAAUUGUAAAGUUGUCCUGAAAUUUUACGUUUUGUUUUCAAGUCAUACAAAAGACCCAAAACAAGACGAUAAAAUAAGCCAUGACCUAUAGCCACCAGUAAAUACAUUCAGAUCCAUCAACCUCCUCGAUCGGUUACCCAAGCUAGUUGUGGAAGGUGGAGACUCUGUAAUUAGAGAUGCUUACACUGUAGUAGUGUAGACUCUAGUGGUUUGUGUAAUCCUGCACUGCAUUGUGCACAUUCACAUGUGGCCGGUGAAUCGGUGCAUAUAUGUUUGCUUGCCAAAUAAUAUGCUUUUGUGUUAUUGAUUGCAGGUCAGUCAGUGUUCUUUGGAACUUCUGGACUGCCAGGGUCAUAUGUUGAGCAAAGAGCUUAGCCAGAGUAUUUCUAUUUCCUGUGUUUUGCAAUCAUAUUUGUGAUUGAAAUCCGGCCGAUCAAGCCAUCUUAGAAAACCUUGAUGUUUAGGUUUUGACGUCAAUUAAUAAGAGUAUGUAUAUUAAAUGAGAUCGAGUUACCGGAAGAAUGCCUGAAAACAAACAACAAAACUCUCCUUGAGCUAUCAGAGUACUAACUAGUUUUCGGCUAAGCUAGAGAUCAAACUCAGUGCCACCUUAGGCUGAACUCCCUGAAGUUUUCUGUUAUGAUGCCCUUGUUUCAAUUUAUUUAUUUUUUGGUUUGAAAUUAAACAGUGAGAUGAAUUGAAACAAGAAACGAAACUCUAGAUGCAAAGGCAUGCUACACGGUGAAGGCAGCUUAGCAGUGUUCAUGUAGGUGACUUACCUGCUAUCUGACAGUAACUCCAGAAGAACUAGAGUGAGCCAAAAAGCUCUUAAACAACAUUCCUAUAAUAAACGUACAUCGUAAUGGAUAAUUAGAAGCGAGGAACAAAUUUACUGUUUCAAUUUUUAUAUCUGCCGACUGAUCUGUAAAAAGUAUGGAUGAUAACCAACUAGGCUUCACAAGCUGUAUAACAUGGUAAUUUUAUGAAGUGGAAUCUGAAAUGCUGAGAAAUAGUCAAAUGCUCUUAGCAUAGUAAUUGGUUAAGUUAGGUGAUCGUCCAAAGGGAUUGCAACUGGUAACCAUUGUAUUAUUGUGCACAACUCCAAGUUCUAAUUGUCAAAAGAAAUUUGAAUACAGAGCUAAGAAUGAACAGAAUAACCGUUUUGUUUUCCUUUCAUUCCCAGAUUUUCUAAACCAGACCCAAGCAACGGUAGGCUUUAAUAGCAGUAAUAGGGGAAAGAGAAUCAGACCCACUCAGCUGUUAAGCAGAGACAAUUGAGUUCACUAUUUGUACGAAUCAUUCUAGUAGAUGCCGCCUUCAUCAUUGAGGUCUUAUUGAUGUAAUUUUUUGCCAUCCUCUACCCUCCGCCCCUGCCAGCAUUCUAUUACUUUCAGGCAUAUUUUGCUGGUCUUGGAGAGGGGCAAGGGGAACCAAAUGUGGUACACCAGAAAGUUUCUCCUGAUCAAGAAUAGGCCAGAUUAGUCAACAAAUACUUUGGGAUUGUCUAUCUCUAUAUCAAAUUAGAUUAUACAUUAGAUUUAAUUAACUAUAUCCUACUAUAAACCUUUCAUUGUGUGAACUGUUAACUGUUAAGUGUAUUUCAUUUGGUUUUUUUUUUUUUUUUUGGGUUAGUUUUGGACUUCACAUAUAUGCAUGAGCAUGAAUAUAAAGAGGAUGGUUUUGCUGGUUGCAGCCAAGAAAAUCGACAAACCAGUUUAGCUCCCAUUUCUAUCGGUCAUUCUCAGUUUGGAUUUCGUUUGUGUGUAUGAAAUGAUGGUGAAAGACAAGCAAACCAAAAUACAAUUUUAAUAUCCGUGUCGCCUCAACCUAAAUAUGCAUGUUCACAGCAAAACAAAAAUUAAACUCUUUUUUUUAGAGACAAAAACUUUACCCAAAUAUGCCAAGUGUGCUCCUGAUCAAAGUUUGCUGAAAGGAAGAGACCAAAGUGAUUCACCUUUCAUCCAAAAUCAAUACCAUUCAGGCUGCUCUCUGAACCGAAAUUCACAGCACACUGCCAAAAAGGAAAUAACAACAUCAGCAUAUGAUUCAUAACAACUUGAAGAGCCUUAGUUAUGCAUAUGAUGCAGCUUAGUGUGUUGAUUCUAAGAAUGCAACUAAGACACCCUAAAUACAUUCUUCCUCAGUAUAGCAUAACAAAUAUAUAUUUUAAAUAACUUAAGACACAUAGAAACAAUAUGGGGAAUAACCUUCUUUUGUUCCUUUCGGUCCCAAGGUCAAAUCAUAACAACGACUGUAUAAGUUUUAGGUGGUCUAAGCUAAAGAAUUAGCAGGGAUUCCAAGUGGUUAGACUUUUAGAUAGUUUCUUCAAGACUUCAAAUUCCACAGCGCACAUAUCUAAAUCAACUGAUUCAAUGUUUCGGCUUAAACUCCAGUUACUUGGUCUCCAAAAAUUUAUAUCAAAGCAUAGUCUGAUGAAACUUCACAGCGUCUAAAAUGCUGUGCCUUCUGUACCUACUGCAAAUCAUGUCAAGUAGCGAAACAAAUUCAGAUUGUGGCAGAGUGACGAUUGUGACAUUUCAGAAGGUAGGAAUAUGCAAGGGGAUUGAAAUUUGCACUUCCAUUUUUACAAUCCACACUCCUUUCCUUUUAUAGUAACUUUUAUAUUGUCUUUAUUCAUGUGUCUUUUAUCCUUUUGUGAAAACUUAAAACUAAAAGAGGAAAGACGGAGUGUGGAUUGUAAAAUGGGGAGUGCAAAUUUCACUCCCCAUAUGCAAAUGAGGGGACAUAAUUCAUAAUUUUACAUCUACUUAGUUUGAUUGGUUUCCACUCAAAACACCAAGCAACAAUAAGAUUCUAAUUGAUAAUGUUCCUUUAGCAAUAUAUAGCACAAAGACAUACAUAACCUAGUCCCCUGGAUUACAGUACAAACUAUCACAUAUUGAUCCAAAGAGAGUGCCUGUCAACCUGUCGAGCCUGCCAGGCCAUAACAAUGGUAGAUAGUUUAGGGAAAACAAGGCAAGAGUUGAAGGCUAAUAUCUCUCUCUGAAAAAUUACACCACAAAGACGUCUACUUCAGAACCAAAUGAGAUUCAAUCAGAAACUCACCCAUUGUAGAUUAGUGUUUGCUCCAGUAGGCCUGAAUAUAAUGGGAAAAGAAAUGACUUCAAAUCACCAUAGUAAUCACAGUCCCUCUCCCGAGUUCGGAAGCAUAACCUCCAUACACAUAACCGUCUUUAUCCUUGAUAACGAAUAAGGUUGGCCCUUUAACGUUCUGCACUGCAAUGAAUAAUUACCCAUUCCAAGCAAAACUAGCUGCAGCAAAUGACAACUGGAAUAUAAAUUUGACACUUAAUCUAACUAGGGCAAAGAACGUUGUAAUCUUUAGUCUUUUCAAAUACUCUGGGGAAUUAAAUUAUCUAUUUGGACCCAAGACAAAUGAUGAAAGGAAAGGCUUUGUUGCAUUAUCUCCCUCUUAUUACCCAACUAUUCCAUUACACAAUUACAGACGAAAGUCACAUAGAUCAAAAAUGACAACUACAGAUAUCAAUUUCAACUGUGGAAAUGGAGUCAAGGUACAAACCUGUGAGUUCCUAUCAAUCCAGUGUGUAGCAGCCAAAUCAAGUGGUCGCCCCUCCUUUGACAACCCAAAUUUUUUGGAUUGAUCUCUUCCUCGAAAACUGGAGAUAUCAACUGUAGGUACCAAGGAUGCUGACAGUGAAUCAGGAAACAUGCCCAGCACACAUUUCUCACAUGACAAUCAUUCCCUUGUAAGCCACCCUAAUUUACUCACAGUGGAAUCCAAAAUCAGAUUUACCCCAUCUUUUUUUUACCUUCUUUAUUGAAGGUUUUAACUUAUCUCAUUUUGAUAUUAUCAUUAAUUUUUUUUUUUUUUUUUUUUUUUACGUGUCCUUCCUUUUGUUGGCAGACAUCAGUCUAUUUUCACUAAUUCCAAUGAAAUAUUAACGCAAACAUUACAGGACAGAAGUUUAAAUUGCAGCUAUUGAGGAAAAAUUAGAUUCACUUGAAAAAUGAACCAAAGUGGCGGAGAGAGAAAAACCAGAACAAACAUGAAACCAUAGAGUAGUUUAAAAAUUCAUCGAAAAAUAUAAUUUAAACAAUGUCAAAAGAGCAGUAAAAAUGUCUAAGCAGAAUUUGAACAUCUAGCAAUGACUUAGAAACAUAAUAAACAACUGGAAUCCCAACUAUAAAAGAAAACAAGUAAAAAGACUCGAAUAAUUGCAUAGUUCCUGGUCCAUUAGUCAAAGUUCCACUCACAGCCAACAUGCUCCAAAGAGGUCUUCAUUAUUCCAUGUUAAGUAUCCUAUCGAGACUUCUUCGGAUCUAGCCUUUUUUGCGGCUUCUGUCCAUCUUGUCCACCAGGGUGAUCAAGCUUCACCAAUAAAAAUAUGAAAGUUAGCUAUUCCACAUUCAAGAAACAACUUCCUGUUCUUGGAAAAAAAAAAUGAGAAGGAGAGUAAAGACAACUUUAAAAGACUCAUAAACUUGAACCUAAUCCUCACAAAUCAUAUUGAUAAAAUACAUCACCUUAUCUUCCUUGACGAAAGAGACACCACUAGACUCCUUUGGUUCGAGAGUAGAAUACACAGCCUCACAGAAAGCAUUAAGAUUUUCUAGUGUCUUCUCCAUCAUUACGCGACUUUUGCACAGCCUAUUGAUUUCUGACUCUUGAUCAGACAACCUCUUCUUUGCCUCAUCCAACCGCUGCGCUACAUCUAUCAGGUGCAUUGCGUUGGAUUUCUUAUAUUCAUCAUACUCAAUUUGGAUAUCUGUUAAAGUCCCAUUUAGCUGCAAACAGAAAUCAAUUCAAAAUCAAUGUAUGUACAUGCUUAAAGAAUCACUAAAGCAAAUUCUGAAUAUAGUUUGGAGUAGAAGAUAUAUAUAUACCAGAGUGUGCAACUUGUCCUCAGCCUUCAAGGCCGAGUUGAGAUCCUCGAGAUGAGAUGUUUGGGUGGAUUUACUUGAUAGUUGUUUUCUGAGGUCAGCUACGGCUUUUUGUUUUGUCUGUUCCAGAACAUAACAUUUGUCCGGCCACCGCUGCUUCUCGUGGAAUAGCUGCAGCGUCUCCUCUUGGCAUUUAAUUAUCUGCAUGUCGAUCAUAUCAGUUGCUUAAUUUCAGUACUGGAAUGUGAUACCUAUUUCAUAUAAUCAGAUAUAGAAUCACAAACGUACCUCGUUUUUAAGCUUCGAAACCUCUUCGUUCUGGCCUGACAUCCUGCCCGACCCUAUUCUAUUCUGUUUGAGAAUCGGAAUUAGCUAAAACAAAUCUUCAACGAUCAAUUAAAGACCAAAUCCUAGCCUGACUCGAUCCAAAUUCCAAUAAAUAAAAAAAGGAGGACAUCUUACACGAGGUUGAUCUUGAGAUGGAGCUGGUGGAAGAAUGAUUCUGUUGGGUCCGAAUCGGCGGUGAGGACUCUCUUUAGGAUGACACAGUCGGUCGGGAGGGCUUAUGCGUCAGCUCCGGGACUUCUUAAGCUCCAGUACUGAACCUGCCCAUUACUUAUUAUUUUUAAUAUUGAUAUCGUAAUUGAAUUAGCAAAUUAUUUUCAUUCAUAUCACAUAAUAUUUAAUAAAUCAUAAUAAAGAAAUUUAAAACUUUAUGGACAUGGAAAUAGAAUACCAAACGAAAUAGGCUAUUUAAUAAGUAAUAAUAAAGAAAUUAAAAACUGUAUGAACAUGGAAAUAGAAUACCAAGCGAAAGAGGCUGAAGAGGUAAAAAGAGCGAGAGAGCGAAAGUUGACAAACUUGGGACUUGAAGGUCUGAUUUGCCGGAUCACGUCCGGGGCAAGGGUUCCUGUUUGCAAUUGGUUUUUUUCCUAAUCGAGAUUCAAUUCGGGGCAAUAUUGGAAUUGGGAUCAAGUUGAGGCUAGGGUUUUGUUGGAAAUAGGGGAAGGAUGUCAAGUGAUGAAACCAACUUGAGAUUGAAUAGGAAAGGAGAAGAACAAGAAGAAACGUAUUCAAAUAAUCUACAUAUCAUUCAUCGACAACUGAUUCUAGAUAGAUUACAAACUUAUAAAGAUGGAGUUCCAUCUGCUACAAUAAAGGAGAGAAUAAGUAUCAAAGAUAACUUCCUACUGCUGGGCCGAUGAGCCUUGAUCUUACCUACAUAUCCUAUUACAUCUUGGGCUAAGCCUUUUACAUAAAGAAGAAGAUACCUACUAUUGCGGUGAAGAGAGAUUGAGGCAUAACGUGUUCCAUCAACUACUCCUCCCUUUGAUAACAUGUUGUCCUCGGCUGUUACUGGAAUGAUCAUUAAUCACCCGAAAUUCCAUUGACACCUACUGACCUACCACGUCACGUGAAUUUGGCGACUCUAAGAUAGCCAUAAUAGGCUUUUUACAAACAUGAGAUUUCGACCACUUCUCAUCACAACUAAAGCAAAGACCCUGAGCUCUUCUUUCACUACGACCACGAGAUGGCCAUUGCCUGAAUUGGGAAUCAAUGAUUACCUCUAGAGUGUCUGCAGUUCGUGGUGAAUUGGUCACGGAGAAAGACGGCUGAGAAGCUUGGAUAUCAUCAAGUUUAGUCUCAUAUAGGUGGGCUAAGCGUUGCGCAGCCGCUAAUGUCCGUGGUUCCGUGACAAGUACAUCAUGUCUAAUUUCCGGCUUCAAUCCACCAAGAAAUUAAAACUUGGUAAUAAUUGAGCUUUCGUCUAUCCGUAGGCUCUACAAGACAACUUGAUAAAAGCUUAUAUGAAUUCACUCACGGUACCUGUCUAUUUAAGAUGCGAUAAUUUCGUCUGAAAAUCAGUGUUCGUCCCAGCCCCAUAGAGCUCCAAGAAAGCUGAUGUUAACUGAUGCCAAGUAGCCAUAAGAUUACGUUCUUCAAAGGAAUUCAUCCAUAUACAAGCAUACAAGCAUCAUAAUUCUUCAAGGAAUUCAUCCACAUACAAGCAACGGGACCAAAGUGGGAAGCCACCGUUGUUGUGUGCUCAUAUGAAGGAACUCGUUGAGAGCGAAGAUAUCUCUCUACCAUAGUUAACCAACCUCAAGCAUCCUCUCCAUGAAAUCUUGGUAAAUCAACUUUUGGAGGCCUGUAGUAAGGAAUGUCAUAUUAUGGUGGAGGAUUUGGUGGCAGAGGAUUGAGGGUACGUACUUGUGGUAACAAUGGUGGAAUUCAAUGGAGGAGCAGAAAAAAAAAUUUGGGGGAUUCGGAAGCAAUCCAUACCACUGUGGAGAGGAAAAAGGCAAUGUGGUCAUGACAUUUGAUGGUUGGAUGAACAUUGGUGAGUUGAUUGAAUGGGAGGGAGAUGGAAAAUCUUGAAGGUUUGGUGAUUGCCACAACGUCAAGACUUGCACCAACGUGUUCUAAAGUGUAGAAAGUUAGGCAGUCAUUUGGUUUUGAAAAGAGGCUUGAUUUUGGUUAAGAGUAGUGAUGGAUUAGUGCAAUUCAUUCUACAGAGUGGAGACCGAACUUUGAAUUUCUUCAAUCGACAUAGUUUUAUUUUCGGGUGGAGAUGAAGAAGAUAGUGAAGAAAGCAUUGGGAAAGAUUAAUGUGAUGAAAAGGAGGAACAUGAGCAGAAGAGAUGGGUGUGGUAGAGGGUUGAGAAGUCUGCACAGUGCGCGCAGGAGCCAUUAAGGCUCUGAUACCAAUGAUGGAACCAACUUGAGAUUGAAUAGAAAAGGAGAAGAACAAGAAGAAACAUAUUCAAAUAAUGUGCAUAUCAUUCAUCGACAACUGAUUCUAGAUAGAUCACAGACUUAUAAAGAUAGAGUUCCAUCUGCUACAAAUAAGGAGAGAAUGAGUAUCAAAGAUAACUUCUUACUGCUGGGCCGAUGAGCCUUGAUCUUACCUACAUAUCCUAUUACAUCUUAGGCUAAGCCUUUUACAUAAAAAAGAAGAUAGCUACCGCUGGGAUGAAGAGAAGCAAUUGCUACGGUGAAGACGAGACUACUGCGGUGAAGAGAGGUUGAGGCAAAAUGUGUACCAUCAUCAAGUGAGGCAGGCACCACGGUCGACGAAAAGGUUUUGGAGCUCCAAGAGAAGGUACGCACUCUUAAUUUUCACUAAUGGUAUUCGAUCUCUUCUAUUAGGCACUGAAUUGUAACAAUUAGUGGUGCUGCAUCUGUUAGCUUUCUCAAUGCCGACUCGAAAGGGACCGGCUCCAGGCCGAGAAAGAGAGUUUCAUGAUCAUGAAGCGGGAAUUAAAAAAACUAGAAGAUGAACUCAGAGAUGAGAAAGAAGCGAAUUCGCUGGCGACUUCUAUAUUCAAUGAAGAAAAGAAGUCACUCGAAGAGGUCUUGAAGGCCAAGUUGCGGAGUCUUCGUCAGGUAUGAUUUCUAUCACCAAUAUAGUCGAUCUCAUUAUGAUUUGGCAGCCUUUUGUAAUCCGGUACUAUGUUCUCCAUAUCUAUACGUGAUUGUCAGCCUUGUUUGCUAUAUCUGGUGUUAAAUACAUAUGCUUCACUCAACGACUAAUGUGGGGUGGGCUAAUUUAUUGAUGUCCACUAUGGAUGUUUUGUUAGGAGAAGCCUAAAAUUUUUAUAGUCUGAUAUGCAAAAGAUCCGCGUGUCUACUCUAUUGUUAUUUGAACCAAUACUUUUUAAGUAUUAUUACUAAAUCUUUUAUAUGAAAAGACAAAGAUGAAAAUGAAAGCUGGUUGACGAGCACAUUUUAUAUCAUAUUAUUAUCCCUAAUUUAUAUAUGUUAGUUACUUGUUUUUAAUUAGUUUAAGUUAUUUAGUUUGUUUUUGUGUUUUUAUAGAUGUUUGUCUAAAUAAAUAAAAUGUUAAAGCUAUGAAAGCAAUUUACUUAUUUUCAUAUAGUAAUUUGAGUCUUUGUUUUAACAUGAGUCUUUUUCCCUUUAAUUAGAUGAAUAAUUGCAACACAUGUUCUUCUUAUUCUAGUAGCAUGUAUGCAUAUAUGCAUGUGUUAAAUUGGUGGAUUAUUUUCUCAUGCAUUAAGUGUGAUGUGUGGAAAUAUUACCAUGACAUCCAUUGUUGAAUUCACUUUUGCUUGUUUGAUUCAUAGGUAUAUAGAUGCAUUGAUACAAACGGAAGAGAGUAUGAAAAAUCUCCAAGGACAUAUACCAUGAAACAAGGAGGCAAGAAGCAAGCAAACAUGAUUCUAGGAACUAAAUCUUCAAUUGUUCAAAGAUUGUGUAUGUAUCUUCUCUUCAUUCACAUGAAAAAUGAGAGAAGGAAGCUAUGGAUGGAAACAUUUAUGGAUAGAGACUUUAGCUAUCAAGCUUGAGAAAUUUGAAAGAUGGAGAGUCAUUUUCACAUGGAGAUGAAGUUGAAUGAAGAUCAUUGUUGCCCUAUAAAUAGAUGUUGUUUCAAGUGAAUAAGAGGGGAGGAGGAGAGAGUGGAGAAUUAGAGACACAUUGUUGCUCUUAGUUCUACCCUUUCUUUAGCUACUUUUUAUAUAAUGUUUUGUAUUUGUUUAAGUAUGUUUUCAAUUUGUACUAUGUCUUGCUAAUUUCCUUAACUAAGGUUAAGGAGGAAACCACAUUAUGAAAUAAGUUUCUUUUAAUUAUCUACAAUUCCCAUAGUGAUGUUAUCCAUGCCUAUGACUCUUGCUUCAAAAUGCAUUAAUAAUCCUUGUUCCUUUCACCUUUAAUGUCAUGCAUUUUUGGUAGUUUGGAAGUCACUUUUAUUAAUCCAUGCUUGGCUUUGUAAAAUAUUUAAUAUGAACUCCUUUGAUCUCUUGUCAUUCAAAUGAGCUUGUUUCACAUUUGAUGCUUUGUAAACACUUUGAUCUUUUGUAGUUUCAAUAAGUUUGUGUACAUGUGAUGCUUUGAUGUUCAUAAUUAAGAAGCGAAGAAGAGUCUACUUUAGAUAUAUUUCAUGUGUGCUUCAUUGUUAAAUCUUGAGAAAGCAGUAGAUUGAUUUCUAGAUUGCUACUCCUAAUUCGGGAAUUAGUAGAUAAUAUUUAGAGACUUAUCAAGUAAUGUGGUGGAAUCCGAUGUCAUAGUUACUUCGUCAUCAAGGUAAUCUUUUAUCUAUUUUAUUUGUCUUAGCUACUUCACCAUCAACUUUCAUUCAACUAAGUUAGUGUUAAAUUAAUUUAGAUUCGAUUAGUUUUUCCUAUUUUCAUACAUUCCAUGUGGGUUCGACCUCACUCUUGCAUAUCUGUGCUGCAACUGAUUCGUGCGUUUGCGAGUAACAUUUUAAAACACAUCAAGUUUUUGGCGCCGUUGCCGGGGAAAUUAUUACUAAAUCUUUUAUAUGAAAAGACAAAGAUGAAAAUGAAAGCUGGUAAAAGAAGAGAGAAAUAAAAAAAAAUUAAACAUAUUUGUUGUUUGAGUGGUUUUAAAUACACACCGUAAAUAACUUAAUACACAUCCCUAUUAUUUGAUAUUUUAAAUCAGAUUUGAUUGGUAUGUUAAAUGACCAAAAGAGACAUGUGUAAUACAAUAUAAAUAUUAAAAAUAAACUUAUAUUUGGAAACUAAUAAUAUGAAAUAUAAACCAAAUUAAAAUAUUAAAAACGAAAACUUAUUUUUGGAAACUUAUAAAGUGAAUUAGAACAAAUUAAAUUUUUAAGAUUGAGAACUUAUUUAGGGAAACUAUUAAAGUAAACAUAAAAUUUGCAAGAAAAUGGAUAAUCAAUUCAUUUCUUUUUUGUCCUUAAAGAUUCAUAAUUUCCAAGUUUAAAGUGUCAAAGUGUCAAACGAUGUAAUUGUUAUGCAUAUGAACACAUAUUUCGUUAUAUUUCACAUAUUUUCCUUUUCACCCAAACACACUAUUC